UUUGGCCCACAGCUGCCCCUAAUACCGUCAAGAGUGUUGAGGUUGAAGCUAAUCCUAGCUCAGGAAGCAUCGUAAAGAUCAAUUUUGUUGAAGGUUAGAUAUUUCAUUUUCAUUGGCAUUGGCAUUUUUUAGCGUGUUUUACAUGAGUAUAUUGGAUAACAAGUAUUUGUUUGUUUAGGCCUUCCAUUCCAAUAUAUGAAGCACCAGAUAGGAGGACAUGACGAAAAUAAUUUUUCAUAUAGCUACAGUUUAAUCGAAGGUGGGCCCUUGGGGGACAAGCUUGAAAAAAUCAGCUAUGAAAACAAGUUUGAGGCAGCUGCAAGUGGAGGAAGCAUUUGCAAAAGCUCGAUGAAAUUUUACACUGUUGGCGACAAUGUAAUCACUGAAGAUGAAAUCAAGGCUCUCAUUAAAGGGAGUGAGGGAGUUUACAAGCCUGUUGAAGCUUACCUCUUGGCUAAUCCCGAAGCCUGCAACUAAGAUAUAGAUUGCUUUGAAUUCUCAUGCUGCUUUUAAAGAGUGGCCAUUACUUUCAAUGGUGUGUUUUUUAUAUUUUCUCUUUCCACUUAAAACUUAAACUUUCUUAUGAUUAUUUUAAUAAGAGCGGUGGUGGUGAUCGAGCUUUGAUCAUCUUUAUUUUCAUUACUAUCAAAUAAUUUGGGUUGUAUCAUCUUUGACAUAUACUGAAAUAAAAUAAACACCAAUUCACAAACAAAAAAGGUUUUACCUAGUAUAUUGAUGAGUUAAAAUUUAUAAGACUAAUGCACGUAUUGAUGAAAAAAUAAAGUGAUAAAUAGAUAUUAUGCCUACAAGGAUCCAAUUUUAAAUUACUUAGUAGUAACUAUUUAAGUUUUAUUCAAUCCAAAACAAUAAAAUAAAAUUUAAUUAUUAUUAAAAUUAAACUAAGUUGAUUAAGAAGGCUUUAUUAAACUAAAACAAAGAAAAUUUAUAUAUGUUAAAUCCUAUAUGGAAGAAUUAAAUGUUCAUUCACCUCCUUAUAUUCUAUAUUCUAAAAAAAAUUUUGUGUUUGGACAAUUGAGUUACUUAUUUUACAAGGGCAUUAUUGUCAAUAUAGGAGGAUGUGAGUUCGAAUGUGCUGAAGCGCAUUAUCCUCCUAUUAAUAAGUUAGAGAGGGAUUAUAAAUAAUUUUAAAUAUUAUUUUUAAAAGAGCAUAUAUAAUUAAAACAUAUAAAGAGAUUGUAAAAAAGGAAAAAAAAAAAACCUUGUGCGUUUCUUGCUUACCACGAUGGGAAUAGACAAACUAACUAGUUUGGUUGCCUUAGAGAUUGAUCUUAAUUAUUAUCCUUAGUACAAUAAUUUGACAGUAAUUUUAUUAUAUUCUAUUUUCUUUAUCAUAGGGAAUUAUAACCUGUAAAAAAAUUUAAUAAAAUGAACAUGAAUUACUUCAAUUCAUAGUGUUGUAAAUCAUCUCCCCUUUCUAACGUUUGUAUUGGGAGAGCAGGUUAACCAAAACUCCUGAGCCCUACAAAAGGAACGAAGGCAUUAAAAAAACACCCAUAAAUCCUCAUGGAAUCAUUAUAUUAUCUUUGAGAGAUGCUUCAAGGUUGGAUAUUUAAACUUGUAACUAGUAUAUCAAUCACUGAUAAUUAUAGUAAAUUACUCUACUAUUUUCCGUUUUCCACAUAUAUGUGGAAGGCAAUUUCAGAUGAGGAGAUAAAAAAAAGCUUUGUUUGACAUGACUCCUUUGAAAGCUCCUGGGAGCGAUGGUUUUCAUGCUUUGUUUUUCUGAGUCAGUGGAAUGUUGUGGAAUUGCUGUCUGUGAGUGGGUUAAAAGGGUAUUUAAUGGUGGGUCAAUUGAACCAGAUUUGAAUAACACAGUCAUUGUCCUCAUUCCUAAGAUUGCGCAUCUGGAAAGUUUCCAAUAGUUUAGGCCUAUCAGUUUGUGUUCAAUCUUGUACAAGCUAGUCAUGAAAGUCAUUACUAAUCGAUUUAGGUGCAUCUUCCCUAAAUUAAUUGCGCAAGAGCAGACGAGUUUUAUUGCAAAGAGGAAUAUUAUGAAUAAUAUCCUCAUUGCACAGGAAGUCAUUCAUUCCAUGAGAGGGAAACGCCACUAGAAGUCUUGAAUGGCUGUUAAAAUUGUUCUAGAAAAAGCAUAUGAUCGAGUGCGGUGAGAUUUUACCGAGGCUUUGCUAAGACCUGUAGAUAUUCUGGUUUUUUUAUAAAGGUCAUUAUGGAUGGAAUAUCAGGUUCUCCGUGCAAGUUCUUUGGAAUGAGAUUCCAGCAUAGAAAUUUAAGCCGACGAGAGGGAUCUGUUAGGGCUAACUUUUAUCUCUGUAUUUGUUUGUUCUAUGUAUGGAAUGGCUUGGGUAUAGUUUUAGUUUGGCUAUUUCUAAUGGUCAGUGGCAUCCAAUUAGAUUGUCUAGAGCUGGGCCGGAUUUAUCACAUCUAUUCUUUGUUGAUGAUCAGGUAAUUUUUACCAGAGUUGACUUGGGUCAUUCACUACUCCUAAAGGAGAUUUUGGAUAAUUUCUACAAUAUCUCUGGUCAUUGUGUUAAGGCUCGGAAGACUAAUAUUUUUUUCUCAAAAGGGAUUAACAAGGUGGUGGGUAGUGGAAUUAGUAGUUUGCUUGGUUUCCAAAAAGUGGAUAAUCCCGGUUCGUAUUUGGGUGUUCCUAUUUUUUAAGAAAGGGUCACCAAAAGUACUCUUAGAUUUGUGGUGGAUAAGGUUCAAAGUAAGUUGUAUAAUUGGGACGCCAGGAAGUUAUCUUUAGCUCGGACAGAUACUUUAGCACAAUAUGUACUUUUAUCCAUUGCAAAAUAUUUCAUGUAGUCUUUAAUGAUUCUAACGUUCCGUUUAUUUCUUUGAAAAUGGCUUUCGGAAAAUGAUUUUUAGAAAAUGACUUAUUUUUCUGGAAAAGCUAAUAUUUUCUGGUGUUUGGAUGAAUUUGUGUAAAAUAUUUUCUUUUGUUUGGCAAGUUCUUUAAAAAUAUUUCAUAAAAGUCGUUCUCAAUUAAACAAACAUACAUUUGAGAUUUUUUUUUUCAUUGUUUAAUUGAGUUUAUUUUAUAUCUAUAAUUUUAUAUUUUACAUUGUUUUUACAUAUAUUAAAAAUAUUUUGUUAAAUUUAUGUUCAUUGCAAUGAUCCUUUUUUAGUUACAUGACUACCAACUGAGCAUUUUUUUAUUUAAAAAUGUGACAUUAACAAAAUUGACAAAAAAAUCAACAAUGUUAGCAGUUGGACUUGAUUUUCUAAUCUAGAAAGUAGAGGGGCUAAAUUCUUUAAAAUAAAAGUACAUAAACUAAAUUGCAAAUUUGUAAAGAGUAUAUAGACUUAUGACAUAUUUUAACAUUUAUACUACAAAACAUUUAUUAUUAAUAUAUUUAUAAUUGUAAUAAAUAUUUAGUAUUAAAAUAUUAAUAUUGAUAUUUUCAAUAAUAUGUGAAUAAUAUUAUUUAAAAUUAUUAUUUUUAAAAACUACUAUUAAAAUAAAAUUUAAAUAUUAAAUAAUUUAUUAAAAAUAAUAAAUUAUGUUAAUUAUAUUAAUAAUUUAUUAUAUGACUAAAUAUAAAUAAUUAAAUACGUAUGUUUAAUAAUAUUAAAAAAUAUAAUAUUUUAUAUUAAUAUUUUAAAUAUUUUUAAAAAUAAAAAUAAAAAUAAAAUUUAUUAUCAGUAUAAUAAUAUUAAACUUGAUUUAAUUUAAUUUUUAUAUAAAAGUAAAAUUAUCUAUUGAGGAGCUCGUUUCCGAAAAAUGACCUUUUCAAAAGGGUGAGUCAUUUUACAAGGAAAAAGGCUUAUUUUUCGUUGACCUGUAUGUCAUUUUCUGUUGGCCAAGCUAUUUUCUGUGAAACAAACACAGGAAAAUGCAGAAAAUUUUUUCCGUAAAACCUUUUACAUGUAAACAAACGAACCCUAAAUGAGUAUGUGAUGAGAUUGAGCGCUUGGUCAGAUAGUUUAUUUGGGGUUGGUCGAGUGGGAACAAGAAGUUGACGUUAGUUAGUUGGGAUUCAGUCUAUCAGCCUCGUUCUUGUGGAAGACUUGGGUUUCAUCAUUUGGAGGAUCAGAACAAGUCAUUUUUGUUGAAAUUGAAGUUUAAUUUGGUUUUGAACGACAAUGCUUUAUGGGUUAGGAUUCUCAUUUCGAAGUAUGGUAUGAAGGAGAGGUUGCCAGAGAGCAUUUUGAGAAGUUCAAGUUUGUUCCUUUGGAGGGCUCUAUCCAAGGUUUGGUCUUUGCUUAAAGAUAAUCUAGUAUGGUCCAUGGGAGAUGGAAUGAAGGUCGAUUUGUUAUUGGAAAGAUCAUUGGAUUGCGAGUGUAGGACCUUUGAUGCGGCUAAUCCCUUCGCAUGCUAACUUGGAUCCUGACUAUAUGCUUAACGUGACGGUAACGGUGGAUGAGGUGUGAAAUAUUGAUUUAUUUCGAGUGUGGCUGUUUCAAGACAUUGUUCGGUGUAUAGUCAGUAUUUCGACACCCCAUUCUUCAGCGGGUCCGAACAGGAUUGCUAGGAGCCAUCAACCUAUUGGAUCUUUUUUUGUUAAAAGGGCGUAUCACAUGAUUCAGGAGAAUUUUAGGAGGCCUAGAUAUGAGACUUGUAAGAGAGCAUGGAAAUUUUAAGGGGCGCAAAGAGUUCGUUUCUUUAUGUGGCUUACUUUAAAGCAAAGAUUGCUCACAAGUAUGGAAUGUGUUAGGAGAAGAAUUGGUCAGGAUCCUUCUUUCCCAGUUUGCGGCCAUGCCUCUGAAGACCUUCUUCAUGUCCUUAGAGAUUGCUCUAUGGUGAAACAUGUAUGGCUGAGCGUAGUGCCUGUAAAUCAGAGUGAUAACUUUUUCUCUGUUAACAACUUUGCAGACUAUUUAGUUUCUAACUUAUCCUCACGUUUAAAGGUACACUCUGAGGAAGUUUUUUGGUCUUGCUUAUUUGGUUUAAUAUCAUGGUGUCUUUGGAAGAACAAGAAGUUAUUCAUUUUAUAGUGUUUGACUUGGAAUGCUUAAGAGAUAAUUAAAGUUUCAGUAUGUUGGGCUCAACAAUUUUUAAAUGUUCAUUUGACUAUGAUGUUUAGUAGGUGCAUUGGAGCUCUGGUUUAAUCUUUGUUGAAUCUUUGUGUUUUUCUAUAUACUGAUGGGGCAAUGAAUGUGAGUACAAGAUGCACAUCUGCUGGUGGUGUAGUGAGAGAUCAGUUUGGUGAUUGGAUUGUCAGGUUCAAUCAUAAUUUAAGUGUUUGUCUAGUCUUUGAUGCUGAACUCUUGAGUAUUUGGGAUGUUUUACUAUUGUUAUAAGAAAAGGGGUAUGUUAAAGCCUUAAUUCUGGAAAAUUGCUUGGAGGCAGUCAAUGCUAUUCAAGAUGACUAUUUGGGGUAUCAAUUUAGGCCUUGGUUUGAUGAAUUAAGCAGAUUUUAUAGUACAAGGAGCAUUGGACAGCUAGGCAUGUCUCUAGGGAGAGAAAUCAAGUUGCUAAUCGUUUAGUUAAAAUGUUUUCUGUUUAAAUUGAUGGUAUGCAUAGAUUAAUAGGCACGCUUAGGGAGUUAAUUGAUCUCCUUAAACAUGAUAAAGUUGCUAGUGCUUUUGUUCAUUUAGUUUGAUCUUGUUAUAUCUUUUUAUUAAAAAAAUCUCUAACUAACACGAUUUAUUUUGAAUUUAAUAAAAAUAAUUUCUUAAAAUAAUAAUUUUAGACAAUUUUUAAUCAAUGCUUAUAAAAACCGUCAGCACAUCAAAUUAAUUGAACCAUAAGUCUCUGUCAGCACAAUUCAUUAUUCCCUCUAUAUAUUUAAAUAAGCAUUAUUGAAAACAAUAAAUUAAGCAAAUAAGUAGAUAAGUAGAAGACAAACUGAUACAAUAUUUGAACUCACCAAUUUGCGAUUUAAUAAGAAAGUUCUGGCUGCCUAUUUUGACUAGUACCAAUUCAAUGAAAAUUAAUAACAAUGUUGGAUAUAAAUCCAAUUAAAAAAUGAGAAUAAUAAUUUUUUACGCUUCAAGUUCAGUGUAUAAAUAGCAUCCUAGUUCUCUAUCAUCUCACACCUCAACCACUCAAUCAUCCACUUCUUCUCUUCUUUGAACUCAAAGUCCCAGUUAAUAUUAGAAUCAUGGGUGUUGUCACUUAUGACUAUGAGUCUACCUCCCCAGUCGCCCCUUCCAGGCUUUUCAAGGCCUUUACUGUUGAAGCUCCGAAAGUUUGGCCCACGGCUGCACCUAAUGCAGUCAAGAGUAUUGAGGUUGAAGCUAAUCCUAGCUCUGGAAGUAUCGUAAAAAUCAACUUUGUUGAAGGUUAGUUCUUUCAUUGGCCUUUUUGUAGUCUGUUUUACACGAGUAUGUUGGAUAACAAGUAUUUAUUUGUUUAGGCCUUCCAUUCCAAUAUAUGAAGCACCAGAUAGGAGGACAUGAUGAAAGUAAUUUUUCAUACAGUUACGAUUUAAUCGAAGGUGGGCCUUUGGGGGACAAACUUGAAAAAAUCAGCUAUGAGAACAAGUUUGAGGCAGCUGCAGGUGGAGGAAGUAUUUGCAAGAGCUCAAUGAAAUUCUACACUGUUGGCGACAAUGUAAUCACUGAAGAUGAAAUCAAGGCUCUCAUUAAGGGAAGUGAGGGAGUUUACAAGCCUGUUGAAGCUUAUCUAUUGGCUAAUCCUGAAUCCUGCAACUAGGAUAUUGGUUGCUUUGAAUUCUGAUUCUUGGUUUUAAAGAGUGGUCAUUGCUUUUAAUGGUGUGUUUUUUAUAUUUUCUUUUUCCUUUUAAAACCUAAAUUGUCUUCUAAUUAUUUACAUAAGAGUGGUGGUGAUCGAGCUUUUGUCAUCUUUAUUUUCAUUACAGUCAAAGAAUUUGGGUUGUCUUUGACAUAUAUAGAAAUAAAAUAAACAAAUAAACUCAAAAAAAGAAAAAAAAAGGUUUUACCUGGUAUAUUGAUGAGUGAAAAUUCACAAUCCAUAUUAGAGAUGUGCAUUCGGUGGUUGGAACGAUUUGAUUAUUUUAUAACAAUAAUCGAAUAAAUAAAAAUUUUUACUGCAAUUGAAUUAAUCGAACCAAACUUAAAAAGGUAAAAAUGAAACAACCGAACUGAAUUUAGUCAAUUCGAUUAGAUUUAGUUAAUCGAUUUUUGCUUUUUUUGGUUUUUAACUUAGUUGAACUCCACCGAUCCAAAAAUUCUUCACUGUUCGUGUCGGCAUGUUUGUUCCUCACAGAAUGGGAGCAAACAGUAGCCGCCUUACCUUUUGCUAUAAAAAGGAUUUUAGCCUUUGCUUUCAAAAUCAUCCCAAUCUCUCCAAGAAAGUGUGUAUACUUUAGUAUACAUUUGGGUAAUUCCUUUAAUUAAGGAUUUCAUUAGUUUGUAAUCUUUUUAGUAUUAGUGAAGUUAUCAUUAGAUAUUGGAUUUUGAGGAUGUAGAUAAUUUGUUGAAUUUCAUAAAUUUGGUGUGCUCUUAUCUAUUAUCUUAUUUAUAUUUAUUGAUUUUUUCUAUCGUAUUUGAUAUUCAAUAGUAACUUGUCGGGUUAAUCUAUAAUGUUUAGGAGGUGAGAAAAAGUCGAUAGAAAUCGAUCGAACCAACCAAAAUUCAUUUUUCUAAAUUAGUUUAGUUGGUUUCGAGUUUAACUCGGUUACAUUAGGUGAUUAACUCAAGGUAAUGUCGGCUCGAUUUCAGUUUUGAAAUUCAAAAUUAUUUUAAUCAAUGACACUGACUUUACAUAUAAAAAUAUAAUAUAUUUAAUUAUACCCAAACCCAAUAUGCCAUUUACCAUAUCUCAAUCAAGCCAAAAUUAAAUCCAAAAUUUCAAAUACCCAAACCCAAUAAAAAUAAAAUAAUAAUUUAAAAUUAAAAAUUUAAUAAAAACUAAAAAUGUAAUAAUAAUUAAAAAACAUUAAACAAAAAAAAACUAAAAUUCUAACUUUCUAACCCUAAAACCUAAUUUCCCAAAACCAAAAAAGAAAAAUCUUACCUUUGUUGUAGCCCACAGUCAUUCCCCUGACCCUGUGUUUCACCUUUGUAACGAUCCAAAUUUCAGUGGUGUAAGAAAAUACGAUUUUAAAAUCUCAUUUUCGUAAACUGGGUCCGUAAGGGCAAAAAAUAAAAAUUUAGGAAGUUAGUAUGAAAAUAGAUUGAAACUUUGUUAAGUAAUUUAAUUGAUAAAUUGGUUAAUUAAAGUUCAAUGACUAAAUUGUAAAAGUUCAAUUGAUAUUGAGUUUGUAACACCCCAUACCCGACCCGAUCGUCGGAUCUGAACUAUAAGGUGCUACACUUCAUUAACUAUUACCUAAAAUGCUCCUUUUUAGCAAUACAAUAACUCAAAUUUAUAAUGCUAACUCUUACAUACAAAUCUUUAAUUUAGUACUCUUCGGAUGCUGAGUGAAGACAAAUAGACAUUUGCAACCUAGAUAAAUAAGGGAUUUACUACCAUGUUAAGACACAUAAGGAACAAUUUCACUGGAAGUUCCAUUAUAUUGAACUAAUUUAGUGACUUGAAAAUUUGAAAUCGAUUUUUAGUCUUGGUUACAACUUGACUCAGACCCUAAGACUCCGCCUUGGGUCGCCUCGUUGUAUGCACAUUGCUACGACCACAAAAUAAGUUGCCUGAUCUUGGUAAAUUCUGGCUUGGUCACUUAUUGAUUUCUAGAAACAACUACUAAACCUACAAUUCAUAGAAACACAACUGUAAUUUCGAUUGAACCUAGUGAGUGGUCCAUACCUGGCAUCAGCAUAGCACAAAUGAACUACUAUUUCAACAUUUGGAAACCACAUGACUUUCCUUGUGAAGAACACAUCCAUCAAAUCAUGUUGGUGUGGACUUGACUGUGUAACGUUUCAUUGAUGAGAUCUUAGCGAUGUAUGAUAAAGAAUACCCAGAUAGAAACGUUAGUAUGUUGGCAAGUAAUUCCGCAAAUCCUUUCUUUAAUGAUUUUCCUUAAGGACCUUUUCGUAGUUCUUCAAAAAAUACUUUCUACGAAUUCUCACUUGUGUACUCAAGAAAGAUACUCAUGCAUCUAUCUUGUGUUAUAACUAAGUUGAAGAAUAGAUCAUAAAGAAUGCCUUCCACUAUGAACCAUUAUUAGUGCUUGAUCUAACGGCCUCUAGUAGGUGGAUCUACUUUCAACUACAUAGUCAGAUACCAAUGUUUCAAACAGUAUCUUGAACACAAUACUUACUUAGAUAAACAAUUCCUUCAUUUUGGAAGUAUAGGAAAAUACCCUUGUAUCAUCCCCCAAAGAACCUGGCGAACUGUUAUAUAUAUAAUAUGAAUUCCAUACAAUUUGCUUGUAUUGUAGGUUCAAGCAUAGAAUGUGCUACUAGCACGCAGAUUCAUUCUUGGCGUACCUAUAAAAUUAUAUUCGAAUCCCCGAAUGAACCUGCAAGCUCUCACCAAAGUGAAUUCCAUAACUACUGUAGAUGCAAAACUAUAAGGAUAAGUCAAAAAACAGUCAUAACUUGUAUCAGACUCACUUUAUUUGCUAGCACAGGCACAAUGGCCUUCUCAUAAUAGUAGAUCACCUUUUUUUGGACUCAUACAAAAGACAUAGUGUAAAAUCAUAUUUACAAGAUAGUUCCUUAUAUUACAUAGUCCUCACGAACUUUCAUAAAAGAUAGUCCGUAUAGACUUCCAGAAAAGAUAGUCUUGGAUGACUUUCCAUAUAUUAGAUAGUCCUCACGGGCUUCUACAUAUACAGUAUUGUCAUGGCCAUGGUCUUCCAUACUUCCCAUAAAGGGCUCUCAAAUGUCCCACACAAGGGGCUCUCAUAUACUGGUGCACACUAUUCUUCGUACCAUUUAAAAACUCCAUUCUUGGCUCAAUCCAAUCGAACCUCCCUCAAAGCCACCUAAAUAGUAUGCAUCACAUACACGAACCCUCAACCAAUAAUUACUAUUUAUCACACACCAGUCAUUUUAUUGAUUCAUCAUAAGCAUACUUACUACCAAUCAAUCAUAUCAAUUCAAUAUGCAACAAUGCAUCAUACCAAACCUUUCAUUUACUUAACAUAGUUAACUCACAAUCAUUUGCGGAAUUGCAUACCGUAACACAUACAAUCACCAUACAUCAUUAAUUCCUCAUAACAUAAUCAUAAUUUGUAAGCUCAUCACACACUGCAUGCAACAAGACACCUCUACUUACAGUCAUAGAAUGACUUGUCAUUUACAUAACACUAAAUUAGCCUUUUUUAGCACACAAUAUUUAAAAAGGAACAUCCAUUUAAGAUCUGAGUACUGGGACUUACUUGGAAGUUAUCGCCAAAUCCAUCUUUUAAGUCUUUUCCCCUUGUUACACUAGCCUCCUUAGUCAAUACAACACAACAACCAUUUCAGAAUCCAAUAAAACCAUUCAUUAUCAUAAAAACUCUAAUUUUUUUGCAUGCAGAGACCAUUUAAAUGAUUAUUCGUCUCUUUACCCAAAACAAAACAAAAAGAAUAGUCAACUUAAAUCCUUAACUUCCUUCUUUUCUUAAACCCGCUAAUGUAGAGAGAUUAGAAAACUUACCAGCAUGCAAAAUUUCCAAUUUCUAAAACUUAAUCCUCAGUCUCUCCCCUUUGUACACGAACGUUCCUUAAUCUUUCUCUCUUCUAUGGCAAACCAGAGAAAAUAAGAAAAACAAAGAAAAUAAAAGAACAUCCACAGAUAAAAAUGCCCCUCCUAUAUAUCAGACUGAGGGUGGAGUGUUGCAUACUUCAUGGCAAUAAAACUAUUAUAGAGCUUUCUAGAAGUUUAAGUUGACAAGGUUCCCCAAUCUAUGAACACAAAGGCUAAUUUUUUGUCUCGAGUUGCAUCUAUUGUGGGAUUCCAGGAAAGGGAUAAAAUCUUACUAGAGCAUAAAAAAAGUCCCCAUUUCACAUUCAGUAGGACAAGUUUUCAACAUAGACUUUGGAAAUACAUGGAUAACACCAUUAGUGGAAUUCUUAUCCAGUGAUUCAAGACCUUUGAUCCUAAGGAACUUGAUUGCAUUUCUUUCCUAGCCUCUUAGUGCACACUUAUUGAUGUAGUCCUCUAUAAUAAAGCUUUCCUCCAUCCGCUUUUGAGUUGCCGAUGGCCUUUCGAAGUAGUGUGUGUGAUACGGAAGGUUUAUGAGCGCAUUUGUGGGCACCAUCUAGAUGUAAGGGCCAUGGCCUAGAAAGUUUUGCAGUAGUGAUUGAGACGAAAUGAAUGUGUGGAUGAGUGAGGAAUAGGAUUGUAAGUUUGCCCAAGUUGUGGAUUUCACUUAAGGCUCUAGACAAUCGAAAAUAAAUUUGGAUUUCGACACAACCUAAAAUAGAAACAAAUCCAAGUUAGAUCUACGAAUUCAGAUAUUAAAAGAAGUAAUUAAAAUAGAUAAUCAAGAUAAAAAAAUAAUAAAAUAAAUCAAAGAUUUGAAUAAUGAAAUAGGAACAAAAUAAGAUAAAGAAGAAAAUAAAACAGAUAUAUGGAAAAGAUGAAAAUGGUGUGUAGAAGUCGUAAGGAGCCUUGAAAACCCGAUGAAUCCACAACCCCCUUCGAUUGGCAGUAAUUUUCCCUCCAAGAAAGGGCAAGAAAAUGCUUGAAGAUGAUCCCCAUAAUCUGAAUAGAUUGUUAAAACUCUUCUAAAAGAAAACUGAAGAGAAAGUCUUAAAAAGAAAACUCAAAGAUAAUUUUAUUAACUCAAAGUGAAUAAUGAAUGAAUUCAUUGUUGUACAAUGCAAAGGCCUUUAUAUAGGCUAGUUAAAUAAAUCUAAAUAAAAAUCUCAAGUAUACUAGAACUCUAAUUAACCGAAACAAGAAGUAGUUUUAAACUAAACUUUCUUGUUGAUAUAAAACUCCUAAAUAACUUAAAAUAUUUAAUAAUUAUAAAAAAAUUAGAAUAAAAAAAUAAUAAAAUAAUAAGAGAAGAUAAAUAGAAUAUUGGGCUUAUAUAUAAUAAAAAUUAAGCUUAAAACCCAAAACCAAUAUGAUUUAAACUCGAAUUAAAAGCCUGAAACUCGUAAUUUCAGUAAUAAUCCCGUCGAGAAAUUCUACUCAUGCAGUUUUCACUAAAACAAUCAUAACUUGAGUUCUCGAACUCGAAAUCAAGUGAUUCAAAGUGUGUGUCGAAGCUAAAAGAUAUAUCUUAGAACGCUAUGAAGACAUAUUAAUCUAGAAUGUCUAGAACCCAUCCAAAAAUUUGUCACAAGUUGACUAAUCUUUUCAUCUUUAAAAUUGAUAGCUUGGCUAAAUUGACUUUAAUAGAUUUCACCCAUUCCGAGCAUGUUUCAUUCCUCGUUGCCUCGAAAAGUUUAUCCUCACUUACUAACUUUAACCAAAACUUGGUUUGAUUUGGUUGACCUUUGAUCUUGUUGUUGAGCCUUGAGGUAGUGUAAGCCCAUCACAUGUAUCGAUUUGAAAGUUGACAUUUAGACUUGUUUUGUUCCCCCAUUCCUCAAGAAGAUUCGUCCUCGAAUCUUUAGUUGUAUAAAAAAAGGGAUUAGGAUUAAUAACAAUAAAAGCAAACAAAUAAUUACAUAAUCUUUCCUGUGCACCAAAACUAUCUCCAAGAUCAAAGAUAUGAUUUUUGUCUCCCAAAUUAGCUUGGAUCAAGUACCUCUCCUCCAAAAAUAAACCAUCAACACUAAAAAUAUAAAUAUUAGGCACAUGAGUGUUCAAGUAUAAAAUAAUUUGUAACUUUAUUUGAAUACGUAUGGUCAUCCAUAAUAAAUUCCAAAGAUUAGUUAAUAAUUUCACAUAAUAAUCAAAAUCCAGAAGUUUAAUAUUAUUAUGUAAAACAUCAUAUUUAAAGUCUAAGGUAGAAAAUUUUGCUGCAAGAUCAAAUGCAUAAAGUUCUUUAAUAAACCUAUCGAAUGCAACAAAAGUAACCUUUACAAACCUAGAUAAACCCAUAAAAUCAAUUGAACUUUCAAACCAUAGUUUAUUGAAACUUGACCAAUGAGAAAACAUGUUGUAAUGAAAUAUUUUACAAACAAAAUCAGUAAUAUGCUUAUUAAAAACAUUCAAAGUAUGCCUUUUUAAAUCAGAAUGUUUCCUUGCCUUUCUUACCUUGUAGCAUUUGUGGAGAAUUAUCAAUGUUUAACUUACCUCUCUCCCAUAAGGAAAAUCGUCUAUCGAUGGUAUAAUAAUAUAAUUGGAAGUCUGUCAAUGGAUCUCGAAAACCCAAAAAAUUGCGGAGCAACUUGAAAAAAUUUGUUCGAGGUGUUCCCAAUUUCCAAAAAUCAUGAAAUUUAAACUAGAACCUUCCCAAAUAACAAAAAUCUGAUUUGGAAAUUUUGGCAUGAAACUCAACCUAAAGAAUAAUUUUUUAUUUUUCUUUUAUGUUUAUGUUUUUCCUCUUUUUUGAUCACUUUUUUUUUGUGGAAAAUAUUUUUUAAUAUUCUAAAAGAGUGCUAAGAAUCAGCAUGUAAAAUUUUAGAUCUUUUGAAAAAUGUUUACCAAUUGAAAAAUAAUUUUUUUCCAAAAAGUUUUUGCGUAAAAACAAAAACUCUUUUGAGACUAUUUGCUGGAAAUCAAUUUAUAAGAACACAAAGAAUAUCUAAAAUGCCCAAGAAUUUGAUACCAAAUGAUAAGGUGACAGGGGACAUGAUUGUAAGUUUGUUCAAGUCACGGAUUUGACUUAGGGCUCUAGAUGUUCGAAAAGAAACAUGGAUUUUGGCACAACCUGAAACACAAUGAAUCCAAGUCAGAUAAAAAAAUAAAUGAAAAUAAUUGUGUAACACCCCAAAGCCGGCCUAGGAGUUAUGAUCGUAUCUAGUGUGUCACAUUGAAGUGUUUUUCAAAAAAUUUGACUCGUUGAAAAAAAAACUUGUUUCUAAGUUUAAAAUAAAUAAGCAAAAGCCCAAUUAAAAAUAUAAGCUACUUAAAGGCCUUAUUACAAAAAUAAAACCCAACAUUAAAUUAAAUAAAAAUUAAAGUAAAUUUUAAAUAGCAGCAGUUGUGUGGCCACCUCUAAGUCUCUCGCAGCACCGAAUCGCCUAAGGCUUAGGAUUACUUGCACAGUUAGAAGAGAGGGUGAGUUUACGAAAACUCAGUGUGUAAUCCUCUACCAAAUAAUCAGCAUACAACAUGCAGAAUCAGUCUGGGCUAGAGCCCUAUACAGUAACAGUGUGUAGGCCAUAGCCCAAUAUAGUAACAGAGAGUGGGCCUUAGCCCAAUACAAUAACAAAGUGUGGGCCUUAGCCCAAUACAGUAACAAGGCAAAUGCAGUAAUGCAACCCAUCCCAAUCAAGCCAACACACCACUCCGUACCACCAACACACCAUGUAGGGAUAAAAUUGACCCACCCAGCCAACACACCAAUAUCGCAGCAAAGCUGCCAGUAAUAGUAACGCAGCAAAGCUGCCAGUAACAGUAAUGCAGCAGAGCUGCCAGUAUCAGUAACGCAACAAAGCUGCCAGUAACAGUAUUUGUGGCAAAGCCACCAGUACAAUACACUUCCCCCAUAUCAGAAUCCCAACCCUAUGCAGUAUGUCAUAAAUCAUACGUGUAUGCAGUAUGUCAUACUCAGUAACAGUUAUAUAUAUAUAUAUCAUAGAACAAGUCGUUCAUACACACAUUUCAAUUCUUAGGAGCAUAAUAGUCAUUUUACCCUAUGGAGGUGUUUCAGUCAUUUUACCCUUUGAGGGUAUUUCGGUCAUUUUACCUUUCAAGGAUAUUUCGAUCAUUUUACCCUUCGAGGGUAUUUUAGUAAUUUUACCCUUCGGGGGUAUUUUGAUAAUUUUACCGUUCAAGGGUAUUUCAGUAAUUUUACCCUUCGGGGGUAUUUCAAUAAUUUUACCCUUCGAGGGUAUUUCAGUAAUUUUACUCAUCAAGGGUAUUUUGAUAAUUUUACUCAUCGAGGGUAUUUCGAUAAUUUUACCCAUCAAGGGUAUUUCGGUAAUUUGCCCACAAAUCGUACGUAGGGCUCAUCACUCGAGCGAUUGCACGCCCGUGUGGUCUCAAACGUCAUGUUCACGGCUUUUUAGCUUUUGCCGAUUUGCAGUUAAGUGAGGGUGUGAUUACACACCUGAUUGCGAAGGCGCACCUAAGUCUGCGAACACCUAAAAUCUGCAUUCAAACACGUUUUCCAUUAGACGCUAAACAAGAAAGACUAAUCACCUUCUAAACAUCCUUGAUCAAAACCAAUUUAUUACUUGCCUUGACUAACAAAAGAAUGGCUUAGCCACUUGCAAACGAUGUCGACUGAUUCAAUCUUGCUAACAGAUAUCUGCAAUGCUACCACACAUUAAUCGGUAUUGCUUAUUCAUGUGGUUGAAAUCCAUACAUAAUCAAAAAGAGAACCAAGAACAUUUGGCCUUCAUAUAAGAAUACUAGCCUACCUACCUUGGUCGAGGGAUGAGAGGAUGAUUUCAACAAAUUUACAACGCUUACACCGUACCACUUCUCGAGGAAAAACCUUAAUACCACAAUAGGCAGCACAUCGAGAGAAAAGCAUCAAUAAUAAAAAAAUCAAAGUAUUACAGAGGAGGCUAUUUGAUUUUAGGUAAAGAGAAAGAAGGGAACAGUAGCACUUACCGGUAGUCGAUAAUACUUGUAACACAAAAUAAAAAAGGAGAAAAAGAGAAGUGCAAAGAAGAUUCGACACAAAAAGAGAAGAAAGGGAAAAGGAUUCGGUAGAUAGGAUACCAAAGAACUAUUCGGCCACUCCAACAAAAGAAUAAAAUGGAAGUAGGAGAAGGCAGAUGAACAAACCUGAGAGGUUCCCAAGAUCCUUUGGGAAAAAUGGCACAGAAAAAACAAAAGGGGAGAAAGAAAAGCCAAACAAAACUGAAAUUGACCAAAAUUUCAACUGUGAAUGAGAGAAUUCUCUUAAAUAUAGAAACUUUACCAACCAAAAGACCAAUUCGGCACUAGUAACCCCCUAGCCGAAUUUCUUAGAGUGCCAGACUCCAAAAUCUGCACAACUCUUCUACUCAUCAACUCCUCGAUUUUCUCCUCAAAUCUCUCUUGUUAUCACUCCACCGAUUUCUCCUCAACUCCCUCUAUGACCAAUUCAAACUUCCUUCGGCAGUAUUUCACUCCAACUCUGCCACUUACAAGACUCAAGCAGCAAAAUAAAUACCCCAUUGCGCAACCCAAGACUUGAACCCCUGACUUCUCAGACACUUCCAAACACUCCUAAAUCACUUAACCACUGAAGCAGACAUUCAUUUAUGUCACUUUCUGUCACAGCUAAAUAUUUAUGUGCAGUGUUCGAACUGUUCCCUUAUUCAAAACAUAUUUCUUCUAGGCCCAAAAUUUGGGGUGUUACAAAUUAAAAUAAAUAACUAUGAUAAAUAAAAUAGAACAAUAAAGAAGAAAUUAAAAAAUAUAGAUGAAAAAGAUGGAACAUGGAGUGGAGAAGUCCUAAGGAGCCUUGGAAACAAGAAGAAUCCAUAACCCCCUUUAAGUGACUCUAAUUUCCCCUCCAAGAAAGAAAAAUUGACAAGAAAAAUUUUGAAUAUGAUCUCCACAACCAGAAAAGAUUGUUAAAAAUCUCCUAAUAGAAAACUCAAGAAAAAUUCUUGAGAAAAGAAAACUUAAAGAGAAUUUAUUAACUAAAAAGAGAAUUUGUUGAAUAAUAAUGAAUUGAUUUGUUGUAUACAAUGCAAAAGCCUUUAUAUAGAUUAGCUAAAUAAAUCUAAAUAAAACUCUUAAAUAUACUAUAACUCUAAUUAACCUAAACAAGAAGUAGUUUUAACUUGAAUUUUCUUGUUGACAUAAAACUCCUAAAUAACUUAAAAUACUUAAUAAUUAUAAAAAAUUAGAAUAAAAAUAAUAAAAUAACAAGAGCUAAUAAAUAUAAUAUUGUGCUUAUAUAUAAUAAAAAUUAAGCAUAAAACCCAAAUCCAAUAUGAUUUAAACUUGAAUUAAAAGCCCAAAACUCGUCAUUUCUGUAAUAAUUACUAUAACUUGAUUAUUUGUUACAUGACUAGGCGUGUGGGUUUAAUUGGUAUCCUUGAAAUGAAAUGCCUAGGCUUGUUAACAUCUUCCACAUGGGCUUGUCGUCAUAGAUUGAGAUUUUAGGCCCACAAACAAGAUUGGUCUCUUCUAAUUCAUCCUCGCUCUGUAUUAAACUCCAAAAUCCAUCAUCUUGAAGCUUCAACUCUUUUUCUCAAACUUUUUUGUGAUAAAGUCUUAAACGAAUAAGUUGAGUUUUGACUUUAACUACUUGGAUUUAGAUCUCGUGAUUGGGCACUGAGGGAAACUAAGUCCAUCUUUAUUAUAACCUUUGAAUUGGACCGGGUUGCUCGUAUCAUUGCCUCAUCCACAAAAGGGUUCUUCAUUGAAUCUGCAAUAUCAAUGGGAGAAAGGUCAACGACAUUAAAAGUGGCACUAACAUUAUGCUUAUCGAAAAGAUCGAUUUGAUAUGCAUUAUCAUUAAUGUGCUUGAGUACUUCAAAAGUUCCAUCACCACGUGGGUCCAAUUUUUCUUGCUUCUAGUCGAAAAUCCUUAUUUUCUCAUAUGGACCCAAACCUAAUCAUCAGGCUAAACUAUAACUUGCUUACACCCCUAGUUAGCUUUGUUGGCAUUCGUUUCAUUUGUUUUGGCGAUUUGUUGCCUUGCUUUCUCGUGCAUGGAUUUCACUAAUUCAGCUUUCUUCUCACUAUCCAAACUAGAAAUUUUUUCUAUAGGAAAUGUCAUAAGAUCAAGUACAGUUAGUGGAUUAAAACCAUAAACAAGUAAAAAUAGGGAAUAGCCAGUUGUAAAGUGAAUAGAUCGGUUAUAUGCAAAUUCAACAAAUGGAAAACAUUCUUCCCAACUAUUAAGGUUCUUACCCACAACAACUCGUAGUAAAGUACCUAAGACUCGAUUGACUACCUCAGUUUGUCCAUCAAUUUGGGGGUGACAUGUAGUAGAAUAUAAUAAUUUAGUAACAAGAUUACCAUAAAACACUUUCCAAAAAUGGCUUAGGAACUUUACGUCUUUGUCAGAUACAAUGGUGUGGGUUAUCCCAUGUAGGCGCACUACCUCUCUAAAAAGUAAGUCAACCACAUGUGUUGCAUCAUUCAUUUUGUGGCAAGGAUUGAAGUGAGCCAUCUUUGAAAACUUGUCAACAACAACAAAAAUACUAUCUUGACCCUUUCUAGUUCGUGGCAAACCAAGAAUGAAAUCCGCGGAUAAGUAUACCCAUAGUGAAGAAGGAAUCGACAAAGAAGUGAAAAGUUCAUAAGACGUUACCUUAGAUUUUGCUUAUUUACAAGCAAUACAUUUAGAAUAUACCUUUACAACAUCCUUCCUCAUGUGCCGUAAAUAAAAAAUGUUCUUGUAAAAUAUCUAGUGUUUUGGCGACACCAAAGUGUCCCAUUAAGCCCUCAGUACAUACCUCACGAUUUAAUAACUCUCUCAUGGAACAUUGUGGAACACAUAAACUGUUUAGGCAAAAUAGAAACCCAUCUACAAGAUAAAAGUUGUUAAAGGCAACAUUCUGACAAUUAGAAAAAAUAUUUGCAAAAUCAAUAUCAUUUAAGUAUAAAUCCUUUUUAUGUUCAAACCCUAAGACUUUAGCAUUUAAUGUAGUUAUCAAAGAAUAUCUACGAUAUAAGGCAUCAACAACUACAUUUUCUCUACUUGUUUUGUACUUAAUUACAUAUGCGAAUGUCUCUAGGAGUUCUACGCAUCAAGCGUGUCUUUUUCUCAACUUACCUUGUCCCUUUAACCAUUUUAGGAAUUCUUGAUUUGUAUGGAUAAAAAAUCAUUUGGCAGCAAGUAAUGUUUCCAAACUUGUAGAACUUGAACUAAUGUAAGCAACUCCUUAUCUUAAGUUGAGUAGUUUAAUUGCGCCCCAUUCAAUUUUUCACUAAAGCAUGCGAUAGGGCUCUUGUCUUGCAUCAAUACAACUCCAUUUCCAAUAACUGAAGCAUGACAUUCAAGUUCAAAAGUAUUAGAAAAAUUAGAUAAUUUAAGAACAGAAGUAGAACAUAACUUAUCCUUUAAGGCUUGAAAAGCCUUUUCCUGAGCUUCUCUCCACUUAAAAUUCACAGACUUUUUAAUAACCUCAAUUAAUGGGGCAACAAUAGUGGAGAAAUCCUUCACAAAACAUCUAUAAAAACUUUCUAAACCAUGAAAAGAUCCCACCUCAUUAAUUGUUUUAGGAGUGGGUCACUCCCUAAUUGCCUUUAAUUUGUCCUUAUCGACAUGAAUACCUUGAGCACUUACUAUAAAACUAAAAUGGCUAGUUUAUAACAACAAAAAUUGCAUUUAUCAAGGUUGGGAAGUAACUUUUCAGUUCUAGGAAUGUCCAAAAUAAAUUUAACAUGGAAAACAUGAUCAUCUAAAGAAGUUGAGUAAAUCAUAAUAUCAUCAAAAUAUACUACCACAAACUUACCUUAAUAAGGCCUUAAAACAUGAUUCAUUAUUCUCAUGAAAGUACUAGGUGUGUUAGUUAGACAGAAGGGCAUAACAAGUCACUCAUACAAUCCAAACAUAGUUUUAAAGGUUGUUUUCCAUUCAUUCUCUUCCCUCAUAUGAAUUUGAUGAGAACCACUUUUUAAAUCAAAUUUAGUAAAAAUUAUUAAACCUUGUAACUCAUCAAGCAUGUCAUCAAGUUUAGAGAUUGGAUGCUUAUACUUUACUGUUAUUUUAUUGAUAGGGCAACAAUCAACACAUUCAGAAUGAACCAUCCUUCUUAGGCACCAAUAGGACCGGGACGGCACAAGGGUUCAAACUUUCUCUAAUGUACGCUUUUUUUAAUAGCUCUUUCACUUGCCUUUGUAACUUCUUUGUCUCCUUGUGAUUGCUUCGGUAAGCUGGACAGUUUGGAAUUGUUGUACCAAGUUCUAAGUCAAUUUGGUGGUCAAAACCUAGCAAAGUUGGUAAACCUUCAGGUGGCUUAUUAAAAACAUCCUCAUAAUCUCGCAAAACAGAUGAAAAGACACUAGGCAAAAAAUCAUUAAGGUUAGCUAAAGUUAAAAAAAAAACAUCCUCAUCCACAUUAUCUCGUUGUAUGAGCAUUUUCAUCUCCUUGAAGUAAUUUGUAAGGCCCUAAAAAUAAGUCUGGCAGUUUCGGGUAAGUUUAAUGGGUUCCAAGUGAAAAUUAGGAGUUAAUCAGGUUUAUUAGUAAUUUUUAUUAGUUAGUUAGCUUAAUUUCAUUUAAAAAUAAGGAAAUAAUAUUCCAGAAAUAAAAUAUUUUUAGAAAAAUUAAUUUUAUAGUCUUAAAUAAUUUUUGGGUAAAAUAAAUAUUUUGGGUCGAAUUAGAAUUGAAAAAUCAAUUAAAAUGGGGGUUUAAUUGAGAGAAUUCAAAAUAUUGAUUACAUAGGACCAUUUUGCAAAACAAGAGAAAUAUUUGAGUGGUUCUAUGGAAAAUUACCCAUAUUUUUAGAAUUUUGGAGGGAAAAGAUUAUUUAGUAAAAGAAGGGAAUUGCGGGAGUGGCCUGAUGACAAUUUCCCCAAUUUUUGGAAAUCAGGUGGGGGUUCUUUAGUUCAAAAACGCUGCAGCCUCCUCACUUCACACACAAUUAUCAACUGAUUUCUAAGCAUUUUCUCUCAUUUUUAUUUUUCAUUUUCAAAGUCCACAUAUCAAAGAUUUGAUCUCAUCUUUUAUUCUCUCAAAAUUCUCUAGAAAAGAUUUCUAAAGUUGAGAAAAAACUCAUCCGAGUUCUUCAAAGAUCUUGAUCCAAUCUUCAAUAUUGGUGAUUCUAGAUCGAUUGAAGGUAUUUUCUCAAGUCUAAAUUCAUUCUAACGUUGUUUUAAUCAUUAUUUUCAAUCUAAAUUGAUUAAAAUAGCUUUUCAAAUCUUGAUCUCUUAGCUAUUGAACAUGAGAUUCAUCAAUGGUGAAUUCAUGGUUUUGAUUUGGAGUCCAAGUUUAAAUGGAUAUUUAAGCUCAAACUCGUUUGGUUGAUCAUUUUUGACAAAUCCAUUUUUUUAACUAAAAACAUGAGUUGAUUUUCUGAAAAAUUAUGAAACGGUUUGUUUGGUGAAAUUGAUGUUUAGGUUUUGUGUUGAUAGAUUAGGAAUGAUGUUUAGAAAUCAUUUUUGGUGUAGAGAAGGUCAUUUGGGUGUUGAAAUUUGUGUUUCAGAUCGAUCAUGAGUUUUCAGUAAGGCAGAUUGGAGAGGCGUUUUAGAUCUGUGUAGUUCAUGAUUUUUCAAUUUUAUUGUUUUUAAUGAUAACUUGUAACAUGUAUUUUACCUCUGCUUAAGAUCCACAUCGAGGAGGGGCCACUGCUGAUUAGAAUUGAGGUCUAAACACAACUACUUGAUACACUUUGGCUUGAAAAGCAAAGUGUGAAUGUGAGUGGUUUUUAAAGGAAAUUGGUAAACAUGAUUGUUUACAUUCUGAAUUGAGGUUUUGAAUUGUGUUUCUAGUGAUUCAAUUGUAUCUCAAAUGGUUUACAUUUCAAAUUUGAUUUUAAUUUUAUGAAAGCAUAUUUGUAAAUGAUUUAUGGAAACUAUGAAUAGAGUGUUUGAUAUGGUUGAUUUGAAUUAGAUUGAUUAAUAAUUGGAGCAUGGAUUACUAUAUAUUAGAUCACUUAAUGAUGAUUUUAUAGUUGGUUUUAGAUCCAUGGACAAAGACACUUAUUGAGCUUAUCUAUGUUGAUGUUAAAAUUACUAAGUGACAUGCUUUAAAUUAAAUUUUUAUAUCCUGAAUUAAGUGCUUAAAUAUCAGUAUUUAUGCCCUGUGUGUUUGGUUAUAUUGGCAACAUUGCAUGGUGGAUCCAUUAGAUAUAGAUGACAUACCAUAGGAUUAGUGAGUACUCACCACUACAUGUGUUAUUUGUGAGCAUACGGCUUUAUGAGUAUUGACAUUGCUGGAGUGAAUAAGGGAGUGUUGAGCCUUUUUUCUCCACUCAAUCAUUGGAGAUUUCGAGGAAACAUAAAGGAGUGUAUGGCUACACCCCACUGAACCGGAGUAUUGUAUUCGAUAUUUGGAAGAUUGGAGAUCCGUUUAUCCAAUGCAUGAUCACAUGUUUAUAUUUUGCUAUGGAUGUCAUUUGCUAAUAUAAGUGUGUGCUUGUUAAAUAUAAUAUGUUUUCAUAUGCCAUAAUAAAUGUGAUUUUUACUCAUGGAAUAACAUGUGGAAUUAUGAUGUUAUGAUGUUGCAUUGAUGCUGGAAAUUUCAGUCAAUUGAAUGCCAUAAUUCAGCGUGAAAAUAUAAUUGAAACUAUGAAUCAUAUAACUGAAAUUUGAUACAUGAUUUGCCUUGGUUUAAGUAUGUCUUUGGUGUGAUUUACUUAUUUAAUUUAUGGCCAUUCACUGAGAUUUUUCAGCUCACACCCUCACAGCUUUGUGCAGAGUUUUUCUAGCUUUGAGGAUUCGAGGAGCAAGGGCAAGGUUGGUCCAAGUUUAAUUCUACUUGGUAGUAUAGAUUAAGGGCUUUUCUAUAGAUAAAUUCAAGGGAAUUGUGGCACUCAAUUGGGAUAAUUUGAUACACUUGUAAUGGAUGUUUGAGACUUACAUUUGGAUAUUAAUUUUGAGAUGUUAUAUUUGUUUUUUUUUAUGUUUGGUUUUAUGGUUAAAUGUUGAGUGUAGUAUUGUAUGUUGCUAAGUGAUAACAUGGUGAUUGAAAAUAUGGUGAUUGAAGCAUGAAAUUCUCACUAAUACAUUUUAAUCGUAGUUUGUCAAGGAGUGGAUAGCUUUGUGGCUAAGGUAAGUCUAUUGUAUGUUUUAAUUGUUGUUCGUUAAGCAUGAUUUUGAAUGUUUAAAUUAUUAAACACAUGUUGUUUAUUAGUUGUAAUUAGAUUAAUUAGAGUUGUAUGUAUGAUUAAGGUAAUAAAACUUAGCUAAUAUAGCUUUAAUUAAUAAACGAAUUAAGGGAAAAUGACUAGUUAAAAAGAAUAUCAGGGGUUUCACUAAUUAAAAAUAAUAUCAGGGGUUUCAUAAAUUGACUAUAAGAAACUUAGUAACCAUUUAGAAUUAAAAUCAGGUUUGUUUAGCUUUAAGUGCUGAAAUGACCUAGAUACCCUUAGGGUUAAAUUCCUAAAGGAAGUUUUAAAAUGGUUCACAAAUCGCUUUUGCAAAAAGAUUAGAUAGUUAUUAGUUAGAAAUGGGGUGUUAUAAGGUUAGGGUGUGCUUUAGGUGAUUUUGUGCUAGAGAGUCACUUCAGUGACUAAUGUGUCUAUAACAUCCCUAACUCGUAUCCGUUGUCGAAAUAGGGUUACAGAGCAUUACCAUACAAAUAGAACAGUAAACCAUUCAAUUCAUACAUCAAUGCAAAUAUAAUCUAACUACAUUCAAUUACAUUCAUAAUGUCCCUUAAUCGAACCCUCCAGGCCCUAAAAAUACUUUAGAAAUAAUCCAGGACUAAAUCAGAAAUAUUGUACUUGUACAUCUGUUUCAAGUCACAAUACUUCUUCGUACUACCAGGAGGAAUAAAAUACGUAGUACUGUGAGCUUCAGACAAAUUAUCUCUUUUCAAAUCUGAAUCAUUUGGAACACAAAUUCUAUCACUAUAACGCAAUGUACCGUUAUCAGUAAUAUUGUACUCAGUACUGAUGUCAUUCUGAACCAAUUUUUGUUUCAACGUCAACUUUGGAUCUUUUUUUUGCAAUUCCCAAAUCCAUUGUAGAAAUAGGGGUUUGGUUCUCAACUUUGCCAGCAUAGAACCAUCUUCAUUCAGAGCUAAAUGAGCGUUCAACACUCGAAGUGCAAACAAUGACGACUUUAAACUGAGUGCAUCUGCGACCACAUUAGCCUUUCUCAGAUGAAAAUCAAUAACCAAAUUAUAACCUGUCAGUAGCUCUAACUAAUGUCUCUGUCUUAAAUUCAGUUCUUUCUAAGUCAUCAAAUACUUUAAACUUUUGUGAUCCGUAAACACAUGACAUUUCUCGCCGUAUAAAUUAUGUCUCCUAAUCUUCAAAGCAAAUACAAUCGUGGCCAGCUCAAGAUCAUGAGUAGGAUAAUUCUUUUCAUGUGGCUUUAGCUAUUGAGAAGCAUAAGCUACUACUUUUCCUACCUGCAUAAGCACACAACCGAAAUUGUUGAAAGACGCAGCACUAUAAACAACAUAUGCUACCUUAAAUUUAGGCCAAGUCAACACUGGAACUUCUGUCAACAUGUUUUUCAAUUGAUCAAAACUCUGUUGGCACUUCUCAGACCAAAUAAACUCAACAUUUUUCUAUAGUAGUCUAGUCAUCAGUGAAGCAAUAAUCGAGAAGUUUUUAACAAAACGUCGAUAGUAACCUGUUAAACCCAGAAAACUUCGUACCUUAGAAAUAUUCUUCGAAAUUGUCCAAUUCAUCACAGCAAAAACUUUACUCGGAUCAACUCAAACCCCAUCAGCUAAUACUAUGGAACCCAAAAAUCCAACCUCUCGAAUCCAUAAUUCACACUUACUGAACUUUGUGUACAACUAUUUUUCUCUCAAAGUCUGUAACACGAUUCUCAAAUGUUGAGCAUGCUUGGAUUCUAUCUUGGAAUAGAUCAAUAUAUCAUAAAUAAACACAAUAGCAAAUCUAUCCAAAUGAGCUUGAAAAACUCGAUUCAUUAAAUCUAUAAAAGCAACAUGAGCAUUAGUCAAACCAAAUGGCAUUACUAGAAACUCAUAUUGACCGUAACGAGUUUUCGUCUUUGAUGGAUCACAAUCUUUAACCUUCAAUUGAUAGUACCCGGAUCUGAGAUCUAUCUUCGAUAACACUGUGGCACCUUUUAAUUGAUCAAACAAAUUGUCAGUUCCUGGCAAAGGAUACUUAUUAAUUAUCGUGACUGUGUUCAAUUGUCUGUAGUCUAUACACAAUCUCAAAGAGUCAUCUUUCUUUUUCACAAACAAUACUGAUGCACCCUAGGGAGAUACGCUCGGUCGAAUAAAGCCUCUAUCUAAUAACUCUUGCAAUUAUGCUUUCAAAUCUUUUAAUUCAAUUGGUGCCAAACAAUACGUUGAUAUUGAUAUCAGUGUAGUUCAAGGAGUUAGAUCAAUCACAAACUCAACUUUACGAUCAGGAGGCAAACCCGCUAACUCUUCAAGAAACACAUCAAUAAACUCAUUAAUAAUUGCUAGUUUAUCUAACUUCGAUUUUGAAUCUCUGAUAUAAAAAAUGUAUGCUAGAAACGCUUCACUACCUUUGCGUAUCAAUCUCUAUGCAAAAAUAGCUGAAAUGAUUGGAACAGCAUUUUUCGGCCCAUCAGACUUAACUAAAAUCACCUAUUCUAUCUAACAUUUCAAAUCAAUCUAUUUCUGCCUACAGUUUACUACAACAUCAUGCAACGAUAGCCAAUCCAAACUGAGAAUAAUAUCAAAUUCUUGAAAGGGUAGUAACAUCAAAACAGCAGGGAAUUCACAGCUUCUAACUUUUCAUGGACAUUUACAACAAACUAAGUUAACUAUCACACUCUGACCUAGUGGAUUAGUAACUUGAAUAUCAUAUUUAGUAGAUUCAACAUAUAAUUUCUUUUUCAUUACUAAUGCAGUGCAAAUAUAAGAAUAAGUUGACCCAAGGUCAAUCAACGCAUACACAGUAACAUCAAAGAGAUAAAAUAUACCAGCAAUCGCAUUAGGAGCAGUACCUUCCUUUCUGGCUCGAAUGUCAUAUGUGCGAGCAUUUACUCUAGCCUCUGAUCAAACAACAGUGUCCUUUACUCUUGUACAAGUAGUCCAGUAGUACUAUUUUGGCCCGGACGUCUACCUUUCUGAGAUGUAGACAUUUGCUUCUCAUUUUGUUCUUCAUUUUCUUUUAACUGUUUAGGACAAUUUCAGAGAAAGUGAUCAGUCGACCCACAUUUAUAACAGAAUCCUGACUUAGUUCUAUACUAGCUAAGAUGAAAUUUUCCACAAUGUCUACAACUGGGCUUCGGAGCGUUCCGUACACUUCCCAUACUAUCAACUAGUUUAAUAGGAGCUUUAAAGUCAUGCUGAAUCGAUUUACGUUUGUUCGGAUGUUCAGACACUGAAAUAGCUCGACUAAAGUCUUAUUUAGUUUUCUUUGCUGGUGAUGCGGAAAACGAUUUAGAAGAACUUCUCUUGUGAAACUCUCGAAUCCGUUGAUCUCUUUUUAUUUACGAUUGUACACUUCUUCCAUUUUCUAUGCACGACCGAAUAAAACAAUAAAUUCUUGAAUUUCAUUACCUCCGAUCAUCAUUCGGAUUUCAUCAUUCAGGCCAUCUUCAAAUUGGAUACAGAUCUCUUCUUCAAUGGGCACAAUCUCUCGGGCAUAGUUACUAAGAUAUACAAAUUCUCUCUUGUACUCAACCAUCGAUUUAUUUCCCUGAUGUAACAUAAGAAAUUCUGUCUUUUUCUUGUCUAGAUACUAUUUCUCGACAUACUUCUUUUUAAACUCGUUCUGAAAGAUAUCACAGGAAAUUUUCUCCCUCGGUACCAAAGCUACCAACGUUGUCCACUAACUGUACGAUUCCUCUUUUAGUAAUGCAAUGAGACAUCUAAGAAAAUCAUCAGGAGGGCAAGCCAUUUCUUCGAAAACGCGUAAGAUUUUCUAAAGCCAAUACUCAGCUUUAACCGAAUCAUCUUCUGAUCUACCUCGAAAUUCUUCAGCACCACACUUUCUAAGUUUCUCAAUCGAAAUACUUCAACUAGGCUCAAUCACGAGAGGAGCUAGAGGUGCAACUGGAGGUAUAACAUGAGGUAUAAAAGGGGGUAAAGGUCAUUGACCCAGAGUAUUCAUUUGCAUAAACUCAUUGAACCAUUGGUUCAUAAAUCCAAGGAACAUGUAUUUAUGUUUAUGCUUCAGUGUUGGAUGAAUUGAAACAUUACUACUCGUCCCAUGAUUAAAGGUCGGUAAAUUACUAUUAACCUCAUCAUUGUCGACAUGAUCAGAUCCAUCUGACAUCUUUAUAAUCUAAAAGAAAAACAAAGGUUAGAUCGGAUAAAACACAUCACACUAUCACAAAUUUAUAUGGCAGGUAAUUCUAGGCAUUUCACAUGCUACGUUUAGUCUGAGAACUGACUAAACCGUAGCUCUGAUACUACUAAAUGUAACACCCCUAACUCGUAUCUGUCACCAAAAUAGGGUUAUGGAGCAUUACCAUACAAACAAAAUAGUAAACCAUUCAAUUCAUACAUUAAUGCAAAUAUAAUCUAAUUAUAUUCAAUUUCAUUCGUAAUGUCCCUUAAUCGAACCCUCAAGGCCCUAAAAAUAUUUUAGAAACAAUCCGGGACUAAAUUGAAAACAUUUGGAAAGUUUAAGAAAAAAUUAGAAAAUUUGGAUUGUAGGGGUCACACGGCCGUGUAGCCAGGCUGUGUGCCUCACAUGGUUAAGACACACACUCGUGUCUCAGGCCAUAUAACCUUCAAAAUAGGGACACACGACCGUGUCCCAGCCUGUGUACUCACCUAUGGAACUCUCUGAGCUGCAUUACACGACCAAGCCACACGCUCGUACGCUAGGCCGUGUAACGCUCAGAAUAGCCUUACACGCCCGUGUGCCAGGCCGUGUUCUAGGCUUUGUAACUGUUUGACUUGUGAGCCUUAAACCUAUAGGGGACACACGACUGUGUCGCAUGGUCGUGUGUCACAGACGGCUGAGUCAUACACCGGUGUCUCAGGCUGUGUGGACCUAAAAUGAACCUUAUACCAUAGGUUUACCAUUUCAAACUUACUUGGAUCCUAGUAAACUAUUUACCAACCAAAGCACCUAUUGAAAAUAACAUUAAUCAAGCAAAAAACAUACCAAAUCAAUCUAUUAAGUGUCUAACCAAUGUACCCUUAUUGGUACCAUAAGUAUAUACAAUUUUACAUCAAAAUAAAACCUCAAACACAACUUAUCAAUUCAUAAAAUUAACACGUAACCAAUGUACCAUUCUAUUUUCAUUGAAACAUCUACCUCAUUCACAUUCAUUAUAUAAGUUAGCAAUUCAUACAUAAUAUCUUACUUAGCAUUUUACUAUUUUCAAAACAUUAGUAAUAUCAACACAGAAGCCUAUUACAUGCCAUAUAAACCAAAUCAAACAUUUCAAAAACUAUCGAGUUAAGCUGAAUAGUGUAACUUGAGUGCUGAACUGAUCAUCCAACCUUUCGAGUAUCUACAAGAACAUUAAAUAACAAAAGUAAAAUAAAUGAAGCUUAGUAAGUUUAAUGUAUUUAAAUGAAAAAUGUUACCGAAGUAAUUACAACAAUUCAAACAAUAACUAUUCAACCAUGAAGGUUUCAUGUCAUCCACAAUCUCAACUAAAAAAUCACAUACAUUCAAUUUAAUGCUCAAAUGUAUAGCAAAUCCAUCAAAUUCGUUAAACAAAUUACCUUACUGAGAUUUUCAAUUCGAAGAAUGACUUACGGAUAGAAGCGCAUCGUCAAUCCAACCAUAACACGCCAGAUGCUCAUAUGAGCGAAUCCCUCCAAAACACACCAAAUUCUCACAAGAGCUAGUCCAACUGAAAAACGCCAAUGCUCAUAAGAGCUAGUCCAACCGAAAAAUGCCAAUACUGAUAAGAGCUAGUCCAACUAAAACACGCCAAAUAGAGAGUAUAACAGGAGACUUCGCAACAAAUACUGAACCUCAAUUUACUCGGGAAAUAAAUAUAUACAUCCCUCUAAAACCAUCUCCACUCGAAUCCCCCACAACACACCAUAUCACGAUUAUACUCUAUCCCGCAUUCAAUUCAACCCGAACAUCAAAUUCAAUAACAUAUCUCAAAUAAUCUUUCAUUAUCAUUAAUUGAAUAUAUAUAUAUUGGUAUCAUGUUAUACUAUUCAACAAUUGAUAUAGAUGUUAAAUUUUAAACCGUUCAAACUUACCUUGACUGAAUUGUAGUAGUUGUAUAAGUUUAGGGACUAUUUCGCUAUUUUUCCUUUUCCACGAGUGUCUACGAGAUCUUGAUCUAAAAUGUAAAAUUUCUCAAAUAUCAGCUUACAUUUCACAUUUCAAUCCAUUUUACAACUAAUAACCUUUUAUUUUUCAAAUUUACAUAAAUACCCUAAACUUUUAUAAUUUUUGCAAUUUAGUCCCUUAAAUCGAAACUCAUCAAAAUAACCAUUUUUGUCAAAUCAAAAUUCUAUUCAAAUAUACUAGGCCCUUCAACAAUCCCUAAUUAACAUGAAAUUCACUAUCAAACCCUAAACUUUUGUCAUUUUCACAAUUUAAUCCUAAAAUCAAAAUCUAACAAAAAUCACUUUACAAAAUCAUUGUUCAACAUAAUCAAAGAUUCAAAUACAAGGUAUCACAAGUCAUUUUGAAAGUUUGAUAAAAAAACACAACACUCAAAAAGAAAAAAAAAACCUCACCGUUAUGCACUCAAAAAUAAAAUAAAAUUCUCAAUGAGGUAAGAAUUAAUCUUGUGAGUGUUUUAAAAGUGUUUAUAUCAAUUAAUCAUAAUGUAUUAUAACCAAACUAGCAAAGAAAACCUAGUAGCACUAGGACUCUAAAAUUAGCUAGACACCAAAUAAUUAUGUUACAUGAAGGAAGGAAUGUGUAGCGUGCUUUAACCUACUAACACAAGAAAUAAUAAAGUGUUAGAAUUUGCAAAGGAAUAAAAAAAAGUGAAAACCUAAGGCUAAGAGUCAAUGAAAAUCCCUAAAACCUGGAAACCUGAAAAAUUGUGUAGUAGCUUGACAAAAUUCGUUCGAGGUGUUCUCGAUUUCAAAAAAUCACGAAAAUUGAACUAGAGCCUUACCAAAUAAUGUAGAUUUGAUCUUGAAAGUUUCCACAUGAAAUUCAACCCACAAAACCUUUUUUAAUUUGUUUAUUUUUCAUAUUUUUCUAUUUUUUUCCACUUUUUUCACUUUUUUUUGAGAAAUAUUCUUUAAUAUUGUAAAAGAGUGGUAGGAAUCAGUAUGUAAAAUUUUAUAUUGCUUGAAAAAAAAUUUAACAACUAAAAAAUAUUUUUCCCAAAAACUUUCUGGGUAAAAAGAACUAUUUUGAGGUUGUUUGGUGGAAAUCAGUGUAUAAGAACACAAAAAACACCUAAAAUGCCCAAGAAUAUGAUACAAAAUGAUACAUACUCAAUGUGUGAAUGAGUGCAAAACAUGAUUGUAAGUUUUUCCAAGUCGCAGAUUUGACUCAGAGGUCUAGAAACUUAAAACACAAACAAAUUCAAGUCAAAUAUAAAAUGUCAAAAAAAUUAAAGGAAACAAUUAAAAUAGAUAAUUAGGACAAAAAACAAGUAAAUAAAUCAAAGAUUUGAAUAAUUAAAUAGGAACAAAAUAGAAUAAAGAAGAAAACAAAAUAGAUAGAUGGUGUGUAGAAUUCCUAUAGAGCCUUGGGAACCCAAUGAAUCCACAACCCCCUUCAAGCGGCUUUUAUUUUACUUCCAAGAAAUAAAAUUUGACAAGAAAAAGCUUGAAGAAGAUCCCCACAAUAUGAAAAGAUUGUUAAAAGUCUUCUAAAAGAAAACUCAAGAGAAAUUCUUAAAAAGAAAACUCAAAGAGAAUUUUAUUAACUCAAUGUGAAUAAUAAAUGAAUUCAUUGUUGUACAAUGCAAAGGCCUUUAUAUAGGCUAUCUAAUUAAAUCUAAAUAAAACUCUUAAGUAUACUAAAACUCUAAUUAACCUAAACAAGAAGUAGUUUUAAACUAGACAUUCUUGUUGACAUAAAACUCUUAAAUAACUUAAAAUACUUAAUAAUUAUAAAAAUUCAAAAUAAAACAUAAUAAAAUAAUGGGUCUGAAAGUGGGCCUUGGUACUCAUAUUAGGGGUACUAUUGGCUCACCAUGCAAAAAGACAUAAAAACCUUCCCCCGCACGCCUGUUGAACAUGUACAUACCAUCUCUAGUCCUUAGCCUUUUGCAAAUGGGGUAUUUACAUUGUAAGACCAUUUCCAUAAGCCACAACACAUAAGAGGUAUAUUGUCAUCACCAUAGAAUAUUUUACGAAAUGGAUAGAAGCAAAAGCAUUAGCCACCAUCAAAGAAAAGCAGGUGGAGAACUUUAUCUUGAAAGUUAUCAUACGCAUAUACAAUAUCCUACGCCUGAUCAUUAUUGAUAACAUGAUGUAAUUCCCAAUAAAGUUCAAUGAAUUUUGUGAUAGCCUCCAUAUAGAUUUGGUGCUUAGUUCAGUAAAAAUCCCACAAAUGAAUGAGCAAGCAAAAGCCACUAAUAAGAAGAUCCUUUAGUGCUUGAAGAAGAAGUUAGAAUACACAAAAGGUAGAUGGUUGGAUAUAUUGCCUAGUAUCCUCAAGUCUUUAUGGACCACAUUAGACUCAGGGACAGGAGAAACCCCCUUUCAAUAUUAUGUUUAGCAUCGAAGUUGUAAUACCAGCUGAUAUUGACCUCAACACGUACCAAAUAAUUCACUAUACUGAGCAUGCCAAAGAAAACAAUCUCUAAGAGAAUCUAGAUUUCUUAGAUGAAGUGAUGAAGCACCACUUAGAAUGGAAAUCCAAGCUUCGUAGGUGGUGCAGUACUCUAAUUCCAAAGUCUACGACAAACAAUACUAGGUGGGAGACUUAAUGAUGAGGAAUGUAGAAGCUAGUCAACCAAUUGGUCAAAAAGGAAAAUUCUCAGUUACUUGGGAGGGACCUUACCAUGUAGUAGCAAUAUUGGGAUGUGGAACUUACCAAGCUCUAAAAGGAUUGUGCGUACUCACAUUUGUGAUGUGGUUUAUGGGGCAUUGAGGCCCAGGGAUAGUUUUUGGAGAGAUAAGGGAAUGUGAGCUACGCUCCAUUCACCAGGAUAUGUAUGUUUGGUGUGUUAGAGAGUGUUAACGAUACGUUUCACUUAUGGGAUAUGUACGACUCUAUGAGUCAUUAUUAGUGUGUUGGAGAUCCGUGUAUUCGAUGUAUGGUGAGAGAGUCCACAUUAUGUUUAAUAUCCUCAAGAUUCAAACUAUCAUAAAACGUGAUUGAAAGUGACUAAAUGUGAUUAAAAUGUGCUUUGAUAUAUGCUUAACUAUUUAGGUGAUUAUUGAGAUAUAUGUGUAAUGGAAUUAAUGGAAGAUGCUUAUACAUGUGAAAUAUGAUAUUAGAGUUUAAUAUGUUAUGAAUAUGAGAUAUGUCUGUUUACAAAGUGGUUAUUCUAAGCAUUCACUGAGCUUGUUCAGCUCACCUACUCCAUUUUAAGCUUUGCAGAGUAGGUGCGUUCCCGGUGUGAGCAGUGUGGCCUUCAAGGGAUUGAUCCAAGUCAUUCUUUAGUCACUAUAGUAGGUAUUGCUAGUUAUUUUUUAUAUGGGAGUUUAGGGCAAUGUGGUAGAUUUUAUAUUGGUUUUGCUACGACAUUUUUGGGGUAUUUGCAAGGUAUUUAUGUUUGGAGGUAUGUGGACUUGAAUAUGAUGCUUGGACUGUUAUUUUGGAUAAUUUGAUGUUUAUUUAACUAGGUGAAUGAAACUUGUUAUUUAGGGUUGUGUUUGAAUGUUUUUAUUACUGAUAUAUGCUGAAAUUCGAUAGUCUGAAGCAGAGGUAUUGAUAUGUGGGUUUUAAAAAUGAUACAUGUGUAAAUUCAAAAGUGUAGGGAGUUAGAAUAUAGAAUUGGUAUCGAUACCUUGGCCCGAGUAUCGAUACUCGAGGUAAAAUAAUAAAUACCUUGCGAAUGGUACCGAUAGUUGUUGACGUUUGGAAAUUUUGGUGAGAAACAGAAUGCAAGUUUGGUGUCGAUUUUUCAUGUGGUAUUGAUACCACUUAAAGAAAAUAUCAAUACCACUCUUUUAGCAUCGAUACCUAUCUAAAAUGUUUUGGAAAAUUAAGUGGUCCCAAUGCUCGAUGUAUGUCCAUUUUAUGUUUGUUCGUCAAAUGUUAGCAUGGUUAAACGUUAAUUUGAGUUUGCAUGUCAUAAUAUUCGCAUGAUUGCUAUAGUAACAAAAGAAAAUAAUGAUGUAUGUGUACUAAAUGUGACAAUUAUGAUGAAAUCGAUGUGAGACGGUAGUGUAGUGUCCUAGUAUUUUGGUUCGACGACUAGGCUGGGUAUAAGGAGUUAUAGAUCGAGUCGAGUAUAGGUUGCUACAGUAAUCCUCCCCCAUGUAUCUGGGAAAAAGUUAUUAUUGCUCCUUUAUUCUGAUAAAUAUUUGUGUUAAGCCAGUGAACCAUUCACAAGCAAGACAAUAUUUCUAUGAAAGAGUAUAUUCUAACACUUACUACUUAGUUCAAUUCACAACAAACAUUUAGAGAGAAUAAUUUGAUUGAAUACUUCAACUAAUGACUGCUCUCCUUACAAAACAAUCAAGAGUCAGAGUAUUUGGAAUUUAAAAAGAAACUAUCAAAACAUAUGUUAUAUAGAGUCACUAUUAUGAAUACCAUUCGUAAAACAUGCCAAGAAGAGCAAAGAAGGAAACAGUCAAAUGCAAGGCAUUAAAGAAACGCAUAAAGUAUUAUUCAUAUAAAGAUAUAGUACAACAUACACCAAUUAUCAAUAUCUAAACCCUCACUAGAAUUUACAAGAGGCUUCUUAAUGGGUAGAUCCUUACCAACAUCAGAAGUAUUGGUUUCCCCCUCUGCUGCACCCUGGACUUCUAAGCUCUCCCCUUUGAGAAUGGUUGUUACACAUUGAGCUCUCAUCCUCUCGACAUACUCUUCCCACUUGUGACCAUCAGGAUAAAAAAAUCUAACUCGAGGUCAUCUCUCUCGUAAGUGUUAACCCAUUGAGUGGUUUAAUAUCUAUGUUGUGGAUGUAAAGAUGGCUAGAUGUAAUUGCAUUCACAUUGCUCUGUCUGCAGCUUCUCCCUCAACUGGGCCAAGGCUUUUUAGGCUACAUCUCAUUCCUUUUUAUAAGCAUUUGCUUGGCCUUUCCAAUACUUGAUGUCAUCCCAGGCCUUUUUCUCAACAGCUUUAAGCUUCCCCUUAGCUAUCUUUACCCAAUCCUCGAUGACUUUGAUCCUUAUUUUAGUUGUACUAGAGGAGUCAUGGAAGUCCACUAUAAAGUGCAUAGACAUCUCAAUAGUAACCCUUGUCCCCUUAAAGAGAUUUUUAAAGCCUGCACAAGUAUCACGUUACAUCCAUCAGGAUAUGAUAACAUAACUUGCAAGAAUUGUUCAUCACUCAUCUAAGGGAAGUAUUAUAGAGUCUGUUGUAUAGGAAGGCACCAAUUGUGUACUACCAAUAGGAGGGUUAGUAGAAGUUUUAGCAUAUUUAUCCUUCCCUUCGCCUCCUGUAAUGGGAGUUCUCCAUCCUUCACCUUUGGGAAGGGUCUACACUGAAUUGUCCUUCACCCUCUUCCCAAAGAAAGAUUUCGCAAUAAUAUUCCUCCCUAAACCAAAGGAGGCAUUUUUUGUAGUGUCAUCCCGUCCCCUUUUGGGAGGACGUUUUAUUGAGUUUUUUCCGCUAUUAAGGGUGCUCGCAGUGUUCGAUUAGGUAUCAAGGAGAUGCAUCUCUUUUUCCCAAGUAUAGUAAGCAAAACAUCAGCAGCAAUAGGGUAUUUGCUACUCGUCAUACCUUCCGAACCUACACAAAGAACAGAAGUUAGAAUAGUAUUAGUAUCAACACAAACAAACGCACAAGACAAACACUCACGUUGUUUUCGUUUCUUAGAAUGAAAGGGGAACACAAGUCCCUCAUUGUCAAUAUCUACAUCAACCUAGUGUAUACCCUUAGAGAGGAAUACUUCCAAGUGUUUCGUUUUAGCUAAACUAUAUUACAAUUUGACCCAUGUACUUACGAACACCACCAUUUUAAUCGUAUAUAUAUAUUUGGUAUUAUUUUUACUAUAAAUGAUAACUCUUUUAUAGGCGGUCAAGUUGUUGGUGUUGUUGUCAGGGAGGUUUCAAAAAUAAAUUUUAAAAAUAUUUUUUACAAUUAAUAAGAUAAGUAGGAACAUUAAAGCUUAUAGGUAUGAUUUUUUUUUAUUUUAUUGUUAGUAAAUUUAGAAGAGGAACAUUAUGGAAACUCUGAUGGGUAGAAAUAUUUUUUUAUAUAAAUUGGCUAAAACCUAGUAAUGCUCAUCUAGUAAUGAGUACAAUUCCAUUUAAGAUUAAUCUAUCACAGUUGGAUUCCUUUAAAUCCAGAAACUCGGAACCUUUAGGGGUUAAAUUGAAAGAGGCCAAAAGUUGGCGAUCUCUACUGAAAAAUCAGGAAAAGAUAACAAUUAAAAUUGGACAAGAUUGAGAACCAAGUAUGGUUCGGUUAGAUUAGAACCAUUCGGUUCCUUAGUGGGGAACAAAAUGAUUAAGAAUGGGUGGAUGUAAAACAGUUGAGGAUCAUGCGGGAAAGGCUAUACAUAGUUGGGAAAUGACUUCUCGGGAGACUUCUUCUCUAGUCUAUUUCAUUUUUCUUCUUUAUCUUCAUCCUUAGUAGCUCCUAGAAGAGAUGGCUAUCAGAAAGCUCUACAUGGAGCGAUAACAAUGGAAUUUCAGUAGGAAAUGAGGGGAGUUCAGUGAGCUGGUAAGGCUCUAAGCCAUUCAUGGUACAGAAUAUUUAGAAACAAAGUGAAGAGUUUCUAGAAACCAUUUUUAAGGGUUCCCAAUGUUUCUAGAAAACUAAGUUUAAAUGGAGAUUUUUUAGUUUAACCCAUGAUUUGGUUGUCAUGCUUAGCUGCCAGGAGAAUGGAAGCUCUAGUGUUUGGGAAAGGCGAAUAAGCAUCAGGUGAGUUUAUGUACUUAAACAUGGAACUAUCAAAUUUUAAUGCAUGGUUUCACAAGUUUAUGAGCAUCCACCAUUUUUUAGUAUACAUGGUAAUGGAAAAUAAUGAAACGGGAUCAAUGACGGGUUAGACGAAGUUAGGAAUGGGAAAAGAGAGUAAAUCUAUUUAAUACUGCCAUAUUGUAUUGCUGAAAGCAAAUCGUGAUGUGUGAAAAGGGCACUUCGGUGUUCAAGCAUCAAGGUAUAUGAUGGGGAAAUAUAGGAAUGGAUAAAAUGAAAUAGGAAGAGUAAAGAUCAUGGCUAUGCCAUGGGACUGAUCGGAGGCAAUUCGUCUAAACUGACUAAGACUAUAGUAGAAAGAUGUUAUGGCAUCAGGAUGAAAAUGAGUAAGACCAUGGCUGAAAGAUGUUAUGACAUCAUGGAAAAUAGGAGUAAGAGCAUAGUUGGACUAUGGAAACAUGGAAACCCAGGCUGUCCGUCGGGACAAUAAUAUUGGGGUAAUAAUGUGUAAGACCAUAGCUAAAAGAAGCUAUGGCAUCAUAGAUAAUCCAAUGAGACAUUCAAAUAGGAUAGUGUAACGGGAUGUUAAUCACGGGACAGUUCUUCAAGGCACUAAACACGGGAUAGUCUGUCGGGACAGUAAGCAACGGGACCAGGUGAGUAAAACCAUGGCAAGGUUAUGGUAGCUUGUGGAGACCAUCAAGAUUCUAAACAUGGAAUAGUCCACUGGGACAGUAAACACGAGCGCUUAUCCAAAAUGGUAAUUGUUGGAAAAGUUAAAACAAGGAAAAAGGUUAGAAGAAUGAUUAAAGUAUGUGGCACAAUGGAUAGCGAGUUGAAGGAAUCUGCCAAUAAUUGAAGAAUGUAAAGAAAAUGAGAAGCCACUACUAGAAUGGUAGGUUUGUAAGCCAGCAGGGCAUACAGGUGGUAACCCCACCAGAAAGAGUUAUGGGAAAGGACAUACUAGUAGUGUCUGGUGUGCAAGCAAAUACAGGAUGGCUAACCAUGGAUCAUAGAUAAAGAUCCGCCAUUACUAAUUGUCAAAAGGUGCUUAGAAAAACCCUGUGAGCUAGAGAUUUGAUAUAAGGUAUAUUUGUUAGUUUACGAAAAAAAGGGUUAGAGAGAACCCAUUAAAUGAAUGGUCGACACCAACACACUACCAAACAUGUUCAUGCAAUUUCCAUCGCUAGGAGAAGAAGAAGAUGAUGAGGAUGAGUCAGAGCCUAAUUCCGACUAAUUUUGAAUAAUUUUUAAUUUGGACAUUGUACUUAAGUUUGUUUCUUUGGGAUGAUGGUUAUUGGUUUGUUUUAAUUUUUUUAAGAACUUUGGUAUUAUAUAUAAAAAGAUAUUGCAUUUUUCUUAGCAAGAGCCCAAAUUUUUUGAUGGGCACUACCUAAAAGGAGUAUUCCCACCAAUCGAGCUGCACAAAUCACGCCAAUCAGGUGUAUCCUCUUUCCUUUAUAUUUUUAUUGUGCAUUAAGGGCAAUCUACUGAAUAAAGUGUGGGGUGACUUAGGAAAAUUUUUAAAAUUUUUUGUUAUUUUAUUUUCCUUUAUUUUAAGUAGUUUUUAAAUUUUUAAUUGCAUGUUUUCUAUAUGAUUGAGUUUGUAGAAAUACAAGUGAUUGGUUAUAAGCAUGUUAAUAGGAUUGUGUGAAUAAAUUGUAAAAAUAGUUUGAUAAUAAUUGUUUCUAAAUUUUUAAUUUUAGACUACUGAGUUUAAUUCAUUACAUUUUGAAUAGAUUUAAGAUGUUAAGUAUACCAUGUGAUAAAUAAAUAUAUAAAAAACAUGCAUGUUUAAUUGAAUUAUAAGCUAUAGAAAUUGAUAGACAUGGCGAAUUUAAUCCAUGUAUAGAAUUACCUAUGGACGACCUAAGGCAUUAUUUGGUAGACAACUUUUUAAGCCAAAAAGCUAUCCCGUAAAUAUUUUCCCUAGUACCUAUUUUGAGCCUUAAUCCAUUCUCUUAAUGAAACCGACAUGAAACCUUAAGCCUAUUACACAUUCUAUUUGAUCCCUUAUUUCUUUGUCCUUGCAUGGAUUUAGACGUCCAACCAUCGAUAUUGAGAGAUUAAGUACAUACAUCUCGGUGGUUUAAUAAAAAUAAAAAAAUUGAGUGAACUAAGGAAUUGUAAGGUAUAGUGAGUAUAAGAUUUUGAGCUUAUAGAAAAAUAAGGCAAAAUGCAAAUCGAUAAAAUAUUGAUGAAAAAUAAAAACAAACUAAUUUGGAAAAAAGUACGCUCAUAUUUGUUCAAAAACAAAUUACGAGCUCAAAUGAUUGUACUCAUGAAUAUUAUACGAUGCCUUAGUAUAUGGAGAAAUAAGGCAGGUGAGAGAAGCAGAUAUAAGGUGGUGAGCUUAUGUAUACUUUGGGGAGUUUUGGGAACAAUAUCAUAUGCCAAACUACCUUCGUGGUGAAUCAUUUUGUCGAGCCUCAUCUUUGAAUUCCAAACCAACCUCAGUUGCGGAACGUUAGAAGCCAAAAAGUGCUAUGUGACUUAGGUAGUACCUUACAAGGAUGAAAUUGUGUCGAGUCUUGAUGGUUUUACCACUUAUAGUCAUUUGAACCUACGUGUAUAUUUGUACAUAUAUUUUGAUGAAACCUUAUACUUAAAAUUGUUUUAUUUGUUUGGCUUGUAACUUGUCGAACUAACCCGUCUAACUUUAGAAAUUGUGAGUCAGUUGUAUAGUACUCUAGAAUUACAUAUUUAUUUACCUUGUCCUAUUAAUAUAUUUCUCUCCAAUUUCCUUUAUCAAGUUAGCUUGAGUACAUUUUCUUUCCUUUGUAUAAUUAUUUAUUAUUUUUCAGUAGUUCGCUUUUAGCUUUUAAUUUGUUUUUGUUUACUUCGCUUGAGGACAAGCAAACACUUAAGUAUGGGGAUAUUUGACUUGUCGUCAAAUGUAGUAGUUAAUUCAGGUUAUUUUCGCCCUUAAAGAGUUAUUUUUCUAGGUAAUUUAGUUUUUAAUAUUAUGUUUUCAUUAUUUAGUAUUUAGAAUUAAAUAUCAGUGAAAUAAGUGUUUUUAACAAAUUUUACGAGUGUUGUGACCCAUUAGGCCAACACAGGCCUCGAGUAGUGCUAAUAUGUUCAACUGAGUGUUUAAGAUGAAUGAUUAUAGGUGUAACAACCCAGUUUUAGUGGUGUCAAAAAUAGUGGUUUCAAGACCACGACUCCAACAAGUGAGUUAUUAUUUUAAUAAUUAUUUAAAGUCAAGCAUUUGAUUGUUAUUUUUGAGUGCAUAAUAGUGAGGUUUGCUUAAUUUUUCUUUUCAUGAGUGUUGUGUUCUUUUUAGGCUUUCACAAUGAUUCACAAUAUUAUGAUUGGGAAGUUGAGAAUGGAUCAAGAUGUUCAAAAUGCUCGAGAUUAGUAACGUGACACUAUUCUAUACACAAUCAACAAAAAUUUAAAAUGUCUAAGUACAAAAAUUGAGCGUCAGAAUCGUAAUUGGGGAGAUAAGAUUGAUCAGCCUUGUCUUCGUGCAAAUAAUGCUUGACGUGUCUCUCGUAAAAAUGAUAAGACUUUGGUUAAUAAUGAUUUUAGGCAACAUGUUUUAGCUAAACCAAAGUUCAACAUUCCACCAUUUUAAGGGAAGUAUGAUCCCAAAGCAUAUUGUGAGUGGGAAUCAAAAAUUGAACUUAUGUUUCAUUACUAUAAAUGUCGGGAAGAGGAAAAAUUCCAAUUGGAAUUGAUUGUCAAAUGAACUACGAAAGGGUAAUUGAAACAUAGGAUGAGUUGAAGCAAGUGAUGUGAAGCGUUAUGUUCCUUCUCGUCACUAUAGAAAGGUCUCAAUAAGACUUCAACACCUUGUUCAAGGUAAUCGAUUUGUUGAUGAGUACUUUAAAGAGAUGGAGAUGCUUAUGCAAAGAGAAAAUAUAUGGAAGGAUGAAUAAACUACCAUGGUGCGAUUUGUAGAUGGCUUGAACAUUUCGAUAGCCAAUGCUCUUAAUCUUCAAACCUAUAUUGAUCUUGAGGAGAUGGUACACAAGGUAAUUGAGACUAAGCAACAAUUUCAGCAACAUAAAUCUCGUCCACUUGGCGCAUCACACUAUUAUCGAGGUACAAGUUCUAAUUCUACUUUCAAGAAUUCAAAACCUUCUUAUGCUAUUAAUAAGUUGCUGCCAAAACAUGCUAUGACUAAACCUUUUGAGUGGAAAAGUAAGGCUCUUACAGAACAUUCUUCUACAUCUUUCAAGCAACUCAUUUCUACUAAUUUUUCACUAAAACAACAAAGAGCUUGAGACAAUGAAUGUUAUACGUGUAAAGGGAGUGGACACUAUAGUCGUGAUUGUGCCAACACGAGACUUUUGUUGAUCAAAGAAGAUGACGAACUUUGUGAAUCAGAAAAAAAUGAUAAUGAGAAUUCUUUCCUUGAAUCUAUAGAGUUAGAUGAAAUAGAAAUGUCAUGCUCUCCUACUGAGAUAUAUUGUAUUGAAUUGAAUAUUCAUAAUACUUGUGAGAGGGAUAUGGGAAGUGAGAAAGAAUCAUGUGAAAAGACAGAGAGAAAAGAGACCUUAAGUGAUAAAAGUCUACUUGAUGGUCCAAAUUUGGUGAGUGAAAAUCCAUAUGAGUUACAAUUGGAGAGUUCUCAAGUGGAAAGAGAAAAUAAAAAGUAAGAAAAUACCCAUUCAAAAGUAAGGAGUGAUUAUGUUUUAACUAACCCUAACUGUAAUGCCACAAAAUUUUUAAUUUCAUUAUUGUGAAAAUAUGACACAUAUUUGUCAGCUUUAGUGGUUAUGUGUUCUUGGAGUGUUUGGGAGGUCCCAAGUUCAAGCCUUCGUUUGGGAAAAUUUUGGUAUUUUGAAUGAAUUAGGCCUUACUCUUGUUAAGUAAGCUUUUAUUUGAUUGUUAGGUAAAUUACAUCAGAAUGGGCAUGCUGGUCUGGUGGUUAAAUGGUGUGUUAUUAUGGUAGAGGUCUUGUGUUCGAAUUCCUAUGCAGGCAAGGGUAUUAUUUUUUUGCUCUGAUAUCGGCAUAAGUUGUGUAAUAGGGGGAUUUUGAGUAGUGGAUGUGUAGUGGGAAUUAGGGGAGAAGAUUAAGGGAUUUUGGGGGUUAUCGGGAUUUUAUUUUAUUUUUUUCCUAUAAUCGAAUUUUGACUCUCUUUUCCAAAAAAAUUAUGCCAUCUAUUCUUCUCCCUCACCUCUUGCCGAAAUUCUCUAAUUUUUUCCAUCUUUCUCUUCUUUUUUUUCUUCUUGAUUUUUCCUUCAUCCAUUUAUUUUCCUUCGUUUUCGCACGCGGUUGGUGCUCGCUUAGUUUCAAUAAGUGUUUCUCUUCGUUUCUGUCAUGAAUCUCUUAGCGACUAAAGUGGUAAUGUUUUUUCGGUAAGUGUUUCCCUUCGUUUCUGUCAUGAAUCUCUUAGUGACUAAAGUGGUAAUGUUUUUUCUCUGUGAUUUGGGCGUAGGAGGAGGCUCAGACUGGUGAAUUCAGUGUUCUCAUCUUAACAAUAGUUAAACUGAGGAUUAUCGUUGGUGGUAAGUUGGGUUUUUGUUCGUUCUUGGUUGUCAAUUCGUUUGUAAAUCCGUAAAAUUGAUGUUGAGUAUCUUGAUUAUAGGCUUUGGAGUGCUCGGGAAUUGUUUUAGCAUCAAAUAAAACCAGGUGUGUACCCAAAAUGACAAAAAAAGGGAUUCAACAAAAAGCUGAAAUUGCUUGCUGUUUGGACAACAGUAGUAGGCUAAUUUUGAAAAAUUGCCAUAAAUUGAGGAAAUCGUAUUAAUGAUGAAAAAAAUAUGGAAUUAAAGUUUAUUGAGUCUAGUUUCUCAUAGAAGAAACGGUGUAAAUAAUGAGUUCGGGUUUCCCUGUUCUGACUUUAGAAAAUCAUCAAAAAUUAGAGAAAAAUAAUUAGGGGUUAAAAUUUACAAGUUUAAAUUAUUAAUGAGUCUAUUUCCAGUAGAAACAAAUGGGUACUUCAUCCAAAUUUUUUACUAAGAGAUAAUUAUUUUUUAGCAAAGAAGGGUCGAAGCUGUCAGACAACAGAACAAGGGUAAGUUUUAAGAUUUUACUGUAUUUAUUGGCUAAACAAAAAAUUCUACAAAUUUUAUGGUAGAAAGGUAUUUGAGUCUAGUUUCAAAAACGUCAAGCGAAUUUUAAUUCGGAAUUCUGUAGCUCAAGAUGUAAAUAAUUUAGUAACAGUGACGCAAGUAGACAGCUUUGAAGGAACACAUAAAUAAAUAGUGAAAACAUAUAUGAAUAUUUAGCUAGCACGGGUUACAUUAAAAAUGGAUCACGUGGCCAAGGCCAAUUUGGCCCAAGUGGGCAACAUGGGCAUGUGAGCCUAUUUUUCUGAAAAUUUUUGUAAGGUUGCACUAGUCGCCCAAGUCGACUGUAGACCAACUGUAGGGUCGGUUGGUGAUAUCUAAAUGUAUGUACUAUGAAUUGCAUAAUGGCAUGACAUAUUUUGUAUGUUGCAUUGCAUCGGAGUGGGUUGAUGAUAUUUGGAGGAAGUGUCUGAAAGGCUAUUCAGCCUAUUAUCUGGCAGCUUAGCUGCAACCUUCUGAUUAUGUGCCACAUUUCAGUACAGCAUGGUGUGUAGGGAUAGGUGGGUUGAUUUAAUCCCCACAUGGUGUGUAGGGUUGGACAGAGAUGGUGUGUAGAGGCUGGUGGGUAGGAUUCUGAUUUACUGUAUUUGCAUUCUGUAUCUAAUAUAGGCCAAGGCCUUAAUGUAUUUCUAAGACUGUAUCUGAACAGGCUAAGGCCCAAACUAAUUCUGUGAUGGGCACAGGCCCAGACUGUAUCUAACUGAAUUAUGUUGAUUAUCUGUAUGCAUGUUUUCUGUGCGGAUUACACACCGAGUUUGUAAAAACUUACCCUUUCUCUAUUUAAUCUGUUCAGGUAAUCCCCAUACUUGACGGGUCAGUGUAGCGGAGGACUCGACCGUGGCCACACGUAAAUUUUAGACUGUUUUCUGUUAAUGUCUAGAAUUUAUUACUUAUUUGGGGUUUUUUAUGUAACUUUUGGACUAUGGACUGGUUGGCUUUAAGUUUGGGACUUUAUACUAUUUUUAUGAAUUUUUUAAACUGCAACUACACAAUUUUUCAAAAACUAAGGUUUUCGUAAAUAAAAGCGAUUUUCCCUAAAUUAAUUGGUUACAAAAGCUUCCGCUAAGAGACAAGUUUUAAAGCAAAUCAACUAGUACUUAUUUUUUUCUGAAUUAAAUAAAAGUUAACUAACUGUAACGGUUUUAACUCGACAAUCUUGUCUUCAAAUCCCAUUUCAUGUGACAUCGCCAGAUUCAGCCUUAACAUCUAGGCUGGGUUUGGGGUGCUACAUUUAGUGGUAUCAGAGCAAGGUUGCAAAACUAGACUGUGGAUUUGGGUUUUAAAAAUUGGUUUUAAAGAAAUGAUUUUUAAAUGGUUUGAAAUAUUUUUGACUGAGUAUGUGGUACACCGAGUCUCCGGCGUCAAUUCUGUAAGUGUUCUAAAAACUAUGAUAAGUUUUUAAAAAUAUGAGUAGCGUAUUCUGAAACUAUUAUAGGUAGUAUAUUGUACUGAGAACAUUGUAGAUAGUGUAUAGUGAAAAAAGUAGCAAAAUUGAAAACUGUAGUAAGACUGCGAUUCGUGAUAACAAACUCUAAACUUCUAAUACUAUUUUGCAUAAAAUAUUUACUAAUAGAUAUCAAAACUGUAACUAAUUCAUAAAACUAUUAACACAGACAAGUUACGAAUUCUAAGAUGAGCGCACGAGGUAUUCGCGAACAGGAUACUAGAGGCCGAGGUAGAGGCUGUAGAGGGGCUCGAGCUGAGUCCUUGUCGUUAGGUAGCAUGCCAAAUCUAGAUAUGUGCGAGACGCCGGUUUCACCUGCUACAGAGGCUGGGUCUCAUGAUCAUAUGGCCAGGGACAACACCUUGUCCUAGGCUAUGCUGAGGAUAUUAGAGAGGGUCACUCGGCCCAACACUAGAUCUGAGAGUCGAAGGUGAGUUACAGGACGACUCCGAUCUAAUAGGGCUGAACUAUUCAGGGGUGUCACUAGAGUCGCCCCUAGCCUGGUCGAGUACUGGAUGGAGGCCACGGAAAGAAUCGUGGACGAUCUAGACUUUACCCUUGAACAGAAAUUGAAAUGGGCUAUUUCCUUGCUUCGCGAUGAAGCAUGCCAAUGGUGGCUGACUGUUAAGGAGGGCACUCAGCCCGAAUGAUUGACAUAAGAUUUCUAUAAGUCUGCUUUCUAAGGUAAAUAUGUAGGGGCAAGCUACAUCGAUGCUAGAAGACGUGAGUUUCUGAAUCUCACACAAGGGGAUCGUUCAGUGGCCGAGUAUGAGGUCGAGUUUCUGAGAUUGAGCCGCUAUGAGUGAGGCAUGGUGGCGACUGGAUAUAAGCACUGUGUCCACUUCGAGGAUGGACUCAGGGAUAGUUUGAGAGUUCUGAUAGCUCCGUAGAGGGAGCAUAACUUUUUAGCAUUGGUAGAGAACGCGAAGAUCACCGAGGAGGUGAAGCACACUGAGCGGCAAAACUGGGAUAAGGAGAGAGGCAAGAAUAAGAGGGAUUCGGAGCCCUCGAUUUCUGGGAUGAGGCCUAAGAAAAAUGACAGAUCUGGUGGGAUAGUUAGAGUUAGGGCCCCUGUUGCAUCUACUGGAAUCACGCUUUGCGGACAUUGUGGAAGGCGCCAUCUGGGUGAAUGUUGGAGGACGACUGGGGCUUGUUUAGGAUGUGGGUCUACUGAGCACUGUGUUGGGGAGUGUCCGCUGAGGACCAAUCAGGUGCAAGUUACGGGUUCUGGUACUGCACAGCCAUCGAGGGUAGUUCAGCAACCGCCUAGGGGCCGUGAUCAGGCUAGGAGUGAUAAUGGUAUGGGUUAUGGGCAGAGAGCACCAGGCAGAGGUACUGGACAGGCUGAAGCGAGAUAAUCGGCCCUAGUUUAUGCUACUCGUCGCCAAGAGGAUAGAGAUGCUCCGUACGUCAUCACGGGUACGUUUCUUAUUUUUGUUGUGCCUUACACUGCAUUGAUAGAUAUAGGAUCUACGCAUUCCUAUAUUGUCUGUUCUAUUUUCAAAAACCUAGAGAUUCUGGUUGAGAGUACUUUUAGUGAGGUGACUGUGCUGAGCCUGCUGGGGCAAUUUGUUACAUUUACCAAACUGUACAGAGAUGUUCCCUUAGAGGUUCAAGGGGCAGUAUUUCAGGCUGAUUUGAUGGAGCUUCCAUUUUGGGAGUUUGAUAUGAUAUUGGGGAUGGACUGGUUGGUCAAGAAUCAUUUCAGUUUGGAUUGUGCGACUAAGAGGGUCGUAUUGAUAACUGAAGGGGGUAAUAUAGUUGUGAUUGGGGAACGCCGGAAUUACUUAGCUAACAUGAACUCUACACUGGUAGCUGAGAAACUGGUUCGCAAGGGAUGUGAUGCGUAUUUGGCCUACGUAAGUGUUUUCGCUGCUUGGGACUCUACUAUUAAGGACUUCAUAACUGUGAGGGAUUUUUUAGACGUCUUUCCUGAGGAGCUACCAGUUUACCUCCAAAUCGAAAGUGGAGUUCUGGAUUGAGCUUUACCCUGGUACAGCUCCGAUGUCUAUCGGUCCCUAUCGAAUGGUACCGAAGGAGCUUACUGAUCUCAAGGCUCAAAUUCAAGAGUUAUUGGAUCAUGGGUUCAUCCGCCCUAGUGUGUUCCCAUGGGGAGCACCGAUACUGUUUGUUAAGAAAAAAAAUGGAUCCAUGAGGAUAUGUAUCGACUACCAACAACUAAAUAAGUUGACUAUUAAGAACAAGUAUUCACUUCCAAGGAUUGAUGAUUUGUUUGACCAGUUCCGAGGGGUGUCUGUUUUUUCCGAAAUUGACUUGUGUUCUGGGUAUCAUCAGUUGAGGGUUAAGGAGGCUGAUGUGCAUAAGAUGACAUUUAAGACUCGUUAUGGUUACUACGAGUUCCUAGUGAUGCCAUUUACAUUGACUAAUAUACCGACAACUUUCAUGGAUCUGAUGAACCGAGUGUUUCAGCCCUAUCUAGAUCAGUUUGUAGUGGUGUUCAUUAAUGACAUAUUGGUUUAUUCGAGGACUGAGGAUGAGCAUGACGAGCACCUUAGGAUUGUUCUUCAUAUUUUGAGGGAAAAACAGCUCUAUGCUAAGUUCAGUAAGUGCGAGUUCUGGUUACAUGAAAUAACAUUUCUAGGUCAUGUGGUGUCUGCUGAGGGAAUUCGCCUAAGAAUGUGUCUGAGAUCUGCAGUUAUUUGGGGUUGGCAGAUUAUUAUCGACGGUUUGUGGAAGGAUUUUCACUGAUCGCAGCACCCUUAACUAAGCUGUUAUGUAAAGGUGUACCAUUUGACUGGACUAAUGCGCAGCAAGAGAGCUUUCAGAAGCUUAAGACUGUACUGACUAAGGCUCCUGUUUUGGUACAGCCUGAACCUGGAAAGGAGUUCACUAUUUAUAGUGAUGCAUCACAUGUCAGUUUGGGAUGUGUAUUGAUGCAAGAUGGUAAAGUGGUUGCAUAUGCGUCUCGUCAACUUAAGACACACGAGGCAAACUAUCCGACGCACAAUUUGGAGUUGGCCGCCGUAGUCUUUGCAUUGAAAAUCUGGAGGCAUUAUCUAUACGGUGAGAAAUGUAUUAUUUACACUGAUCAUAAAAUCCUCAAGUAUCUCCUCACUCAGAAUGAGUUAAAUCUUAGGCAGCAUAGAUGGGUUGAGCUACUUAAGGAUUAUGAUUGUACCAUUGAGUACCAUCCUGGCAAGGCCAAUGUGGUGGCCAAUGCAUUGAGCCGUAGGGCUAUGACCGAUCUGAGAGUGAUGUUCGCUCGACUUAGCCUAUUCGACGAUGGAAGUCUAUUGGCAAAACUUCAGGUCAAACCGACAUGGAUUGAAUAGAUUCGAGGUAAACAGUUGGGGGAUAAGUCUCUCAGGUUGUGUUUUCGUCAGGUUGAGAAUGGUGGCACUACUGAUUUUAGGAUAAACAGUGAAGCAGUACUUUGUUUUUGUUGUCAGAUUUGUAUAUCGAAUGAUGAUGAUUUAAGGCAAUCGAUUCUGAGAGAGGCGCAUGGUAGUCCCUAUACUAUGUAUCCCGGUUGGAACAAGAUGUACCGAGAUCUUUGGGAAUUGUACUAGUGGCCAGGGUUGACGCAUGAGGUUACAGACUUUGUUGGUCGCUGUUUGACUUGUAAGCAGGUUAAGCCUGAGCAUCAGUUACCUUCGAGUUUGCUGCAGCCGGUUAAGAUACCGUUAUGGGAGCGAGUAACGAUGGACUUCGUUAGUGGGUUGCCUCUAACACCCACUAAGAAGGAUUCUGUCUGGGUACUCGUGGAUCAAUUGACAAAGUCUACUCACUUCAUCCCAGUAAGGACAGACUUUUCUCUUCAAAAAUUAGCUAAGCUCUACAUAUCGAAAAUAGUGAGACUACAUGGGGUACCUGUCUUGAUCAUUUUCGAUAGGGAUCCUCGUUUCACGUCUCGGUUCUAGAAUAAGCUUCAUGAGGCUCUGGGUUUAAUAUUAGACUUCAGUACUGCUUUCCAUCCUCAGACAGAUGGUCAGUUGGAUAGGGUGUAGAGGACAUGUUGAGGAGCUAUGUUAUUGAUUUUCGAGGCAGUUGGGAUGAGUACUUGCCGUUAGCGGAGUUUUCCUACAAUAAUAGCUUCUAGUCUAGCAUCCGGAUGGCACCUUACGAGGCACUGUAUGGUCGUAAGUGUCGCACUCCUUUAUGUUGGACAGAGUUGGGCAAGUGACGUGUUCUAGGUCCUGAGUUGGUCUCUGAGACAGAGGAUAAGGUUAGAUUGAUUCGAGAUCAUUUGAAAGCAGCUUCUGACAGGCAGAAAUCUUAUAUGGAUUUGAAGAGGCGUGAGAUCAGGUAUUCUGUGGGGACUUAGUUUUUCUUAGGGACUCGCCAUGGAAAAAGGUUCUAAGGUUCGGUCGCAAGGGCAAGCUGAGCCCUCGUUUUGUUGGACCUUACCGCAUUCUGAAAUGUGUGGGACCUGUUGCUUAUCAGUUGGAGUUACCUCCGAAGUUGGACCGUAUUCAUAAUUUUUUUCACGUCUCGAUGUUGAGGCACUAUCGCUCUAAUCCCAUGCAUGUUGUUUUUAUUGAGGAGAUUGAGGUUAGGCCAGCCUUGACCUUUGAGGAGGAGCCAGUUCAGAUUCUGGAGCGUGAUGUAAAGGUCCUUCUAAAAAAGUCUAUUCCCUAGUGAAAGUUCUGUAGCGUAAUCAUAGCAUUGAGGAGGCCAUGUGGGAGCCUAAAGAUACGAUGCGUCAGCAAUAUCCUUAUCUGUUCUGAUCAGGUAGAAUUUCGAGGACAAAAUUUUCUUUUAAGGGGUAGAGUUGUAAUGCCCCAAAAAUUCUCAUUUCGUUAUUGUGAAAAUAUGACACAAAUAUUUGUCAGCUUUAGUGGUUAUAUGUUCUAGGAGCGUUUGGGAGGUCCCAAGUUCAAGUCUUCGCUUGGAAAAAUUUUGGUAUUUGGAAUGAAUUAGGCCUUAAUCUUGUUCAGUAGGCUUUUAUUUGAUUGUUGGGUAAAUUACAUCAGAAUGAGUCUGCCAGUCUGGUGGUUAAAUGGUGUGUUAUUAUGGUGGAGGUCUUGUGUUCGAAUCCCUAUGCAGGAAAUGGUAUUAUUUUUUUGCUCAGAUUUCGGGAUAAAGUUGUGGAUGUGUAGUGGGAAUUAGGGGAGAAGAUUAAGGGAUUUUGGGGGUUAUCGUGAUUUUAUUUUAUUUUUUCCCAUAACUGAAUUUUUGACGCUCGUUUCCAAAAAAAUUUUGCCGUCUAUUCUUCUCCCUCUCCUCUUGCCAAAAUUCUCUGAGUUUUUCCAUCUUUCUCUUCUUUUUCUUCUUCUUGAUUUUUCCCUAAUCUAUUUAUUUUCCAUCAUUUUCGCACGCGGUUAGUGCUCACUUAGUUUCAGUAAUUGUUUCUCACCGUUUCUAUCAUGAAUCUCUUAGUAACUAAAGUGGUAAUGUUUCUUCGCUGCGAUUUGGUCGUAAGACGAGGCUCGGACUGGUGAAUUCAGUGUUCUCAUCUUAAUAAUAGUUAAACGGAGGGUUAUCGUUGGAGGUAAGUUGGGUUUCUGUUCGUUCUUGGUUGUUAAUUCACUUGUAAAUCUGUUAAAUUGAUGUUGAGUGUCUUGAUUAUAGGCUUUGGAGUGCCCGGGGACUGUUUUCUCAUCAAACAAAACUAGGUGUGUACCUGAAAUGCAAACAAAGGGAUUCGGCGAAAAGCCGAAAUUGCUUGCUAUUUGGACAGCAGUAGGCUAAUUUUGAAAAAUCGCCAUAAAUUUUGAAAAUUGAAUUAGAGGAUGAAAAAAUAUGGAAUUAAAGGUUAUUGAGUCUAGUGUCUCAUAGAAGAAAUGGUGUAAGUAAUGAAAUUGUAAAUCGUGAGAUAUAAUAAUGUUUGUGAGACAAGGUUAGAAUGAAUUCGAGUUCCCCUGUUCGGACUUUGGAAAAUAAUCAAAAAUUGGAGAAAAAUAAUUAUAGGUUAAAAUUUACAUGUUUAUAUUAUUAAUGAGUCUAUUUUCAAUAGAAACAAAUGGGUACUUUAUCCAAAUUUUGUACUAAGAGAUCAUUAUUUUUUAGCAAAGAAGGGUCGAAGCUGUCAGACAGCAGAGUAGAGGUAAGUUUGAAGAUUUUACUAUACUUAUUGGGUGAACCAAAAAUUCUAUAAAUUUUAUGGUAGAAAGGUAUUUGAGUGUAUUUUCAAAGACAUCAAGUGGAUUUUAAUUUGGAAUUUUGUAGCUCAAGAUAUAAAUAAUUUAGUAACAGUGUCUCAAGUAGACAGCUUUGGAGGAACACAUAAGUAAAUAGUGAAACAUAUAUGAAUAUUUAGCUAGCACAGGGUACAUUAAAAAUGGAUCACGUGGCCAAGGCCAAUUUGGGUCGAUUGGGUUACAUGGUCGAGUGGGCCACAUGGGCGUGUGAGCCUAUUCCUCUAAAAAGUUCUGUAAGGUUGCAGGGGUCGCCCAAGUCGAUGGUGGACCUAUUGUAGGGUCGGUAAGCUUUACUUAGACCCCUAAAUGUGUGAUCUGUUUGACCGAUUUCUAUACCGAGCAUGACUUAUGAUAUCUGAAUGUAUGUACUGUUAAUUGCAUAAUGGCAUGACAUAUUUUGUAUGUUGCAUUUCAUCGGGGUGGGUUGAUGAUAUUUGGAGGAAGUGUCUGAAAGGCUAUUAAGCCUAUUAUUUGGUAGCUCAGCUGCAACCUUCUGAUUAUGUGCCGCAUUUCGGUACAGCAUGGUGUGUAGGGAUGGGUGGGUUGAUUUAAUCCCAACAUGGUGUGUAGGGUUGGACGGAGAUGGUGUGUAGAGGCUGGUGACUAGGAUUCUGAUUUACUGUAUCUGCAUUCUAUAUAUGAUAUGGGCCAAGCCCUAAUAUAUUUCGGAGACUGUGUCUAAAUGGGCGAAGGCCCAAACUAAUUUUGUGAUGGGCACAGGGCUCAAACUGUAUCUAAAUAAAUUUUGUUGAUUAUCUGUAUGCAUAUUUUUUGUGGGGAUUACACACUGAGUUUGCGAAAACUCACCCUUUCUCUGUUUAAUCUGUACACGUAAUCCCCACACUUGACGGGUCGGUGCAGCGGAGGACUCGACGGUGGCCACACGUAAAUUUCAAAUUGUUUUCCGUUAAUGUCUAGAAUGUAUUACUUAUUUGCGGUUUUUUAUGUAACUUUUCGACUAUGGACUGGUUGGCUUUAAAUUUGGGACUUUAUACUGUUUUUAUGGAUUUUUUUAAACUGUAACUCAACAAAACACGGUUUUUCUAAAAACUAAGGUUUUCAUAAAUAGAAACAAUUUUCCCUAAAUUAAUUGGUUACAAAAGCUUCCUCUAAGAGACAAGUUUUAAAGCAAAUCAACUAGCACUUAUUUUUUCCGAAUUAAAUAAAAGUUAACUAGCUGUAACGAUUUUAACUUGACAAUCUUGUCUUCAAAUCCCAUUCCAUUCCGCAUCGCCAGAUUCGGCCAUAAUGUCUAGCUCGAGUAUGGGGUGCUACACUAACCCAAAUUUGUUUAAUGGUGUUUCUUCAUUACAGGACUUCAUGGAUCCAUUGACGGACUUUCAAUUAUAUUACUCUACCAUCGAUAGACGAUUUUACUUGUGGGAAAAAGGUAAGUUGAAUAUUGAUAAUUCCCCACAAGUGCUACAAGAUAAAGAAUGUAAGGAAACAACAUAAAUUAAUUUAAGAAGGCAUACCUUGAAUGUUUUUGAUAAGUAUGCUACGGAUUUUGUUUGUCAAAUAUUUUCUUACAACAUGUUUUCUCAUUUGUCAAAUUUCAUUAAACCAUGUUCUGAAAGUUCAACUGAUUUUAUGGGUUUAUCUACCUUUGUAAAGGUUAAAAAUAGUAAUUUUGUUGCAUCAAAUAGGUUUUUAAAAGCAUUUUAUAUAUCUCCUCUUACAACAAAAUUUUCUAUCUUGACCAUUAACGAUGAAUUUUUACAUAAUAAUAUUAAUAUUUUUAUUUUUAUAAUUAUGUGAAAUUCUUGACUUAUCGUUCGAAAAUUCUUAUGGAUGACCGUGCAUAUUCAAAAAAAGUUACAAGUUAUUUUUUACUUGAACACUCAUGUUCAUUAUAUUUCUUUGUUUAGUGUUGAGGGUUUGUUUUUGAAUAAGAGAUACUUGAUCCAUGCUGAUUUGGGAGAUCAAAAUCAUAUAUUUGAUCCUAAAAAUAAUUUUGGCGCACAAGAAGGCUUAGGUAAGUAUUUGUUUCAUUUGAUUGUUAUUUAUUCUAAUCCCUUUUAAUUUUGUGUAGCUAAAGAUUCGGGGACAAAUCUUCUUAAGGAAGGGGGGAAUGAAGCGAGUCUCAAUGCCCAAUGUUAGACCCAUGAAUGUGAUGGGAUCACACUACCUCAAGGCUCAACAACAAUGUCAAAGGCUAAGCAAAUCAAAUCAGCUUUUGAUCAAAUACAAGUUCGAGGAUGAAUCUUUUUGAGGAAACGGGGAAAGAUACAUGCACGGAUCGAGUGAAAUUUAUUAAAUUUCAUUCACUGAAGCUGUCAAUUUUCAAGCUUGGGAAAUUAGUAGACUUGUGAUGACUUUUUCAAUGGGAUCUUGACAUUUAUGGGUUGAGAUGUCUCAUGGCGUUUGAAGAUGUAUCUCUUAGCCUUGAAAUGCAUUUUAAGUCACUCGAUUUUGAGUCUAGGAGCUCAAGUUAUGACCGUUUUAGUGAAGACUAUACGAGCAGAAUUUUUGAACGGGAUUAUGACAGGAAUUACAAGUUUCGGGCUUUUAAUUCGAGUUUAAAUCAUAUUGGGUUCGGGUUUUAGGCUUAAUUUUUAUUACAUAUGAGCCCAAUAUUGUAUUUAUCAUUACUUAUUAUUUUAUUUCAAUUGUUUUAUAAUUAUUAAUUAUUUUAAGUUAUUUAGGAGUUUUAUGUUAACAAGAAAGUUUAGUUUAAAACUACUUCUUAUUUAGAUUAAAUUAGAGUUCUAGUAUACUUAAGAGUUUUAUUUAGAUUUAUUUAGCUAGCCUAUAUAUAGGUAUUUGCAUUGCACACAAUUCAUUCAAUUCAUUAUUAUUCAACUUCUCUUUUAAGUUUAUAAUUUAUCUUUAAGUUUUCUUUUUUUAAGAAUUUCUCUUGAGUUUCUUUUAGAAGAGUUUUAACAAUCUUUUUAGAUUGUGGGGGUCAUAUUCAAACUUUUUCUUGCCAAGGUUUCUAUCUUGAAAGGGAAAUUAGAGCCACUUGAGUGGGGUUGUGGAUUCUUCAUGUUUCUGAGGCUUCUUAGGACUUCUACACGCCACGUUCUAUCUUUUCAUAUCUUCUUUAUUUUCUUCCUUAUUGUUUUAAUCAUAGAUUUAUUAUUCUAUUUUAAUUAUCUUAGUUAUUUAGUUUAAUUAUUUUAUCUAACUUGGAUUUAAUUGCCUUCCAAGUUUCUUUCCGAACAUCUAGAGCCCUAAGUCAAAUCUGUGACUUUGACAAACUUUACAAUCCGCUUCUGCAUUCAUCCGUCUCAUUCUUUAUCAUUUGGUAUUAGAUUUUGGCGUUUUAGGUUUUCUUUUUUUCUUUUAUAAACUGAUUUCUAGCAAACAACCUCAAUACAAUUUUUUUACAUCGACUAGCUACCCAAGUGUUGAGCUAUAAGAAUCCGGUAAGUCUAUGGCAAAUUGAUGAGGUAACAAAUGGGACCAUACCUCUAGCAGGUAUAACGACAGGUAGAAUCUUGACCUUCCUCCACCAUAAUACUUGGGAUGCCUCAUGAGGAGGCCCCUGCACCACAGCAUCCUCUGCAUUUCCUUUUCCGUUGUAGUGCACCUACAUUCACCAAUUGCAUCGAUUCAUCUACAUCCCUUAGGUGUUCAAGGAUUUGCUCUUUAUUACUCCUAGUCAUUGUUGUUCUCCUGGAUUAGUCGUUCUCGCUCUAUUGUUAAUGGUAGAGUACCUACCUUCAUCAUUUUGUGACGUAGACCUACCAGUUUAUCCUCCUUUCUUGACAAGUUUAACAAUUUUUUCGAUGACAUCGCAAAAACAAUGAUGAAAUAAAGCAAAUCUUAAACUGCAUUUACUAAGAAGAAGUUCUAAGUAGCAGAAAAAUAAGAACUUUAAAAUGACAAUGUGGUUUCAAGGAAGAUAAAGUUCUUGAUUUAUAGAUUUUUCAAUGCUCCUUCUUAAAUGCACAAUUUUGGGAACCAAUAGCAUCUUGCCACCUAUAUAGUUUCAAAUACUCUUCAUCAUGGUUGUUUUUUCAUAAAAAUACUUUGCAUUUAUGAUAGUUAUUGUCAGACCCCAAGUUUAGCGGAUCCAAGGUUAAGGUGUAUAGUAAUGAAAUAAUUUGUUUGGCGAAGUGUAAUUCUCCCAAUUGCUUAUUUUGGAAAAUAUGUGCAGGUGUAUACUAAACAUCGUGUAAAUAAGUGAAAAAUCCAUUUGAGAUUAUUCUAUUAUUUAAAAAUAAAAAAAUUUUAAGCAACAUGGUAAUUAUGGUAUGAAUUAUAACCGAAUGCAAAGUACGCCUUGCAUGCCUUAGUACUGUGUUGCUUGGGUUAUAAAGUGACCUGGUUAAGAACCAACUAGAUUGACUGGUCUAACCUCUAUAAUGAAGGAUUUUCAUUAAUGUUUCUCUCGGAAUCUGUAGGUCAUUAAGAAAGACAAAUUCUGAAUUAAGUCACACUUGUUGAGUUCCACUAAGCGAGGUUGGGUUAUAUAUGUGUGAGAAGGGUUCUGAAAUAAGAUUCUACUUUCUCAAAAAUGUUACUCUUUGAUUUUUUUCUUAAAUCCAAUUGUAUGUCUUCCUCAUUAAGCUAGAAGCAAAGGUUCUUAGUUUAACCAGUGGUCAUUCCAUCUCCAGGUAAGUAUUACAGAUGUGCAUGCUAGGUUCUGAAAGUGUAAGUCUGUAAAAGGUAUAUGAAUAGUAAGUUGUAAGUACAAGGCUUUGCGUGGGGGUUAUUAGUUAUUGAGAUGAUAGUAAUUUGUAUGUGAAUGAGUUUUUAUGGUGAUCAUAUGUUCUUUAAGCAGUUGUUGUUGCUGGUUCAAAAAGGAUAUCUAAGUCUAGAGUUUCAAUCUUUAGUGGGUGAGUAUCAGGUGAGUCUCUAUCCUGACUCUUGCAUAUGUAAUGUACAAAUAGAAUGUUGGUGGUAAGCAUGGAAGUAAUGUCUUAUAUGAAAAGUAUGAAUUAGUUAGGAGUGCAAAAAAAAUUGGGUAAGUGAAUACUGAAUAAACUUUCAUUUGGGAUGCCUCUAUUAGGGCAGUUAUAUUGCUAACCAGUGUGACGCCCUCAACCCGACCUGAUUCAAUAGGUCCAAAUCUCAGGUUUUACACAUACACUAAUUAAUAAUCUAAAAAAUUGUUAACAAUUUCUCAUUUCUCUAAUUAUUUUAUUUAACCUUUUAACUAAAAAUUUUAUCAUUUGAUAACCAAAGAAGUGUUAUAAAAUAACUUGUUACAACAGACUUGAUACAAAUCUUUACAAUAUAGAAGUUUAUUAAGGACGAUCAUACAAGGCACAAUCCUAGACUACGGCAUAUUUCCACUGUAUGCAUAAUAGACCUCUUCGCCAUUACGUUGGCAUACUCCUAGCAUCAUCCUUCCUGGCGCAACUUGUGUCGAAUACUUGAAACAACAAUGAACAUGGUAAGUUUAAGAGAUCUUAAUAAACCUUAUCACGGAAUUACCUGGGUGGAUACUUUAUUUUCUUAUAAGAACUUCUAUUCCUCGACCAUCCUUCUGAAUCAUUUAUUUCGAGCGGAUUUCUCUACAAUAUUCUUUAUCUAACUAACUGAAGAUCCUUCCAAACAUUUUGUAAAUACCUUUAUUUCAUAUAUACUUCUCAAAAGAUCAUACCUUCAGAUACAUCACAUCUGGUGAAUACUUAUAUAGAACUAAUUACCAUCAAUUUAUUAACCAAGUCAUUUCUAAAUUCAAUAUCAUACAACCCACACUUGUAAUGCACCACAUAAACCCAUUAGAAGAAUUCCACAUUAAUUAUUUUCAGAAACAUAUAUACUCAGAAUACCCAUAACUUAGACUUUAUACAAUUUCAGAAAAGAUCAUUACAAUCGAAACAUAACCUCAAUAUGACAGAUUCCAAGUAACUUUGAUUCAAUCAUUUCAUAACACAGAUAAUCUCACAUUGACAAUUUCUUAUGCCACACAUAACUACAAAUAUAACCAUAUCUAACGUUGUCAGAUCAUUGUGGUAGAUACCUUCAUUAUCAUAUAGCUACACAGUUCUUUCCAAAAACUUAUUCAAUUAUUUCACAAAUCUUACUCAACUCAUAAACCUGGGCAUAUCAAUACCUUAUCUCAGCCAACCUUAUUACAAAACUAACAAAAUUUAUCCAUAUCUUACAAUAAAGAUAGAUAUACACAGCGUACCAUGCAUGAUAGACCACGCCACAAGGGCCACACAGAAUACACCAUAAAGGCAUCAUACAAAAUCUCGUGUUUACUAUCCCGACGGACUUCACAGAAGGUGUCAUGGGUUUCUACCUUAUGGACUUAUAUAGAGAUUCAUGUACCGUAAUCUUCCAUUUCAAUUCAUACAUCAUUGAGGGCUACACCAUGAAUAUUCAAACAGACAUAUAAUGCCAUGGGUCUUAACCACAUGGUCUUAGAUACAUUCAUGUGUCAUGUUUUGACAAUAUAGUCUCCAUCUUACUGGAGGUUAUAGCAUGAAAGUUUCCAAAUCAUAGCAAGCUACCAUGGGCCUCUACCUCAUGGUCUUACACUAGGUUUCAAUCUAUAACAUGCCAAUCUGGUUAGCUAUAUAACUGCCCUACCAGAGGAUUCACAAUAGAACGUUAGCUCAGUAUUUACUUACCCAGAUAAUCACCUUCUUACAAACUCAUACACCUCCUAUACCAGACUUUUACUUGCAUGCUUAUUAAAUAGUAAUCCUUUAAUAAAACUUUAUGCAUAUUAUUACAGAGCAUCUCUCAUCCUUACUAUACCCAGAGCCUUACCAUUUUCCAUGGACAUGAUUAUCCCAUCUAUGAAUGUGCAUAUAUUUAUACUUCUUAUUUGAACAAUUCACAUAAUAGAGUCAAGAUAGUGACUCACCUUAACUCACCUACUACAGUUCUAAGCUCCAGACUUAUACAUCCCUUUUGAAUCAGAAGUAACAACUACUUAGAAACAUAAAUUUACUAUUACAACUCUUAUACAUACAAUUUACUUAUCAUCUCAAUCGCGGAUAACUUCAUGCAUAACUUGUAUUUAAAGCUUUACUGUUCAUACAACUCUUAUAGUCUUACACUUUUAGAACUUAACAUGCAAAGGCAAAACACUUACCCAAAGAUGGAAUAACCACUAAUUAGAUCUAGAAUCAAUGUUUCUAGCUAAAUGAGAAAGGGAUACAUUUAUACUUUCUAACGAAAGAAUUAGAGAGUAGUGUUUUUAAGGAAGAAGAAGAACCUCCCUCAAAACCCUUCUCACACAUAUAAAUAUGACCCACUUACCUAGUUGGACUUAACAACUGCCACACAUUUUAGAACUUACCUUAUUAAUGGUCUACAGUUCCCGAGAAAAUUAUAAAUAAGUACCUUGUAUUCACAAUUAUCGGGCUAGGCUAUCUAGUUGAUAUCUAACCAAAAUACUUAUGAUCUAACUAGUACAGUACUCUAAACAAACAACAUGUAUUACAGCUUUGGCGCCAACUCAUACCAUACUUAACCUUUAUCGCCUAACACAAACUUCUCCGUAAUAUAUUAGAGUAGCAUGAAACAAAAUCCUUACCUACAUAUCUGGCAGUUACUAAACGCCCGCAUGUAUAUGCCACAAUAAGAAAUUGGGAAGAUUACACUUCGCCAUAUAGACUAUUUUACUACUAUGCGCCAAAACCUUAGACCCACCAGACUUAGGGUGUUAUAACCAAAUUUGUAGACCAUGAUAUGAAAACAAGUGUAAGACCAUGAGGUUGAGACCCAUGGCAUCAUAGGAUAUGAAAACACUCAUGGUGUAUCCUCUAGUAAAACGAAGACUGAACUAGAAGAUCAUGAUACAUGAAAGUGUGUAAAUUCAUGUGGCUAAGACCCAUGGCAAGUAAGAUUGUAUGAAUGUUCAUGGUGUAGCCUUUGAUAAUGUGUAGAUCAAACUGGCAGAUCACGAUACAUGAAAUUUAUGUGCAAGUCCAUAAAAGAGAAACUCAUGGCACCUUUUGGGAAAAAUUAGUCGGAAUAUUAAACAUGUGAUUUUGUAUGUUGCCCUUGUGGUGUAUUUUGUUUGGCCCUCGUGGCGUAUUCUACUAAGUUCGUAUGGUAGAAUAUGAUUAUCCACCCUUAUGGUAUGUUUUGGAUAAAUUCUGAGUGUUCUGUGAUAGAUGUUACUAUGAUAAGGUUAUGAUUCGUCCGAAGUUAAUUUGGUUGAAUUAGAUCUGUGAUGUAACCAAAUAAGUUUCUAAGGAAGUUCUUGAAAAUAAGUGUGUAUCUUUAUGUUCAAAAAAGGGUAUCCACCAUGGUAAUUUGUUAGUUUUGAAUAUGGGUGUAUUUGUGGUUAUGAAAGACAUUAGAAAUUAUCAAUUUGAGUUCGACUGUGUUAUAUAGUGCUGAAAUUUGAGUAUCUGGUAUCCGCCAUAUCUGAAGAAUAAUAUGUCUUAAUCUGAAAUCUUAUGGAAUCUGAGUUGUUUGUUACCUUGGGUAGAUUUGUGUUCUGUAACGAUCUGGAUAAUUCAUUAUCAGUAUAAGCAUGCAUUAAGGUUGAAUUAGAAAAUGAUUGGAUUUGGUAAAUUGAUGGAAUCCAACUCAUCGUGGGAAUCUAUCAAAGGUGUAAGAAUCUACCAGUAAACAGUAUCUGUGACCAGCAGUUCUGGAAUCAGUGUAUGUGUGAAGAGACGGUCUAUAUAAAAUAGGCUCUGAAGGUAUAUUCUUUUAAAAAGUACUUUUGUGUUUUUUAAGAGAAAGAAGAGAUUAAUGAAAUGUCUGGAAGAAUCUCAAGUCAAUCAGGUAAUUAAGAGAGAACUGGUACACUAAGAGUAUGGUAGUUAGCGUGUAAGUCUAAGCCUAUAAUUGUGAAAGCAUUUGCCGAAAAUAGAAGUAAGAUGUUGAGAAUGGUAGCUGGCACAUAGAUAUUCAUUCGAUAUUAUAAAAGUAUCCACCAAGGUAUUCUAUAUUAACUAUCACUAAGUUCUCCUAAAUUUACAAAUGUUAUAUUUAUGUUUUAGGUAGUGUGGUAACGGAAUACGCCGGGAGUGACGACACCAGGAGUGUGCCAAGGUAACGACAAUAUGGACUAUUAAACAUACAAUGGACUAUUUGUAAAUGGGACAUAUUACAGAAUUACACCCUAGGAAACUAUCUUUAGUAAACUUUGUUUUGUUAAUGUGUUGUAACAAAUUUGAUGUAAUAUGUUAUUUCUAAAUACUAUCUUUUGUUUCUUUGAUUUUGAGUCUUUAAAUAAAAUUAUAAGAAUUACAUUUUUAAAUAAGGAGUACUCACCAAUUGUUUGAAAUUUAGCUAAGUGAUUUGUGUUGUAACACCCAAGAUCAGGACUUGGUAAUUUGGGUCGGGUUGAGGGCAUUAUAGUUACUCUAGUAGGAUUCUAGUGCUUCUUCAUCUUCUCUGGUAAUGCAAACACUCUCCCAUUAUUAAAUGCCUAAAUUCAGAUCAUGUCUCACCGAAAGCCAUUCUAUAACCUCCUGUUUAGGUUAGGGGGUUAUUAUUAUAUCCCUCCACCAUGAAGACACAUGUCAGUGCCAGAAACAUCAUUAACUCUCUUAUUGACUUUGAUUGAAGAUAAUCCUCACCUGACCAUCCAUCUAUUCCUUAAGGAAUCUGACCACACUUUCCCAAUGUGAACACAGUUUCAAGACAAUAAAGAGUCUAUUUAGGCAUAACAAUCUCGUACUAAUAGAGUCCCAUGAUAUACGACUAUCAUCCUUUACGCUUUUAGCGAGGCUAAAUGUAUAUCCUACCACGUCAUAGUAAUAGAAAAGAGGAUCUCUCCAAUAAAUACCUUGAAAAACGAGAAAGAAAUGAUCGACCCCUGACACCCUAAAGUUACUUUGAGCAAUUAUUUUCUCAGUCAACCUGUCUUCAUCCCAGAUCUAACUCUCGACCUCCUCUGCAGCACCACGAUCCCCUCCUUAACCUUCUCCCUUACUGUACAUUGUAUAAAUAAGAUAUUUAUAUUCAACUACAUGUUUGGCAGGCUAGUUGAUUUCUAGAUAAUAUUUAAACAUAUUAUAUCCAAGUUGCAUUCGUUUUAUUCUAUUGAAAGUUCACUGUUUGUUUUUAUAUGGUAUUGAUUAACAUUACAUUUAAAAAAAAUUAACUAACCCAAUUUAUUUUGAAUUUAAUAAAAACAAUUCAUAAAAUAAUAAUACAUAAGUUUUAAUUAAUGCUGAUAAAAACCGUCAACACAUCAAAUUAAUUGAAUCCUGGGUCUCUGCAUAUUUUAUCAUUCACUCUAUAUAUUUAAGUAAGCAUUAUUGAAAACAAGAAAAUAAAUAAAUAAGUAGAAGACAAACUGAUACAAUAUUUGAACUCACCAAUUUGCGAUUUACUAAGAACUUCUGGGAUGCUUAUUUUGACUAGUACCAAUUCAAUGAAAAUUAAUAACAAUGUUGGAUAUAAAUCCAAUUAAAAAAUGAGAAUAAUAAUUUUUUACGCUUCAAGUUCAGUGUAUAAAUAGCAUCCUAGUUCUCUAUCAUCUCACACCUCAACCACUCAAUCAUCCACUUCUUCUCUUCUUUGAACUCAAAGUCCCAGUUAAUAUUAGAAUCAUGGGUGUUGUCACUUAUGACUAUGAGUCUACCUCCCCAGUCGCCCCUUCCAGGCUUUUCAAGGCCUUUACUGUUGAAGCUCCGAAAGUUUGGCCCACGGCUGCACCUAAUGCAGUCAAGAGUAUUGAGGUUGAAGCUAAUCCUAGCUCUGGAAGUAUCGUAAAAAUCAACUUUGUUGAAGGUUAGUUCUUUCAUUGGCCUUUUUGUAGUCUGUUUUACACGAGUAUGUUGGAUAACAAGUAUUUAUUUGUUUAGGCCUUCCAUUCCAAUAUAUGAAGCACCAGAUAGGAGGACAUGAUGAAAGUAAUUUUUCAUACAGUUACGAUUUAAUCGAAGGUGGGCCUUUGGGGGACAAACUUGAAAAAAUCAGCUAUGAGAACAAGUUUGAGGCAGCUGCAGGUGGAGGAAGUAUUUGCAAGAGCUCAAUGAAAUUCUACACUGUUGGCGACAAUGUAAUCACUGAAGAUGAAAUCAAGGCUCUCAUUAAGGGAAGUGAGGGAGUUUACAAGCCUGUUGAAGCUUAUCUAUUGGCUAAUCCUGAAUCCUGCAACUAGGAUAUUGGUUGCUUUGAAUUCUGAUUCUUGGUUUUAAAGAGUGGUCAUUGCUUUUAAUGGUGUGUUUUUUAUAUUUUCUUUUUCCUUUUAAAACCUAAAUUGUCUUCUAAUUAUUUACAUAAGAGUGGUGGUGAUCGAGCUUUUGUCAUCUUUAUUUUCAUUACAGUCAAAGAAUUUGGGUUGUCUUUGACAUAUAUAGAAAUAAAAUAAACAAAUAAACUCAAAAAAAGAAAAAAAAAGGUUUUACCUGGUAUAUUGAUGAGUGAAAAUUCACAAUCCAUAUUAGAGAUGUGCAUUCGGUGGUUGGAACGAUUUGAUUAUUUUAUAACAAUAAUCGAAUAAAUAAAAAUUUUUACUGCAAUUGAAUUAAUCGAACCAAACUUAAAAAGGUAAAAAUGAAACAACCGAACUGAAUUUAGUCAAUUCGAUUAGAUUUAGUUAAUCGAUUUUUGCUUUUUUUGGUUUUUAACUUAGUUGAACUCCACCGAUCCAAAAAUUCUUCACUGUUCGUGUCGGCAUGUUUGUUCCUCACAGAAUGGGAGCAAACAGUAGCCGCCUUACCUUUUGCUAUAAAAAGGAUUUUAGUCUUUGCUUUCAAAAUCAUCCCAAUCUCUCCAAGAAAGUGUGUAAUCUUUAUUUGUUUAGGCCUUCCAUUCUAAUAUAUGAAGCACCAGAUCGAAGGACAUGACGAAAAUAAUUUUUCAUAUAAUUACAGUUUAAUACAAGGUGGGCCUUUGGGGGACAAGCUUGAAAAAAUUAACUAUGAUAACAAAUUUGAGGCAGCUGCAGGUAGAGGAAGUAUUUGCAAGAGCUCGAUGAAAUUUUACACUGUUAGGGACAGUGUAAUCACUGAAGAUGAAAUCAAGGCUCUCAUUAAAGGAAGUGAAGGAGUUUACAAGCCUGUUGAAGCUUUACCUCUUGGCUAAUCCCAAAGCUUGCAACUAGGAUAUUGGUUGCUUUGAAUUCUCAUGCUUGCUUUUAAAGAGGGAUCAGAUUUUAACUGUGUGCUUUUGAUAUUUUCUUCUUUGUCUUAAAACCUAUAUUGUCUUCCGAUUGUUGUAAUAAGAGUGGUGGUGGUGGAAUCAAGCUUUGAUAAUCUUUGACAUAUGAAAUAAACAAAAAUAUAAACUGGCAAAAAUAAUAAAAGCUUUACUUGGGUAUAUAAUUUACAGUUUUCCUGACAGACUACAAUUUUUUUCUACACUAAAACCUCGAUAAAUGAAUAUUCGAUAAAUUAAUACUCUUGGUUAAAUAAUAUUUUUUCUCGGUCCCGACUUGAGUCAAGAGGAUAAAAUAAUAACCUGGCUAAAUGCAUAAUAUAAUAAUUUUUAGAAAGAAUCUUUAAGGGCCCAAUGAAAAUAUAAAAUAACAAUUCAUUAAAUAUAUUAAGAUUUUUAUAUACCAUACAUAAAACUAAAAUGCUUUCUAGACAACUCUUACUCUUUUUCAAUUUUAUUCUUUGCUAAAAUAUGCAUCUAUAGUUAACUGCUUCUUCUUUGCAUGUGAAUCAAAUACAGUUUCAUUUUUAACUUUUAGAAGGGCAUAAACCAAAUCUGGUAUAUUCUUCUUGUGUUGCAUUAAAUAAUUUUUCAAGGUAUCAACAACUAGAAAAGCCUCUUUUGGAGAAACAUGUGGCAAAACACUAUUGUCAUCAUCAGUUGGCACAUUCAUUACUCCUUGAAUAAUUUCUUCAUCCGUAGGUGACUUAAUCAAAGAUUCAUUUUCACUUGGAUAACUGCUCAACAUCCAUGGCAUUUCUAUAGUGUAAAUCUGAAAUUACUUCUUUUAAUUUAUGAAUGUCUUCAACAUCACCAAUUUCUUGUUCGAGAGGCAUAUCCUCCUCGGAUCGAAUUUUGCAAAGUCGGAAACAAUUUGCAAUAGUUGUAGGCUUCACAUCAAUAUUCACUACAACAAAACAGGUUUUUAGCGGCAUUUUUAGUAGCGUUUGGACCAAAAACGCCACAAAAGUUAUAAAUUAGUGACGCUAAUAGGAAGACGCCACAAAAGGUUAGAGCUAUAGCAACGUUUAUGAGAAAAGCGCCGCAAAAAAAAUUAUUUUAAACAAAAUUGAGCCGUUUUGCUUCCUGUCUAUUUAUUAUUUAACUAGUUUUUUUAUAUUAAAAAAAUACAAUUUAUUUUAAAUUGAAUGUUUAAAAUCUUUAGAAAAAAUUAAUGACAGAGAAAAAAUUUGAAAGUAAAAACAUAGAAAAAUAUAUGUUAAAAAUGAAAAAAAUUAAAAUACUAUUAUUUAAAAAUUAUUGUUUUUAAUUUAUAUAUUAAAUAAUUUUUUAUAUAAUUGUAAAAGAGAUAAUAUUAAUUUUAAUAUAUUAAAAUUAUCAUUAUAGUUUAAAUUAUUUAAGAGAUAAUAGAUAAACUUUAUAUAUAUUAAAAUUAAAAAAAUUGCUAACCCAUGCAUUUAUAGAAAAACAAAAUUAAUUAGUAAAUUGAAAUAGUUAUUUAAAUUUCCUAAAAUGUUGAAAGAACAUAUAAUUACAAAAGAGAAACAAAUUAAAGUUUUUUUUUUUUCAUAUCUUGAAUUUUUUUUAUUUUCUUACAUAAAAAUUAUAUAAAAAUUUCAAAUUUUAUCUAAUUCUUUUCAAUAUUACUUAUAUUUUAAAAAAUUAUUUAUUUGAAAUUGAUAUGAAAGAUAUAAUAAUUCAAUAUAAAAAUUGUAAAAAAAAGUAAUAUUUAAAUAAACGCCGUAAAAAUUUAUUUUAUUUUAGUGUUUAGGGUUUAGGAUUUAAGGUUUACAGUCUAGGGUUUAGGGUUUUAGGGUAUAUGGUUUAGUGUUUUGGGUUUAGGGUUUAAUGUUUUUGGGUUUAGGGUUUAAUGUUUUUGGGUUUAAGAUUUGGGGUUUAGUGUUUUAUAGUUUAGUGUUUAAGGUUUAGGAUUUAGUGUUUAAGAUUUAAUAUUUAUGUUUUAGGGUUAGGGAUUUCGAUAAAAAUGACAAAAAAUCAAUUUAUUUUAGGGUUUAGGUAAGCAAGAAGAUUCUUUUUUUAAUUACUUUUGUACCUUAUAAUAUAUAUUAUUAAAUUAAUAUCAAAAGCAUAAUAAAGUAAAAAGGAGAGAGAAAUUCAUUAUUUCCAUAUCUCCUUAUACAAAAAUCCACCUCUUGGUAAUUUAGAAUUUGGGAAGUUAAGCAGAUUGAGUCUUAGCUCAAUUAGUGUGAGCAUUGUUGUCAACAUAAGAGAACAUGAGUUUGAGUGUGUUGAAAUGCAUUAUCUUCCUGUUUAUGAGUUGGGGAGGAAUUAUGAGUUGUUGUAGACAUAAUAUCAAAAAAGAAUUUGAGAAGUUAAAUUUUAUCAAAAUCAAUUUGGAUAAAUUCUAUCAACUGCACAAAAAUUUAAUCUUGUGGAUACAAACUCUUCAUAAGGAAGUUUGGUUUCAUUUUUUAAAAUUAUUUUCGUACACAAUUAUAAAAUUUUACAAAUUAAAUAUAUUGUUUGAAACAAAACAAACUUAAUUUAAAGGAAUUUAAGAAAUAAUUAAACUAUAAAUAUUUAUUAGUAUCAAAGGCAUUAGCGGCGUUUAUGAUUAAAACGCCGCAAAAAAACAUUUUACUUUAAACAAAACGACGUGGUUUUGAGUGGCAUCUUUAGUGGUAUUAGCGGCACCAGGUGAAAAACGCCGCAAUAGAUCGAGCAUUAGCGGCGCUAGGUAAAAAACGUCGCAAAAAAAUUACUUUAAACCAAACGGUGCCAUUUUAAGUGGCGUCUUUAGUGGCAUUAGCGGUGCUAGGUGAAAAACGCCGCAAUAAAUCGAGCAUUAGCGGCGCUAGGUAAAAAACGCCACAAAAAAACAUUUUACUUUAAACAAAACGGCGCCAUUUUCAGUGGUGUCUUUAGUGGCAUUAGCGGCGCUAGGUGAAAAACGCCGCAAUAGAUCGAGCAUUAGUGGCGCUAGGUAAAAAACGCCACAAAAAAAAACAUUUUACUUUAAACAAAACGGUGCCGUUUUUAUUGGCAUCAGUGGUGCUAGGUGAAAAACACUGCAAUAGAGCGAGCAUUAGCGGGCGCUAGGUAAAAAACGCCAGAAAAAAACAUUUUACUUUAAACAAAAUGGUGACGUUUUUAAUGGCGUUAGCAACACUAGGUGAAAAACACCACAAUAGAUCGAGCAUUAGCGGCGCUAGGUAAAAAUCAUCACAAACGGUCAUUUUGUUUUAUACGAAAAUGCGUCGCUUUGCUCUCCUCCAUUUUAUCCCAACCCAUAUACCCGAAACACCUUAUUUUUUCCCCAAAAAAAUUUCCCCAAAUCCCUAAAUUUUCCCUAAAUCAAAAUCCCAACCCAUUUGCUGCAUCGCCGUCGACUCAACCAUCUGCUACAUUACCGUAACUGUCCCCUCUGCUGCGUCACCGUCGCACUCCUCUACCGCAACCAAUCAGUAAAUUUAACUCCUCUGCCGUCGCUUUUUCAAGAUUUAACAUGUCUAGAUUUUUAUUUAAUUAAAAUUUGACUUAUAAAAGGUGGAUUUUGGGACAUUAGACCCCACUAAGGAGGGGAAUAAGAAAUCUUAGCCCUUGGUUUAUAUUAAGUUGGAGUGAAAGAUAGUGAUUUUGGUUUGUAAAUUUACCUCAAUUGUAUUCGACUAUUGAUAGCAAAUAUAUACAAGAUUACAUCAGAGUGUUAUCUUCAGCUAUUCACAAUUUGAAUUUGAAUUUUAAGUAGAAUAAGAUCCUAAAGAAUAGGAGUGAUAACAAGUCUAGUUUGACUUGGUUAACUCUCAACAGUCCCUCGCAAACGGAUGGGGGAAGUCACCAUCAGUUUGUCUUGAAGCGUAAGAAACCGAGUUGUCGAUAAAGGUUUCGUCAAGACAUCGGCUAUUUGAUCAAUGGUCGGAACAUAGGAGACGAGAAGAUUCUUCUGGCGUACUUGGUCUCAGACAAAAUGAAAGUCCAACUCAAGGUGCUUGCUACGAGAAUGAAAAACGGGAUUCGCAGCUAGAUAGGUAGCGGAAACGUUAUCACACCAUACUUUCGGCGUUGUUGGAAGCUUGUAAUUGAGUUCCCGAAGAAGGCACUGAAGCCAAUAAACCUCCAAAGCAGCUGAUGCUAAAGCUCGAUAUUCUGAAUCCGUGCUUGAACGAGCGACGGUCUUUUGCUUACGAGAAAUCCAAGAGAUCGGAUUGGAGCCAAGAAAGACAACAUAUGCAGAAGUGCUCUUUCGAUCAAGCUUGUCGCCACCCCAAUCAGCAUCUGAAAAAGCAACAAGUGAAGCUUGGCGAGAAGAGCGAAGCACGAGACCAUGAUCUAUUGUGCCGUGGAGGUAACGUAGAAUCCGUUUCAUGGCUUGCCAAUGAUGGAGGCAGGGAGAAUGCAUAAAUUGUGCAGCUUUGUUCACUGCCAUGGUUAUGUUGGGGCGAGUGAGUGCCAAAUAUUGAAGAGACCCAACAACCUGUCGAUAAAGCUUAGGAUCAUCAAAGGUAGAAGAAGUAGUGCCGGUGAGGUCGGCUUGCGGCGUUGAAAGAGUCGAGACCGACGAGGCAUCUUGCAUAUUCGUACGAUGGAGCAAAUAUUUGAUAUAUUUGGAUUGCGUGAGCUGCAAACCACUCGAGAACCACGCAACUUCAACACCCAAGAAAUAGGAUAGUGGUCCUAAAUCCUUGAGCGUAACAACCUUCCCAAGUUGAGUAAUAAACCAUUGUAACAGCGAAAAGGAUGAUCCUAUCAACACCAAAUCAUCAACAUAGACCAAGCAAUAUGCAUACUCGUCAUUACCAGAAUAUAUAAACAGCGAACUGUCAGCCUUGGAACCGUGAAAACCAAGCUAUUGUAAUGCAUUCGAAAGGCAAAAAUACCAAGCUCGUGGCACCUGCUUUAAACCAUAUAGCGAUUUCUUUAUAGCACAUACAAAAUCGGGUUUAGAAUGAUCAACAAAUCCCUGUGGUUGUUCCAUAAAAAUAGUUUUAUCAAGAGUCCCGUGAAGAAAGGCAUUCGAAACAUCAAGUUGCCGAAUGGGCCAAUGACGAUUGACGGCAAUGGAAAGAAUUAACCUUAUGGUGGCCGACUUUAUAACGGGGCUGAAAGUCUCAACGUAAUCAAGGCCUGGGCAUUGAUGAAACCCUUUUGCAACCAACCGCGUACGACAUCUAUCGAAGGAACCAUCUACUUUUGUUUUUACACGGUAUACCCACUUGCAACCAAUGAUAUUAGAUGCUCGAGAACGGGGAACAAGAUCCCAUGUGCCGUUUGAUAGAAGAGCAUCAAUUUCUUCUCCCAUUGCAGCACGCCAUACGUGCUGUUUUGCUGCUUCAGUGUAUGACGAAGGGGCUGGCAGUGUAGUGGACGCAGCAGCAUGAAAAACCUUUAGUUUAAGUGAGCCAGUAUGGAAGCGUAAAGUCAUUGAAUGACGCACGGUAGGUGCCUGAACAGUGGUAAGAGAAGCAUUGGAACUGCUAGAACCUAUCAGGAAUGUGAUAGAGUCAUUGGGAACAAUGGGAGCAGGUUGGGAGGACACGGUGGUGAUGGCAAGAGAUUGAUCGGCAGUCGGUGGGGGGUACUUGGGACAGUAGGGAGCUGCUGGUUGGGGCAUGGGGCUAUAGUCAGUGGGACGGCAGGUAAUGGAUUAGAAUCGGAGCGAUGGCCAAGAGAAAAAAUGGUUGUCGGGGAAGGUGGAGGACCGAGAACCGAUACGUGCCUAUCAUUGGACUUGAAUGGAAAAACCUGUUCAUCAAAAAUAACAUGGCGUGAGUAAAACACUUUAUUGAUGGACAAAGAUAAACAUUUAUAACCUUUGUGAAGAACACUGUAACCAAGAAAAACACAUUUGGCAAACCUAGGCUCAAGCUUAUUUUUGGUGUAUGGACGCAACCAGGGAUAGCAGCAACAACCGAAAAUUCUCAAUGACUUGUAAUCAGGGUCACGAUGAAAAAGGGCUUGGUAGGGUGAUUUAUGUUGUAAUUUUGGAGUUGGGAGACGGUUGAUAGUGUAUACAGCAGCAACAAAGGCAUGAUCCCAAAAUUUGGGAGGGACAGAGGCAUGAUGUAAAAAGGCGUGACCAGUUUUGGUUAUAUGACGGUGUUUUCUUUCGGCACAGCCAUUUUGUUCAGGGGUAUGAGGACAAGAGCUGCGUUGGAUUAUAGCUUUAGAGGCCAAAUAUUUUUCAAGGGCUUAGAAUUCCCCACCCCAAUCGGAUUGGAACUGCUUAAUAGGUAAACCAAAGUAUUUCUCAACAAUAGCACGAAAUUGAAUGAAGCAAUUAUAAACAUCCGAUUUACGACGAAGAAAAUAGAUCCAAGUAUGUUUGCUAUAAUGAUCAAAAAAACGCCACAUAAUAUAGAAAACCAUCACUAGAAGCAAUUGGAGAAGGACCCCACAAAUCCGAACAAACUAACUCUAAUGGUUGUUUUGCUUCAUAAGUAGAAUCCGAAAAAGACAAUUUGUGUGAUUUACUAACACAUCAAGUUUCACAAAUAGAUGAAUCAUGCUUAUUAGAAGCAGACAAUUUAUUGAAACUAAGAACUUUAUUGACAGUGUUUGAGCAAACAUGGCCUAGUCUAGCAUGCCAUGUAGACAACGAAACUGAAUGACAAGCAGGAGAUACUGGAUCAGUGGCUAAACGAUAUAAACCAUUCUCGAUGUACCCUCUAUGUAGAGUUUGCUUCGUCCGUCGAUCCUUAACCAUAAAAUAAUCAUGAAAAAAUUCAACAAAGACAUCAUUAGUGAGUGUAAACUGAGGAACAGACAAUAAAUUUAGGUUAGCCUCAAGAACAUGAAGAAUAUUAGACAAUUUGGAAGGAUGAGAAUUAAGAGUUAAGACAGACGAGCCAACACAAGAGAUAGGUAAGGUUUUACCAUUGUGAGAGUGACUUUAUCGGAACCAGUGUACUCUGAAUGAAUGCCCAAGUUUCCCAAUUCAGAUGUCAAAUGAUGAGUGGCACCGGUAUCAAUGAUCCAUGGCUUGGGAUUUGUUUGAGGAGACGAGCUAUAGUUUGCUGAAGGUUUGGGGUAGGACUCGGCAUAUCUUGGGUUGGGACACUGACGACUUGUGUGGCCACGUCCUUUGUAGUUGUAACAUGUUGAUCCUUGGGCGGGGAGGCAGCUGGGCCACGACUGGAAUAAUUGCCAUUGUGUUUACUGUUACGACCCCGUCCACGAUUAGCGGAAGCAGAAGGCUACCGACCGGCAAAGUUGGCAACGGCAGUAGGAUGAAGAGGUUCUUGAACAACUUUCAAUUGUAAUUCCUCAGAAAGUAAUAAGCCAAACAAAUCAUCAAAGGAUGUUGACUGUAGUUUUACCUCUAGAUUGCGAACGAAUGGUCGAUAAUCAGCACCAAGUCCUCGUAAAAUAUGAUCGACAAGAUCGUCUUCAGAAAUAGCUGCAUUUAGAGCCCCGAGUUGAUCAAAAAUCCAUUUCGCAUGAUCCAUGUAUAUGACGAUUGAAUCAUCGCCACGAGACAAGGCAUGAAGAGAGCCUUUAAGGGUCCGGAUUUGAGCCCGAGAUCCGGAAGUAAAAGUUUGAUGCAGCUUUGUCCAAGCUGCGAAUGCGGUAGUGGCUCCGAUUGCCUGAGAUAGCACGGACUCAGACAACGAGCCAAGGAUCCAGCUAAGAACCAUUUGGUCCUUAAGAAACCACAGCUCAUAGGCCGGGUUAGGAGCAUUGUCAACGGUCUUGGGAGGAGCUGCUGUGCCGUCGACAUGAUGCAUGAGUUUUUGGCUAUAUAAGAGAGGGGUCAUUUGUGUUUUCCACAGGAGGUAAUUAGAGGGAGUAAGCUUGAUGGUGAUUUGAUUUGGCAUGGAAGGUGGAGAGGAAACAGUCGAAUUGGCUAUGAGGAAAAAAAAAAGGAGAGGAGGCGGUGAUUGAAACCUUUUUACUGGCAGUUUGAUACCAUGAAAGAUAGUGAUUUUGGUUUGUAAAUUCAGCUCAAUUGUAUUCGACUAUUGAUAGCAAAUAUGAAAUAUAUACAAGAUUACAUCAGAGUGUUAUCUUCAGCUGUUCACAAUUUGAAUUUGAAUUUUAAGUAGAAUAAGAUCCUAAAGAAUAGGAGUGAUAACAAGUCUAGUUUGACUUGGUUAACUCUCAACAUGGAGUAGAUAAAUUCCAGUAAGGAAAAAAGGAGAGGCUGCUUCUAUUUUCAUCAAGUAGAGUCGGUUAGGAGAAGCGUAAUGCCAAGAGAAGAAACUGUAAGUCUCCCUACUGGUUUUCUUGAAUUUUAAAUGAAACUUAAUUAUCAAAUGGUCACGUAUAUAUACUUCCCAUCCAAUAGGAAAUUCGAUUGUGAGUUGUUGAAGAACCUAAGUAAUAUUUCUUAAGGAGAAAGAGGUAAGAAAAUUGGGUUCAUUCAUAGCAUUCAUGAGUUCAAGUAUAACGUUUGGGUUUUUAUAAAUGCUGGUUUUAGAGUAACUUUUUAUCAUGGAAAAUGGUUGUAUAUGCUUGAAGCUAGAGAAGAGAACAAGGGUGAAAGGAGUAUCAAAGGUGAAGACAAGUUAGUGGAUUGAAGUUUUGUGUUGAACCUAGUGUCGUGGGAAGCUUAUUAAGGUUAGUGUUCUCUUGAAUUUUAGCAUGCUUGUGCGAAAUAAAAUUUAAAUAUUUACCAGGCAUGAUUGUAAAUGUAAAUAAUAUGGAAAAGAAUGGCUUGCGAUAGUUUGUUGAUCAUUUAGAAAGAUUAGCAAAUGAAUUUGACUAGGCAAGUCAUAACCGAAUUAGUAAUAUAGUAUGGUUUAUUUUUGCUAAAUGAACAUGGCAAGAUAAUAUAGAAUAAUUUGAGAACCAUCUUGUAUGCUACUUCAUAAGUUACAAAAGAGUAUAGUUAAGGAGUUUAAUUUGUCAUUAUUUAAAGUAUUACAGAUAAAAAGAUAUUUCAAUUUAUAUCUUAGAAAGAAAUCCAUUAAUCCAUUAAUGCAUGGGAUCCAUUUAUUUUAGUUUUGAUUCUAAAUUUUUAUUUUUAUUAAUAUAAAUAAUUAUUAUUCAAAGAUAUACAAUUAUUCAUUUUUAUUUAUUUAAUAAUAUGUUUCUAUUCAUGUAAUAUAAAACAAUUAAGGUAUUUUAUAAUAUGAUACUUGUUUACUUAUAAAUUUUAAUAGUUUCAAUUAUAAAAACCAGCACAGUCUAAUUAAAUAUUAUCAGAUUUUAGAUCUUUUAAAUUUUUUUCUUUAACGUAUUUCAAUAUUUAUCAAUUUUAAAAUGAUGUACUUAUAUUGGUGUAAAACUCUAAUUUUAUUUAUUUUACCAUUUUUUUGUAAGGUUAAUAUUUUUACAAUCCAACCAUUCAAAUUAUUAAUAUAAUUUCAUUUAUCAUGUAAGGUUAGUAUGCUGGUUUUUGUCUCAAUUCAUAGGAUACUCUUGUAUACUUGGUUGUAUACUUAAUGAAAUUGCAUUGCUUGGUUGUCAACUACACAAUGACCUUGAAUCUCUUAUUAGGGUUUGGGAUUACUUUUAUAUUAAGGGUAGAUAAUUGGAAUUUUAGAUAAAAUUUAUAAAUUUAUAUUAUUUAUUAAAAAAUACAAAUUUAUAAAUUAAAAGAGUAUAAUUAAAGGGUUCAAAUUUACAGUUAAAAUUUAAAAAUGAUAAUCAUAACUUACAUAACUUACAUAAUUUACAUUGACAAAUAAUAAUGUUUUCUCAUAACAUUUAUAAUUAAUCAACUUACUUUCGAUUCAAUAGGUUUGGAGUGGAAAGAAUGUCAAUGACGAAGUUAAAUGGCUUUCCCAAGGGUCCAAAUAGAGUAGUAAAAAGAUAUAGUGUCUUCAUCAUCAAUGGAUUCAGGUUUCAUACAAAAUCUCGCAAAAGAUUGAGGAGGACUCGAAAUUGUGGAAUAGUUGUUAAUUCUUCAAUUACAAGUUAUGCUAGUGCUAGGACUGUAAUCCUGUUAAGGGAAAUGUGGAGUAUUACGUACUUCUUACUGACAUUAUUGAGUUGGAUUACUAUGGCAAACGGAAGGUUGUCUUAUUUCGAAUUGAUUAGGCUGAUGUUAAUACUGCUCGCGGAAUUAAAAAAGAUCAAUUUAGUUUUACAAUAGUGAACUACUCUCGAUUAAUUCACACUGGACAACAAUUGAUAGACGAGCCGUAUGUAUUUUCUUCUCAAGUGAAACAAGUUUUUUACUCGAAAGAUCCAACUGAUGAGGGUUGGUACGGUCCCUAGAGACUUGUUUGACAUGGGCAAUGUAAGUAGAGAUGACAUCGACGAAAGAUCAGAAACUUUGUCUUUUCUAGAACAAAACUUAAAUGAAACUAUCCCUAGUAUUAGUACACAAUUUCAAUGGGUUCGCCAUGAUGUGGAUGAAGAUGUUUACGAAUUAUGAUGUAGUAAGAUUUUACGAUUUUUUAAUUAUAUGUAGUAUUGUAAUUUAAAUCUUGAUCUUGUUAAAUAUUUCAUCUAUUUUAUAUGUACUAUUAUUGUUGUAAUUAGUUACUAAAAUUUCAACUAUUUUAUGUGUAUUGCAGAUAAAAAGCCUAAAAAAAGAUUGUGAGAUCUAUGUAUUGUUCAAAAUCCCCCAAAAUCCGGAAGAAACAAAUAGUGAAAAACAAUCUGCUAUUAGAUCUUCGAAUGUUUCGAAUACAGCUGACGAACCUACAGAAAUUCAAAGUAAUGUUAACUUUAAUUGACAGGCGUGUUGACUUCUAUUAUUGAUUUCUGUUUCAAAUUCUUAUAUUAUAAUAUACCAUUUUUUUCAACUAAAAGUGGUGGGACGUGCAAAACUUGAGGACGUACGCUGCUAAAAGAUUUAUACGAGUUAAAUUCUGUCGAACGUGUCAGAGUAGCUAGAAACAGUCUUGGUCAGCCUAUUGGAUCUGUAACGCCCCAAAAUUUUAAUUUUGGGUAUUGUAAAUGUGUGACACAAAUAUCUAUCAGCUUUAGUGGUUAAGUGCUUUGGGUGUGUGUGGGAGGUCCUAAGUUCAAGCCAUGACUUGGGCAAAUUUUAGUAUUUUUAUAAAUAAAGCCUUAACCUAGCCUAAAGGGCUUAAGUUUAAUAGUCGGUAAUAAAUAACAGAAUGGUCCUGCUGGUUUAGUGGUUAAGUGGAGUGUUUGAUUGAAUGAGGUCUUGAGUUUGAAUCCAUGCUGGAGCGUAGGCAUUAUUUUCGCGCAGUGAUGGACGAGUAUUUCGGCAGAGUGGGAUUCUGGAGUGGUUGUAGGUUAGUAUGAUUAGUGGAGGAAAUUAAGGGAUAAUGGGAGUAGUGGUGAGAUAAUUAAGGGAUUUUGGGAUUCUAUCAAACUCUUUUAGUUAAUUUCGGUUCAUCCAAAAUUCUAUUCUCUCUUCCCCAAAAUUUCUUCCAUCGUUCUGACGUUUAUUCACCCCUUUUCUACCGAAUUUUCAUUGUUUCCUCCCUCUUUUCUUUUGAUUUCUUUUAUGUCUCCAUCGUAAUCGAUGAUUGAACUCGCUCGAUUUGGUAAAUAUUCGUUUUGCCACUUUCUAUUUUUCCGUGGUUGGUUUUAUGAAAAAGGGUUGUUUUGGUUCUUUCGAAUUAGGUGAAAAUCAAGUAGCGGUAGGUGCUUGUGCAGAGAUUUGAACGUUUGGGUUUUCAGUUUGUUGCCAGUCUUGGAGUGCUUGGGAGCGUAUUUACAAUGAAACGAUACUAGGUGUGUACCCGAAACACAAAAAUAAGGGAUUCAGCGAAAAGUCGAACUUGCUUGCUGUUUGGACACCAGCAGUAGGCUAAAUUUGAUAAAUCACCAUAACUUGUGAAAAUUUAAUUAGAGGAUGAAAAAAUAUAAGACUAAAUAUAUUUGAGUGUGGUUUCUCAUGGAAGAAACGAAGUAAGCAAAAAACUUUUAUAUUAUGAGAUAUUUGAAUUUUAGUGAGACAGGGUCAGAAUGAUUUUAAAAUCCCCUGUCCCGAUUUUGGAAAAUUAUUAAAAAUUUUAUAAAAAUAAUUGUGGGUUAGAAUUUAUAUGUUUAAAAUCAUAAAUGAAUCUACUUUCAAGAUAAACAAACGGGAACAUCAUCCGAAUUCUAUACGAGAAGAUAAUUAAUUUUUAGUACAGAAAGAUCAAAACUGUCAGACAGCAGAACAGGGGAAAUUUUAAAGAAUAAAAUGUACUUAUUCGCUAAAACCAAAAAUUCUUAAAAUUUUAUGGUAAGAAGAUAUGUGAGUCUGUUUUUAGGGAAAUUUUUUGGAUCUUAAUUCAGAAUUCUGUAGCUUAAGAUACAAAUAAUUUAGUAAUAGUGACUCAAGUAGACAGCUUUGAAGGAUCAUAUAAGUAAAUAGUGGAAACACAUAUGAAUAAUUAACUAGCACGGGUUACAUUAAAAUGGAUCACGAGGCCAAGGCCAAUUUGGGUCAUGUGGGCCACACAGGCGUGUGGGCCCACACGGGCGAACAUCAUGGACUUGUAGGCCCAUUUUCACUAUUUGACUAAUAAGGUUGCACGAGUCGCCCAAGUCGACUGUGAACCUAUUGUAGGGUCGAUAAGCUCACUUAGACCCCUAAUUGACUGAAAUGAUUAUAUGACUGAUAUGAUUAAGCCUAAUGAUGUCCCACUGAUUUGAUACCGUAUGCCCUGUUUACAUGCAUGAUAUUAUGUUAUAGCAUGUCAUAUAUGUAUAUUGCAUUGCAUUUGGUUAGGGGAUUAUAAUGUUUGGAGGAAGUGUACUGAAAGGCCUCGAGCCUAACUUACUAGCAGCUCAACUGCAAACUACUGUCUAGUGUCGCAUUCGGUACUACUUGGAGUGUAGGGAUGGGUGGGUUGAUUAUAUCCCUACAUAGAGUGUAGGGUUGGACAGGGAUUGUGUGUAGAGGCUGGAUGGGUAGGAUUUUUGUGACUGCAUAUCUGUUACUGCUACUGAUACUGUGAUGGGCUAAAGCCCUACUUCAUGACUGUUUUUGUAUUGGGAUGGGCUAAGGCCCAAACUGGACUAAUAUUGAUACUGAAAAGGGCUUAAGCCCAGACUGUGACUAUUUGUUUCCUGUCUGUACAUUUGUAUGGGGAUUACACACUAAGUUUACGUAAACUCACCCCUUCUGUUUAAUCUGUUCAGGUAAUCCCCAGAUAUAGGCGGAUUGGUGCGGCGGAGAACUCAGUGGUGGCCACACGACUUCAUUUACACUGUUUAUUACCUAUUUAUGAUUUUACUUUUAUUUGGGAGUAUUUUGCUGUAAUUAUGGCCUUUACAAAUUUUGGUUUAAAUUUGGGUUUUAUACGGUUUUAUGAUUUAAAUCUGCUAGUGUUAGGUAAAACUCAGGUUUUCAAAUGAAAUUAAUGUUUUAUCAAAAAUACCACGAAUACGCAAACUAUUUAAAAGCUUCCGCAAUAAAAUAACGUUUUGAAAUUGAAUAACGAUUUGUAAAUGAAUAAUGUUUUGGAAACGAACAACAUGAUUUGAAAUUAACAUAAGGUAAUGAAAAAAAUGGUUAAAUAGAAAAGAGAAUUUAGUGACGACAUAUUUUUCGAAAAACACUACCCUGUGACAUUGUCAAAUUCGGCCAUAAUGUCUAGGCGGGGUUUGGGGUGUUACAGGAUCAGAAGCUCGACUUUUAACAGGAUACUUAGGCAUUGUAGCAUAAAAUGCCAAUCUGUUUCCUAUCAACUACGAGUAAGGGCAUCAUAUGCCUGAUACUAACAAAAAUAAGCUAUCGAUAAUAUUAAGGUAAUAACAUGAAUGUAAUUUAUAAUACUUUGGUUUAAGUUUCAUUUAUAUUUACUUUCUAAAUUUGUAUUUUUUGCAGGAGAGAUUUGCUUUAGAGGUCUCAGAUAAUUAUGUGAAGAAGGCAUUAGGAAAAAAAUGGAGAGACCAUAAAAGUUCUUUAAAGAAGGAAUAUUUUAAGAAAAAUAUAAGCCUUGAAGAGAAAUUGCAAAAUGUCCCGCCAGGAAUGUUGAGGUACCAAUGGGAAGACGCAGUUAGAUUUUGGAAUUCAAAGAAAGGAGAGGUAUUGCGUACUUCCAAACUCUUAUAAUUAUUUUGGUUUAUAGUAUUUACUAUAUACGUAAUAAUAAUUUCAUAAUGUAGGAUCGUGAGCGAGUUGGAACUACAAGUAGGCAAAAACAAAAAUUCACGCACACAGCUAGGUCGAAAAGUUUUGCUUGCGUAGCUGAGACCGAGGUAUUUUGAAUUUAUGAAUUGUGUCAAAUAUUAAUUACUUUCUACUAAAUAAUAUUUUUACUACUAUACUGUAGGAACUGUCAUCUGGUCAAAAAGUUGGACGCCUUCAGCUUUUUGACAUUACACAUAGAAAGAAAGAUGGAUCUCCUAUGACUACUGAAACUGCAGAAAUUAUGGUAUAUUUACUUAAUAAAAUUUAAAUUAUUUUAAAUAUUUAUCAUGUUUAAUUAUAAUGGUUUAAUUCGUCGUUUGUAAUGCAAAUAAUGUUAAGUUAUGUUGCAUUUGUUUUUAUUAUAUAUUUCAUUUCUAACUAUUUGAUUGAUUUAUUAGGAGAAACUAAAGGAUAAAAAGGCGAAGUAUGAAGCGAUCGCUUGGAGUGAUAGUUCUGUUAAUCUUGACGACAUUGAUAACCAAAUUAUUUUUGAAGUUUUGGGUCCUGAAAUGUAACACCCCUAACCCGUAUCUAUCGCAAGAAUAGGGUUAUAGAGCAUUACCAGAGUUUACUAAUUAAUUUUUAGACUUUUCUUUUCAUCAAGCAUUCAUAUUUAUAACCAAUCAAAAUCAAAACAUUAAUGAGCUAACAUUAACCAAUUUCACUUGUACAUGCCAUUGUAACCAAAAUCAAAUCAUCCAAAAUUAUCGAUAGAACCAAUGGAUAAUGUGAUAUAUCUCCAACAAGCUUCCAACUCAAUCGAGCUUCUGAUAAUCAUUUCAAUGCAUCAAAUAAUUAUACAUAUUACCAAUAAUAAUUAAAUUCCAAUAAGAAAACACACAUACAUAUAUAUAAUAUUCAUUACCAAAUAACAUUCACUUCAAUUAAAAUUAUACAGAAUAUAGUUCAUACGAACUUACCAGGCUAAAUUGCAGAAAUACCAAAAUUCAGGGACAUUUUGGAAAUUUUCUAUUUUUCUCAAAUUUCCACCCAAUCUUGAUAUAAAUUAAUAUUUCAUUAAAUUUACUAAUUUAAAUAAUAAAACAAUUCAUUUCAUGCAAUUUGGUCACUUUUUGACAUUUUUACAAAUUUACCCUUAAAGUUUUACUUUUAUUCAAUUUAGUCCCCGAGCCUAAAACGUGCAAAUUAUCCAUGCUAGCUGAAUCUUCAUAUAUAUAUUUUCCUCCUCCUCCUCCUCUCCAUUCCACAUCCUUAAUUUAUAUAAUAUGCUUAUAUGUAACAUUAUCUAUGAUUUUACUAUUUACCUGUAAAUUUAUUCAAUACUGUCCAUUUGAGUCAUAGCCACUAAAUUUUUUUUAUCUUGAAGUACAUAACUCCAAAUUAGGAUCCGCUAACUUUUCCUAAAACUAGACUCACAUAUAUUCUUACCAUAAAAUUUUCAUAAUUUUUGGUUUAUCCAAUAAGUACAGUUUAUUCUUUAAAGUCACCUCUAUUCUGCUGUCUGACAAUUCCGACCCUUCUUCACUAAAACUUAAAUAUCUCCUUGUACAGAAUUUGGAUGAUAUCCCCGUUUGUUUCUAUUGAAAAUAUACUCUUUAAGGAUUUUAUACAUAUAAAUUAUAACCCAUAUUAUUUUUUUACAAUUAUUUUAUGAUUUUCCUAAGUCAGAACAGGGGAACACGAAAUCAUUCUGACAUUGUCUCACAAAAUCUAUUAUAUCUCAUGAUUUACAAUUCCAUUACUUACACUGUUUCUUCUAUGAGAAACUAGACUCAGCGCUUUAAUUCUAUAUUUUGUUCAUCCUCUAAUUUCAUUUCCACAAUUUAUGGUGAUUUUUCAAAGUUAACCUACUGCUGCUGUCCAAAACUGUUUUAGUGCAAAAUGUUAAUUACUAAGUUUAUAACUUCCUUAUUCCCUUUCUCUAUAAUAUUUCCCAUCACUUUCACUUAUUUAUCUUCACUAAUAUAUCAAUAACAUAAGAAUUUAUAUAAUAAAACUCUACUAUAACUUCUUUUCCAUGCUAUUUCAAUAAUAUCAAACCUAAAAAUAUAUUGAAAUCUCAAUGUUCUUACCUUGUCCUACUGAUUUCAACCUUUAACUUGAUUUUCUCUCUCCUCCAGCUUCAAUUUCUUGAAUCCAACUUGAUAUUUUAGCUCCCCAUAGUCUCUUUGUUAUCUUUCUCUCUUGAUGGCUAUGGAAAUUCUUUUGAUUUCUAAGUGAAAAUGGUGAAUUUUUUUGGUGGAAGGACCAAAUUAUAAAGAAAGCAAAAUUUUCUUUCUUCUCUUCUCUUCUAACGUGAAUUGCAUGGAAAAGAUGGUGGGUUGGUUCCUUUUCAUCUUUCUUUCCACUUAUAUAUACUAAAUAAUAAAAUAAUAAAAUAUCAUUUAAAAAAUCAAAUUAAAAUAUUAAUAAACUAAUAUUUAUUUAUUUAAUUAAACUAAAAUAUCUCCAACAUCAUCAUUAUCUUCUAGAUUUCUCUCUCUUCUAAAUGACCAUUUUGCCCUUUAUGAUCUUUUCAAAUUCCAUCAUUGAGUCAUUACUUAAUUUGGUAAGAUUACGAUUUAGUCCCUCAUAAUUCUUCAUCUAUUCAAUUUGGUCCUAAUUCAUCCAUUUUCCUUAGUUUCUAGAUUAUUCCAACCUUAAAAUAUUUGCACUAUUGGUCCUUCAACUUUUUCUUAUUUGCACUUUAACCCCUCAAAUUUUGAGUAUUUACCCUUGGGUAACAAAACUUUUCUCACUUUUGCGAUUUAAUCCUUUCUUGAAUUAAUAUGUCAUAAUUUACUUCUUAAUGUUGACAUAACUCAAAAUUACCCUUUUUAUCACUUUAUUUCCUUAUUUUACUAUAUCAAGAAUAUUAUCUUACUUUUUUACUGUAGUAAUUUUCGGGGUAUUACAUGAAAGGUAUGGUUGGGUUCGAUUUCAAGGAUCUUUUGUUAACCUAACCCAAUAUUUUGGAUCCAGCUCGCAGCAAUACAUGCCUUCGGGGAGUCAGGCUCAAGCUGAAGUUCAGAGGUUAAGAGACCAGAUGGCUUAGAUGAAAGCGAGCAGAGUUGAGCAAAUUGCUCAACUUAAAGCAGAAGCAGCAUCGAGAGAAGUAGAGGCUCAAAGAAAAUAUGAAGAACUCCAGCUACAACUUAAAGCGGAGGAAACAACGAGGGAAGCAGAGCAAGGCAGAAAAUAUGACGCACUCCAGUUAUAGCUUCAGAAUAUGAUGAAGAUGUUUCAGCAGUCGCAUAAUCCGCCAUCUUAGACGUUUGUUUUCUUAUUGUACGAAUAUUUUAACAUUAUAACUUUAGAAAAUAAUAAAUUUUGUUAUUUCAUUUAUUAAUUUAUAUCAUUUAUCUUUUCAUUGGGAUUUGAAGUAUCAUUUAGAUUUGCAGUUUGGUUGGAUAUGAUGUUACAGGAAAUUAUGUUGACAAUUCGGGUGCUAUAUAAAUGAAAAUGAGAUGUUAAAAAUCUGUUAAAGUUAGUGGUGUUUUCUCCACAAACGCCGCUAAAGAACAUGACCUUUUACAGUGUUUUUUAGUAAAAUCGCCGCUAAAGGUCAAGUUCUUUAGUGGUGUUUUUGGGGAAGCGCCGCUAAAAGUCAUGUUCUAUAGCGGCGUUUGUGGGAAAGCACCGCUAAAGGUCAUGUUCUAUAACGGCGUUUUUCUGCAUAAACGCCGCAAAAUUUAGCGGCGUUAUCUAUAGCAGCGUAUUUUGUGGCGCAUGUAAAAAUGCUACAAGUAGUUUAUAAGCACGGCUAUAGACCUAAAAAAAUGCCGCUAAAAACCUAUUUUGCUGUAGUGAUUCCAAGCAACUUUAAUAAAAUUGAUUGCAUCCAAUACAUUAAUCUUUUCAGGAUCUAUUUCUCCUUUCUCGGAACGUUCCAAGAAGCUAGAAUAAAAGCGAUGUCGAUAAUAAAUCUUAACUGCUCUAAUACUUUUAGCAUCACAUGAUUGAAUUUUUUAUGAUGAAUUUAGAGGCAAAAGGAAUAAUUCAACGUUUCUCAAGCCUUUAAUAACCUUGGGAUGGGCUGGGCAAUUGUCUACUGUAAGCAACAUCUUUCUGCUAGUCAUUCUAGCAUCAAACUAGCGAACAAGAUCUUGAAAAUUUAAUCCAAUCAUCCAUUUUUUAUUGGCUCGAUAAUGACAGUUAAGAUUGUCAAUAUUCACAUGUUUAAAACAUCUAGGAUUAGCAAACGUAACAAUAACCCAAAAAGACACUUUAUUUGAACCAUCCCCAUUGCAACCACAGCAGUAAGUCUUUCCUUCUCUUUUUUUAGUCCUUCUAAUUGCUUUGUAGCCAGUGAAUGAUCUGCUUGCAAACGAUAAAAUAAGCCUAUUUCAUUCAUAUUAUAGAUAUCCUUCCAAUCAAUUUUUUUAAUUUAGCUCUUAUUUCAGGUAAAGCAUCUUUAAAAUUCUCCUUAAUAACUUGACCACUUUCACCAAAUCUUCAAUAAGACUUAAUCUCAUGUCUUGCCUUGAACCGUUCUAGCCAACCGAUUGAGAAGUAAAAUUUGGAAUUUGCAUCACCUUACAUUUUCUAUAGAAACAUUUUUGCUUUAGUUUGAAUCAUUUCUCCAGUCAUGUUUACUUUCUCUUGAUAUUGAAGAAACCACUCAUACAAUACCUUCUCUAAUUCAGGAUAUUUGGUUGAUUUGUGCAUUUUAACAUUGCUAUUCUUUAUCUCUUUCGACAAAUAUUCAGAUGACUUUUUAAAAGUAUUAGAUAUUGUUGAUUGGCCAACAGAGAGAUCAAAUGUUUGUUGAACCCACUGUUGCAAAUAUUUUUGACUUGAAGAGGGAUGUUCAUUUUUGUACUCACAUAAUGCUUUUCUCAUCUCAUCUGUCAAUGUAGACUUUUCUACACCUUUCAAAUGGGAAGCCAUGAAAGAAAAGAUUAUAUGAAUUACAUUAUUUUGAUAGUACAUAUGUUUAUUUAUAAUAAAAUUUAUAAUCUAUCCAGUGAAUAUAUACGUAUUGGAUUUUGAAACCAUUAACUAUUUUUUUCUUUUUGUUUACAUGAACCAAUUAAUUAACUCUCUUUUUUUGUUAUAAUUAACUUUGAUUUAUUGCACCUAAAUGCAUAUUGGAUUUUGAUUAAAAAAAACACUCAUGCAUAAAGUAUGAAAUAUUCUCUAAAAUAAUAAAUGUUAAUUUAUCGAUAAAUUAAUAAAAUAUUUAUUUAUUGAUAAACUAAUAACCUCAAUAAAAUAAUAAUUUUUUCAAGUCUCAAGGAUAUUAUUUUAUAGAAGUUUUACUGUAUGUGUUUUGGGUUAGCAAAACUGUGAAUAAGUGUUUUUUUUUUAACUGAAUUUAUAUUCCAAAUCCAAAAGAAAUAUCAUCUGAUGCAUUGUAAUCAUAGUGUAGGCUUCUUCUUUUUUCAUAUAUGUGAGUUAAAAAAAUUAUUUUGCAGACUGUAUGGUUGUAUAAUUAUUUAGCAAAGUAGGCAAAAUCGGCAGGUGAAGUGUCCGACUUCAAAAACCGACGCCCCUAGAAUCCGACUUCAGUGAAGCAAGCAGGAACAACUUGAAUCUUCCACUUUGGGCAAAGAAAGAUGAAAUGCUCAAAUAUAAAAUGGAGUAAUAUCAUGAUAUUCCCUGAAUGUUUAUCAAAAUUUCUAUAGUCUAUCCAGUUUAAAAUUUAUCAAAAUUUCGAUAUGAUCUCUCCACUUGCAAAUUAUAUUUUAAAAUAGUAUGUUGUUUUCUAAAUUAAAAAAAUAAAAAAUUAAAUUAAAAAAAUAUUAUAGGAAUUAAAAAAUAUGAAAAUAUUGAAAUACAAUUACUUUUAAAAUAUGGGAAUUUAUAAUUUACUAGUUAAAGAAAUUAUAGUAACAAUCUUAAAUUAAAACUUAUACGUUGCUUUUAAACUUAAAAAGUAGUUUUAAUAUUGGUAUAUUUUUACGAAUAACAAAAAUUACAAAAUUAUAAUUCAACUCCCAAAUUUUUAAUAUUUUAAAAGAUAGCAGUAUACUAUUUCUUAAAAAAUGAAUAAUCACUUGCUAGAAAAAUUUGAAGAUGAAUAAAGUAAUAAACUUUAAUAUUUUGAAAUACCUAUUUAUUAAUAUUGAAAAAUAACAUCCUAUUUUUAAAUAUAAUUUUAAAGUGGUGGAUUAUAUUGAAAAUUUUAUAUACAUUCACAGGUCAUUUAUGAUGUAAUGUGAACUGUCAUCAUUUUCUAAGGGCGGCAUCUCAUUUGAAAGUGAUUCUUCAAUCUAAAAAUGGAAUCAAAUUUUUAAUAUAGUCCAUCCAAUUUAAAAUUAUAAUUCUGUAAUUUUUAUUAUUACUAAAAAAUUACCGAUACUAAAACUACUUUGUAAGUUUAAAGUAACAUAUAGGUUUCAGUUUAAAAUUGUAACUAUAAUUUCUUUAACUACUAAAAUUUAAAUUCCGAUAGUUUAAAAGUAAUUGUAUUUCAAUAUUUUAUUUUUUUAAUUCUUAUAAUAAUUUGAAUUUAAAUUUUUAGUUUUUUUAAUUUAGAAAAUAACAUACUAUUUUAAAAUAUAAUUUGUAAGCGGACCAUAUCAAAUUUUGAUAAAUUUUAAAUAAACAAAAAAAAAUCAUUAUUUUUUAAAUAAAAAUCAUUAUUUUGUCUCAAUUUUAAAUUAUUAUUGUAAAUUUUACUGCUAACGUUUUUAUCUCAUUUCAACCAAAAUAUAGUGUAUAAUAUUUAUAAUAGAUCAUCUGUAAUUCUGAGUGACUUUUAGAUUAAAUAUAGUUAAAAUAUUUUUUAUAUUAAACUCUUUUUAGUUUAUAAGAUUAAAUAUAGAUAAAAUAAUAUUUUUAUAUUUUUUAUUCUAUUUUAAAUGAAUUGAUUAAUUUUAUUUAUUUAUUGCUUAUUUUUUUUCUUAUGAAAUAUUUUUGUUUAUUUUUUGUUUUUGUUAAUUGCCUUUAUUUUCUUACCGUUAUCAAAUAAAAAGAUAGAAACUAAAUAAUAAAGAAAAUGGGAGAGUAAAGAGAAUAUAUUUUAUUGAUCAAUUGGAAUUUUUACAAUGCUUCUCCAAAGUCUCUAUUAAUAGGCAUAAGAAGUAUAAAUGAAGUAGAGAUCUAAUUUUAAUGACUAUUAGAAUUUAAAGUACAUCAAAGCUUAUCUUGAUCUUGAUGGACAUCCACUUGAUAAGAUAUUCAUAACACUCCCUCUUAUUAUGUCCAUUGGUUGAUAAUGUGUCUCGUUAAAACCUUACUAAGAUAAAAACUUUGUAGGAAACAAAUUCCUGGUGAAGGAAAAAGAGUACACAUAUCUAUAAUACGCAUAAUAAUGCUGCCUUGUUAAAAAACUUACUAGGAAAACCUAAUGGGACAAAACCUCGGUUAAGGGAAAAGUAGUACAGCGUGUACUUACUCCCCCUCAUGAAAACAUCACAUACUUUCUCAUAUUCUACGUAUUCAAUCUUGAAUACUAGUUUUUCAAAUGACUAUUUGAAUGUAUUUGCUAAGCAUUUAUAUCACCAUUCUUUUGAAAGUCAUGACUGAGGGAAAUUUUGGGGGAAAUACAUUUUGAUCUCUUUAGGAGUUUCAACAAUAAUCAUAGCAAAAUUUAAUCAUGAUUCUUCUAUAAAAGUACAAAUAAGUAUUUUGGAUCAUUUUAUAAUCCUCCUUCAACUACUAUUCAAUAUGUCAAAUUUACCAAAUAUGUUCAAAUUAUUUCAAUUCAUAUAAAUGAAUAAUUUCCUGAGAAUUUCAAUAUGCUUCUGCCAUACUAAAUCCUUCAAGGAUUUUAAUAUCACCUUUACUAUAUAGUGAUUCAUAAAAAGUUGUAACAACAACCAUUAGACGGAAGUUAAAUAUUUUAUGAACUGUUAGUUUAAUAAUAUAUCUAAAGGUUAUUGCAUCCACCACAAAAAAAUCUUAUAUCCUUUCAUAAUCAAUAUCAAGGCUUAGCGAAAAACUUCAUAUUUUUAUUCCGCUUUUGCAAAACUACUUCAUUUGUACCCUCACUAGCUUUAUACCUUAAAGUAUUUGGACUAUCGAUAAAAAAAACUCCACAAAUUUAAUUGUACUUGAGUUUGUGUCUUUCUGUUUUGAACAAUCUAUUCCAUAUCUAUAUUUCUUAAUAAAUUUAUUCAAGAUUCUCUUUUUAUUUCAUGAUUUCAACAAUAAUAUUGCAUGCAAAACCAUUAUCGACCACUUUUAUUAUUGGUUCGACAUUUUCUUAAAUUGACAUAACUUAUCAAAAUCUCUAAUUUUCACUAUUUUAAUCUUCAGUUUCAGGUACCUGAAUCUGGUCUGAAAGUUUACUUAUUAGUUAUGUCUUGGGUCUCUUUUGGAGCACCCAUCUUCACUAUAUGACCAUCUAGAUUUAUCAUGUUCUUUUAUGAGAAUUUUUAUAUUUAAAACUUGUAAUGAGUUAUCCUUGUCGAACUUCUGGUUCAAAUAACUCUCUCCCUAACUCAUUACAAGUUAUUAUCUCUCUUCCCCUAAUGUCAGGAAAACUAUCGAAUCAAAAUAGUAAUCACAAAUCAUUUCAUAAUUGACUCUUCAAUACAUUCAAAAGAUCUAAUAAUACAUUGAGACUUGUAAUUAAUAUAUAUUCCCAACUUUCUUUGAGGAUUCACUCAUAUUUGUGUGUUGUGAUGGAGCAAUUAGAACAUAUAUACAUAUACAAAAAUUCAAAGAUGAGAAAUAUUUAGCUCUUGACAAAAAAACCAAUUGUAAUGGGGAAUAUUUAUAACUUAUUGGCUUGACGCGUACAACACAUAAAUCAACAUAAUCUGAUGUUGAAAUAGGAAGUUUAGUUCUCAUAAGUAAUGGUUUAAAUAUUAAUCAAAUGCGUUCAAUCAAUAAUUUUUCUAAACUGUUAUGCGCAAAAAUAACAAGCUUAACACCCCAAACCCGACCUAGACGUUAUGGCCAUAUCUGGUGUGCCACAUCGAAGUGUCUCUAAAAAAUUUGGCUUGUUGACAAACUUGUUUCUUAUUUUCGGAAACCUCUUUUUAAUAUCUAACGGGGCAUUUAUUCAUAUGCUUACCUUGUUAACUGCUUCUUGUUGUAUUAAGUUGAUUUAAAACGCGGAAGCAUUUCUAAAACUCUAACAUUUAAAGCUCGUGUCUUUGAAAAUAGUAAUCAAUUUGAAAAUCCAUUUUCAAAUAAUUAGCAGUAUAAAAUAUGAAAGUAAAAACACAAUUAAAAUUUAAAACCAAAUAAAAGGUCUUAUUACAAAAACAAAACCCAACUUAUUAAUUAAAAUAAAAAUAAAAGAUAAAAUGAACAGCAGUGAUUGGGUGGCCACCUCCGAGUCCCUCGCUGCACCAAACCGCCUAUGGCUGAGGAUUACCUACACAAUUAGAAAAGAGGGUGAGUUUACGAAAACUCAGUGUGUAAUCCUCUACCAAACAAUUAGCAUACAACAUGCAGAAUCAGUUCCGGCUUGAGCCUUAUACAGUAGUAGUGUGUGGGCCAUAACCCAAUACAGUAACAGAGUGUGGCCCUUAGCCCAAUACAGUAACAGUGCAAAUGCAGUAAUGCAACCCAUCCCAAUCCAGCCAACACACCACUCCGUACCACCAACACACCAUGUGGGGAUAAAAUCGACCCACCCAGCUAACACACCAGUAUCGCAGCAGAGCUACCAGUAAUAGUAACACAACGAAGCUGCUAGUAACAGUAUUUAUAGCAAAGUCACCAGUACAAUAUACUUCCCCUAUAUCAAAAUCCUAACCCUAUGUAGUAUGUCAUGUCAUAGAUCAUACGUGUAUGCAAUAUGUCAUACUCAGUAACAGUCAUAUAAAUAUCAUAAAGCAAAACGGUCUGACAUAGCAUACGGCCAUAACAGUCAUUUCAUCUCUUAAGGGUAUAACGAUCAUUUUAUCCUAUAGGGGUAUUUCAGUUAUUUUACCUAUCGAGGGUAUUUUAGUAAUUUUACCCUUCGAGGGUAUUUCGAUUAUUUUACCUAUCGAGGGUAUUUUAAUAAUUUUACCCAUCGAGGGUAUUUCGAUAAUUUUACCCAUCGAGGGCAUUUCGAUAAUUUUACCCAUUAAGGGUAUUUUAGUCAUUUGCCCACGAAUAGCACGUAGGGCUCACGACUCGAGCGAUCGCAUGCCCAUGUAGUCUCAAACGCCGUGUUCACGGCUUUUCAAGUUUUACCGAUUUGCAGUUGAGUAAGGGUGUGAUUACACACCUUUUCACGAAAGCUAGCGAAACACCUUUUGGCACCAACCUACAUUGAUUUGAAUAUUCGGUCAGCCCUUCAAUAACCAAUAUUUUCAAGUACUUAAACCACACUUAAACAAUCAUCACCUACCACGAUUAUAAAAAAUAUGGCCUACUCUUCUAAGAUUCUUAGCCAAGACACGAUUCCAUGUUCUUGAUUAUUAUCUGUGCAAGCAGCAAUUUUUAUGAAACAACCAUGGUUACUCGAAUAUGAUUUAAGAAAAAUCCAACACCAAAAUCACAACAUUUUUGGCCUACCAACCAACUUACCCCAACGAUCAAACGGUUGGUGAAGGGAAGAUUUGGAACGCCUCCACACACUAGAGAAUCCUCUUUUCUCUUCUCGAGAUUUUAACACCCGAAAUUGAUGAUGAUAAAAUUGGUUAGAAAAGCUUAGGUAUAUUCAACCAAGCACAAUUGAGAAAGGAUGGUAACUAAAAGUACACAAAAGAGCCUUGAAGAAAUCGGUUGGGAUGGGGAGAGUGGGAAGCAGAGAAGAAGAAGAUGGUGAGUAGGUUCGACUUUGAAAGAAAAUAGAAGAAUUGAGGGAAGAGAGAAGAGAAGUGCAUGCACCACUGUUAGAAAAGUAGAGAAAACAGAAUAUGGUGUUCGGCAGAGAAAGAAAAAUGAGACCAAAAAGAAAGUUACCUAUUCGGAAAAUGAAGGAAGGAGGAGAAGUACUGGAAAUUUUGAUCACUUCAAUAGCUAAAACGCAAACCCGAAAGGAACCCCGAAUGGUAGAAAAAUCCCAAAGAACAUUCGGCACCUUGCUUUCAACCCUCUCAAAAGUGAACAAAGAAUUGCCUUGUGCCGAAAAUGCUCCAUUCCUUUCCCCUUAGCCAAAUUUCACUAAGCCUUAGAGUCCCAAUCGGCCAUAACACCCUACCAACCUCUCAGUUACACAACACGCCACCUUGCCACUAGACCACAAGUUAUUUUUGUGUCAUAAAAUAGACACUAAUAUUUAUAAGGCCUAAACGCCACUGUCCAGAUUCAAUUAAGAGCAAAACCAAAAAUUUUGCAGAAGCCAAGACUUGAACCCCCCGACUUCUCAAACACUUCCAAACACUCCUAAAUCACUUAACCACUAAAGCAGACAUUCAUUUAUGUCACUUUCAUACACAACUAAAUAUUUAUGUGCAGUCUUCUAACUGUUCCCUUGUUCAAAACCUAUUUCUUCUAGGCCCAAAAUUUGAGGUGUUACAUGUGUUUUAGCCCUAGCAGCUUCAAAGUUCUGUGUUGCGACAUGGGCCUUCUUGUGUCGCAACACAGUUGUUGUCUCUUGUGCUCCUUGCCCUGAAAUAGCACCAUACACACUCAAAUGGCCUACUAGUUAUUCCCGAGGCCUAGUUGGCCUAAUGGGUCGUCAAAACACUAAAAACAUGCUUAAAAAUGCUUAUUUUGUAAUAAUUUGAAUCUAAGCUACGAAAUAGGAAAAUGCAAUAAAAGAAUAUAAAAUACCUAGAAAAUAAGCGUUAAUUUCCAAAUAUUACUUAAUUUUCCACUGUAAUUUGUGGCAAAUCAAUAUUUUAUGAACUCACUAAACAAGGUUACAAAGACCCUUUAAAUAGGAUAAUUUUGGAGUGUUAAUAUGACUAAAAUGUCUUAGAUUAGCCCGAGUUUAAUUGGGGAAAGAUACUAGAUUUUAACUGGGGGAAAAGACCUGAUUUAUGUGCGAACACGAAGCCACGUCAUGACGUCGUUUAUUGGUUCAUCGUACUUCGGAUCCAAACUCUUGUUGAUUUUCAAGAUUUAAUUCCAAAAAAUUGUUAUCGAUGAUACAUUGGUCAUACGAAUCAAAAUUGGAGACAUCAUGUACGACCUCUUCCAAUGGAGUACCCACUUGAGAUUUUUUCAGAAAAACUCCUCUAAUUGAUCCAACCAUUGUAGGAUUCUCUUUGAUUUGGCUUGGAAUUCUCACUCAUUGCUUUCCUAUUCCGACGCAUAAUCAUAUGAAUCAUAAGGAUUUUCGUCUAACUAUUCAGAUGUUCCCAAUUGUUGCUCAUCUAUCUUUUCCAACAAAGUUAUUGUUUCGUUUCUUCGUUGGUAGCAUAAGCACUUUUUGGUUCUCCAUAAUCCCCCGUUGUUUCUAUACUCCUUCCUUAUAUACUUCAUCUUCAUCCUAAGGGUUCAUCGAACAUCUAAUCCUCUCAGAUAUAUACUUGUUCGGCUUAGGUGGGAGUUCGUUAUAACACUCAGAUUACUCAUCUUUAUAAUUACAAAUCCAUUAGUUUGUCAAAUCUCCGUACAACCAACUCAAUUUGGAUUGCUCAUACACUGACCUAUAAAUAUCAAUGUUCAUAAUUAAAUCUGAUAAUCAACAAAGUAAAAAAAAUAUAUCAAAAUAAAAAUAUUUACUUAACUAAAAAAAUUCAAAAUAAUUAUUUUUUUUCAAAAAAUAAUUAAAUUAAAUUAAAUUAAAUUAAAUUAAAGUUAGAACACUAUCAAGCUAGUUCGUCUUUCGAUUAAUAUUAUUUUACAGUAAUCAACCUAAUAAAAAUUUCACCAUCGCAAUCCCCGACAACGACUUCAACAACUUUAUUGCCUAUAAAUGUGUUAUCGUUUAUAGUAAAAAUAGCACACCAAUAUAUAUAAUUAGAAUGGCGGUGUUCGCAAACGUAUGAGUCAAAUUAUAAUAAAGUAUUGUGUUACAACGGCACACUGGUAAGUAUUCUGAGGAUCGUAUCCAAGGGAUUGCAGAUUGGAGAAACUAAUAUUAAAUUAAUUAUAGAAAAUAAUUACUAAUCUAAUCGAGUCACGAAUUAGAAGUGUGAACCCAAAUUAAUAUUUUAAUUAAACUAAUUAAAUUAACUAACCUAAAUUAACCUCAUGGAUUUUCUUAUCCCUAGUGUCGACAAUGCGAGCCCCUAGUUUAUGAUCAAUUAAAUCUCUAAGUAUCUAAUUAAAUAAUUAAUUAUCCUAGAUUGAGUUAUUUAUCACAUUUAGCUAAGAAUACCCUCCCUAUUCAUUUUCACACCACCUAAGUCAUCCUUCCAGUCUCUUCCUAAGUAUACAAAUACCCUUCCGGUCUCACCGCUCGACACAAGUUAUUCACGAUAGGAUACCUCUCAGUCUCACCUAUCUCGAUAUUCAAUUAGGGCUCUCACUCCCUAAUAUACUAAGUGCUAUUAAAGAAAUAACCAAUUUUGUAUAAAGAAUUACUUAAUAAAUAAAUUAAGUUAUUAAUCGAGUCAUACGAGAUAUGAAAUAAGCACAAUAAUCUAUUCUAAUAUUUAUACAAUAAUUAAUCAAAAGAUAAAUAAAAGAAUAGACAAAUAAAAUAUAGGAGAAGGUCAUGAAUAUAUAUUGAAGCGUGAUCCCAAAGCAAUCUCUACUUGCAAUUGUCUUCACAUCGGAAUAGAAAAGUUUCGACUACAUGAACAUGAAUAUGAAAAGAAAAGAAAAGAAAACUAAAAACUGAAUAGAAAAGUUGUCUGUUUACGUUUGCCCCAAUUCCGGUGACCCUAGGGUUGCUCAUAUAAGGAACCAGCUACUUGGUGGUCAUUCAACCCAAGAUACACUUAGAUACUAAUAAAUACAAUAUUUUGCUAAAAGUUAGGGUCCAAAUAUGGAAAUUUCCCAAAAGUGUCGUCCAAGGAAUCAACCAUAUUUUGGCCUACCAUCGUUGCAUCGCCAGGAUGUGGGAGAGCUCCUCGUCACGAUGUCGCCACCAUGAAUUGCCUCCCAUAAUCAUCACCUCGUCGUGACAAAAGGAAGCUCCUCGUCAGGAUGUCAAGUGCAUGCUGAGUCUUUGGUAGCUUAGUUGGCUUAUCAGGCUUCUUGUCUCACUGCCCAAUCAUCAUUCCUUGUAUUCUUGGAUAUCAAUUGACAUUCUACACACUUAAAUAGCUCAUUAAUCACUCAUAAGGCCUGAGUUGGCCUUACAGGUCAUCGAAAUAGCAAAAAAUGUGUAUAAACGCUUAUUUUAUUAACUUUUAGUUCCUAACCUACUAAUACCGAAAAUGUAAUAUUUAAUUAUAAAAGUGCUAGAAAGCAAACUUGUUAAAUGCAGAAAUGACAUAAAAUAAAUACUACAUUUGACGUCAGGUCACACCCUCCACAAAUUUCCACCUUGACUCAUAUUUAUCAUGUCUUUUUUGCCAAUGCCCAUCAUGGGCUUAACUUGAUCUUUUUAGGAUAUUAAUCAAGUCCAAGCAGUGCUUGAACUUUGCAACCGGAAGGCUUCAAGUUUCUUGAACUGUCAAAUCAAAGUUCACUCGUGUCUGCUUCCCAUAAAUUUAGCGCUCUAUCUUUCCAACUUCUGUACUAUGUAAAGAACCUCUCUUAUUCAAAACGGUCAUACCUUUUUCACUUAUAUGACCAAGUUACCUAUGCCUCAAAUGAGUCGAUUUUGAAUCCGUAACAGACAAGGAAAUUUUACUUUACCAGUCACUGUUGAACUUUGCAUAACAUAAAGAUUACCAGUCUUUUGACCUCUCAUGUAACACCCUAAUUUUUAGGGUUAGAAGAUUUGAGCUUUGUGAUAGGGUUAGUGGCUAGAUGGUACAUUUGAGAUUCAUUUCACGUUUUGAUAUCAGAACGGGCUUGCUGGUCUCGUGGUUGGUAGAGUGUUAGUGUACUUUUAGGUUUUGUGUUCGAACCCUCAUAGGUGUGUUUGGGGAAUUACUUUUAGUAAGUUUUUAUUUUUUUCAAAAGUUAGUUAUUUAUUUUUAUUUUUUUAUUUUAUUUUAAUUUUAAUUUUAGAAAACUAAAAACAUUUCACGUUUGUUUUUCCCAAAAAAUCUCUCUGCACGUUUUUUUCUUUCUUCUCUCCCUCUCUUCUCACGUUAAUUUUUAUCCUUGAGUUUUCUUACUCCGUUGUUUUGUUCUUGCACCAUAUUCAUCUUCAAUCAUUGUGGUUCAUCAAUGGAGUUUGGGUGCUUAUGUUACAAAUCAGGUGUGGGUUCGAAACUCUUUUUUUUCAUUUUUUAAAUUCUGUGUUGAUUCUGGGAAAUUUGACUAAAUGUGUGUGUUUGGAAACUCUAUGAAUUUGAUGUUGAAUUACUGAUUUGAUUCUGUGAAAUUUGACAAAUUCAGUGUGUUCCAAAAUUGGUAAAAACAAGAAUUGAAUAGUAUGUUUUCGAUAUAAUUUGGUAUCUUACUGAGUUACCAAGGGUUUGGGAAUUAUUUCGGCAACAAAUACACGUUCUGCAGCUUGUUCCGAUGUGGUUUCGUGACUACACGGGUGGCCACACGGGCGAUUCACUCAGCUGUGUACAGUUGGGAAUUAGGGUUUUUGGGCAAAUUUUGUUGCCACACGACCAUGUGGUUGAAUUUGAGGAUUUUAGUCGACUUCCACAUAGUCGUGUCCCGUGGGCACAAGGGCGAGUGCAUUUGGGGAUUUUGGGAUUUGUUCUUAUCUUACACAAGUAUGUAUUUUGGACACACAACCGUUUUUAGUGGGCACACGAGUGUGUAAGACCCUCACACGACCAUUUUUGCCUUAUACCUUAAUUUUAGCCAUUUUGGACAAAGAGUUACACGGUCGGAUCACACGACCAUGUCCCUAGGUCACGAGGGAAUGUGGCUUAGUCACACUGCUGUGUACCUCCUUUCACAUGGGUGUGCGCCCCUCCACGUGGGUGUGUUGACCCCUACACGGCCUAGGCUUAUCUACAUGACCGUAACACACAAUCGUGUGGCCCUAUCUCGUAUAUUUUUGUACUAUAUUUAUUUUUAUCUGAUAAUGUUUCUGUGUGUCCCGACCCUUAUCUAAGUCUUAUUAAGGGUCCUCAGGACUUCGUUUCAUCCUAGAUUUGUGUGUAAUUCAAAAUCAUAGCUGAAAUUGAUCGAUUUGUUGUGAGCUAAUGGAUGUUAGGCAAUAAAAGAUUCUGUAUCUUAUCAAUUGAGUAUGUGUUUUUCUGAUUCUGUCUAACUGUCUGCGAUGUGUUCAUCAUUUCUGUGAGAUUGUUCGCAUACAUGCAUUUGUAUAAAUGUUUGGGUUGGUAUAUGAAGAGAAGGAACUCUGAUUUGAUUUGGUAGUUUUAACUGCAACACGUCUGUAUAGUGGUUUACCGCAUAGUACAAUACUUCUGGCAGCUCAACUCAAUACUAUUAUUUACGUGGCUUAGUUCUACAUACGUGGUGUGUAGGGUUGGAUGGGUCUUUUGAGGUCCUAUGUGGUGUGCAUGGUUGGUUGAGCUUCUUAUUACUCAUUCGUGGUGUGAAUAGGGGACGAAGAGGUGUUUGGCUGCAUGAGUGGGAUUGUUCUUCUGUAUGUGCAUACAUAUCAUAUUUCAUAUGUCUGUAGGAUUGCGUGAUUAAUUGCAUAAAGGUUGUGUGCUCGAUGUAUUUUGUACCUAUGUGUAAUGAAUGAUAACUUUGUAAUAUGUCCUUUUUAGCUGGUUGUUGAAAUGGGUUGUUUCUUACACCGAUCAAAUUCUUGUAUAGUUGAGUAUCUACUUUGAAAUGCUGCCCUUGAUUUUGUUUCUGCUAUUGAACUAUUAUUUGGAAUUCUGUUUUGUAACUCUGUCAUUUGUUGCGUUACGAACUCACACUGAGCUAGGGUAGCUCACCCCUCUUAGUUUUCCUUUUUCAGGUAUUUUCGUCUUCUGUAGCUGGACUAGGCACCCCGGAGGUCUCGGACAGCCUCGUUUUAGAACAGGCUAUAAAAGUAUUUUCAUAAAUUCUUAGUUUAUAAAUAAACAGUUUUGAAUUGUGAUUACUAUUUAGAAUACUAUGGUAUGAAUUUUUAUAAUAUCGGGAUUUUAUAAUUGGGAGUUUUUAUGUAACUUAAAUACAAACAUAUUUUCCAAUUUGUUAAACUAAAAAUAAUUUCAGUUCACUUUGGUGAUCAAUGUGACCUCUGAGAUUCGUUCUAAACUUCUAGGCCAGGUUCUAGGGCAUUACAUUUAGUGAUAUCAGAGCCAGGUUUAAAAAAACUUGGCCUCUGUUUUUACAUAUCCGUGUGCGCGCGAGAUUGUUUUAAAAAAACAACCGUACCACAGUGUUUUCAAAUGGUUUGUGUUUUGGAAUAAGUUUUUGUAAGAAUACUGUGGUAUGAAUUUUUGUAAUAUCAGGAUUUUAUAAUUGGGAGUUUUUACGUAACUUAAAUACAGACUUGUUUUCCAGUUUGUUAAACUAAAAAUAAUUUCAGUUCACUUUGGUGAUCAAUGUGACCUCUAGGAUUCGGUUUAAACUUCUAGGCCAGGUUCUGGGAAAUUGUAAGAUGUUUGAGACUCUGAUGCCGGUCUGUGCGAAACUUGGGAAAUUGUAAGAUUACUUCUGUAAACUUAGAACUUCAAUAUUUAGACAUUUAUGCUUGCGUUUGAUUUUGGAAAUUUUAGAUUCUUUGAGCUUAGAUACAAGAUCAAUAUGGAUUCUGAAGGUAAGCGAGAUUGCGGGGAUCAAUUCGGUGAGACUUUCGAGGAGUUGUCUACUUCAUCAAGAUGUGUGCUUGUUCAAGAGUCAAAAGUCAAUGCAAUUUUUCCAACUUCGGGUAGCGAUAACCUGGAGCUCAGUACUGAGGCAUUGACUCGGGUAGUGAGAGAAGUGCUAGAACAAGUGCUCAAUGCUAGGUUAGACAGGCAUAGAAAGCUAGUGCAAAGCAGGUGUGUAGAUUGUGGGAAGAAGAGAGAUCGCAGUAUUUCGAGGUUGGAGACUCAGUCUGUGAAGCAUAAGAGAACACAUUUGAGUAACAAUAAAGGUAUUGCAGAGUGUGCUGGUAGUGGUUUGAGCGUUCCAUUUUGUGAGCACUGUAAGAAGCACCAUCCGGACAAUUUUUGGAAAAAAGUAAGAGUGUGUCUUUAAUGCGGGUCCACAAAACAUUGGAUCCAGGAAUGUCCUCGACGACAUUGAAACAGGUAUGGGUGUAAGUUAUUUGUCAUUGUAUGUUGUUGCUGAAAAUGAUUCGUUCGACUGUUCGUUGGAUAACGUUUGUGCGGGUGUGAUGAAUAAAUAUGUAUCUGUUUCAUUGGUUAAGUGUUCUGAUUGUGUGUUUGAGGUCUUAAGUUUGGAAUGGUACUGCUCGAGUUAGAGUGCACAACGGAAGCGUAGUGGUAACACCCCGAUUUUUGGGGUCAGAAGAUUUCUUUAAGGAGGGGUGAGUUGUAACACCCUGAUUUUUGGGGUCUGAAGAUUUGAGCUUUGUGAUAAGGUCAAUGGCUAGAUGGUACAUUUGAGUUUCAUUUCGCGUUUUGAUGUUAGAAUGGGCAUGUUGGUUUGGUGGUUGGUGGAGUGUUAGUGUACCUUUAGGUUCUAUGUUCGAACCCUUAUAGGUGUGUUUGGGGAAUUACUUUCAGUGAGGUUUUAUUUUGUUUUUCAAAAGUCAGUUAUUUAUUUUUAAUUGUUAUUUUAUUUUAAUUUUAGAAAACUAAAAACUUUUUAUGUUUGUUUUUUUUCCAAAAAAAUCUCUCUGCACAUUUUUUUCUUUCUUCUCUUCCUCUUUUAACACGUUAGUUUUUUUCCUUGAGUUUUCCUGCUCCGUCGUUUUGUUCCUACACCAUAUUCAUCUUCAAUCGUUGUGGUUCAUCGUUGGAUUUUGGGUGCUUAUCUCGCAAAUCAGGGGUGGGUUCAGAACUCUUCUUUUUCAUUUUUGAAUUUCUGUGUUGAUUCUAGGAAAUUCGACAAAAUAUGUGUUCGAAAACUUUAUAAUUUCAAUGUUGAAUUAUCAAUUUGAUUCUGUGAAAUUUGACAAAUUCUAUGUGUUUUGAAAUUGUUAAAAAUUAGCAUUGAAUCGUAUGUUUUCGGCAUAAUUUGGUAUCUUGUUGAGUUACCAAGGGUUUGGAAAUUUUUUUGGCAACAAAUGCAUGUUUUGCAGCCUAUUCCAUGUGGUUUCAUGACCAAACGGGUUGCCACAUAGGCGUGUACUGUACACGACCGGUUCACAGGGCCGUGUGCAAUUUGGAAUUAGGGUUUUUGGGCAACUUUUGGUGCCACACGGCCAUGUGGCUGAAUUUAGGGGUUUUAGUCAACUUCCAUACGGCUGUGUCCCAGAAGCACACGGGCGUGUGUAUUUAAGGAUUUAGGGAUUUUUUCUUAUCUCACACGGGCGUGUGUUCUGGACACACAGUCGGGUCUGGUGGGCAAACGGGCGUGUGAGACCCUCACAUGGUCGUGUUUGCCCUAUACCUUGAUUUUAGUCAUUAUGGACAGAGAUUUGCACGGCCAGAUCGCAUGGCCAUGUCCUUAGGUCACACGGUCGUGUGCCUCCUUUCACAGGGGCGUGUCCCCCUCCACAUAGGCAUGUUGACCCCCACACGGUCGUAGCACACAGUCGUGUCACCCUAUCUCGCAAAUUUUUGUACUGUAUUUGUUUUUAAUCUGAUAAUGUUUCUGUGCGUCUUGACCCUUAGCUAAGUCUUAGUAUGGGUGCUCGGGACUCUAUUUUUGCCUAGAUUUCUGCGUAAUUUGUAAUCAUAGCUUAAAUUGAUCGAUUUGUUGUGAGCUAAUGGAUGCUAUGCAAUAAAAGAUUUUGUAUCUUAUCAAUUGAGUAUGUGCAUUUUGAUUUCGUAUGACUGUCUGAGAUGUGUUCAUCAUUUCUAUGAGAUUGUUCGCAUACAUGCAUUUCCAUAAAUGUUUGGGUUGGGAUAUGAAGAGAAGGAAGUCUAAUCUGAUUUGGUAGUUUUAACUGCAACACGUCUAUAUAGUGGUUUACCGCACAGUACGAUACUUCUGGCAGCUCAACUACAUAUUGUUAUUUACUUAGCUUAGUUCCACAUGCGUGGUUGUAGGGUUGGAUGGUUUUUUCGAGGUCCUAUGUGGUGUGCAUGGUUGGUUGAGCUUCUUAUAGCUCAUUCGUGGUGUGAAUGGGGGACGGAGAGGUGUUUGGCUAGAUGGGUGGGAUUGUUCUUUUGUAUGUGCAUACAUAUCACAUUUGAUCUAUUAGUAGGAUUGCGUGAUUACUUGCGUAAAGGUUGUGUUCUCGAUGUAUUUUGUACCUGUGUGUAAUGAAUGAUAACUUUGUAAUGCGUCCUGCCUUUUAAUUGGUUGUUAAAAUAGGCUGUUUCGUACGCCGAUUGAGUUUUUGUAUAGUUAAGUAUCUACUUUGAAACGCUGCUGUUGAUUUCGUUUCCGCUAUUGAAUUGUUAUUUGGAAUUCUAUUUUGUAACUCUGUCAUUUGUUACGUUUUGAAUUCACACUGAGCUAGGGUAGCUCACUCCCUUAGUUUUCCCGUUUUAGGUUUUUCCGUCUUUUGUAGCUGGACUCAACAAACCGGAGGUCUCUGAUAGCCACGUUUUAGAACAGGCUAUAAAAGUAUUUUCAUAAAUUCUAAGUUUAUAAAUAAACAGUUUUGAAUUGUGAGUACUAUUUAGAAUACUAUGGUACAAAUUUUUGUAAUAUCAGGAUUUUAUAACUGGGAGUUUUUACGUAACUUAAAUACAGUUUUGUUUUCCAUUUUGUUAAACUAAAAAUAAUUUCAGUUCACUUUGGUGAUCAACGUGACCUUCGAGAUUUAGUCUAAACUUACAUCUCAUCAGAACGAGAGCGUCAUGAGAUACCUUAAUGUUGAUUGACUCGAUGGUGAUACUACAACCUAUCAAGUCUAAUUUUCUUAAGGAGAUGAGGUUCUUUUUCAAGUCAGGCACAUGCCUGACAUCUGAUAGUGACAAUGAUUUCGUCGUGCAUCAUAAUCUAAAUAGUGCCAGUAUUGAUUAUCUUACAUGGUGAAUUAUUCCACCAUAAGCACAACUCCACCUUGAACUAGACUAUAUAUGGAGAACAAGUAAUUGUUUGGACAUAUAUAGAAAGAACACCUUAAAUCCAGAAUCCACUCGUGCAGCACCCUAUACCUGGCCUGGCCGCCAAGCCCAAAUAUGGGAUGCCACACCACCGUCUUAUGUCAUAUACAAUUAGUAAAAGUUCAACCUACAGGAAGCAUCAUCCAUCUUAGUAUUCGUAUAGGUUUUAAGUCAAUUAUACUUGUUAGUUAUCAAUGUUACAUGCUAACCAUACAUCAAAUAGUCUUAUAAUAAUAAUUAAACAUGCAUAAGGUCCAUUUAACAAAAUCUAAAAACUGUCACAUAGGUAUCAAUACUGACGCUAGGGUAUUGAUAUUUCCUUUAAGUGGUAUCAAUAUCAACUAGAAAAAUAAUACCAAACUUGCAUUAUGUUUCUCGAUUAAAAACCAAAGUCUCAAAAAUUAUCCGUACCUGUCAUAAAGUAUCGAUAAACUUACCCCGAGUAUUGAUACUCGAGAAAAGGUAUUGAUACCAUAUCUUUAUUCUGACUUCCUACACAUUUCAAAACACAAAGGUAUUGAUUUUAAAACUCGAUUAUUGAUACCCCUGUUCCAGACCUCAAAAAUGCAGCAUACAUAUGCAAUUAAUCCAUUCUAAUUUAGUUCCUAAAUGUCAUAUAUCAAUUACUUUGACAAAUAAUCAUUCAACAACCUAAUUAACAGUUCAAUAUCGCAAAACUGUGUUCGUGCAAGUAACAUCAAUCCAUUAUCAUUUUCAUGAACUCAAGCAUAAUAAUAACAUGUAAUCCUGAAAAACCGAACCAAAGACCAGCAAAAUGUCUAAAAGUUAACAUGGCUAUAAACAAGUCUACCACAUUGCCUUUUUUCCCCAAAACGUAAAUAAAUAUAGAACACCUACGAAAUAAUGCAAAAGUCUUGCUUAGAUCACAUCCCGGAACCACACCGCUCACACUGGCACACAACUAAUCUGCAAUGGUUAGAGAAGGGAGUGGGUGAGCUUAACAAGCUCAAUGAAUGCCUAAAACAACUACCACGCAAAUAGUUCAUCAAGCAUUAACGAAACAACCAUAUAGCAUAACCUUAAUAGUUCCAACUUUAGUGUUAUAAUAUACUUACUUGUGCAUUAUUAUUAGUUCUUUUACAUGGUAAAAAUAUUCAUUUCUAAGCAUAUAUCUUAUUACACAUAUAAUCACCUGUCAUUCAAGCAUAUAUCACAAUAUUUAAAAGCAGGUUUAUAGAUAAAUUACAUAAUGGUCACAUACUCAUUUAGGCAUACAUCAUGUUACACAUAUGUACAUUUUAAGAUAAUUUGACACUUGAGUUAUGAAACAUAAAAGUGAGUUCUAUCAUCACUCAUUGGAUACGCGGAUCUCCAACACACCAAACAUAGACUCAUAAAGUCAAACCUGUCCCUAAAGUGAAGCAUAAAGCUAAUUCUCUUUUAUUUCCCCUUUUAUGUCCCGUUGAAUGGACGUUAGCUCACAUUCCUUUAUCCCUCCAACAUGUCUCAAGGCCUCAACACCCAAAAUCACUAUACAUAUAGGUGAGUCCUCACAAUCCUAUGGCAUGCCAACUAUAUCUAACGGUUUCAAGAUCACAAGGCCAAAAUAUCCAAAGUCAACCACAUAUCACUUACCGAUUAUUCAUGUAUAAUCACUGCAGAUUUGCAUCUUUAGCAACACAUUAUCACUAACAUUUAACAUAUACAUGUUAUACUCUCACAACAUUUAUCAUAACCACAUAUCACAUUUUAUAGCAUCUUAUCUCAAUUCACAAGAUAACGUAGGUAUGAGAAAGCUUACACUCAAAAUUUCGAGUAGGGAUUUAGGCUACUACUAAAUUCCCAAAUAAUGAAUCAUGUCCACGAGUAAUUAUUCCAAACACUCACCAAUUACGCUUUUGCCGAAAAGACAAAAUCUUAAAACUAGCUUUUCCUUACCUUUAUCUCUACUCAUAGAACUUCAACACAACAAAUUCACACAACAAUACAUCAAAAACUUAGUCAAUGACUUGUUACAAGCAUACAAAACAUAAGCCUAAACUAAGUUCUCAUGUAAUCGAAACCUUUAACAUAACCAACUUAAAACUAAAAUAUCUCAGUCUAUACUCAAUCAUUUCGCCUAAAACCAAUUUCGUUUAUCUUAUAAUUCGCCUACGACUAAUUGUCAACCUUUAUAAUACAAUAAAAUACUAAUUUCAUUGUAUCAACUUUUUCGACAUGUUUUAUGCCUAUUUUCUAAAAAUUUAUUAAAACUUAAGAAUUCUUUAACAAAACUUCAAAGUAAGUUUACAAACCUUCUAAUAAAUUUAAAAAAAGUUGAAAACACUUUGAAACUAAGUUUUUAUGCAAAAUCCCAAAAUUCACCAUUAAAGACCUGAUUUUUGGCUUUUAUUUAAAACAUGCAAUUUAAUGGCUAAAAACUUGGUUUUAAAGACUAUAUAACAUUUAAACCUAAUUAGAAGUUGAACCAUUACCUUAGAUAAAGAAAAUCUAUGCAUUUCAUCAAAGACCCAAAAAACUCGAAAGCUUAACGAUGGAGGAACUAUGGUAUUUUUGGGUGUUUUUCUUGGUUUUUUAUAGAGAUUUAAGGUUUAAUGGUGAUAGAAAUAAAAAAGGAUUAGAAAUUGGAGUUCAAAAUUGAUUGAAGUAGCAAGGGAGAAUUAAGGGACGACGAACACAAAUUUUGGGGAAAGUUGACGUGAAAAAUUGUAGGUGGGAAGGAAUAAAUAGGUCGGUUUUUAAAUUUUGGUCUAUUUGCUUUUUAAAAACUCACAAAUUUGAAUCUUUUACAAAUCAGUUCUACUUUCAAAAUUAAAGGUAUUUUAAACUCAUUUUCAAAAAUUGAUUUAAUUUUCUAAAAACCAUAGUAAAAAACAUUACUGAUAAACCAUGUCGCAAAAUUUCGAACACUCCAAGGAUAAAAUUUCUAAAAUACCCUUAAAACUCCUAGACCCUAUUUUGGGGUGUUACAACUCGAAUGUAAGUUUAGACCUUCCAAUCGUAGACACCGACAACCAAUUAUCACCUUUUUACCUCAGCCACACUAGUAUUAACUACCUCAGCCUUCCAUUCCUCGUCGCUCUUAGAAGCCCUUCUGUUUCUAUUUUUCAAACUAUAACAUUAUGCCUUUAUGUGACUCAAUUUCUUGUAGUAGUUAGAUGGCUUGUCAUGAUUCCUCGACUUCGAUCUUGACCUAGAAUUAUUCUGAUCUGCAUCCUUAGACUAUUGCUUGCCUCUAGUGACCAAAAUUGACCACAACUUGGACAUUCACUACAUCUCGCACAUGGGCACAACUCGCAUGUUAGCAUAGAUCGCAUAUUGACUACAACAAACAUAUGGGCGCAUCACGCACAUUAGUGUAGCUCGCACAUGGUUACGGUUCAUUUAUAAGCUUAGCUUGCAUAUUGUCAUAGCUCGGGCGUUGCCACAGCUUGUGCAUACAUUGCAGAUACAGUUUCCAUGCAACUUAUUGUAACAUUAGCACGCACAAUUGUUUCACAAUUUCAGUCCGCACAUACGCUACAGUGUCAGUUCACUUAUAGAACUUAAUCUAAUUAGCAUGCACAUACCUUAUAUAGGCAGUUCGCAUAAGGAACGUAAUGUAAUUAGCACAUACAUACUUGGUUUAGACAGUUCACACACGGGCCCUUAAUAUAAUCAGCACGCAUAUACUUGUUUUAGACAAUUCACACAUGGACUCUUCCUUGUGCUAGCUUAUGAUCCUUUCAUCUCUCCGAAGAGCCCAUAUUUCAUUUAUACCAACGUACCUUCGCAAAUCCUCCUUGUUAAUUUGAAUGCAUUCAUGUUCCCCUGUAAGGUCGGGGUCUUUUGCCAAUCUCAGUUUGCAUUUACAUGCCUUACUAGAGGAAAAACACAUAUCAGUUCAUAUCAUUAAUCUCCAUUCGAUUCUCCCAUCACAAUCACACUUCAACAGUCACCUCCGUUUCCCUUAUUUCCUCCAUUUUGGAUAUUGAGCUUGUGCACCAAGGAAGGAGUAUCCAUUUUGAUCUUUUACACACAAACAAUUUCCAUAUUUAUAGCUCUCCCACUCAAGAAAGCACAUCCAAUGAUUAAUUUACGUAGGUUGGUACAUUUCUAUUCAUCGAUUCUAACUAGUUUAUGGAAAUAAGCUUUACAUAGAUUUAAGCAACACGAAAUUAGUAAACCAAAAGACAUAGCAAAACUUUACCUAGUCAGACGAAAACUUUAAGUAAUUCAUUAAUUAACAAGUAUAAGUUAAGGGAACUCACAAAAGUUUCCAGAAAUGUUUCUGUUUAUUUUACAGGUUCCUUUGUCACAUCCAAACUAGAAGAUAAAGAUAAAAUUUAGAUUUUAAUGCAUAAUAAGAAUAGGGAAAGCGAACCUAUAGUGCCUUAAAUUUAUUGUUGAUAAGGAAUUAAAAAGAAUAGACCACUAGGCUUAAUUGUUAAGUGUUAAGCAAGUUAAAGUCCUAGGUUCGAACUCCCUUAAUUGCACCCAUUUGCUGAUUUUUUUUUCCAGUUUCCCCUAAUGUUUGACCAAAACCCUUAAAAAUAGUUUUUUAAAGGCUAAUGUCUAGAAUGAGUUUGUUGGUUCAAUAGUUAAGACUUAGCAUCCCCUUCGAUCCCAGGUUCAAAACCUUUUGUGCGCUUUUAGCUAAAAUAUUUUAUUUUCUUAUUUUACCCCCAUAAAGUACCAAAUUUUCAAACCAAGCCCAAAUCGAAAACUAUAUUUUUUUAUUUUAGACUUUAAUUUAAAUCAAUCUUAAUUCUAAACUAAUUACUAAUUCUAUUUUAAUUAGGGAAGAAUUUUUAUAAAUAGCCAAUUUUUUCAAAACCUAGAAUUCUUAUUUAUAAUUUUUUUCAAGAAAAGCUCUCAAAAUUCUCUCUUCUUAUUCAUUACUGAAACCCUCAUUGCAAUUAGGGUUCUUAAAAGUUCAAUAUUGGCCUAUUUUCUCCUCCAUUGUCAAACCACAUUACUUAACCAAAGAUUUCAAGAUUUUCUAUUGCAUCCGUCUCCUCCUAGUGGUUGCAAACCCUAUAUACGAACAUGUUAUGUACAUGCUAGCUGAAUUAGCAUGUUAACAACCUAAUGUUAAUACAUCGAUACAAGUUUUUAGUUUGCAUGAAGAAAUUGUAUAUGUGAAAUUGAUAUGAAUGAAUGCAUGAAUACAUGACAUUAUAUGAUAAUAUGAAAUAAUAAAUGUGCUUGACAAGAAUAGUAUCAAUUGUUGAUAAAUAGCAUGAUAUGCUGAGUUUAUGUGCAUAAUUACAUGAAAUUGAGUAUGGAGGACGGAGGAGUUUCGUAGGAGAAAGUGGCAAUUGAAGUCCACACCGAAAGUUAGUACUGCAUGAAGUAGGUGACAAUAUCAUCGAAAUUGGGUAAAUCGGAAUGAUAGUUUAAAAAGGCCAUCAAAAUCGGGCAACUCGGGAUGGUAAGUUAUUGUAAUAAAAGUCAUCUUCACAGAUGACAAGUGAACGACCAUAGUCACGGGGAAAUUCAGGAUGGUCAAUUAUUGAUAUUGGUUUUAGAGUGUCGAGCGAUGCUCGAGGGCGGAUAUGAAGGAUGGGUGGGAACUUAAAAUUAAAAUUGUAGUGCAUCAUGAACAUAACCUAUACAUGCAUUGAUUUAUUGAAUAUUCCUUACAUUAUGCUUAAUCUGCUAUGAUGUUAUAAAUUGUAUGUUUUAUUAUUUGAACAAUUAUAUAUAAUGGUUUAAAAAUUAGACUUGCAUUGGGCUGCCAUAAGCUCACUUUCCCCUUUCCUUACCUCUCAGGUAAUGCAAAAAACUAGGACUAGGAAUGGCAUUAGAGGAACCUCGAACUAGCAUCUCAAUUUUUUUAUUUAACAGUUUCCAUUAAAGCUUUCUUUAAUUGUUUUAUUGGUUUAUUUAUCGGGUUGUAAAUUAUUAAUUAUUUUUUUAUUUUAUAACUAUGGUUUGGGAUUAUUUAGCUUAUUAAUUUCUAAGCAUGAUACUUGGUUAAUACCCUGAUAAUUGCAUUCUAAUUAGUUUAGAAAACUAUUAUUCUUAAUAAUGUUUUCCUCUACUUUGCUAAAAACUUAAAGUUUUGAUAAGUCUUUUUAAACCUUAACUGUUUUUCUCAAAAAUUCACAUUAAUAAUAUUGUAAUUGGAUUACUAAGUAAAGCCGGUGUGAUUAUUGAUUUUUUUAUUAAAAACAAAAUAGUUAUUUUCAUACAAUUCAACUCAAGCAUAAGAAUGACUUUAUUGGAUCACUUUGGUGAUCAAUGUAACGCUGUUGACUUAGCCAAAACUCUUAGGCCAGGUCAGGGGUGUUACAUCUUUUCCCUUUCUACUAGGGCCUUCCCCCACUUCUUUAGUCAAACACAUUCAAUACCUCAGUUACCAAACAGAAACAACCACAACAACAACCAAGUCCUUAUCGAAAAUUGAGAAAUCUAACAACUAUUGCAACAUGCAACAAUUGCAAAGGAGAAUACUCCCUUCACCCAUACUUUCAAUUUAGUCCUAUAUAAACAAUUUCUAAAAUUUUACUGAAAUUAUGGUUAAAGAAAGACUCAAGAAAGUUACUAGCAACUACUUGAAAAAGAACAACUUCUAAGCAAGUUAAAAUCAUGAUUUCCUUCCACAAACAGCUAGAGUUAUAAUCUUCAAUUUCUCAACGAAGGUACACAGGAAAGGAAAAUGGAAUUGAAGUCUUCUCCCCUUUUUCCUCUCCCCUCGACCUCCUACUCUACUCUUAGAAUAAUUUAAGAUUAAAAAUAAUUUAAUCAGUCAAUGCCCUUAGCCAACCACUAAUAGCAACACAUGCACACACAAUUCCACUACCCACUAACUAUUCCCAAGGCCAACAAGUCUCAUGCACGAUGACACAUUUCCCUUCCCAAGGCUUAAUACAUGCCCAAACACGUGUCAUACACACCACGAGGAGUUAAGGUAACAACGAGCUCGCAAAAUAACAAGCUCUUUGUCUAAAGAGCUCGGGGAGCAGUGAAUAACUAACGAGCUCACAAACUAGUGAGCUCACAAGGCAGCAAAGACAACUCGCCACAUACGAGGUGGAGGCUUGCGAGAUGGUAAGACAAUAGCGAAGCAACUCAUGAAGGGAUGUUCAAAGAUAAAACCAGUCUAAUUCUCACGAAUUAGACGAGCUCACACAGGUUCCUUACCGUUCCCACUUGAUUAACAUUCCAAAAUACAGUUCUAAAAAUUUGGGGUGUGACAGGUGAAAAGUUGGUUGACUUGCGAACUGAUACGGACUACUUGACCCAGUAAAAAAAUCAGUUGAACAUAUUUUGCACUGGUUUGGCCAAUUGGUUCCUAGAACAAUUGGUUUGAUUGGUUCAAAGCAAAUAAAUUAUGAAAAAUAAAAAAAAUAUUAAAAUAUAUAAAAAUCGGUUCAAUUUGCAGUUCAACUGAUUUUAGCCUACUUCAACCAGUCCAUGCCAGUUCGCAGGUCAACUGGCUUUUAAAAUUUUUAAACAUUUUUAGCCUUCAAGAUUUACAUUUUUUUGUCAAUUUUAUCCAUACCCUUUAAAAGUACAUAAAUUUUUAAAAAUGAUUAAUUUUUUAUUUUAAAAAAAGCAUAAAAAUUGAAAAAAAGUAUAGAUUUUUUUAAAUAUAAAAAUAUUGUAACGCCCUAAAUAAUUUAUUUAUGUUUUUGUAAAUCCUAACAUAAAUGAGUAUUUGCUUCAGUGGCUAAGUGCUCUGGAUGUGUGUUUGAGGUCUUGGGUUUAAGUCCUACUUUUUGGAAAAAUUUUGUUAUUUUUUUUAUUCUAGCCUUAUCUCUACUGGAUAGGCUUAUGUAAUAUUGUCUGUAAACUCAUAUAAGAAUGAGCCUGCUGAUUUGAGUGGUAAGGAGUUAGUGUGUUGGAGGUCUUGUGGCUGAAUCCCUGCCCGAGCUUGAGUGUUAAUUUUUGUUCCGGUUGUCUAUUAGUGGUUCGGUGGAGUUGGGAGUCUAAAGUAGUUGGAUGUGGUUAGUGGGGAGGAUAUUAUGGGAUGUGGUUGUUAGUGGGGAAUUGAGAUGUUAAUCAAAAAUCAAUUUAUUAUCUUUUUAUUUUAUUUUUUAAAAUUUUUUUCUCUCUCUUCCCAAAAGUCUGACGUUAGCUUUCUUUUUCUCUACCACAUUCUUUUUUCUCUUAUUUUUCCUACAAUUCUAUCUUUGAUCUGCUGUCGUAUCAGUGUAUUUCAGAAUUUUGGUGUUUUACUUGCAGUUGGGUAAGUAGGGAUUUCACUUGUCUGUAACGAUUCUUGUAAGUUGUUAGGUUUAUUCAUUUCGUUUGAAUUUCUAAAUGGUGUGAAGUAAGGGAGUUUGAUUUUCUGCGAUGUAUUGCGUAGGAGUUGUUGGUGAACCUACGAAUUUCGCUCCUAUAGCAUAAAUCACAGUAGGGGUUGUUCUUAUCGGUGGUAAGUGUGUUUGCGCAAUUCAGUUUUACGAUGUUAAAUUCGUAUUUGAUUGCUAAAAUGGUGUUGGGUAUUCUAUUUUUAAGUGCUAGUGGUCUCGGAAGUGGUUUCGCAUCAAAACUGAACUAGGUGUGUAUCUCUAACACGAGAAAACGAGAUUCAGAGAAAGCAAAAAAUGGGGUUUAUUGACACCACACGGGCGUGUGCCCAAUUGUGUACGAGACACGACCGUGUGACUGGCGAAGGUGUGGCCAUGCUCAUGACACGGCCAUGUGACGGUGUGAGUAUGGUCGUGUGGGCCACAUGGCCUAGGCCAGGUUAGGCGUGUGGGUCACACGGGCAUGCCUCUCGGGCGUGUGGGUUUUAGGCCAUGUCGUGUAGGCCACACGGGCAAGGCCAAUCUGGGCAUGUGGGCCCAAAAUUUUAAAAUAUUCCCUAGGGUCGCACGGGUCGUUCUGAUAGACUGCGGACCUACCGUAGGGUCGAUAAUGGCUAACCAAACCAUAAUUCAUGUGAUCUGAGUAGGACACCGAUACGUAUGUCUAACUGUUCUAUUUGAGUAUAUAUAUGUUAUCUAUAUACAAGCAUGUUAAGCAUGUUAACUCUGUUAAUUUUGUAUUCUGUAUUUGUGUUUGGGGUGGUAUUUGCAUAUGUGGAGGAAGUGAUCUAUACGGCGACCUUUCGCCUAUAUUGAUGUAGCUUGACUGCAUAUUAUUCUAUCAUGUGUUGUAUCGACACUAUAUGGUGUGUUGGGAUGGGUGAGUGUUUUUAACCCCACAUGGUGUGAUAGGAUGGUCGGAGAUGGUGUGUAGAGGAUGGGGGUAGGAUUCUGUAUAUCUGUUCUGCUUAACUAAUUUUGAUAUUUGUAUCUGUUAUGGACUUCGGUCCGAAUUUGCAACUGACGGUAUAUGAAAUUCUAUAUAUGUUGCAUGACUAUUUCUAUUGGGUUACACACUAAGUUUAUGAAAACUCACAUCUAUUUGUCUGUUCUGUUCAGGUAAUCCACAGACUUAGGCGGGUCGGUGGGUCGGAGGUUCAGCGGUGACCACUUUAUCGAGAUUUUUUUAUUUUAUAAUAAUGGUUUUAUUUUAAAAUCUGGCUUUCGUGAGAGUUCUUUAAUUUUUGGACUCUCCGGACUUUUUGGAUUGUUUGGUUUGAAUUCUUGGGUUUGAUUGCAUUAUGAUUUCUAAACUGCGAAGAUUCAACAAAAUACUGAUUUUACGUGAACAAAUGUUAUUUUUGGAAACAAGAACAUGGUUUGUUUUAAACGAUUUUCAAACUUUUGCUGUGAAAUAAUUGGUUAUAAAGGACAACAUAUAACGGUUUCAGUAAUAUAUAAAUGAAUAUAUUUUAUAAUACUUGAACGUUUUAUCAAAUAACUAAACAUGGUUUUAUCGAAGUAUAGGUGGUUUCAAAACCCUUCUUCGUAGCACUCCCAGAUUCGGCCAUAGCUCUAGGUCGUGUUCGGGGUGUUAUAAAAAUAUUUAAAAUAUAAAAAUAUUUAAAAAAUAAAAACUCUUGAAAUUUCAAAAAUCAAAAGAUCUUAAAAAUAAAAAAAAUUCCAAAAUUUAAUGUUAUAUAAAUCAGACUGGACCGAUUGGAUCAAGAAUCAAUUGGGGUAUAUUGGUACAAACAGGUUUUUAUAAUUUAUAAUUUAUUGUUUCUAAUAAUCUAUUUACUUUGAACCUGUCGGACAAAUCGUUUUGGGAACCAAUUGGUUAAACUAGUUUGAAUUCAGUUCAAUUGCUAGUUCAACCAAUUUUUAGCUUGGUUCAACCAGUCCAUACCGGUUUCUGGGUCAACUUUUUUUUUUUGCGUCUGGUCGGACCAAUACCCCAACCGAUUCCUGGUCCUAUUGGCUAGUUUGGUCUAGUUUAGAUAAUAUUGAAUUUUUGAAUUUUUUAUAUAUUUUUUUAUUUUAAAGUGUUUUUUUUUCUAUAUUGUUUAUUUUUAGAUUAUGAUUUUUUAUUUAAUAUAUGAAAAAUAUUUAAUUUUUAAAUUGUUUAUAUACUUUUAAAGGCUAAGAUCAAAUUGAAAAUAAUUAUAAACAUUGAAGAUUAAUAGUAAUAUUUAACCUUUGACACCAUUAAUUCUUUAAAAAAAAGAAUAAAUAUUUUUAAAUAAAAAAGUAAAAUUAAAUGGAUAAAAUAAUAUUUUAAAAUAAAAAUAUAAAAAUUGAAAGCAUAUUCUAACUAUUUUAAAUUCCAGACUUGGAUCGACCAAAACCCCAUUUCAAACUCUCAAAGUCUUUGAAGAACCGACUAAGAAAUUAACAAAAUGUAAAUUCAUAUUUAUUUACUUAUUUUUCUUAUUUUCUUGGGUGAGGGCCUGAUUGGAACGUGAACAAACAAAAAGAUUGUUAUAUAAUAAUCUUAAAAGAAUUUGUGUAGUAUUUUUAAAUUAUUCUGUUAUAUUCUGCUUUUUUACUCAAAAUGAGAGAGAAUUUAUACGGUAAUUCACCUCCUUUAUCAGUGCAAGAUGUUAAGGUGUAAGAUAUUCUAUAUUCUAGAAACAAAUUGUGCAUUUCUGUAGGUUGGGAAAAGUCAAACUAGGUAGUUAGGUUGCCGUAGACAUUUGAUCUUAAUUAUUAUCCUUAGUACAAUAAUUUGACACUAAUUAUAUUAUAUUCUAUUUUAACAACACUAUUAUUAUUAUAAUCAACUACGUUUUCUGCAGGCUACUUGCUUUCUGGAUAGUCCAAGUCUUCCCACGAAUUUGCCAUUAAUUCCAUUCUAUUCUAUUUUGUUUACUUUUCUCAUUACGAUAAUAAACUAGUUAAUUGAAGUUGCAUUCCUAUUUCACCUUAAAAUUUCAUCCAAUUAUUACUUUGGUAUUAAAAGAAUAUUUAUGAUCACAAUUCUAUAAAGUAAAUAAUAGUAAUUUAACUUGAAAGUUUGUCUAAACCUUAGAUUUACCUUAAUUUCAUUUGAAUCAAUUAGAAAAAAGAAUAGAAUGUUAAAUAAGUAAAGGGUAAAUGUAAGUCAAAAUGAAUAGCAAAUAAUUUCAACUUUCUAUUUUAAUUCUAAUUUUUUUUUAUUUUUAAUCAACUUAUAAUUCUUUAAAUUUGAAAUAAAUCAAAUAAAAAAUAGUCUAAUAACUUGUACUUAAAUUGAUCAAACUCAAAAGCAUCUAAAUUUAAAAUAAUUAAACUCAAAAUGAACUCAAAUCUCAAAUAAAAAUGAUUGAUUAAAGAGACAAUUAUGACAACUACGAAUUCAUCUGCAUGGAAAUUUAUGGCAAUGGUAACAUUAGUUUGGAAUCUAAAACGAUUGAAAAAGAAAAACAUAAACAACUUUAUACAAUUUAAUUUAAUUCUUUUAAGUCUUGACAAGUCUUGAAACAACUAAUUCCAUAUACAAUAUAAUUUCUGGAAUUUUUUUUAUAAUGAUUGUAUUUUUUUUUUAUCGUGAAAAACUAAAAUUUUUAAAAAUAAUAGAAAACCAUCCAAGUUGUUAAAAAGUACAAUAGAUAUUUAUAUAUCCAUAUUGUUCCAUGUUUUUUUCUAUAUUUUAAAUGAUUUUUCUUUUUCUUUUUGAAUUUUCACUAUUUUUUAUUUUAUGUUUUCUAAAAAGAAAAGCAUUUUUUUUAGUUCCAGGAAAGCUUUUAAUUUUUCUUUAUUUUUAAAUUUUUUGAGAUUUUCCUUUUUCCUUUUUUUUUUUUUUGCAAUUUUCUCUUCUUUUUACAUUUAUUUAAGAAAAAAAGAAAUUUGGGUGACGUAAAGUGCCACAUCAUUUCUUUUAGCAGCAGCAAGGGCUGAGGUAACUUCAGAUAUCAAAUUGAUAAAUCCUUUUUCACUACACCAGAAUAGGCUUUUAGCGGCACUUUUUGCGGCGUUUGGAACAAAAGCGCCACAAAAAAUCGAGCAUUAGCGGCAAUUUAGCGAAAGUGCCGCUAAAGGUAGAGCAUCAGCGGCGAUUUUCGGGAAGCGCCGCUAAAAAUAGGAAUUAGCGGCGUUUUAUAUAAACCGCCACAAAAAACCUAAGAACAACGACGUCGUUUUUGCAAUUUUUUAAACCUUUAGCGGCGUUUUUAUCUAAGCACCGCUAAUGCUCGGGUCUUUAGCGGCGUUUUUAUCUGAACGCCGCUAAUGCUCUGGCCUUUGGCAGCGUUUUUAUAUAAGCGCCGCUAAUGCUCGGAUCUUUAGCGGCGUUUUUAACUGAGCGCCACUAAUUCUCUUGUCUUCAGCGGCAUUUGAAGCUAAGCGCCACUAAUGUAUUUACCUUUAGCGGCGUUUUUGCCGAAGCGCCUCUAAUAGUAACAAAAAUCUUAUAAGUUGAAAUAAUUAAUAUUUUGUUCUAUUUAUUAUAUAGUGGUACAAUUUACAUUUAAAUUAUAAUUAACAAAUAAUAUUGAUUACUAUAAAAAGUUUUUAUUAAAGAGAAGUCGUAUAUAUAUAACAGCUAACUAUUUAUUACUAAUUUUCAAUUACAGUUGAUUUAAACUACUUUACGAGAGAAAAUAUAUUAAAUUAUGAAUAAAAUAAAAUAUAAUAAAACUUAAAUUGUUGUAUUGUAAAGAAUAAAUUAAAAAUAGAAUUAACUUUUCAUAAGAAUAAUAAAUUUUGGUCGUAUUGUUCGACUAAAUAAAUCAAAGGAACUAAUAUAAUACACCAAUUUAUACAAAAUAUAUAUAUAUAUAUAUUAACAAUUAAUUAUUGACUAUAUUUUAUGAUUAUAUAUAUUAAAGANNNNNNNNNNNNNNNNNNNNNNNNNNNNNNNNNNNNNNNNNNNNNNNNNNNNNNNNNNNNNNNNNNNNNNNNNNNNNNNNNNNNNNNNNNNNNNNNNNNNNNNNNNNNNNNNNNNNNNNNNNNNNNNNNNNNNNNNNNNNNNNNNNNNNNNNNNNNNNNNNNNNNNNNNNNNNNNNNNNNNNNNNNNNNNNNNNNNNNNNNNNNNNNNNNNNNNNNNNNNNNNNNNNNNNNNNNNNNNNNNNNNNNNNNNNNNNNNNNNNNNNNNNNNNNNNNNNNNNNNNNNNNNNNNNNNNNNNNNNNNNNNNNNNNNNNNNNNNNNNNNNNNNNNNNNNNNNNNNNNNNNNNNNNNNNNNNNNNNNNNNNNNNNNNNNNNNNNNNNNNNNNNNNNNNNNNNNNNNNNNNNNNNNNNNNNNNNNNNNNNNNNNNNNNNNNNNNNNNNAUAGUUAUUAAUUAUUUAAUUUGUAUAUAUAGGACCAAAAUAAUCUUGGUAUAAAUAAAUAAACAAAUAAAUAAGUAGGUAAUUAUGUAUUUGUUAAAUAAAUAGGUAAUUAAUUAUUUAAAUGUAAGACACAAAAAAAAGGGAAAUUUAGCGGCGUUUCUAUAUAAAAACGCCGCAAAAGGUAGCCUUUACCGGCGUUUUAGUAAAAAACGCCACAAACAUUGCAAUAUACGACGUCGUUAUGUGUUAGGGAAUCAGUUUCUAUUGUGGCGUUUUAUAGGUAAGUGCCGCUAAUAUUCUUGAAACUCUAUCAGAACGGCGUCGUUUCAGUUGAAUGAUGUACUCUAUUACUGGCGUUUUUGGGGAAAACGCCGCAAAUAUGUCUACAAUUUUGUGAAAACGUCACCGUUUGUUUAUGUAAUUGAAAAUUUAAUGUUUAGGGGUUAGGGGGAUUUAGGGGUUAAGGGUUAUGCUUUAGGGGUUAGGGGAUUUAGGGGUAAGGGGUUAGAGGGUUAUGGAUUUAAGGUUUAGGGUUUCAACGGUUAUGUUAGAGUUUAAGUUUAGAUUAAUUAGUUUUAUUAAUUUUUAUAUUAAAUAUGUUCUUAUAUAUUUCUAAAAUAUAUAAUAAUAAAUUUAAUAUAUUGAAACUAUGAGUAUAUAGUUUAAAUUUAUUUAUUUAUCAAUAAAAUUAAAUAUUAUAAAUUUCAAACUUUAUACAAAAAAAUAAAUAUUAUAAAGAUAAUAUUACAAAAAGUUUUUACUAUUAAUUAUUGUUUAAUCAAUUAUAACUAUUUUAUGAUUAUUAAAGUUUAGGAUUAUUUUGGAUGGCCGUGCUAUUUUAAGGAUUAGGGGGUAUGGAUUUAAGGUUUGGAAAUAUAAGGGUUAGGGGUUUAGGGGUUACGAGUUACGGGCUAAGGGUUAGUGGUUUAGAAUUUAGGGUUUAGGGUUUCAGGGGUCGGAUAAGGGUUUUAGGUUAGUUUAGAUUAAUUUCUUUAAAUAAUAUUUUAAAAAAUCAAUUUAAAGUACCAAUUGAUAUAUUUAAAUAUUAUUUUAAAUAGAAUUAAGUUUAAUAAGUUAAAAAAUAGUUUGAUAUAUUUUAUAUGGAUGGAUAUAUUUAGGACCAAAUACAUAAGAAAUGAAAUAAAAAAAAACAAAAAAUGACAAAAAAUCUAAAAUUUACAAAACGGCGCCGUUUUCGAAUAGUUAAAGUUUUAGUGGCGUUUUAGGGGUUAAACGCCGCAACUGUGGGAAGCAGUAUUGGCGUUUGUUCAAGAAACGCCGCAAAAGUGUCUUUAAAAUUUGAGUAAACGACGCCGUCUGUCUACAUGAUUUUUAACUUAUAAAAGGUUUAUAAUUAAUUACUUGAAACGUCACCGUUUGGCUUGUUGUACGUUAAGUAGUGUGGCGUUUUGGUGAUAGCGCCGGAAAUUUUGGAAUCAAUAGCGGUGUGUUUUCAGUAAACGCCGCAAAAGGGUAUUAAAACAAUGUCUAAACGGCGCCGUUUCUGUAUUCAAAUUUUAACUUAGCAUUUUCUCUAUAUUAAUUCAACGGCGUCGUUUCUGUUAAUUUCUAGUGGCGUUUUCGCGGGAAACGCCGCAAAAGUGACUUAAAAUAUUAGCUAAACGACGGCGUUUAGCUUAAGCAAAUUAUUUUUUAGUGGUGUUUUUUAUAGAAAAUGCCAGAAAUAUGCGUUAAAGCUUUAUUAAACGGCGCCGUUUCAGAUUAUAACUUAAAUUUUUAGUGGCGUUUUUUGGAAACGCCGCAAAUAUACAAGCAAUAGUGGCGUUUUCCUAAGAAACGUCGGAAUGGUGUCUUAAAAUUUUGGCAAAAGGACGCCGUUUCUAUUCAUCGUGUUUUAACUUAUCAUUUUCUCUAUAAGGCAGAACACAAACAGAAACAGAAGCAGAGAGGACAAAACGAAAGCGAUAGAAACGAAAGAUAAAAUACAAAGGAAAAAAGGGAGAGGAGAACUCAUAAAUCAUCAGAAACGAUGCAACAGUUGAGUCAAUCUUGACAGGAUACUAUCAAAGUUGCGGAAUUUGUGGUUAAAAGGUAAGUUUUUUUUCUUUUAAAACAUUGUAUCUUGAUUUAGGGUUUGGGUUCAGUGGAAUUUGGGAAUUUGGGGUUUAAAGUCCAAGUUCAAUCACCAAGCUUUGGCCAGUUUGUUUGGGAAUUCGGGGAAUUUGGGAAUUUUUGCGUGUCUAGGGUUUGGGAAGAAGUACCGAUCAUGUGCUUCCUUUCUAGUUUGUUAUUCUCAUUGUUGAAGAGUUGAAAAUAACAGUUGUUCUUAUGUUCAAGUUUUGUUCCCCAGAAUUAACACUGCAUUUGGCCAACUGUUAAAGAAAGGAGAACUCAAAAUUAUGGAUUAACCAUUUGUUACUGCCUUAUUGAUCAGCUCGUAUUUAGGUAAGUUUCCUGAUAUUAUUUUAAUCAAAAUGUCCUUACUUUUAUUCCUUCUGAUUUCAGAGUUGAAUUUAUUUAGUUAUUACUAAAAAGGGGUAAACAACUGAACUAAAACUGUUGCAUCGUUUACUCUUCGACAAUCUCUAAUUUUAGUUGACUUCACUGUGAAUUUCCUCAAAUAAGCAUCACAGUUUUGUGCAACGGCUUGGAAAUUUUUGUGCAUUUUAAAAUGUCUACGAGAAAAACUUAUUGGGUGGGGCUGGACAAAGCCUAAUUUAUUCAUAUAUUGUUGAGGCUUUGGAGUAAUUUAGUAUAAAACUGCAUCUACAGGUAAAUGCUUUAGCUGCUCUUCCUUCUUUAUAUAUUUUUAAAUUUUUCUCCAUGUUGCAAUAAAAAUUGUUGAAAGUAAUUUUCUUAGAACGUAAUCGAUUUUCCAGCACUCUGUAAUUAGCUCUGUAGUUGGUAAACAAUGUUAAACUAUGUUACACGGUUUUUACUGCUCUGUUCCUACAUGUCUGUUCUGCUUUGUUCCUACACCGAGUUCCUACAUGUCUGUUUUGCUUUGUUCAAUGAGUCAACUUAGUUCUCUGUUGUUUGUUUCUUACACACGAGAUUUGGAUAUUGUAUAUACAUUGUAAAAAUGGACUGCCCGAUUUAAAAGAAUGUUAAAUACAUGACUUACUAAAAUUAGCUUUUACUGUUUUAUUUAAUUAUAAAUAUAUUAUUAAUUUAUUUAACGUAAGGCAGAAAAUUAAAUUUAUUUUCAAUUAUCUAAUAAAUAUAUUUUUAUCUUUCACCAAGUUUCCACAUUACGCAAAACAUCUUUCAGAGGUUCUGUUUUUCGUUUGUUAAAUAUCUUUAGAAAAAUGGUUAGCUAGGGCCUAGAAAACAACAUUAAAGUUAUUAAAACUAAUAUGGUUUUCAAUUUAUGUCUCGGGUUGGGUUAAUUAGUUUUAGACUAAAUAAUUAAAAUUUCAAGCUUUUUUAUUCUUUGUAUAUUUGAUGUUCAAUCUCCAAAUUUUUAUUUUUAAUAAUUUAGUCUCUUUAUUUUUAGAAUUUAAAAUUGGAGUUCAUUUGUUAACACUAUUAAUAUUUUUCUAUUAAAUUUGUUGUUGUGACAUUAUAAGAGUUUAACACAUUCUAAUGGACUUGAAUUUAACAAAGAAGUUUAAUGAAAUUAAAAAAUUUUAAAAUUCUCAUAAGCAUUUUAAUUAAAAUAAGAUAUUUCAUUUAACUAAUAGCAUUAUAAACAUUGAGAUACCAAAUUAUGUCAAAAAUUAAAAUAUAAAUAUAAAAUCUCAAAUUUAAGAAUAGUAUAAGGACCAAAACUAAAAUUUGACUAAUUUUAUAUAUCAAGACAUUAUAAAACUAAAAGAACUAUAGUAAGAAUAAGAGAGAAGAGGAGACACAAAAGUGAAAGGAUAAUUCUACUUUUUCUUAGCUUCAAUAAGCUUGUACAUAUCAUUUAAUUAAUUAAUAUACAUAGAUUACAUAACUUACAUUAAUUUUAUACAUAAAUUACAUAACUUAAUGAAUUAAUAUUAUACAUAACUUACAUUAAUAUUAUACAUAAAUUACAUAACUUAAUUAAUUAAUUAGGACAAACUCAAAUUACCUAANNNNNNNNNNNNNNNNNNNNNNNNNNNNNNNNNNNNNNNNNNNNNNNNNNNNNNNNNNNNNNNNNNNNNNNNNNNNNNNNNNNNNNNNNNNNNNNNNNNNUUAAUUAAUUAAUAUACAUAAAUUACAUAACUUACAUUAAUAUUAUACAUAAAUUACAUAACUUAAUUAAUUAAUAUACAUAAAUUACAUAACUUACAUUAAGAUUAUACAUAAAUUACAUAACUUAAUUAAUUAAUAACUUACAUAACUUACAUAACUUACAACUUACAUAACUUACAUUUUUUUAAUUAUUCAUAAAUUACAUAACUUACAUUAAUAUUAUACAUAAAUUACAUAACUUAAUUAAUAUACUUAAAUUACAUAACUUACAUUAAUAUUAUACAUAAAUUACAUAACUUAGUUAAUUAAUAUUAUACAUAACUUACAUAACUUACAUAAUACAUAACUUAUAUGACUUACAUAACUUACAUAGCAUAAUUUUCAUAAUAAAUAACUUACAUAACUUACAUAAUACAUAACUUAUAUGACUUACAUAACUUACAUAGCAUAAUUUUCAUAAUACAUAACUUACAUAAUUUUCAUAAUAAAUAACUUACAUAAUACAUAACUUACAUAGCUUAAUUAUACUUAUUCCUAAAUCCUAAACCCGUGCAAUUUAUUGUCAAGAUUAGGCUUCAAGAAAUAAGAAAUGGACCGGUCUUGGAUGAAUUUGUCAAGGUUAAGCGACGGUUAUCAAAAUGGAGUACAAACUUUUCUAAAUUUUGCAUUUCAAGAUGCAAGUCAAGAGAACAUGAUUCUUUGCCCGUGUAAGAAGUGUGUCAACAUAAACUGGCAUUAUCGUGAAGUUGUAUACGAGUAUCUAAUUGUUGAUGGGUUUGUUCGUGGUUAUAAACAAUGGUUUUUUCAUGGAGAAUGCCCGCCUAGUACUUCCUCUUCAAGGAUGGAUGUAUCUUAUGAUAGUACUGCUUACCAUCAGUCUGUUAGAGGGGAUGACAUGGAAGGGAUGUUGCGAGAAGCAUUUAAUAUUCACAGUCAUGGUUUACAGUCGUUCCCACCCGACUUUGUGCCAUCUGAUGAUUGUAAUCUCGGUGGAAAUGCUUUUAUCGAACCCGGAAGAAGUGUACAUCAUGAAGAGCNNNNNNNNNNNNNNNNNNNNNNNNNNNNNNNNNNNNNNNNNNNNNNNNNNNNNNNNNNNNNNNNNNNNNNNNNNNNNNNNNNNNNNNNNNNNNNNNNNNNAGUUCUACGCGCUACUUAAUGAGAUGAACGAAGAACUAUAUGAGGGAUCGAAAUUUUCAAAAAUGUCUUUCUGCAUUCGUCUUUUCCAGUUAAAAUGUUUGGGAGGGUGGACCGGGAACUCAUUGACAAUGCUGUUAGAGUUUUUGAGAGAAAUGUUUCUGUUUGCAAAAAUCCCUCAGUCAUGCAAAGAUAUGAAGAAAAUGAUAAAAGACUUAGGUCUUGGGUACAACAAAAUCCAUAGUUGCCCGAAUGAUUGCAUGUUGUAUUGGGGCGAUCGGAGAAACCAACAGUGCUGUCAUGUAUGCGGCGAAUCCCGUUGGAUAAAUAGAAACACGGAAGAUGGGAAUGAUGAUGAAAAUGAUGCACAGCCAAGAAAGAAGCCGGUCAAGAUUUUGCGGUAUUUUCCGCUGAUACCAAGGCUUCAAAGGCUUUUCAUGUCGUCGAAGACAGCGGAGUCAAUGACGUGGCACCAUGAAGGACGAACCAAUGAUGGAUUAUUAAGGCAUCUGGCAGAUUCUUUAGCUUGGAAAUCAUUUGACAAUAAAUUUUCAAGCUUUGCAAGCGAUCCCAAGAGUGUGAGGCUUGGCCUAGCAUCUGAUGGAUUUAAUCCUUACAAGAUCAUGAGUACUGCAUACAGUACUUGGCCAGUAGUGCUUGUUCCUUACAAUCUGCCUCCGUGGAUUUGCAUGAACCAAUCUUCCAUUAUCUUAUCUAUGAUUAUCCCUGGAGAGAAAGGGCUCGGGAAUGAUAUCAACAUUUAUUUACAGCCACUUAUUGAAGAGUUAAAACAAUUAUGGGCUGGUGUCGAGACAUACGAUGUGCUGAGAAAGGAGAACUUUAAUUUACGUGCAGCUUUGAUGUGGACCAUUAAUGACUUCAUCGCUUAUGCCAAUUUAUCCGGUUGGAGUACCAAGGGUUGUUAUGCGUGCCCUUGUUGUGCUGCACAAACAUGUUCGCAAUGGUUAUACAAUGGGAAGAAGUUCUCUUACAUGGGUCAUCAUCAGUGGUUACCGAAAAAUCAUAGAUUUAGAUUUCAGAGUUCGGCAUUUGACGGUACUGAAGAGUUCAGAGAAGCUCCUUCGCAGACAAGUGGAUCUGAAAUCUUGUUAAUGUUGGAAGAUAUGAAUUUCAGUUAUGGGAAGAUGAAUCAACUGCCAAACACGCAAAGAAAUAGAAGAUCAAAUGAUGAAGCUGAUGAUAACUCCGAUGAAGAGGAUGAUCCUAAUGAGGAGGACUUGUGGAAAAAAGAAGUAUUUUCUUUGAGUUGCCUUAUUGGGAGCACCACCUUUUACGACACAAUCUUGAUGUUAUGCAUAUUGAGGAAAAUGUCUGCGAGAACAUUGUCUGUACAAUUUCCAGAUGCGUAUGCAUUAAAUAUAUCUUGAUGUGUUAGUGUUAAAGAUCGAAGACUAUAUUCGCUAAAAUUACAUGACUAUCACAUCUUGAUGCAAGAUUUACUGCCAGUUGCUCUACGUUGUUGUAUUUCGAAGAAGGUGACGUCUUGUAUAAUUGAACUAUCCAAUAUAAUGAAAGUCAUUUGUGGCAAAGUUUUGGAUGUUCAAGAACUUCAGAAGGUACAGGAUCGAGCCGCUUUAACUUUAUGCAACAUGGAGAAAAUCUUCCCACCUUCCUUCUUCACUAUUAUGGUUCACUUGAUAAUCCAUCUCCCGCAUGAAGCAAUUCUUGGCGGACCCGUUUUCUAUCGAUGGAUGUAUCCCAUAGAAAGGUGUUAAUUACAAUUUUUAAAAUUUUCCUUCAUUCACCUAUAUGCCUUUAGUUACAACUUUUGAUAAUGUUGUGUAUCGUGUUUAGGUUCCUGUCCAAAUUAAAGUCUUAUUGCCGCAACAAGCGUUAUCCAGAAGGAUCGAUUGCUGAAGGCUACUUGGCAGAGGAAUGUAUGACCUUCUGUUCAAGAUAUUUGGAAGAUGUUGAAACAAGGUUGAAUAGACCAAAUAGAAAUGUUGGACUCACGGAUCAUAACUUUGCCGAUAAUUAUUUGUUCCAAAGUUUUGGAGAACCAAUCGGUAAAGUUGAAAUUGCAGAAUUAGAUGAUUUAUCGUGGGUACAAGCACAUCAAUAUGUUCUGUUUCACCACGAUUCAAUGGAACCUUUACGCAAGUAAGUUCUAGAAAUUUGAUAAAUAUUCAUCAUUUAAAAUUUGUUUAUAGUCUAACAAACUAAACAUAUUUUUAACAUAGUGAGUACAAACAAAUAUUGAGAUCUCAUUCGCGCUCCCGAAGAACACAACAUUGAGAUAUCAAUAAGUUGUUUACAGAAUCUUUUCAUGAAUGAUUAAGCCAAACGGUAUGUAAUUGAAGCUUUCACCGACAAAUAAUAAUAUUUACUCAAAACAUUUUUAAUUACUCAGUUUACUUUCCAUUCAAUAGGUUUGGAGUGGGAAGAACGUCACCGACGAAGUUAAAUGGCUUUCCCAAGGUCCAAAUCGGGUGGUUAAAAGAUGUAGUGCGUUCCUCAUAAACGGAUUCAGAUUUCAUACAAAAUAUCGCGAGAGAUUGAGGAGAACGCAAAAUUGUGGAAUAUUUGUUAAUUCCUCAAUUACAAGUUAUGCUAGUGCUAGGGACAAUAAUCCUGUGGAGGGAAAUGUGGAAUAUUUUGGACUUCUUACUGACAUAAUUGAGUUGGAUUACUACGGCAAAUGGAAAGUUGUCUUAUUUCGAGGUGAUUGGGCUGAUGUUAAUACUGCACGUGGAAUCAAGCAAGAUCAAUUUGGUUUCACAAUGGUAAACUUCGUUUGAUUGAUUCACACAGGACAACAAUUGAUUGAUGAGCCGUAUGUAUUUUCUUCUCAAGUCAAACAAAUUUUUUACUCAAAAGAUCCAACUGAUGAGGGUUGGUACGUUGUACUCCGUAACAUCCCCAGAGACUUGUUUGACAUGGGCAGUGGAAGUAGAGAUGACAUUGACGACAGAACACAAACUUUGCCAUUUCUAGAACAGAACUUAAACGAAAACAUCCCUAGUACUAGUACACAAUUUCAAUGGGUCCGCCAGGAUACGAAUGAAGAUAUUUACGAAUUAUAAUGUAGUAAGCUUUUACGAUUAUCUAAUUAUAUUUACGAAUGAUGAUAUUUCAACUAUUUUAUAUGUGAUAUUAUUGUUGUAAUUGUAUACUAUGUUUUCAACUAGUUUAUUUGUAUUGCAGAUAAAAUGCCUAGAAAAAAAGUGCGAUCGCACCGCAUUGUUCAAGGUACUCCAAACUCGGCGGAAACAACAGCACUGAACAACAGACUGCUGUUGGAUCUUUGAAUGUUCCGGUUACACCUGAGGAACCUAUAGAAGUUCAAAGUAAUUUAACAUUUAAUUUACAUGUGUGUUGACUUCUUGUUUAAUUCUUUUAAAAUUUCGUAUAUUACAAUACUUUUAUUUUUCAGAUGAAACUGGUGGGACGCGAAGAGUUCGCGGACGUACGGUACUGAGCGAUUUAUACGAGCUAGAUCCAGUCGAGCGUGUCCAAGUAUCCAGUAAUAGCUUUGGUCAGCCUGUUGGAUCAGAAGCUCGCCUUUUAGCAGGAUACAUGGGCAUUCUAGCACGGAAUGCAAAUAUGUUGCCAAUUAACUUCGAGUCAUGGCAUAAAGUGCCCGAGAGUAACAAGAACCAAGCUCUCGAUAACAUAANNNNNNNNNNNNNNNNNNNNNNNNNNNNNNNNNNNNNNNNNNNNNNNNNNNNNNNNNNNNNNNNNNNNNNNNNNNNNNNNNNNNNNNNNNNNNNNNNNNNNNNNNNNNNNNNNNNNNNNNNNNNNNNNNNNNNNNNNNNNNNNNNNNNNNNNNNNNNNNNNNNNNNNNNNNNNNNNNNNNNNNNNNNNNNNNNNNNNNNNNNNNNNNNNNNNNNNNNNNNNNNNNNNNNNNNNNNNNNNNNNNNNNNNNNNNNNNNNNNNNNNNNNNNNNNNNNNNNNNNNNNNNNNNNNNNNNNNNNNNNNNNNNNNNNNNNNNNNNNNNNNNNNNNNNNNNNNNNNNNNNNNNNNNNNNNNNNNNNNNNNNNNNNNNNNNNNNNNNNNNNNNNNNNNNNNNNNNNNNNNNNNNNNNNNNNNNNNNNNNNNNNNNNNNNNNNNNNNNNNNNNNNNNNNNNNNNNNNNNNNNNNNNNNNNNNNNNNNNNNNNNNNNNNNNNNNNNNNNNNNNNNNNNNNNNNNNNNNNNNNNNNNNNNNNNNNNNNNNNNNNNNNNNNNNNNNNNNNNNNNNNNNNNNNNNNNNNNNNNNNNNNNNNNNNNNNNNNNNNNNNNNNNNNNNNNNNNNNNNNNNNNNNNNNNNNNNNNNNNNNNNNNNNNNNNNNNNNNNNNNNNNNNNNNNNNNNNNNNNNNNNNNNNNNNNNNNNNNNNNNNNNNNNNNNNNNNNNNNNNNNNNNNNNNNNNNNNNNNNNNNNNNNNNNNNNNNNNNNNNNNNNNNNNNNNNNNNNNNNNNNNNNNNNNNNNNNNNNNNNNNNNNNNNNNNNNNNNNNNNNNNNNNNNNNNNNNNNNNNNNNNNNNNNNNNNNNNNNNNNNNNNNNNNNNNNNNNNNNNNNNNNNNNNNNNNNNNNNNNNNNNNNNNNNNNNNNNNNNNNNNNNNNNNNNNNNNNNNNNNNNNNNNNNNNNNNNNNNNNNNNNNNNNNNNNNNNNNNNNNNNNNNNNNNNNNNNNNNNNNNNNNNNNNNNNNNNNNNNNNNNNNNNNNNNNNNNNNNNNNNNNNNNNNNNNNNNNNNNNNNNNNNNNNNNNNNNNNNNNNNNNNNNNNNNNNNNNNNNNNNNNNNNNNNNNNNNNNNNNNNNNNNNNNNNNNNNNNNNNNNNNNNNNNNNNNNNNNNNNNNNNNNNNNNNNNNNNNNNNNNNNNNNNNNNNNNNNNNNNNNNNNNNNNNNNNNNNNNNNNNNNNNNNNNNNNNNNNNNNNNNNNNNNNNNNNNNNNNNNNNNNNNNNNNNNNNNNNNNNNNNNNNNNNNNNNNNNNNNNNNNNNNNNNNNNNNNNNNNNNNNNNNNNNNNNNNNNNNNNNNNNNNNNNNNNNNNNNNNNNNNNNNNNNNNNNNNNNNNNNNNNNNNNNNNNNNNNNNNNNNNNNNNNNNNNNNNNNNNNNNNNNNNNNNNNNNNNNNNNNNNNNNNNNNNNNNNNNNNNNNNNNNNNNNNNNNNNNNNNNNNNNNNNNNNNNNNNNNNNNNNNNNNNNNNNNNNNNNNNNNNNNNNNNNNNNNNNNNNNNNNNNNNNNNNNNNNNNNNNNNNNNNNNNNNNNNNNNNNNNNNNNNNNNNNNNNNNNNNNNNNNNNNNNNNNNNNNNNNNNNNNNNNNNNNNNNNNNNNNNNNNNNNNNNNNNNNNNNNNNNNNNNNNNNNNNNNNNNNNNNNNNNNNNNNNNNNNNNNNNNNNNNNNNNNNNNNNNNNNNNNNNNNNNNNNNNNNNNNNNNNNNNNNNNNNNNNNNNNNNNNNNNNNNNNNNNNNNNNNNNNNNNNNNNNNNNNNNNNNNNNNNNNNNNNNNNNNNNNNNNNNNNNNNNNNNNNNNNNNNNNNNNNNNNNNNNNNNNNNNNNNNNNNNNNNNNNNNNNNNNNNNNNNNNNNNNNNNNNNNNNNNNNNNNNNNNNNNNNNNNNNNNNNNNNNNNNNNNNNNNNNNNNNNNNNNNNNNNNNNNNNNNNNNNNNNNNNNNNNNNNNNNNNNNNNNNNNNNNNNNNNNNNNNNNNNNNNNNNNNNNNNNNNNNNNNNNNNNNNNNNNNNNNNNNNNNNNNNNNNNNNNNNNNNNNNNNNNNNNNNNNNNNNNNNNNNNNNNNNNNNNNNNNNNNNNNNNNNNNNNNNNNNNNNNNNNNNNNNNNNNNNNNNNNNNNNNNNNNNNNNNNNNNNNNNNNNNNNNNNNNNNNNNNNNNNNNNNNNNNNNNNNNNNNNNNNNNNNNNNNNNNNNNNNNNNNNNNNNNNNNNNNNNNNNNNNNNNNNNNNNNNNNNNNNNNNNNNNNNNNNNNNNNNNNNNNNNNNNNNNNNNNNNNNNNNNNNNNNNNNNNNNNNNNNNNNNNNNNNNNNNNNNNNNNNNNNNNNNNNNNNGGCGUUGUGGUCGAAGCGCUGCUAGAGAUCAGGGUCUUUUGUGGUGUUUGUGGGAAAAGUGCCGCUAAAGGCCUAAAAAAGCGCCGCUAAAAGCCUGUUUUGGUGUAGUGUUUAAGUACCGAAAUAAUAAUUGAGUACAAUUUAGGGGUAAAUAGUAUAUUAACCAUUUAUUAUUUUAAAAAUUUGUUUUAUGUUUCCAUAUUUAAUGAUACCAAUUAACAUGAUAUUUUAUUAAAAAAAUAUACAACUAACCGAAUUAUUUUGAAUUUAAUAAAAACAAUUUCUUAAAUAAUAAUGAAAUAAUUUUUAAUCAAUACUUAUAAAAACAGUCAACACAUUUCAUUAUCCUGUAUCCAUUCUAAAUAUUUAAGUAAGCAUUAUUGAAAACAAUAAAUUAAGCAAAUAAAUAAAUAAGUAGAAGACAAACUGAUACAAUAUUUGAAGUCACCAAUUUGCGAUUUAAUAAGAAAGUUCUGGCUGCCUCUUUUGACUAGUACCAAUUCAAUGAAUAUUAAGAAAUUAACAUAAAUCCAACUAAAAAAAUUGAGAGUAGUAAAAUUCUUACGCUUCAAGUUCAGUCUAUAAAUAGCAUCUUAGUUCUCUAUCAUCUCACACCUCAACUCAAUCAUCCACUUCUUCUCUUCUUUGAACUCAAAGUCCCAGCUAAUAUUAGAAUCAUGGGUGUUGUCACUUAUGACUAUGAGAAUACCUCCCCAGUCGCCCCUGCCAGGCUUUUCAAGGCCUUUACUGUUGAAGCUCCGAAAGUUUGGCCCACGGCUGCACCUAAUGCAGUCAAGAGCCUUGAGGUUGAAGCUAAUCCUAGCUCUGGAAGUAUCGUAAAAAUCAACUUUGUUGAAGGUUAGUUCUUUCAUUUUCACUUUCAUUGGCCUUUUUGUUGUCUGUUUUACACGAGUAUGUUGGAUAACAAGUAUUUAUUUCUUUAGGCCUUCCAUUCCAAUAUAUGAAGCACCAGAUCGGAGGACAUGAUGAAAGUAGUUUUUCAUACAGUUACGAUUUAAUCGAAGGUGGGCCUUUGGGGGAUAAGCUUGAAAAAAUUAGCUAUGAGAACAAGUUUGAGGCAGCUGCAGGUGGAGGGAGUAUUUGCAAGAGCUCAAUGAAAUUCUACACUGUUGGCGAUAAUGUUAUCACUGAAGACGAAAUCAAGGCUCUCAUUAAAGGGAGUGAGGGAGUUUACAAGCCUGUUGAAGCUUACCUCUUGGCUAAUCCCGAAGCCUGCAACUAGGAUAUAAGUUGCUUAAUUUGAAUUCUUAUGCUUGCUUUUAAAGAGGGGUUUGAUUUUAAUGUUGUGCUUUUGAUAUUUUCUUUUUCAUCUUAAAACCUAUAUUGUCUUCUGGUUGUUCAGUAAGAAUGAUGGUGGUGGUGAUCGAACUUUGAUCAUCUUUGAUAUAUAAUGAAAUAAAUAAAUAUAUACUAUACCCAAUAUAUAUUUUACAGCUUUCAUGGAAGACUACAAAUUUUCUUUUGUAUAUCUUUUGGGUUAGCAAAACUUUGAGCUAAACAUUUUUUUAAUUGAAUUUAUAUUCAAAAUCUAAAAUAAAAAUAAAAAUCAUCCCACGCUUUCGAAUAAUAGUCUAAUCAUAUAAUUCUAUUUUUUAAUAAAAUAAAUAACAUUAAGCGAAAAUAAUAAAAUCACAUAUCCUAUUAAAGAUAGCACUUUUAAGUUAUACUAUAUUAUCUAUAAGGAUAAUUACAUUAAAUAAUCAAUGUCACACAAUUGCAACAAUCAAAUCUAAAUAAAAAAAUUACAAAAAUCAAAUGAAUUUUUUUUUAGGUUUUCCUUCUAAUUAAAUGCUCAUUAAAUUUCUUUCCCACGAAAUAUAGUUAUUAUUACGGAUUUUUAUCAAAAUAUUACAAACAAAAAAAAUACCAAAAUAUUAUAUAAUUUUUAUUAUUUACUAAAAUAAUACAAAAAAACAGAAAAAAAAGCUGCGAUUGACGUGACAACACAGGGGAGGAGGGGGUGCAAUAGGCGACACCAGUUGUGCCCCUGUCAGAGGCGGCACCGAUGGUGCCCCUCCCACAGGCGGCACUGCCUAUUUAUGGGGCCAUUCGGCUGGUGGGUGGGGGGAAGAGAAGGAGAGGGAAAGAGGAAGAAAGAAAGAAAGAAAAGGAAAGGAGAGGAAAGAAAGAAAAAGAAGGAAAGAAAAGGAAAGGAGAAGAGAAAAAAAAAAAAGNNNNNNNNNNNNNNNNNNNNNNNNNNNNNNNNNNNNNNNNNNNNNNNNNNNNNNNNNNNNNNNNNNNNNNNNNNNNNNNNNNNNNNNNNNNNNNNNNNNNGAAAAAAAAAGAAAAAAAGGUAAUUUUUUUUAUUAAUUUAAAUUUUUUUGUAAUAUUUUUGUAAAAAAUUUAUGUUAUGUAUAUGUGUUUUAUUAUUUUAUUUAGCAUAUAUUUAUUAUGAAAUUUAUUUAGCAUGAAAAAAUCAAUGUUAUGUACAUUGUAUGUUGAUUAGGAAUUUUUUUUAUGAAAUUUAUUUAGGAUGUUGUAAUUAGUUUUUUUAGAAAAAUAGCAUUAAAAAUAAAAUGAUAAAAAAAUAUGUUUAAGAAAACAUAAAAUACGAAAAGAAAAAAAAUGGAAAUUGUAUAUUCACCGAAAGUAAAAAAAUCCGAAAAAAUGGUAUAUUUAAAAAACACACUAAAUUAAUAAAUUUCAACCAUAAUGUACUAAAAUAAUGUAAAAAAAUAAAAUUAGAAAUUAUGAUAUUUUUUAAAGUAAUAAAAAGCGGAGAAAAAAAUAAGAACAAAUUGCCGAAAUAAGAGUGUUUUACUAAAUUUUUUAAAAAUUCAGAAAUAAUUAAUACAAAUAUUUCAAGCAAAAUGUACUUAAAUAAUAUAAAAUAAUAAAAUACGAAAAUAAUAUAUUUUUAUUGAAAGUAAUAAAAUUCGGGAAAAUAAUACGAGUAAAGGGCAUGAAUAAAGGGUUUUUUUACACUAAAUUAAUUUAAAAAACACACUAAAUUAAUAAAAUUCAAACAUAAUGCACUGAAAUAAUGUAAAAUUAUAAAAUUAGAAAAUAUGAUAUUUUUUAAAGUAAUAAAAUGCGGAUAAAAAAUACGAAAAAAGGGCCAAAGUAAGAGUCUUUUACUAAAUUUUUUAAAAAUUCAGGAAAAUAGUACGAAUAAAUGGCCGAAAUGAGAGUUUUUUACUAACUUUUUUUUGAAUUUGCAGGCAUCACAAUGGCUCCAUUGAUUCAACCCGGUAGACACAUAUCUGAUGCGGCUAAUAACGCGGUAUGAUUUAUUAUUUGUUAAUCACGGGUUCUAUUUAAAAAUGAUAUACGUAAUAUAUAGAAAUAAAUCAUGUUAUCCUAAUAUUUUUUCUGUAAUUUAACACUAUCAGGAAUCGUACCGAGUAAUAAGGGGCCGUGUGAAUGGUUUAAAGAAAGCUCCGGAUGCACAAUUGAUGCCGUACUUGGAGCAAGCCGGAUUUGGGAAAGUAGCAUUGAUCCGGACCUUCGACUUGCGCUAUAAUUUAUUAUCUGCGCUAGUGGAGCGGUGGUGCCCGAAGACCCACACUUUUCAUUUUUCGUGUGUGGAGUGCACGGUGACCUUGGAGGAUGUUGCAAUGCAGCUUGGGCUCCCAAUUGAUGGGAGUCCCGUAAUGGGAGUAUCUUCAUUUACCGAUUCGUCUGCACUUUGUUAUCAGCUCCUAGGAGAGUCACCAGAGGACGAUGAGUCAAAUUUCUUGAGCUUGAAAUUUACAUGGCUGAAAGCCAAAUUUGGAUAGUUAUCAGCGACUGCUACUGAAGGUGAGUUGACGUGCGCUGCUCGAGCAUACAUCAUCCAUAUCAUAGGGGGGGUACUCAUGCCCGAAGCAAACAACAAUAAGGUGCAUAUGAUGUACUUGCCCCUAUUAGCUGAUAUAUCCAGUGUUCGCUCGUAUAGCUGGGGCUCCGCCGUUCUAGCAGUGUUAUAUCGGGACCUUUGUCGGACGACAAACCCGAAUGUUGUAGACAUGGGCAGAUGCCUCACAUUACUGCAGUCCUAGGCGCUCUAUCGGAUUCCAUUUUUGGCAUCGGUUAGUCACCAAUCGUAUGUUUAUCCACUAGUGAACAGGUGAUCAAAUAUAACUUGUCAUUAUUUGUAGUUUAUAUGGUAUAUUGACUAAUGUUACCAACCCUAAACCCUAUAUUUGUUUCUGUAGGUGGAGUCUUUAUCCGAGUAUCGGGAGGUCACACUCUGUCCCGAUAUACCGACUCAUGAUUGAACAGCAUGUCGGGGAAGGGGUAAGCUGCUAUUCUAAUAUUCAUGACAUCUUACUUUCAAUAUCUUACUCACGCGUUAUGGCUAAUUAUAACCAUGUUAUUAAUCAUGCAGUUUAUAUGGAUGCCAUAUCGUAGGCCAGAAAUUACAGAUGUGGUACCCUCGUCUGCAUACAUUCAUUCUGACAUAUGGUGCACUAAUGCACCAAUUAUAAAUUUCAAUAUAGUCGAGUGGUAUCACGGGGAUCGGGUGUUACGACAGUUUGGCUGCAUCCAACAUAUCCCGAAUCCGCCAUGCGAGGUGGGGGCGGUUCAUGGCGUGAAUAAGAGAGGGAAACUGCAGUUGGAUUGGGGCAUUAAGCAUCGAUAAUUUGUUACGCUGGGGAAUGAUCGGAUGCGUCGAAGACCUCAUAUGGUUAUGACUUCCGAUUUGCAACCAUCAUUAGAGUACAUAUAAUGGUAGUUUGGUUGCGGGAAGCCAUAUAUACUUGGAGGCCAGUCGACUGUAGUCCCCCCGCACAUGCAGCGACCUGGGGGAUCAUACUCAGCGGCCCGAUGGAGGAGGAGCCUGUGGCAUAUUAUGAUCCAGAAACAGAGCCCAAGCAAGAGCCCCAGCCAGAUCCCGAACAAUCACAUUCACAUGUGGAUUCACAUAGCUAUCAUCUAGAUUUGGCGGGCAGGGACUAUAUUCCGAGCUUCUCAGAGGGAGAAUUCGCAUACGACUUUGAACUCUUUGGAUCCUACCCGCCGCAGUACAGCAUGCCUGGCCCGUCCGGCCCGUAUUCGUAGCAUCAUGGGACUCCUUCUGGUUCAAGUUCGUCGAUGCUGAAUGAGCCAAAGGAUAUUUCCUUUAUGUUUGCCACACCCCCACCUGUGCCCAAUAAUGAUGUUGGUCGUCGCUAACACCCAGAACGUGACCGUCGACCUCCGAAUAGGUAUACCCCUAAGACCACACCAUCGAACCAUCAAUUUUAGGGGUUUAUUGCACUUUUUGUACAUUACAAAGUUUGUACGUUUUGUAUAAAUUUAAUUAUUCUAAUUUUAGGUAUGCUUAGUACGGAACUGUUUUGUAUAAAUUUAAUUAUUCUAAUUUUGCAUUAUAUUAAAGCUGAAUUUAAGGUUAAAUGGCUCCAUUUUCGAUAUAAUUUUAAUAAUUCCAAAUGCCAUAUACUAUUUUAUAACUUAAUUUAAGGACAAUUUAAGCAUAAGCAUAAGCUGAAUAAUUUUAAUUAUUUCAAAUGAAUUAUACUUUUUAUAACAUUACACAUAACAAUUUGAUAGUAUUAGGUCAACUUCGACCCGAUCUGGACGACUGUCCAACAUGAAAAUUUUGCCGAGGGCAUUUAUUCCGACUAUGACCACUUAACCUGCAUAUUCCACAACGCUUACUGUCUGAUUUCUCCCUAAUGUCCAUUUCAUUACAGAUUCUGCUUGAUUGCGGACGACCUCUUGGAUUCCUGCGUAGCCCUCUGUCUGGGAGAAGCUCGAAAGUCGUCGGAGGCACCUCCCACGUAGAUAAGUCAGGCAGGACAGGGAACUCAUUUUCCCAGGCAUGCAAUGUGCACUCGAGCGUGUACACAUCAUCGACAUAUUGUUCAACAUUAAGGUUGACUUUAGCACACGCUGCCACAACAUGCGCACAUGGAUAAUAAGGUGUUUCGAACCUCCUGCACUUGCACCGUCUGUUCCGGAGAUCAACUCUAUAGGACCUAGUUGGUAUACCAGGUCGACGACUGAUGGUCUCAAUAAAUCAAAAUGUUUCCAGUCGUCGUGAAUAUAUUUCUACAUUCAUUGACCUCGCCAUCCGACGAUUUGCAACCAUUGCAUCCCUGACAUGUUAGACAAACACGUGUCUCGCCUCCAUCUGGUCGACUUGUUGCUGACCCAUUCUUGGCAUCAAGGUAGCCAGCUAGUAGAAUGUAGUAGAAAAGACAUGCAAUCGGAAGAUGACAUGUUUUCAACAAGACAGCGUUGAUCCCCUCGACUAAGUUUGUGGUGAUUUGGCCAUAACGAAAGCCCUCGUCAAAACUUUGAGCCCAUUGCCAUGGCUCCAUUGUACCCAACCAUUGUCGGAAAGAUGUGUUUGUCUUCCCCUCCAUAUCACUCUCAAGUCGGAUCAUUCUUUGGUGGAAAAUAUGUGGCUCUAACUCGUACGCUGCAUACGUAUUAAGAAAAAUAAGUUCUAGUAACUCGAUAACAUAAGACAUUACAACUUAUAUUGAAAAUAUAAGGUUAUCAUUUACCCAUUGCCACGACUUGUCUCUUCCAAUCUGCAUUCUUAUAAUCUUUGUGGAAGUUUAACCGCAAUGUGACGGAUACAGUAAACGGACCUCUAUUGCACACUGGAAUGCCUAAUUGCUGCAAUUAAACCUUUCCCUCUAUCGGAGAUGAUGCAAUUAUUAUCGUUGCUAAUAACAUACCUCCGCAGGUUAGUGAGGAAGAAUUCCCAAGACUCCAAGUUCUCUUUAUCUACGAUGAAAAAUGCUAUCGGGAGCACGUUUCAUUGCCGUCUUGAGCAACCACAAGAAGUAGGAUCUGUGUAUAUUUUCCAUAUAGCCAGGUCCCAUCCACCUGCACAAAUGACUUGUAGUGGGGAAAUGCCCGCACACAUGGAUCAAACAUCCAGAACAUCCGAUGGAAAAUCCUUUUUACCGGCUGUAACUAGUCGUCCGGGUCGUAAUAAGGCCUUGUCUGCAACUCAAUCAUAGUCCCUGGUACGUACUCCCGCAUAGCAGCUAUCCAUCCUUGUAGCUCGUUAUACGACGAACCGUAAUCCCCACACAGUUGCUUCAUUGCUGUCUGUUUAGCUAUCCAUGCAUUUCGAUAUGAUACUCGAUAUUGGAAUCAUGCUUGCAUCUCGGCAAUCAGUACCGAAACUUUAAUGGUCGGCUUGUCCUUCACCAUUGGCAUGAUACACGUACAGAUAGUUUUCGAAUCAAGUUUUCCAUGAUCUUCUGCCAUAUGUGUUGAUGUGCAUGUAUGAGGACCAACAAAUUUUCGUAUCUCCCACAUCUAAGAACUUUUAAUGAAUGCAGCUUGUACCUACCAAUUGCAGCCUUCCGCUGCCUUCCAACACUCCCCAAUAUAUAUUGUCGGAGUAGACACUGUGACUUUAUAAUCCAUUGAUAUGUUCAUGCUAUACCGUUUAAUAGCAAAUACGCACUCUUCUUUACAGCUGAAUCUCUGGCCUAUGAAUAACUCCUCAUGAUUAGAAUUUACGGCCAACUUGUGUGGAUGAAGUAUUUCAGGGUACUCUGGGAACUCAGCUACAUAUGUUACGUCGGGGUUUAUGAGCGACAUAUAUGGCCCAGGAUUAUUGUGUAUCAAAAUACGUCACAUGUGGUCCCCGACCGAAGAAGCGUUAAUGUUUCCAUCGUUGUUGACAUCUUCAGUGUCAAUAUCAUUAGGUACAUCGUCCACAUCGGGAUCACCGUCACUAUCGACCUCUUCAUCCCAAUGAUCGCUACCACCUUCUUCUUCACCACCAACCACAUCAAUAUCGGGUGUAAUAAUCAGAUUGAUACUGAUCCCACCCAUAGUCGACCCACUAUCAAUGUAUGAUAUUGGAGCCACCAUCCACGGUUCUUGAGCUUCGUGUUCUUCAUCAGAUGCAUUGACAUCUUCAUUUUGCUCCAUACCGGCUAACUCAGUAAAUAAAUGAAUCGGUGCAUUCUUGUCACUGCCAUUCCCACAGUAAAGAGCGACCAUUGUCUCCACGUCUUCAUCGUCUACAAGUUCCAUUUCGGUGAAUUUGACCGGAUUUGUUGAAACUAGAAACUUGUAGAAAAUUUUUGAUAUCCUUCUCCCACAACGUCUAAGAAUUUUUGCAUUAAUCAUUGCCUUCAUUUCAUCCAACGAGACAUUUCUAUUAAAUCUCAUUACUAUUUGUUGCCGACAUUCAAAUACACAUCCAACACUUGUUGUCAAGAUGACUCCAUCGAAAUAAACGCAUACAAAAAACUUAUUAUCCAUCUUCAAUAUUCAAUCUGUCAAAAAAUAAACAAGAUCUCAAAAAAAAUCUCUAAUGGUAAAUAAAUUACUUAAAUAAAAAAAUUGAAUGUUUCAAUAUGCAAUUUUUCAUCCUUAAGCUCAUACUUUUUCAGUUAUUAUUUUGUACAUGAACAACGUUUAACCACUAACCCUAAUAACUAACACAAUAACAAUAAUAAUAGUUUUAUACUGAAAAUAAUACUAACUAACAAUAAUACUAAGUAACAUCUAAACCUUAAAAACUAAUAAUAAUAAUAAUACUAACUAAAACUAUCAAAUUGAGUUUUUAUUAAUCUUAGUAACUAAACUAACAACAAAAAAUAAUAAAAAUUAUACAAAAAACAUAACAACAAGAUAAUCAAUUAUUUUUAAAAAAAAUACCUUUUUUUCUCUUCUCUUUCUCUCUUUUUCUCUCUUUUUCAGGCAACACCUCCUCUUUCUCUUCUUUUUCUUCUUAUUUUUCUCCUUCAGCUGGACGGAUCUGGUGUUUAUAACACGAGUGGUGCCGCCUAUGGGAAAGGCAACUUUGGUGCCGCCUGCCCCAUCCGAUUUUCUUUUUUUUUGUAUUAUUUUGGUAAAUAAUAAAAAAUGUAUAAUGUUUUGGUUAUUUUUUAUUUUUUUAAAAUAUUUAGGUAAAAAUCCCUAUUAUUACAAAUAAUUGUUUCUUUUUUUUAUUGCAACAUGACAAAUAACAAGUUAUCAUCAAGUUGAAUAUGGAUUUUAAGGUUUCAAGAGUUGAAAAUUUAUGUAUAUAUAUUUAUGAAAUAAGGCUUGAUGUAUCAUUUGUCCUUUUAAGUGUCUUGUAAAUGGAAAAAAAUUUAGAGCAAAUAGAAUUCAUCAUCCAUUAUUAUUGUUUAUCUUUAAUUAAUUAAAUAUAAUUAAUAAAGAGAUAAAUUAAGAAAUUAAAUCGUUUUAGAACUCUUUUAUAAACAAAUUGUUGAGUCCAAACUAAUAUUUGAAGUCAGAAUCAAGCAGUGCUUAGAUUAGUUCUAACAGCUUCAGGCACUAGUAAUGAAAAUUGUAGAAAAAUAAUAAUAAUAAACACAAUAGAUGUUUACAUAAUUCAAUUUCCCUACAUCUAUGAGGCUUUGCCCAUAGAGAAUAUUCACUAUCGUAGCUCGUUGUACAAUAAGUGUUUCCAAGCACUAACACUCACCAAUUUAGUCUUCUCACUUUUGUAUCUAAGAUCUAAACAUCUCCUUCUAAGUUUUCAAGGAAAACUUAGGAAACUAACCAAAUCACACACUUGAUUAUUACAGUUUAAUGCACUCACAAAAAUGUUCCUUACUUGAACAAAAUAAAGUGCUCCCACUAAGUAUGUAACAUCCCAAAAAUUGAGGGUUAGUAGAAUCAGGUUUGGGAAUCGAGAGAGAGUGGUCAUGCCCUAAUUUUUGAGAUUAUCUAUGCAUUUUUAGGAAAUAAAUGAGGUAUUGAUUUGUUGGUUAAGUGUUAGUGAAAUGUUUCUUGAAACCCAAGUUCAAAUCCCUUCUCUCUCACCAUUUUUAUUAUUUUGCAAAUUUUGUCUUAAACCCUAGUAUGUGACAUACCUUGUUUUUAAAAUAACUAUUGCAAAAUUAUUUCAAGAAUGUGGAAAAAGCUUAAUGGUUAAAAGAAAUAUGAAAAAGUAUGAAAAUUAAAUGAGGUCCCAAGUUUGAAUCUUUUUCCUUACAAAAUAAUUAAAUUUUGCAAAAUCCCUUCUUUUUUUAAUGUGUGUGCCAUCCAUACCCGUUAACCCUAAGUAUAAAUACAACUUUUUAUUGUAUUUUUCAACCUUUAAUUCAAAUUUCCCUACCUUAGCCGUUCACCCUCUUCCUCUCCUCUUUUCUCUUCAAUUUUCUUUCUUUCAAGAUUGUGCACCAUCUCCUUUACUCUAAUGCUUCUAUUUAUCCUCAUCUAAAUCAGCCCCAAAUCUAAAAUCUUGAACCCCAAGAUUAAUCCUGAACAUUGCAAAAAAAAAAGUGUCAUUGUUAUUUCUCUCAACUAACUUGGGUAAGAUCUCUUUUCUUUUUAAUUUCUUGAUUAAUAUUGUCAAUUAAAAACCAAAAUUUCUAAAUCUUGAAUUUGGGGGAUUUUAAAUGAUUUCAAAUGUAUUUUUCCAUAUUUUAAUGAGAUCUCAAACCGUUUUAAAAUUCAGCCCCAAUUUUGGCCACCAUGGGUGGUGGUGCGUGUGCCUGUCUCCAAGAAAGGGGGCUAUUUUUUUCUUGUGUCUUGCCAAUAUUUUUUCCAGCAUUAAAUUUUGUUCUUGAGCCCUUCUAAUCAUCCUUUAAUCACAUGUUAAUUAGGGAGAGACAUUCUUGAUCAAUUAGACAAUCGGGUUCCACAAAUCGUGAAGCAUAAGUGUAAUUAAGGAUAACUAGUUUGUUAUUUCGAUAUAGUUGUAGGGUAAAUGUUAUGAAUUGAUUAAAUGAAGGAAUUUAAUCCUUAAUUAGCUACUUAUUUUCCAGUAUAUUAUUGAAUUAGGUGCUAACCUAAACACCCCAAAUCGUCCGUAAAGGCACAGAAUGAUUGUAUGUACAGUUCGCAUCGAUACAGUAUAAGAAAUCUAACUAGUUUUGAUUCAUAAAAUAGUUAUAAUUUCAAGGAUUGGUUUGAACUCAUAAGUGGGUGUUUGGGGGCAGGUUAAUGGUAAAUUUGUUGAAUUUAUACUAAAUUUUGGUUUAGGUUCGUUUAAGAAAUUAUUAAGGAAAAUUGGAAGAUUCGUUAGUGUGCUGCGAGGAAGCAAAAAAUAAGGUGUGGGUCCUAAACUCAUCAAAAUUGUUUGAAAAUUUUAAAUAUCAUGUUAUAUUUGAUAAAUUAGUUUGCUGAUUGGAUUGGCUUAAUAGCCAAAUUAUUGAUUUUGUGAGUGACCGAAUUAGGUAUGUUUGAGCCUUAAAAGAUUGACAUGUUGGCAAAAUUGCUAAUUUGAUAGUACGAAUGUUUGAUUGAGUUUGUAAUUACAUAUUUGAGUUAUGAGAUAUGAGAAUGUUUGACUAAAUGAUAUAAUGUGUUGAGAUAUUAAUGAUUUAAAUGCAUGAGAUUUUGUUAUAUUGUGUACUAAAAAGGGUGCUAUUUAUACACAACGAAAAUCCGUAAAGUAUGUGAAAUUGAACAAUAUUGAUUGAUACCAACACAAUGGUAAUUUGAAAGAUUGGAACACUGUUUCCUUUUACUGAAAGUAUGUGAUUAUUGAGGACAUGCAGAGCAUGUCAAAUGAAUGUGAAAAAUAUUAAGAUAUGAUUAUGUAUGAGAUUGUGUGACAUAUUGCAUAUGCAUUGAGUUGGGAUAUUGUGGUUGAUGCAAGAGUUCCGUAGAGUGUCGGCAGCAUAUUAAGUCCGCAUUAUUCGUAGCCAGUGCACUGCACCUGAAGUACCGAGGGGAAUGGCGAUUUAUCGCAUUUUUACUGGCAACUUGUCUGUAUUUUUACUGGCAAAAUUUUUUGCAUAUUGUUAUUAGUGGUUUUAACCACAACAGGAUUAAGGCUAUAAUGUUUUGGAGUUCAGAUGACGGGUUCUGGAGAACUCGUGGUGUGUAGAGGAUGGUAUGGGUAGGAACCUUUUUGCAUAUUGUAUUAUGCUCACGACAUAUUCGAAUGUUAUUGAUUUAUGCUACGUAUUGUAUUGAAUGGUAUUGAAAUUAAUGAUUGUUACUCGAAUGACACACCAUUUGACCUCAAUUUGAUAAUGGCUAUGUAAUGAUAUGAAAUUCCUAUGAUGGUUCUGUUUUCUUCUGUUAAAGCUAAUCUGUUUCACUGUAUUCAAUAUUUAUGUUUGUUUAAAUAAUUAUUCGAUUCACACUGAGCUUUUCAUAAGCUCACCUCACAAUAGUGCUUAACUUUUUAGGUAAACCUCAAAAUUAGGACCGGACUUGGCAUAUGAAGAAUCACAUUGAACCUUGGACUAUUCUUAAUAAGUAUUAUUAAGUAUUUAUUGGUUUUGCCUUGUAAUUUUUAAUUAUUUUUGGUCUGUAGCUUGGUAACUUUUCUUUUGGGGAUUUUUUGCAUGCAUGGAUUACUCAAGCAUAAUAACUGGAUAAUGCAUGAUAUCAAGCUUAAGUAAAUUUUGAUAUUGUUCCCUAGUUUUCGCUGCAUUACAAUAGGAACCAUUUUUGAAAAGCAUAUCGAUAAGGCAACUAAGUUUCCAAACUGACUUGAAAAGUGGUUUUUUUAUAAAAAAGAGGGAGAAGCAAACAAUUUUUCUAAAACAACAAUAUCAACAAUAAAAUGAAUCCUAAGUAUACGAUUUUCUCUAAAUGAGUUUAUUUAAAGACUUCAAAAGUAACGUAAGUUAGCUUAGCCAUUUUGGUGGCUAAUGUAGCCUUCUCAAUUUAGUCAUAACGUCUAGGCCGGGUUUAGAAGGUUACAAAGUACAUAACCUAUACAAGUCUUCACUAGGGGUAAUCUAGUAAGUCAAGCUUGAAUACUGUCAAGCUCCUCUUGAAAUUUGGAGCUCUAUACUUGACUCGAGCUCGAUUUAGCUUGUUUGCCAAUUUUUAUACUCAAGCUCGAACUUGAGCUAGAGUUCGGCUCAAUAAUUAAGCUAGGGUUAAUAAUAUAUUAAGGGUAAUAAUGUGAUUUAAUAAUAUAAAUGUUGGAAAAAUUUUGGUUUGAAAACGAUUUUCUUGUACAGUGGAAAAUUAAAAUUUUUAAGUCCUCCCAGUUUAUGAUAUUUAUAGCAAUAAACCUUAAAUUGAAUUCACACCUAAGUUUUCAAGUAGACGGAGCCUUAUGAUUCCUGCCUUUCACCCAAACAACAUUCUCCACUAUUCUAGUACCACUAGUAUAUUGAUGAGUGAAAAUUAGCAACGCUAGUACACAUAUUGAUCAAGUAAUAAAGUGGUGAGCAUAUAUUAUUUCCAUGAAAAUCAAAUUCUAAGUUGCUUAGUAACAACAAUUCAAUUUUUAUUCAAUCCAAAUUAAUAAAAUAAAAUUUAAUUACUAUUAAAAUUAAAAUAAGUUAAUUAAGAAGACUUUAUUAAACUAAAACAAAGAAAAUUUAUAUGUUAAAUCCAAUAUGGAAAAAUUAAAUGUUCAUUCUCAUCCUUUAUUAAUACAAGAUGUUAGGGUGUAAGGUAUUCUAUAUUCUAAAAAAAUUGUGCGUUUCAUACUUACCACGAUGGGAAUAAACAAACUAAGCAGUUAGGUUGCCCUAGAGAUUGAUCUUAAUUAUUAUCCUUAGUACAAUAAUUUGACGGUAAUUAUAUUCUAUUCUAUUUUAACAACACUAUUAUUAUUAUUAUAAUCAACUACGUUCUUCGCAGGCUACUUGCUUUCUGGAUAGUCCAAGUCUUCCCACGAAUUUGUCAGUAAUUCUAUUCUAUUCUAUCUGUUUACUUUUCUCAUUACGAUAAUAAAAGUUGCAUUCUAAUGUAAUAUUUGCCUCAAAAUUACACUCAAUUAUUACUUUGAUAUUUAAAGAAAUUUUUUAGGUAUCUCAAAUUUCCAAACAUCAAGCAUAUUACUCCCUUACUGCCAUUACAAAAGAAAAAAAAAAAGAUGUCGGAUUCUGGGAGUGCAUCAUGUCACCCAAUUUUAUGUUUUUUUUUUUCUGAAAUAAAUGUAAACAAAUAAAGAAAUAAGAAAAAAAUCAAGAAUAAUCUAAAAAAAUUAAAAAUCAGGAAAAAUUAUAAAAUUUUCCAAUUUAAAAAAAAUUUCCUUUUAAAAAACAUAAAAUACAAAACAAACAACAAAUAAUUAAAAAUAUAGAUAAAAAAACACAGAAUAAUAUAGAUGUAUGUAUAGUACUUUUUAUUAACCUUGAAUUUUUUUAUUUAAAAAAAAAUUCUUUUUAAAUUUAUUUUGCCAAAAAAAUUUACUCUAGGCUUGUAACUUAAUUUUUUUUAAAAUAAUUAUGAUCUGAAUUCUAUAAACUAAAUUGUAACCUUUCCAACUUGAUCUAAACGUUGUGGCUGAAUUCGAAAUAUUAUAUUGGCCACCGAAAUGACCUAAUAAAACUAUCGGAACUUACAAAAUAGUCAUUUUAAAAUUUUUAUUUAUUUUUGAAGAAAACUUAACAUGUUAUCUUUGUCGAAACCUUCUUUUUUAAAGGGUCAACUUUGGUUUGAAAACAAAAAUCGAAACGGGAGUCGCCACCAAUCAUUUUUAUGAGGUGUGAUCGGAUCACCUCGUAAUUGGGUUGUUUUAAUAAAACAUUUUGAUUUAUCAAAAACAACAAUUUUAGUCUACGAAUUUUGAGAAAAUGGAUUCGGGAGUCGGUUACGUGCGAGGAAGGAUUAGCACCCUCGCCACUCCCAAAAUUGGUACCUAAUUGACUAAUUAAUGUCUAAAUGUCGAAAGUUGAAAUUUUGAAAAGAUUUUAAAAUGCGAUCUCUUUUUUAUUAAUGCCAUUUAUUUUAAAAGAAUUUGCUCAAAUAAAUCAAAGCAAAUGUCAAAGACCUUCUCGUCUCGAGAUAACAAGUGUCACAUCCCGUGAGUUAGGACACGACACUUGGAAACCUCGAGAAUAAAUUUGCCUUUAACUUUUAUUGAAAUUUCGUGUAUUUUGAAAUUUAAAAGGAUAUUUGACUAUUUAGGUUUAGCGAGAAAAUUGAAACCCCGUAAGUUAGGGUACAAUUUCUCAAAAUUCCAAAACGCGAAAUAUUGCCUUAUUUUAAAACUUUUCCCUGUUUUUUGAAUAAUAGCGAGCAAAAUAUUUGAAUGAGGUACAUUCGUUUUAUUUGGGAUAAAAUAGAAUGAUUUAUUGCGGGUAUUUACAAAUCGAGCGCAACUUUCGAAGUGAUGAAAUGAAAUGGAAUGACAACAUAGAACAUGAAAUAACGAUUUAUGAGUAAAAUGUUACGUUAAUGAAUGAUGAUAAUAUGAAAACAAAUAAUCAAGUUAUAGCGUACAUAAUGAUAAUAACCACACCACAUGCAUCAUUUUAACAUACCAAUAUUAAUAAUCCAAGUAAACAAAACGAAAUAAUAGAAAACAAUUUUAUGUAACUAAUAGUCUAAAACGAGUAAUUUAUGAGAUCAAUUCGAAAUGAAUGAUAAAAUAUUUCAAACAAACAAUAUAUAAAACUUAAAAUGAAUAAUACUAAAAUAGUUUAAAAUAAAAAAAACACAUAAAACAAUAUUCUUUUUCUUUAUUAAAAAAUAAUAUAUAAAAAAAUUUAAAAGAUAAUAUAUAUAUAUGGUAGUUUAAAACAAAAUAUGUAAUAAAAAAUUUUAGUAAAUAUUAGGUAAAAAUUUAAAAUAAAUAAUAUAUAUAAAACUUAAAAUAAACAAUAAUAAUAGAAGAGCUCUUUUUUAAAAAAUAAUAAAAAUAAUAAAUUAAUUAAAUGGAAUAAGGACGAAGUUGAAAUCGAACCUAAAAUCUAGGGUUUAAAUCGCAAAUAAAUAAAAAAGGGUGGCUCGGGAUUGAAAUAGAGCGCGCUUAAGGGAUAAGGGACCGAUUGGGCAAUAUUCCCAGCCCUCAAGCGCAGCGUUUCAGUUCGGACCAAAAUGAAACAAUCAGAAAAUUAUGCGGCCAAAAUAUAAAAGUAAUGAGGAUCAGAUUGCGCUAUACUAUAAAAGUGGAGGGACUGAAUAUGCAAAUAGCCCCUCAAAGCCAAAACGCGCGAAUUCUGGCCGCAUUUGGGUCGGUUUUCGGAUCUUAUGCAAAACGGCGUCGUUUUGGCCACUGAUGCUAAGGUCCAAAACAGCGUCGUAUUAUACCUUAUAUAAAUAGCAAAAAAAGAAAAAAAAAUAGAAAGCUCUCAGUCUCUCUUGGUCUCUCUCUCGGCCCCUCUUUGGCCAGCCAUGGUCGCCGCUGCAGCGCCACCUUUAGCCUACAUUUCGCAACCCCUUGGAAGCCCAACCCUCUCGACCCAAAAAAGGAGGAGGACUCUCGACCCCCUCUCGGACUCGAUGGCAAUGACAGAGGAGAGCCUUCCGACGGUGCGGUCACGGGGCGUCUCUGGUGAGCCUUCUCUUCCCUUUUUUUUAUUUUACUAUUUAGUAUGUAAAAAAUGAAAAUAAAAUAAAAUAAAAAAUAGAAAAUAGAACAAGAAAGUAAAAGAAUCACCUCCAAUCUAUUUUUUGUUUUCAUUUUUUUAUAUUAAUGUUCGUAAAAAAUUACAAAGGGUGAGAUCUAGGCUUUUAUAGCCGAUCUAAACAACUCUUAAUGUCCAUUUUUUUGUUGUUUUGCAAUUUGUUCUUUUACUGCUUGUUGUCUUCUUCUUUUGCAUGUUGCAGGUGGUGUCAGAGAAACGUCAGGCACGUGGAGAGAAGGUGGCGUGCGGCGGUGGGCAUGCGAGGAGGCCAUGAGCAGGCUUAGAGGCGGCAGCUGCAUUAAGGUUUCUUUUUCGCUAAUUUUUUUUAAGUUUUGUGGGCUAGGGUUGUUAGGAUUUUUGGUUAUUGGUUUGGGCCUUUAUUUAAUUUGAUUUGGUUUUGGUUUUUUUCUGGUUUGGGCCCAGGCCAAAAUUGGCCUAUUACAAUCUUCUUUUCACUAAAUGAUAUAAUUUAUUUCCAAAACGAUAGAUAUUAAGGUUUUCUUAGCAAAUGUUGAUUUCCAAUUUUAUGUAUAAAUAUAUAUAUAUAUCUUUUUUUCAAAAACUAUUCACUUAGUAAUGUAGCAGAAAAGUGAUAUUUGACAUAAUUUUAAUGAAAAUCAGAUUUCAUGCGAAAGUAAAUCAAGUUCCAUAUUUCAGCAAUCCUAAAAUCAAUGUAAAUGUCAUACAUGCCAAAUAAACCCAAAACCUAAGUCUCAUACCAUAGUUCAAAUAAAACAAUACAGUCUUUCAAUAGCAAAAAUUUCGAAUAAUAAAUCUAGAAUACUUUUAUUGAAAAAAUAAUCUAAGAUCGAGCACUCCAAAUGCCAAGUCUGUGUCCUAACCUGAUGGUUUAUCUAUAAAGAUGAAAAUAAAGGGGAGUAAGCUUAAAAAGCUCAGUGUGAGUCCAAUUACAAGAAGGUCAAUGCAAACAAUAGAUGAAGCACACAAAAUAACAAAUCUCAGAACAAUCACACUCAUAUAACGAUUCAGAGUAUUCGGUCUUUAGAUCAACACAUCCAAUAUAAUAUAUCAGAAUUCAUAGUUAUGCAUGCAUGUGCUUAUGAAUGGAGAUGCAAUUUCAAUUUAUCAGAGAAAAUCCUACCCAAGUCCGCUACACACCACAAUAAGAGUUCCCUAGAACUCAUUCAUCCCUACACACCAUGUUGUGGAUGAACCAUUAGUAAUUACAGAUGAACUGAACUACCAGUAAUAAAAGUUGUGGAUGAACAAUAAAAAUUUUUAGAUAAAAAGUUUGCAGUUUAAUAAUCUACACACCAUGUUGUGGAUGAAUCAUUAGUAAUUACAGAUGAACUACCAGUAAUAAAAAUUGUGGAUGAACCACAAAAAUUUUCAGAUAAAAAGUUUGCAGACAAGCUGCCAAUAUAUUAUGGAUGAACCACUAGUGUUUGUAGAUUAUUAACCUGCCAAUUCUUCCUCCACUAGUAUCGUCCCACCCCAUGCAAUGCAAUAUGACAUGCUUAUAACAGAUCAGUACGGUAGCAGUAGACAUGCUUAACGUAUUUGGUUCAACAGUAGCAGUAUGCAUGCUGAACAUACAAUCAGUGAUAUCACGGCAGAAUUAACAAUAUAGUUUAUCAGAAAUACAGUGACAGUAGGCAUAUAUCAUUCACACAUCAUGCAUAUAACAGUAGUAAUUUAGUCAUUCAGAUAAUAGUUUCCAUAAUAUACAUAUUAUCAAGGAUUCAAUUAAGUGAAAUAAAACUCUAAAAAUAGUUCGAGGACUAUACAGGGACUAAAUAGAAUAAUUCACAAAUUUCAUGACAAAAUUCUAAAGUAGGGGUCACAUGGCUGUGUGACCAGGCGUGUGAGGAAGCAAAGAUUGUGUGGGAGGCGUACACGGUCGUAUGGCCAGGCCGUGUAACAAACUGAGGUCGUGUGACAAACGCCAAAGUUACCCUAUAGGAGGGAAACGACUGUGUGAAAGGGCUGUGGUCGUGUGGUUCACAAACAAGGCUAAGAUUUACAAGGGCACAUGGUCAUGUGGUCUGCACAGCUGUGUGGGAGAUCGUAUAACCCUAAAUCUACACAAGAUCACCACCGAUUCACUUGGAAAAGAACACACCUUUCACCGCGGGUCUGGUUGACGUUCAUCACGCUCGAUUUUGUCUGAUUCAAUUAAAUCUAGUCCUUCAAAUGACAUUUACACACAAAUUAAUGGUUGUAUCAAGAUUUGACAAUAUUUACAAAAGAUUUGGCUAGAUUUCGAGGAAAUUGAUUAAUGGAACCAAAAGACUAACGACGUACAUUAAUAUUACGAAAAUAUGGGAUUUAAUCCUUAAAACAAACACACUUACUGAUUAUUGGUGAAGGUAAUGGAUGCUAUUUGAUGAUAACUCUAACAUUGUUAAGAAAAAAAAGAAAUGGGGAUUGAUUUGAUACAAGAAAGAAAAAUACUCAAUAGUUCAAAGGUUAAAAUAUGAUGCAAGUAUGAGAGAAAAGAAGAAGGAAAGAAAAGGGAAAGAAAAGAAAUAAAAGAUAAAGAGGAGUUUUACUAAAUUUUUGAAAAGAGGCAAACCUAAUCCAAAUGGAAAAGGAUGGUUAAAUAGCUAGGGUUUGAAACCCUAGGGGCGACAAGGGUAAAUUACCCAAAGCUGCCAAAAUUCAAAAGAAAAAUGAGUGGGGAAGGAGGUAGCUUGAACUUAGGGCCUCUAGGAGGAGAGAGUAACAGUUAACCAUUAGGCCUAUCGCCCAUUUCUUAUUUAGUCUUAAUUCCUGACCAUAUAUAUUUUGGGUGUGACUUUUCCCUAGGUUGUCGAAAAUAAAAUGGGAGGAAGGGAGCUCGAACUUUUGGGUCUUUAAGGAGGACUCUCUAUCACUUAACCAUUAAGCCUAUUCAAUUCUUAUUUAACCAUUUCAAUUAACCCUCUAUAUUUUGAGGCGUGACAUAAAUAAUAGUAAAUUAUUCUUAUACUUAAUUGUACUUGAAAGCUUGUCUAAAUUUUAGAUUUACCUUAAUUUCAUUUGAAUAAAAUUAAAAAAAUUAAAAUGUAAAAUAAGUACGGGUAAAUGUAUUUCAAAAUGAAUGUCAUUCAAAUGGAAAAUAAUCUCAACACUAUAUUUUAACUCUAAAAAUUUUGAUUUGUAACCAACUCAUAAUUCUUUAAAUUUGAAAUAAAUCAAAUAAAAAAAAUUAGUCUAACGACUUGUAUUUAAAUUGAUCAAACUCAAAAGCAUUUAAAUUUAAAAUAAUUAAAAUAAAAAUGAACUCAAAUCUAAAAUAAAAAAAGUUGAUUGAAGAAAAUUAUGACAACUACGAAUUCAUCUACAUGGAAUUUUAUGGCAAUGGUAGCUUCAGCUUGGAAUCUAAAAUUAUUGAAAAACAAACAUAAACAAUCUGUAAGGUUAAAUCCCAAAGCAUUUUGUACAAUUUAAUUUAAUUCUUAAGUCUUGACAAGCCUUGAAAGAACCAAUUCCAUAUAUAUUGUGCAUUUAAAAAAAAACACGAUAAGUGCUAAAAGUAACAUGUUUUAUUCUCAUUCUUAAUGCGUUUUUGGGUGAUUAUCCGAUGUUAAUUUUGAAUUUUAUACUCCUAAUCCUUUAAAUUCAUGCUUUAUGCUUAAUAGAGCACUUAGGAGCAAAAUGAGCAAAAAACAAGCGAAAGUCGAAGCGUCGGAGCAAGUUGAUGGAGCCACACGGGCUGAACCAUUUCACAUGGCAAGACCACACGGCAAUGUAAUCUACACGGGCAUGUGGUAGGGCAUGUCGAUUUCACAAGAUUGUGUACUGAACAGCAAAAAAUCAUGAUUUUUAGGUUUUUUGGGCAUUCUAAGACGUAUAUAUGACAAAAUUAAGAAGAUAAGAGAGAGCCGUAAGAGAAUACUCAAGAAAACAACUCAUAAAACACCAUUGAAGCCGAUUUUGAAGUAAAUUUCCGUCGAGAUUGAAGAUUCCCAGUUGAUUUCUUAGGAAGUUAUCAUGCGUUUCUUUAUUUCUUUCAAUUAUACCGUAUUUUUUAUUUUUCUCUUAUCGAGUAUGAACUAAUUUUCUAAAUACCUAGAGGAAAUGAACCCUAUGAUGGAUUCUGUCAUUUGAUUUUUUAUUUUACACAAUAAAUACUUAGUUUCUUAUUCUCAAUUAUGUGUGUUUUAUUCUUGGUUUGAUAUUUCUAGAGUAUUAAUCCUUGUUUGAUGUGCUUAAAUAGGUGAUUGAAUAGACACCGUUUAAGAUUAGAUCUUGCGUAAUUGAGUGAAGUAGCAUGCAAUCCUAUAAAUAGGAUGACAUAAAUCUACCGGAUUAGAGUCAAAUCUAAUGGGAAAAUCCAUAGCAUGAGUUAAUGCAAUAAUAGGGGUUUUAAUUAGAAAAAAAUUCAAUUAAUCAAUCUAGAGUCAGUUGCUUUUAUACUUGAAAGAGAUAUUAACAUAAUUUAGGGAUUUCUACGGAUCAAGGUGUUAAGUAAAGAAAUUGUGUAAUUUAGAUUGCUAGUGACAGAUGAAAUCUAGGCAGAUUCUUUCUUAGGUAUUGUUUCAUUUCUUGGUUGUUAUUUGAUUAUUUUUGCGAUUUGUUCUUUGUUGUGUUCAUUAGUUAAUAAAAUUAGUUAAUUUUAGUUUUAAUCAAUCAUUUGAAUUAUUGGAUUAAAUAAUCGAAAGACAGUAAUUACUAAUACUCGUAGUCCUCAUGGGAACAAUAUCUUUGUUCACUGUAGCUAUAUUAUUAAUUGAUAGGUACACUUGCCUUAAUUAAAUUUUUAGCUAGUUUUGUAGACACCAAAAAAAUCUUUUUCAUAAUUUUUGAAACUUUUUUAUAAUGUUUGUAAAUUUUUUAUUUUUAUUUUUUUGCUAUUUUUUAAUUUUAUUUUUAAAAACUAUUUUUUAAAAAAAUAAAAAAAACCAUUCAAAGUUUUUAAAAAUUACUAUAGAUAUUUAUAUAUCCAUAUUGUUCCAUUUUUUUCUAUAUUUUUAAUGAUUUUCCUUCUCUUUUUGAAUUUUCACUAUAUUUGUAUUUUAUGUUUUUUAGAAAGAAAAGAAUUUUGUUUAAGUUCCGGAAAAGUUUUAAAAUUUGUCUUAUUUUUAUUUUCUUGAGAUAUUUCCUCUCAUUUUUUUGCCUUUUUUUUAAUUUUUUAAUUUUUUGGUUUUUUUUUGCAUUUAUUUAAGAAAAACAUAAAUUUGGGUGACGUAACGUGCCACACAUUUUUUUUUCUAACAACAGUAAGAGUUGAAUAAAAAUAUCUAAUGUUUGGAAAUUUCAGAUAUCAAACUGAUAAAAGAAUUUCUUUAAACACCAAAGUGAUAAUUGAAUCAUCAAUACCACAUUAACCCUUUAUUAUAUUAAAAUUCUCAUUCUGUUUUCAUAUUUAAUGGCACUGUUUAACGUUACAUUUUAUUAAAAAAAAUUCAACCAACACAAUUUAUUUUGAAUUUAAUAAAAACAAAUUCUUAAAAUAAUAAUUAAAUAAAAUUUAAUCAAUGCUUAUAACCACAGUCAACACGUUUCAUUAUCCCGUCUAAAUAUUGAAGUAAGCAUUAUUGAAGAAAAGCAAAUAAAUAAAGUAGAAGACAAACUGAUACAAUUUCUGAAGUCAUCAAUGGGAAAUUUACUAAGAACUUCUGGGAUGCUUAUUUUGACCGGUACCAAUUCAAUGAAAAUUACUAACAAUAUUGGAUAUAACUCCAACUAAAAAAAUGAGAAUAGUAGAGUUCUUACGCUUCAAAUUCAGUCUAUAAAUAGCAUCUUAGUUCUCUAUCAUCUCACUCCUCAAUCACUCUAUCAUCCACUUCUCCUCUUUGAACUCCAAGUCUGAAUUAACAUUAAAAUCAUGGGUGUUUUCAGUUAUGACCAUGAAACUACCUCCCCAGUCGCCCCAGCUAGGCUUUUCAAGGCUUUUACUGUUGAAGCCCCAAAGGUUUGGCCCGCGGCUGCUCCUAAUGCAGUCAAGAGUAUUGAGGUUGAAGCUAAUCCUAGCUCUGGAAGUAUCGUAAAAAUCAACUUUGUUGAAGGUUAGUUCUUUCAUUUUCACUUUCGUUGGCAUUUUUUAAUGUGUUUUACACGAGUAUGUUGGAUAACAAGUAUUUAUUUCUUUAGGCUUUCCAUUCCAAUAUAUGAAGCACCAGAUUGGAAGACAUGAUGAAAAUAAUUUUUCAUACAGUUACAGUUUAAUUGAAGGUGGGCCUCUGGGGGAUAAGCUUGAAAAGAUUAGCUAUGAGAACAAGUUUGAGGCAGCUGCAGGUGGAGGAAGUAUUUGCAGGAGCUCAAUGAAAUUCUACACUGUUGGAGAUAAUGUUAUAACGGAAGAUGAAAUCAAGGCUCGAAUUAAAGGGAGUGAGACAGUUUACAAGCCCCUUGAAGCUUACCUCUUGGCUAAUCCCGAAGCCUGCAACUAGGAUCUAGGUUGCUUUGAAUUCCUAUGCUUGCUUUUAAAGAAGAGUUUGAUUUUAAUGUUGUGCUUUUGAUAUUUUCUUUUUCAUCUUAAAACAUAAAUUGUCUUGUUGUUUCAGUAAGAGUGAUGGUGGUAGUGAUCGAACUUCGAUCAUCUUUAAUAUAUAAUGAAAGAAAUAAAUAUAUAAACCCGCAAGAAAAAGCUUUACCUAGUAUAUAUUUUACAGUUUUCAUGGAAGACUCCAAAUUUUCUUUUGUAUUAUCUUUUGGGUUAGCAAAAGUUUGAGCUAAAAAAGUUCUCAUUUUUUCUAAGAAAAAGAAUUUUAUUCAAAAUCCAAAAGAAAAUAUCAUUUGACACAUUAUAAUAAUAGUGUAACCAUACAAUUUUAAUUUUGGGUUAUACUCCAUCAUCUACAGUAGAGGUGAUCAUUCGAUCCAACCGAAUGAAAAACAAAUUGAGUUAAUUAAGUUGAUGAAUCCUAUUUUUUCAUACUAACUCGAUUUAAAUGUUUUUUGAAUCGAGUCGAGUCGAAUCGAGUAAAAUUAUUCGAGAUAAAUUAAAAACAAUUAAACAUGUCAAAUUAAAAUCUUGUUACAAUAUAUAACUAAUUUCAUGUUAUAGCAUAUAAAUUUGAAACCAUAUAUAUUUAAAAACUUUUUCAAAGUAAAAUAAUAAUAAUAAUAAUAAUAAUUUUUAGUCUGAUAAACUUGAAUCAUUAAUUAAAUUAUUUAAGUUCUCAAAAUUAUUAUUUUAGAAAUUUUAGAAAAAAUUAACUUUCUUUAUAUAUUUUUUAGAUUUUUUUCCAAAUUUUAUAAUUUUUUAAAAAAUAUAAAUUUUGAAAAUUUUAUAAAUAUUUUGAAUUUAAAAAAUUCUUUUGAUUUUUUUUUGUAAUUUUUAUUGAGAAAGAGACUGAUUUAUUUAUUUUAAUAUAUAUAUUAUAAAAUAAAUUAUAAUGUUUGUGACUCAAUUAGUAUUAGCGUGUUUGAUCACCCAAUUAAAAAAAUUUCAAGUUCAUCACUUGAAUUUUUUAUCACUCGUAGUAAAUUAUUAACUUAAACAUAACAUGAAUUUUUUAAUUGACAUAAAUGAUAAAUGUAACUUUCAGUAUUUAUACAUUUUAUUAAAUUACUUUUAAAUUUUAAAAAUAAAAAAUACAUAAAAUAUAAAAAUACAUAAAGAUUACAGUUAUAUAUUGCUUUGACAUUUCUUCAUCAAAAGGAACUCAUAACUAAAUAACUAAUCCCAAAAUGAAGAACUUUUCAACAUUAUUGGUUGCCUUAAAUUACACAUACCUAAUUCAAUGUAAUCAUGAGGAAGGACAAAAGCUUGAUACAAGACGAACUCAAUUUGUUUAGUAUCAUAGCUAGCUAUGAUUUUAGUUUUAGGUAUUUGUCAGCCGAAUUCAUGAUAAAAAGCUACUUAUCAGUCAAUUAAAUUGUUUUGGGAGGGAAAAGUAUUGUGGCAGUCCCGUAUUCACUACACCAAGAUAGGCUUUUAGCGGCAUUUUUUGAGGCGUUUGGACAAAACACGCUGCUAAAAAUCGAGCAUUAGCGGCGCUUAGGAUAAAACGCCGCUAAAGAUCUAGCAUUAGUGGCGCUUGUUUGGAAACGCCGCAAAAACUCGGACCUGUAGUGGCGUUUUUAAACAAAAACGCUGUAAUAAUGGUGACAAAACGCAUCGUUUAAUCUUCAAGAAUAGCGGCAGUAGCAGCAUAUUAUACAAACGCCAUUUUAUAGUGUAAUUAGCGGCAUUUUUUUUGUAAGCGCCGCAAAAAUUGUUGAACAAAACGCAGCGUACGAUAUUGAGGUAUAGUAGAAUUAGUGGCGCUUAUGCAAAAACACCGCUAAAGCACAGCACAAAAUAUCUUAACCAAAACGCAACGUUUGGUCUUGAGGUAUAGAGCCAAUAGCGACAGUUGUAGAAAAUGCCGCUAUAUCCCGUAAUUAGCGGCACUUAACUAAAAAACGCCGAAAAAUUUUAACCGAAACGCAGCGUUUCGUCUUGAGCUAUAGCGCCGUCAGCGGCGCUUACCCGAAAACGCUGCUAUAAAUCAAGCGCUGCAAAAAUUUUGGCCAAAACGCAUCGUUCCGGCUUGACCUAUAGAGGCGUUAGCGACGCUUACUUGAAAACACCGCUAUACCUCAAUUAGCGGUGCUUAACUAAAAAACCGCCAAAAAAUUUUAAACCGAAACGCAACGUUUCGUCUUGAGCUAUAGUGCCGUUAGCAGCACUUACCCGAAAAGGCUGCUAUAUAUCAGCUUGCGCCGCAAAAAUUUUGACUAAAACGCAUCGUUCCAGCUUGACCUAUAGAGGCAUUAGUGGUGCUUAUUUGAAAACGCCGCUAUAGAGCAACUUUUGGUGGCGUUUUAGGGAAAGCGCCGCAAAAUUGUUAACCAAAAUGGCGCAGUUUCUAGUACUUCAGUGGCGUUUUAGGUAAAAACGCCGCAAUAAAAUUAAUUUGUUUUUCCAUUUUAGGAUUUAGAAUUUAAGAAUUAAUGUUAAUGGUAUAGAGUUUUAGGGUUUAUGGUAUACUAUUUUUUAUUUUGGGCUAGGGAUUCAAGGUUUGAUGUUCAAGGUUUAAAGAUACUAUUUGAAAACUAAUUAAAGAAUAACAUUUGAAUUUUAUUGGGAUUCAUGCCACUUUGUAGCACACCUAUAUUAUUUAAUAUAAUUAAGAAUACAAUAUAUAUGUUUUGUACUAAACUAACAUUGGCCACCCGAAUUCCCAAAGAUAUGGUUUAGGAAUAUGGUUUAUGAUUUACGGUUUAGACUUUAGGGUUUGGCCAGUUUUAAGUGAAAAAAUAACAAGAAUUGUGGGAAUUUUCUGUGUCUCAUUCCUCCCAAAAUCAAGAACAUAUAUACACUGUAAAAUACAAAGAUAGAAACCAAAAUAUUAUCUCCCAAACUUUAGCAUUUAAUUUCCUAAUUAAACCAAAAUAUUUUCUCCUAAACUUUAGCAUCUAAUCUCCUAAUUAAAAGAAAAUAGAUAUACACAAAAACUAUCAUACAUAUUUACAGAAUUAAUUCCAAUACCCCCUCAAGUUGGAGCAUGAAGAUCACGGAUGCCCAACUUGCAAAGGAGAGAACGAAAAGAUGUCUGACCAAAAGCCUUGGUAAAUAUAUCUGCAAGUUGUGACGUUGUUAGAACAUAGGUAGGUUUCACAUUGCCUUGGAGAAUUUCAUCCCGAUCAAAAUGACAAUCCACCUCGAUAUGUUUGGUACGCUCAUUGAAGACCGGAUUGUGAGAUAUAUGAAGAGCAACUUGACUAUCACAAGCAAGCGUUCUUGAGUGCGGAUAAGAGACUCCAAGACUACCUAAUAAUCCAUUUAACCACUUGAGCUAACAUGUGGUCACAGCCAUGGAUCGAUAUUAGGCUUCUGCGGAGGAUCGAGACACCAUGUGUUGUUUCUUUGUCUUCCAAGAUACCGGAGAAGUACCCAAGAAAAUCAACCAUCCUGUGAGUGAUCGUCUUGUCAACGGACAACCGGCCCAAUCCACAUCGCACCAACCGUACAACCGCAGAUCACUUUUGCUACUCAAAAACACUCAUUGACUCGGAGUUCCUUUCAAGAAACGAACAACUCGAAGCGUUGCAUUUCAAUGAUCAAUGCGUGGUUGUUGCAUGAAUUGAGAUAAAAUAUGAACACUGUAUGCAAGCUCCGAUCUUGUGAAGCAUAAAUAAAUAAGUCGUCCAACCAAACGACGAUACGAUUUUGGAUCAUUUAAAAAAGAACCUGUAGCAAGAGCUAACUUAUGAUUCUACUCAAUAGGAAUACUUGAUGGUUUGGCUCCUAAAAGUCCAACUUCCGAGAUGAUGUCAAGAAUGUAUUUGCGUUGAUUCAAAACAAUCCCCUCUGGAGAACGCGCAACUUCCACCCCAAGAAAAUAUUUUAAGGGUCCUAAAUCCUUCAUAUGAAAAAAUCACUGAGAUAAGAUUUAAAAAACUCAAUAGCUUCAUGAUUAUUACCUGAGAUAAUCAAAUCAUCAACAUAGACGAGAAUAUUGACUUGAGAUGUAUCUCUCUGCAAGGUAAAAAGAGAGUAAUCCAAAUGCGAUUGUUUGAAUCCAUAAUCUUUUAAGGCUGUCGAAAGCUUGGCAAACCAGCAUCUUGGCUUUAGCUUGAGCCCAUAAAGAGAUUUCCGAAGCUUACACACUUUUCCCGGUUGUGUUACUCGAAAUCCAGGUGGUAUCGUCAUAUAAACUUCCUCCUGAAGAUCCCUAUGUAGAAAAGCAUUAUGCACAUCCAUUUGAUGUAAUUCCCAUUGCUUGGCUGCUGCAAUAGCAAGAAAAACCCGAAUAGUAACCAUCUUUGCAACCUGUGCAAAUGUGUCGGUGUAGUCAAUUCCAGCCACUUGAUGAUUACCAAGAAUCACAAGACGAGCUUUGAAUCGUUCAACGAAGCCAUCAGAGUGAUGUUUUAUUUUAUACACCCAUCUGCAUCUGAGUGCCUUUUUCCCUUUCGGAAGAUCCUCAAUCUCCCAAGUUUUUUGCUUUUCUAAAGCCUCGAUUUCACUAGACAUGGCAUCACGCCAUUUUUUGCUUCUAGCAGCUUCAGAAUAAGAUUUCGGCUCUCGUUCUGCGGUAAUGGCUGCAAGAAAAUUCUGAUGUUGCACAGAAAAUUUAUCACAGUUCACAUAAUGCGUUAUAGGAUAGGGCUUACCUUGCGAAUGCCGUGGAGGGGAGAAUUUCGGGGAUGGACUUUUCCUCUGAAUGGUGUGUAUGACAAAGUCCCGCAACCGAACUGAGGACUUUAAACGCUGUCCACGUCCCUACUCUUCUUUACCACUUCGAGUAUCAGUUUUGCUACUUUCAUUUUCAGCCUGCUGCUUAUCUACAUCAGUAGCUUGACUAUCAUUUGAAACCGCUACCUCAUUCCAUGCCUCGUCAAGUCCUUCACUUUGAGGGAGUGCAAUUGUGUCGAUCAUGGACUGAUUUGCAAAGCUGUAGCAAAAGGAAAUUGAUCUUCAAAGAAAACAACAUCUCUAGAGACAAAGAAUUCCAGUUUUUCUAAGUCAUAUAAACGCCAACCUUUCUUCCCAUAAGGAUAACCCAUGAACACACAUUUUCUACUUCGGCUGGCAAACUUAUCCCUAGUCUUACAGUGAGCGUAACACAAAGAUCCAAAAAUUCUUAGGUGACCAAAAUCUGGUUGUCGACCAUAGAGAGCCUCAUAUGGCGUCUUUCCAUUUAAACUCGAACAGGGAGUUCGAUUAAUUAGGUAACCUGCAGUCAAAAUGCACUCACCCCAGAACUUGAUAGGAAGCGAUCCUUGAAAUCUAAGAGCACGCGCAACAUUUAAGAUGUGCCUAUGCUUUCUUUCGACUCUCCCAUUUUGUUGUGGAGUGCUUGGUACAUGAAGAUUGGAAAAUAAUACCAUGUUCCACAAAAUAAUUCUUCAUGCAAGUAAAUUCUUUUCGUUGUCACUACGUACCAUCUUUACUUGUUUAUCAAAUUGUCAUUUGAUCAUAGUGAAGAAAUUUUUAAACAUACAUUGAAGGUACUUCAGAUUUAUUGUUGAUCAAGAAAAUCCACACACUCAUUGAAAAAUCAUCAACUAUUGUCAGAAAAUAUGAUGCUCCACAAGUAGACAAAGUGUUAUAAGGACCCCAUAAAUCACAAUGUAUUAAUUCAAAAAUAUCAACUGCACGAUGUUCACUUAAAGAAAAACUUCUCUAGUUUUGUUUUGCUCAAAGGCACACAUCACAACAUUUAUUCAAAAUCUCAUCCCUACUAUCUCUAUCUACCUUCGAAAAAAGUUUCGUCAUCUCCAUAGAUGGAUGACCUAACCACUUGUGCCAUAUUUCUAACGAGUUACCGGCAGUCACCCUCAUUGCCUUGAUCCUUGGAAUUUUCCGAAAGUAGUAGAGUCCAUCCCUUUGUUCACUCGCUCCAAUCAGCAUCCUCGAGGUACGGUCCUGUAUAACACAUAAUUUUUCAGUGAACUGGAUAAAGCAAGAAUCAUUUUCCAUAAGUUGUGACACAGAGAUAAGAUUGCACGUCAAAUUCGGCACAAAUAGAACAUUUCGCAACAAUAAAUCUCCUCCAAGAGCAACAGACCCUUCCAAAGUAGCCACAGAUUCAAUCCCAUCCGGUAACCCAACGGGACAAUUAGGAAUUUUAUGAAUAUUAUGUAAAAAUUUUAGAUUACCCGUCAUAUGAUUUGACGCUCCUAUGUCAAUAAUCCAAGACAAUUUCUUACCCGUCAUCUUCUCAGUUGUAGUUGAUCUCAUACCCUUUAAGGUUUGGAGCAAAACUUGCCACUGUUCAUUGCUAAGCCCAGGCAAAGUGUAUGCUUCAGUAUCAUCAGUGCUAGCAUUUGAAGACGAUACUCCCCCUGUGUGGGUUCGGACAGCAUUAGCUCGCUACCCCUCUCGUCCUCGACCUUUUGAUUAAUGUUGGCCUCAAUUCUUGCCACAGCUUCCACCCUUCAUAGUUCCUCGAGGUCGUUCUCCCCACCAUUCAGGAUAACCAAUAAUAGUAAAACAAUUAUCAAUAUCAUGUCCGAGUUGUCUGCAAUGGGAACAAACCCCCUAUUUCUCCUUACUUUCUCCACGGCCUCGACUUUGCACCGCCAUAGCCAUCACAUCAGAGCGAUCUUCCAUCUCACGAGAUAUGGUCUUCACUCGUUCUUCCUGAAUAACCAUCGAAUAAGCCUUGCUCAAGGAUGGCAACGGAUCGUUAGCCAAGAUGUUGGAUCUAACCGUGCUAUAUGUCCCAUCCAAUCCCAUCAGGAAGUGGUGAACUUUUUCCUCUUCUCGUCGCUUUUCCAACUCGGCUGAUAGUUGAUAAGUACAAUUCCCACAUUUACAAGUCGAAAAUUGAUCAAAAAUCACCAAUUCAUCCCAUAUCAGUUUCAAAUUUCCAAAAUAAUUGACAAUAGUCAAUCAUUUUUGCUUGCAUUCUACAAGAUCGGAUCUGAGUUGUUGGAUUCUUGGACCAUUGGCCAUUGAAAAUCUCUCUCGAAUAUCAUCCCACAAAUCCUUAGCCACCUCUACAUGAGAUAUGGUGGAUCGAAGAGUUGGUUCAAUGGUAUUUUAAUCCACGAAACUAGCAACUAGUUAAUGGUCCACCAAUCUUCAAUGUCGUCUGAUGUAUCAUCUGGUUUUUUAAUCGAUCCGUCAAUAAAUCUGAACUUCUUCCUAACACGCAACGCCGUUCGGAAAAAACGAGCCCAUUCUUCAUAGUUUUCCCCUUUCAAUUGUACUUGAGUGAUUGCAAGUCCAGGAUUAUGAAGCGAGGUUAUAUCGUACGGAGAAAUCAUUUUUUGCACAAUCGCCCCUUCGCCGAAUUUGUGACCGGAAUCACCUUUCCCACCAGCCAUUAGCAAAACUUUACACGUUCAAAACCUGCUCAUGAUACCAUGAAAAAAUAACAAGAAUAGUGGGAAUUUUCUCUGUGUCUCAUUCCUCCCAAAAUCAAGAACAUAUAUACACGGUAAAAUACAAAGAUAGAAACCAAAAUAUUAUCUCCUAAACUUUAGCAUCUAAUCUCCUAAUUAAACCAAAAUAUUAUCUCCUAAACUUUAGCAUCUAAUCUCCUAAUUAAAAGAAAAUAGAUAUACGCAAAAACUACCAUACAUAUUUACAGAAUUAAUUCCAAUAUUAAGAUUUAGAGUUUAUGAUUUGGUGGUUAUUGUUUGUGGUUUACGGGUUUAAUGUUUAUGGUUUAGGGUUUAAGAUUUUCAAUUAAUGUUUAUGAUAUAGUGUGGAUUGGAUUUUGGGGUUUGGAGUUUUAUGGCUAAUUGAUGGGUUUAGGGUUUAAGGUUUAUGGUUUGGGGUUUAAGAUUUACGGUUAAGGCUUACAGUAUAGUGGGGAUUUAAUUUUGGGGUUUGAUGGUUUGGUAUUUUAUAUGGUUGACGGUUUUAGGGUUUCCACUUUGGGGUUUGGGGCUUUGUAUUUAAUCUUAGAUAUUUUAGAAUAUAAAUGUAAAUAAUAUAAAUAUAAAUUAUUAUUUAAAAAUUAUAUUAAAAUGGGUUAAAUCCCAAAAGCACACAUGAACAAUGUUUUAUUGUUCAAUUGUAUACAUUAACUUUUAAUUAGUUUGAUCCAGAUCUUGUAAAAUAGUAACAUAAUUAUUGAUAUAAUUAAAAUAAUUUUUUAUUUAUAUUGCAUACAUAAAUAUUUAUAAUUAUCCAAUAUAAAAAUAUAUUGAUGUAUUUAUUUUUUAAAAUGUGUAAUUAUUUUUUAAAAAUGCAUUACUCUCAUUUUUUAUUAGUUAAUAUUUUCUCUCUAAUUUAAAAGAAAUUAUAAACAUUAGCGGCGUUUAUGUUAAAAGCGCCGCAAAAGGUGAGGCAUUAGCGGCGUUUUUAUGAAAACGCCACAAAUUUUAUUGAAAUGUUAGCAAAACAUUGUCAUUUUGUUCUUUGCUUUUAGUGGCGCUUUUUGUAAACGCCGCAAAAGUGUAUCAUGAGUUAAGAAACUGCGUCGUUUGGCAUUGUCUAUAGUGGCGCUUUCCUUAAAAUGCCGCAAAUAUGUUUUAAGUUUUAUAUAAACGGUGUCGUUUUUUCUAUAUUAGUUGUGGCAUUUUUUAAAAAUGCCAGGAGUUUGAUUUAACUAAUGUGGAAAUGACUGUGUUUGACUAUAUUUAGGGGCGCUUAUGUAUAAACGCCGCAACUGGGUUAAAUAGGAAAAAAAUGGUGUAGUUAGUUUUCCAUCCUUUUGAUCGAAACAAAACCAAACCCCGAUUCUCCCCCCCCAAACUGUCAUCUACCCCAAAUCCCUAAAAUUUCCCCUAAUCCCUAACAGUUCCCCAAACCCGACGUAAUUUGUACAGCGCCGUGCUUUGCUGCAUCACAGUCUCCGUGCAUCUCCGGUGCCGCAACCAUUGGUAAGUUCGGUAACUUCCUUUUUCUUCUUCAUGCGUGGAUGUUAUUUGGAAUAUCGAUUUUGAAAAAAAAUCAAUUUCGGGUGUUUCGAUAAUGUCGUAAAUUUGGGGCUUCCGAACAUUUGGUUUUUUUUUUAUUUUCAUUUUCAGAAAACGUUAUAGGUUGUGAACUUUGCAUAAAAAAUCAGUUUUAUAUAUCGACAUUUCAUAUAUAUCAAAAACUAGUUUCAUAUAUCCUUUUCAUUUCAUAUAGUAGGGCGAAUCUCGUUGAAAUUUAUAUAUAUGUAUAUAUAUAUAUGUAUUAAAACUAAAGCAUACUUAUUCUUAUUUCUUUUUUACCUUGUUAAAAAAUUCAAGAAAAAGGAAGAAUUGAAGUCUUAUGGUACUUAGAUGAAAAAGAAAAUUCAAAGUGUUCUAGUAUGUUUUACCCUUCUGUAAUGGAAAAAAAAUGGUUGAGUUGGAAAAAGAAAAAUAUUAAGUUAUCAUUAGGGGAGAUGAGAAAUGAAUGAUUUGUUCUCAUUUUGAUUUUUGAUAUGCUUGAGCAUAGGUUGAUUUAUUUGUUAACUUGACUAUUUACUCUCUCUUUUUUUGUUCAGUAACUAUUUAUUUAUUCGUUAUUACUUUUUCAAUGUUAAAAUUUGACAGCACACAUAUAUGCAGUAAAGGUUUAGUGUUUUAAUAUUUCUAAGUAUUUGAAUUUUUUUUAAAUCGUUUGUGCAUAGAUGGCAUUCUUUUUUUUAACAUAUUUGAGAUUUUAAAUUCUUAAACAUGCUACUUGAUUUUGUAUUCACAUCAUUGUAUUGUCUUCAUUAAUGGAUGCUAAGUAUCUUAUGUUUCACUUGACUUUAUCAAUUGAUACUUUGUUUAGUUACUUUUCUAUAGUUUCAUAAAACACCUGGCUGCUUUUAGUUCUCUUUUCUUUAUAUUUGGUUUAGAGUCACUGGUAUUCAUUCAGUUUUUAUAUUUGGUUCUCAUAUUGGUAAAGUUUUAAGCUGCCAUUUAAUGUAUCCAAGUAAUAUUUGGUUGUGAUAUCAAUAAAGUUUUACAUAUUUGAUGGCUAAACUGAAAAAAUAUUUGCUGCUAGUCUGAUCAUGGUUCAUCUAUUGUAGGCGGAAUUAAUAUUUGGUGCAACUUAAUACAUAUCUGACCAUUGACAUCUGGUUUGCUGCCUGUGUUUUGGCGGAACUAUUGUUUGGGUAGGUACAUGUUAAAAUUUGAACUUUUUUCCCUUAUUUAUAUGCAUUUUCCCAAAUUAGUUAACAAAAUUCAUAUUUCUGACUGCAGUCUCUGUUUGCUGGUGAGAGUGGAGUAGACAAAGUUGAGUUAAAUAUUAAGGUAUGUUUUAGUUCAUAACUUAAAUCAGUAAUAGUUUUAUCAUGAUGCAAGCGACCACAUAGCUCAGAUGCAAGCGACCACAGUUGAGGUUCAAAGGAAAUAUGAAGAACUUCAGCAGCAACUUAAAGCUGAGGCGGAAGCGAGGGAAGCGGAGGCUGCAGCGAGGGAAGCAGAGCAGAGCAAAGCAGAAAGUACAACAAACUCCAACAGCAGCUUCAGAAUAUGAUGAAGAUGUUUCAGCAGUCGCAACAUCCGCCGUUAUAGUGUAUUGUAUAAAAAUUUUUAUCAUUUUAAGUUUUAACAUUUUUGUGAAAAUAAUAUAAAUUAUAUUUGAUUUAUUGAUAUUUAUAUUAUUUUAUUCAUUUAAUUUGAAAUAUUAUAUAAAUUUAUUGCUUUUGGCUGGUUUAGAUUUGCUUGCUUUUGAUUUGUUGCUACAGGAGGGCCCAAAAUAUGAAAAAUUAUAAUUUAAAAAAAUUCCAAAAUUAAUGGCGUUUUUCGAAAAAGCACCGUUAAAAGUCGCCAAACACUAGCGGCGGUUGUGAGAAAAGCGCCGCUAAAAGUCAAAAUCUAUUACGGAGUUUUUAGGAAAAAGCGCCGCUAAAAGUUAGGAUCUAUAGCGGCAAUUGUGGGAUAAGCACCGCUAAAGAACAUGACCUUUAGCGGCGUUUUUGAGAUAAGCGCCGCUAAAAAACAUGAGCUUUAGCGGUGUUUGUGGGAUAAGCGCCGCUAAAGAACAUGAGCUUUAACGGCGUUUGUGGAAUAAACGCCACUAAAGAACAUGAGCUUUAGCGGCGUUUGUGGGAUAAGCGCUGCUAAAGAGCAUGACCUUUAGCGGCGUUUGUGGGAUAAGCGCCGCUAAAGAACAUGACCUUUAGCAGCGUUUGUGGAAUAAGUGCCUCAAAACUUAGCGACAUUGUAAAUAGCGGCGUUUUUUGUGGCGCUUACUUUUAGUGGCGCAAAAAAGUGCCGCUAAAAGCAAAAAAAAAAACGCCGCUAAAGACCUGUUUUGGUGUAGUGAUUAUACAUUGAAUUGCAUUAUAUUCUCUUUAUUGAAAAAAUAGAUAAAUUUAUUCUUUUGUAAAAAUCCUACCAUUAAAUGGUUAUUUUGAUGUCUAACAUGCAAGGUAAAAUAUAAAAUUUAGUCCUCAACCUUUACUCCUUUAUUCAAUUUAGCCUCUAUUCUUUUAUUUUGUUGAGGCAGUUCUACAAGUUCCUUAUGCAUGCAUCAUGGCCACUACGGGCACCACUGCGACGAGCAAGAACAGCUUCUCAUAUUUGGACUUAGCAAUGUUUUUGAACAAAAACUAUCGGUUGAUAUUUUGGUCGUUAGUUUGGAAGUGUGGCAACCUAUCUAUGAAGAUCGAGCCAUUUGAAGCAGCAUAUCUUAAGGAUUUGUAACACCUCUUACCCAUGUUUAUCGCUGAAACAAGGUAAGAAGUAUUAUCAAACAUGAAAUACAUUUUUACCAUACAAUCUGAGUUUUUUUUUAGAAAAUCUUUUGACAUAAUUCCUUUCUAGAAACGUUCAAUUCCUCCUGCAAAUUUUCGAAACACAAUUUCAAACAAAUUCGAUAUUUCAACCAAUACAGUUAUAUAUUUAAACACAGUUAAAUCAUUCACAACAUUCUAGGUAACCUUGUUAAUAAUUUAAAGAAAAAACAACCUAUCAAUUAAUAUACACUAACAUUUUUAACCAAAUAAUAAUUAAUAUAUAUUUUACAUAUCACUUUACAUUAAGUCAUUUAUACAUGCCAUACUUCAAAAGUAUUGGUUACAAAAUACCAAAAGAUGUAGAUAGUGUGGAUGAUGUUCCGACUCUGUCCAAUUUCCGAGCUGAUUGAUAUAACUAUAAAACAAGGGAAAAUAAAGAGGAUUAAGCAUAUAGCUUAGUAAGUAUGUAUGUAAUUGAUAAAUAAAUUUCUAGCAUGAUACCAUAGAUAAUAUAAUUUUUAUCACACAUAAAUCUAUUAUUUAUUCAAUUUCCAGCAAACUGUUUUUCUGCAUCACAGUCACUAAAUUAUUUCUAUCCGGAGCUACAGAAGUUAAAAUUAAGAUCCGUAAAUUUUCCCUGAAACUAGACUCAUAUAGCUUAUUACCAUAAAAGUUUCAUAAUUUUUGGUUCAGCCAAUUAGUACAGUUUAUUAUCUAAAGUUUCCCCAUUUCACUGCUUGAAAUUUCUGACCUCUCUUCACUAAAAGUCAGUUAUAUCUUAGUACAGAAUUCAAAUGAUGUUCCCACUUAUUUGUUUUAAAAAUAUACUCAAUAAUAAAUUUAAUCAUGUAAAUUACAAAACAUAAUUAUUUUUUUACAAUUUUUAGUGAUUUUCCAAAUUCAGAACAGAGGAUUUCGAAAUCAUUCAGACCUUGUCUCACUAAAAUUCCAAUAUCUCAGAAUAUAUAACUCCUUUGGCCAUUAUUUCUCUUUUAUGUGAAAGUAGACUCAUUAAGCUUUAAUUACAUGUCUUAGUCAAGCACUAAAUCAAUUUCUAUAAGUUUUGGUGAUUUUUUUAACUAACAUCACUGCCACUGUCCAAAUCUAUUCUGUUUCGAAUUCACUUAUUCACAUAACACUAUAACCAUUUAUUUUGUAAGCACAAUACAAAACUUCAUCACUCUAGUUACUCUUUCGCAACUUAUCACAUUUCACUCACAUAUUCAUAUUUUUUUACCAUACUCAUAUCACUUUGAACAUGUCGGUAUAAUAGCAAACAUUCGGUGGUUUGCACAUAGUACCACUCAUUUAACUAUUAUCAUGCAAUACACGUAGUAGCCUUCACAUAGUACUACACACGUGAUCAAGAUUUUCGGUUCACGUAGUAGCCUACACAUAGUACUACACACGUGACCAAGGCCUUCCGGUUCACAUAGUAGCCUGCACUUAGUACUACACAUGUGACCGUUAUUUAUCUAUACACGUAGUAGCCUGCACUUAGUACUACACACGUGUUCGCAGACAUUUUAUUCAAGCCUUUCUUAUUCCGGCAGUUCCACUGAGAUUCCUACCAAUCAAUGAUUUAUAAUUUAUCCGUAACAAUUCAUACUCUCAAUAUUUCCAUCCAAACCCAUAAAAAAUUUAAUAAUUCAAUUCAAACCACUUCAAUCAUUACUCGCAAUUGAUAUAUCCACAAUCCAAGUUAAUUUUUUUUACAAUUCAACUAUCAAUACCAAUUUCUAAGUGUUAUAUACUAUUUCAUAUUCAACCAUUUCGCAUAUAUUAUAACAAAAUAUAUAAAAAUAAUAAUUAUAACAAUGUAUUAAUUACAUACAACUUACCUCAGUCUUUUCCCUUAUCGAGGCUGUUUCCACAAUCUUUUCUUUUCUUUUCUUUUCCCUUAUCGAGGCUGUUUCCAUGUCUCGCUUGAUCUAUAAUAGCAAAUUUAACUUGUUUAAUAUUCACAUUUUUCAAAACUGUCCUCGACUCAACUUUAGCAAAACUACAAUUUUGUCCCUAAACUUUUACAUAUUUACAUUUUUGUCCCAAAGUUCGGAAAUUAAAUUUCAUUCCUUAUUCUUAUGUUUUACAACAUGAUGAACACUUUUUCCUUCUAUGGAAACAUCAAAUUCUCACUCUAACUCUUACUUAAGAACAUUAAAUAUUUUUAUCGAUUAUGUUAUUUUGCUCGGUUUCACUUAAAAUCGGCUAGCAAAAGUUGUUUAACAUAAAAUCUAGCUUCAUAUUCUUCAAUAAAACAUCAAAAUACAUACAUUUCACACAUGGGUAAUUUUUCAAAUUCCAACCCUAGCUCAAAAUAACAGUAGAAAUAGAUAAACCAAGCUUCGGGAAUCUCAAAAAUGCGAAGAACAUUAAAAACGGGGCUAGAAUGCACUUACUAUGAGCUUGAAGGAGUAAAGAAAUCCUAGCCAUGGCUUCUUUCAAUUUUUGAUAGCAACAAAGAUGAUGAACCCCAUUUUUACAUCUUUUUCCCAUUUUAAUUCUAUUUAUUUACUAAAUGACUAAAAUGCCCGUACUUAAAAAAAAUUCUAUUUCACUUAUUUCAUGUCCAUUUUUGUCUAUCACUAACUAAUAGUCUAAUUACUACAUAAGGACCCCUAAUUUGUAAUUCCAUAACAAUUAAACACCUUUAACAUAUGGAACUCAACUUUUGCACUUUAGACAAUUUAGUAAUUUUUACUAAUUUGAGUGCUCAAACGUCAAAAUUUUCGAACGAAAUUUUAACGAAAUCUUUCCUUGAUGUUGUAGACCAUAAAAAUAUAAUAAUAAAAUUUUUCUCAACAGAUUUGUGGUCCCAAAACCACUGUUCCGAUUAGGCCCUAAAUCGGGUUGUUACAACUCUCCCCCUUGAAGGAUUUUCGUCCCCGAAAAUCUUACCAGAAAAGAGGUUUGGGUACAAUUUCCUCAUGGCUUCUUCUGGUUCCCAAGUGGCCUCUUCAACUCCGUGUUUUUUCCGUAACACUUUCACUAAUGGUAUACUUUUAUUUCUCAACUGUUUAACUUCCCGAGCCAAAAUUUUUAUAGGUUCCUUAUCAUAAGGCAUAUCCGAUCAAAUUUCAACUUCUGUUGGGGAAAUUACAUGUGUAGGAUCAGAACGAUAGCAUCGUAACAUCGACACAUGGAAUACAUUAUGUAUCUUCUCCAACUCUAUUGGUAAGGCUAACCGAUAGGCUACAGGUCCAAUCCUUUCAGUGACUUCAUACGGCCCAAUAAAACGCGGACUCAAUUUACCGUUUCGACCAAAUCUCAAAAUCUUCUUCCACGGAGAUACUUUCAAAAAUACUUUAUCCCCCACUUGAAACUCAAUUUCUUUUCUCUUUAAAUCCGCAUAUGACUUUUCUCGGUCUGAAGUAGCUUUCAAACAAUCACGGAUUACUUUUACUUUUUUCUUUAGUUUCUUUCACCAAGUCAACCCCGUGAAUUUGUUUCUCACUGAGCUCAGUCCAAUACAAAAGGGUUCUACACUUAUGUCCAUAUAAUGCUUCAUACGGUGCCAUUCGUAUACUCGACUGAUAACUAUUGUUGUAAGAAAAUUCAACCAAUGGUAGAUAUUUCUCCCAACUGCCUUCAAAUUCUAAGACACAACAUCAGAGCAUGUCUUCCAGAACUUGAAUUACUCUUUCAGAUUGUCUAUCAAUUUGCGGAUGAAAUGUAGUACUAAAGUUCAAUUUUGUACCCAAGGCUUCUUGCAACUUUUUCCAAAACCUCGAAGUGAACCUCAGAUCUCUAUCCGAAAUAAUAGACUUAGGCACCCUGUGCAACCUCACAAUUUCAGCAACAUAUAACUCCGCCAACUUGUCAAGUGAGUAAUCAAUACGUACCAGUAUAAAAUGGGCUGAUUUUGUCAAUCUAUCAACGAUUACCCAAAUAGCAUCUUUCUUUCUAGGAGUCAGAGGCAAACCCGCCACAAAAUCCAUCGUGAUUCUGUCCCAUUUCCACUCAGGAAUCAGUACUGGUUGAAAUAAACCCGAAGGUACUUGAUGCUCAGCUUUCACUUGUUGGAAAAUUAAACACUUUGAUACAAAUUUCGAAAUAUCCUUUUUCAUGCCCAGCCACCAAUACAAUUUCUUCAAAUCAUUAUACAUUUCUGUAUUACGUGGAUGAACUGAUAAAUCACCACUGUGUGCCUCAUGUAAAAUUGUCUGAAUCAACUCAUCAUUUCUCGGUACAAAUAUCCUAUUCCGGAACAUCAGACAAUCAUCUGAUCUAAUUCGAAAAUCUGAGUCCCCACCUGAUUCACACUGAAAUCUCUUGGCUUGUAAUUCACCAUCAUUCUUUUGAGCUUCACAAAUUUGCAGCAAAAAUAACGGUCUAGCUUUCAACUCAGCCAAAAUUGAACCAACCUCAGACAUAGCUAAACUAGCAUUCAUAGUUCUCAAACAAACAAAGAUUUUCUGCUCAAAACAUCAGCAACUACAUUCACUUUUCCGGGGUGAUAAUCAAUCACUAGCUCAUAGUCUUUUAUCAAUUCGAGCCAUCUUCGUUGUCGCAAAUUCAAAUCCUUUUGAUUCAUCAGAUACUUCAAACUUUUAUGAUCAGUAAAGAUUUGGCAUUUCUCACUAUACAAAUAAUGACGCCAAAUUUUCAAAGCAAAGACGAUAGCAGCUAAUUCCAAGUCGUACGUAGGAUAAUUCUUCUCGUGUGGCUUCAGCUGUCUCGAAGCAUAAGCUAUUACUCUACCCUCUUGCAUUAGUACACACCCAAUACCAUUUAACGAUGCAUCACUAUAAAUUAUAAACUCUUUUCCUGUUUUAGGCUGCACCAACACCAGCGCCUCAGUCAAUAAUGCCUUCAAUUUCUCAAAAUUUAGUUGAUAUUUAUCAGUCCAUUCGAACUUGACAUUCUUUUGCAAUAACUUAGUCAUAGGAGAAGCAAUCAUCAAGAAUUCUUUAACAAAACGUCUAUAAUAUCCAGCUAAGCCCAGAAAACUUCUAACUUUGGAUACAUUCUUUGGCGGCUCCCAAUUAACAAUUGUCGAAAUUUUACUCGGAUCAACCCAAAUACCAUCACUUGAAACUAUGUGUCCCAAGAAUCCGACUUCAUGAAGCCAAAACUCACUUUUACUAAAUUUAGUAAACAAUUUCUUCUCUCUCAAAAUCUGCAACACAGUUCUCAAAUGCUCGGCGUGCUCGGAUUCAUCUCGGGAAUAGAUUAAAAUAUCAUCUAUAAACAGCACCACGAACUUAUCCAAAUACGGUCGGAAAAUUCGAUUCAUUAAAUCCAUAGAAAUAGCCGGAGCACUAGUUAAACCGAAAGGCAUCACAAGAAAUUCAUAAUGUCCAUACCUCGUUCUGAAAGCAGUUUUUGGCACAUCUGACUCUUUAACUCUCAGUUGAUGGUAGCCAUAUCUCAGAUUGAUCUUUAAAAACACUGUUACGCCUUUUAAUUGGUCAAACAAAUCAUCAAUUCUCGGCAACGGGUACUUGUUCCUUAUAGUCACUUUGUUGAGUUGACGAUAAUGAAUACAAAAUCUCACAGAACCGUCUUUCUUUUUCACAAAUAACACAGGAGCACCCCAGGGAGAAAAACUUAGUCUCACAAAUCCUUUAUCUAUCAACUCUUGCAACUGAUCUUUUAAUUCUCUCAAUUCAGUUGGAGCCAUUCUAUACGGAGCAAUAGAGAUCAGUGCAGUACCAGGUAUUAGAUCAAUAGCAAAUUCAACUUCCCUGAUCGAAGCUAACCCAGGCAAUUCCUCUGGAAAUACAUCUGGAAACUCACAGACUACUGGUACUGAUUCAAGCUUCGACUCCGAUAUCUUAGUAUUUAUCACAUAAGCGAGAUAAGCUUCACACCCUUUUCUCAUGUAUUUUUGAGCCGACAUAUGCGAAAUCACCAUAGGCAAUUUACUUGAUUCAUCUAUUUUAACCCGAAGAAUUUCACCAUUUUCACACUUCAAUUCAAGGAUUUUUUGUCUACAAUUUACCUUGGCAUCAUGCAACAUCAACCAAUCCAUCCUUAGAAUAACAUCAAACUCAUCAAAUGGUAACAACAUCAGAUUAGCUGAGAAACAAUGACCUUGAAUCCUCAAAGGACGAUUCUCGCUAACCUUAUCGACUAACACAUAUUUGCCUAAAAGAUUUGACACUUUAACAACAAAUUUAGUAUUUUCAAUAGGCAAAUUCUUAUUAGAUACUAAAUUCACACAUACAUAAGAAUGAGUAGACCCAGGAUCAAUCAAUGCAAUAACUUCAAUAUCAUAGAGAAAGAAUGUACCUGUAAUCACAUCAGGAGAUGAUGCUUCCUCACGAGUACGUAUAGCAUAAGCUCGAGCAAGUGUUCGAUGUUCUGAUCUCACAGUUGUAUCUUUCAUUACACUUUUACCGCUAGCUCUGCUUCCGAUAUUUCUCGGUGGGCUACCUAUGUUAACAGUAUCACCCGAUCUAACAUUUUGAAAUUUUUCUUCUUCAACUUUCUCAGGGCAAUAUUUAAUGUAGUGUUGUCGAGAACCACACUUGAAACAAGCUCAGCUAAGUAACUAGCACUCACCAGGAUGUUGCCUACCACAAUGCUGACACUCGGGUGUAUUAGGCUUCACACUCCCCACACUUGCUACUGAAAUAGCUUGAGCUUUAGGACCCGAAUAUGAUUUUCCCCGGUCUCGGCGUGAAUAUCCAGCUGAAGUUGUCAAUCAAGGAUUCAUCUCUUUAGACUUUUUUGACUGAUUUUGAAAUGAUUUACUCAUUGGCCUCUUUCUUGCAUCUCGAGCCUCAACCACAGCUUUUCUCUUCUCUUUAUUCAAUUCUUCAGCCUUACAAGCUCGAUCAACCAGUACCAAAAAUUUCUUCAGUUCCAACAUCCCAACAAACAUUCUGAUAUCUUCAUUUAACCCGUCUUCAAAUCUUUUACACAUAAUAGCUUCUGUAGGUACACACUUUUGAGCAUAUUUACUCAGUCUAACAAACUCUCUUUCAUACUCUGCCACAAACAUUCGACCCUACUUCAACUCGAUAAAUUCCUUACAUUUUUUAUCGAUGAAUUGUUGGCUUAUGUAUUUUUUUCUGAAUUCCUUCUGGAAGAAAUCUCAUGUAACCCUUUCUUUCAGAACCAUAGAUAAUAAUGUUUUCCACCAACGAUAUGCUGAAUCUUUUAGUAAUGAUAUAGCACAUUUUAGACAUUCUUUAGGAGUACAUGAUACUUCAUCAAAUACCCGGAUAGAGUUUUCAAGCCAAAAUUCUGCCUUUUCGGGAUCAUCACCUAUAUUAGCCCUGAAAUCUUUCGCCCAUUGUUUUCAGAUUUUAUCAACUGGGGGUUUACUUGGUUUUACCAAUUCAACACCUUGUGAAACUAUAGGUACCGGUUGGGGAAUAAGAGGGGCGGAGGAGGUUGUGCAUUCAGAUUUGCUCGAAUAAAUUCGGUGUACCAAUUGUUCAUAAUAUGAAGAAAGGCUUCUCGAGCCUCAUCCUAACUUUGUGUUUCAUGUCUACUUUCCUCAGGCGCGGUCCCUUGCGUAGGAGCCGGCACAUUGCUUCCUACAUCAUCUGCUACAGCUCAGUCAUGAUCCAUUUACUAUAUAAAAACACAAUUUUAAAUUGUCAAAAAUCAUCACAUUAUCACAAUAUAUUUAUGGCAUGUAUACAUAGACUUUCACACACAUUGUGCUAAUCCGAGAAUCGGCUAAACCGUAGCUCUGAUACCACUAAAAUGAAACACCUCUUACCAAUGUUCAUCGCUGAAACAAGGUAAGAAGUAUUAUCAAACAUGAAAUACAUUUUUAUCAUACAAUUUGAGUUUUUUUUUUAGAAAAUUAUUUGACAUAAUUCCUUUCUAUAAACGUUCAAUUCCUCCUGCAAAUUUUUGAAACACAAUUUCAAACAAAUUCGAUAUUUCAACCAAUACAGUUAUAUAUUUAAACACAGUUAAAUCAUUCACAACAUUCUAGGUAACCUUGUUAAUAAUUUAAAGAAAAAACAACCUAUCAAUUAAUAUACACUAACAUUUUUAACCAAAUAAUAAUUAAUAUAUAUUUUACAUAUCACUUUACAUUAAGUCAUUUAUACAUGCCAUACUUCAAAAGUAUUAGUUACAAAAUACCAAAAGAUGUAGAUAGUGUGGAUGAUGUUCCGACUCUGUCCAAUUUUCGAGCUGAUUGAUAUAACUAUAAAACAAGGGAAAAUAAAGAGGAUUAAGCAUAUAGCUUAGUAAGUAUGUAUGAAAUUGAUAAAUAAAUUUCUAGCAUGAUACCAUAGAUAAUAUAAUUUUUAUCACACAUAAAUCUAUUAUUUAUUCAAUUUCCAGCAAACUAUUUUUCUGCAUCACAGUCACUAAAUUAUUUCUAUCCGGAGCUAAAGAAGUCCAAAUUAAGAUCCGUAAAUUUUCCCUGAAACUAGACUCAUAUAACUUAUUACCAUAAAAUUUUCAUAAUUUUUGGUUCAGCCAAUUAGUACAGUUUAUUCUCUAAAGUUUCCCCGUUUCACUGCUUGAAAUUUCUGACCUCUCUUCACUAAAAGUCAAUUAUAUCUUAGUACAGAAUUCAAAUGAUGUUCCCACUUAUUUGUUUUAAAAAUAGACUCAAUAAUAAAUUUAAUCAUGUAAAUUACAAAACAUAAUUAUUUUUUUACAAUUUUUAGUGAUUUUCCAAAUUCAGAACAGAGGAUUUCGAAAUCAUUCAGACCUUGUCUCACUAAAAUUCCAAUAUCUCAGAAUAUAUAACUCCUUUGGCCAUUAUUUCUCUUUUAUGUGAAAGUAGACUCAUUAAGAUUUAAUUCAAUGUCUUAGUCAAGCAUAAAUCAAUUUCUAUAAGUUUUGGUGAUUUUUUUAACUAACAUCACUGCCGCUGUCCAAAUCUGUUCUGUUUCGAAUUCACUUAUUCACAUAACACUAUAACCAUUUAUUUUGUAAGCACUAUACAUAACUUCAUCACUCUAGUUACUCUUUCGCAACUUAUCACAUUUCAAUCACAUAUUCAUAUUUGUUUACCAUACUCAUAUCACUUUGAACAUGUCGGUAUAAUAGCAAACAUUCGGUGGUUUGCACAUAGUACCACUCAUUUAACUAUUAUCAUGCAAUACACGUAGUAGCCUUCACAUAGUACUACACACGUGAUCAAGCUUUUCGGUUCACGUAGUAGCCUACACAUAGUACUACACACGUGACAAAGGCCUUCCGGUUCACAUAGUAGCCUGCACUUAGUACAACACAUGUGACCGUUAUUUAUCGAUACACGUAAUAGCCUGCACUUAGUACUACACACGUGUUCGCAGACAUUUUAUACAAGCCUUUCUUAUUCCGACAGUUCCACAGAGAUUCCUACCAAUCAAUGAUUUAUAAUUUAUCCGUAACAAUUCAUACUCUCAAUAUUUCCAUCCAAACCCAUAAAAAAUUUAAUAAUUCAAUUCAAACCACUUCAAUCAUUACUCGCAAUUGAUAUAUCCACAAUCCAAGUUAAUUUUUUUUACAAUUCAACUAUCAAUACCAAAUUUCUAAGUGUUAUAUACUAUUUCAUAUCCAACCAUUUCGCAUAUAUUAUAAAAAAAUAUAUAAAAAUAAUAAUUUUAACAAUGUAUUAAUUACAUACAACUUACCUCAGUGCAAAAUAUAGGGAAUUUUGCAAUUCAAUCCACAAUCUUUUCUUUUGCCUUAUCGAGGUUGUUUCCAUGUCUCUCUUCAUCUAUAAUAGCAAAUUUAGCUUGUUUAUUAUUCACAUUUAUCAAAACAGUCCUCGACUCAACUUUAGCAAAAUUACAAUUUUGUCCCUAAACUUUUACAUAUUUACAUUUUUGUCCCAAAGUUCGGAAAUUAAAUUUCAUUCCUUAUUCUUAUGUUUUACAACAUGCUGAACACUUUUUCCUUCUAUGGAAACAUCAAAUUCUCACUCUAACUCUUACUUAUGAACAUUAAAUAUUUUUACUGAUUCUGUUAUUUUGCUCGGUUUCACUUAAAAUCGGCUAGCAAAAGUUGUUUAACAUAAAAUCUAGCUUCAUAUUCUUCAAUAAAACAUCAAAAUACAUACAUUUCACACAUGGGUAAUUUUUCAAAUUUCAACCCUAGCUCAAAAUAACAGUAGAAAUAGAUAAACCGAGCUACGGGAAUCUCAAAAAUGCAAAGAACAUUAAAAACGGGGUUAGAAUGCACUUACUAUGAGCUUGAAGGAGUAAAGAAACCCUAGCUAUGGCUUCUUUCAAUUUUUGAUAGCAACAAAGAUGAUGAACCCCAUUUUUACAUCUUUUUCCCAUUUUAAUUCUAUUUAUUUACUAAAUGACUAAAAUGCCCAUACUUAAAAAAAAUUCUAUUUCACUUAUUUCAUGUCCAUUUUUGCCUAUCACUAACUAAUGGUCUAAUUACUACAUAAGGCCCCUAAUUUGUAAUUCCAUAACAAUUAAACACCUUUAACAUAUGAAAAUCAACUUUUGCACUUUUGACAAUUUAGUCCUUUUUUCUAAUUUGAGUGCUCAAACGUCAAAAUUUUCGAACGAAAUUUUCAUGAAAUAUUUCCGUGAAGUUGUAGACCAUAAAAAUAUAAUAAUAAAAUUUUCUUCAACGGAUUUGUAGUCCCGAAACCACUAUUCUGAUUAUGCCCUAAAUCAGGCUGUUACAUGAUUGGAUUGGAUCAGAUUAAGCAAUUAGAUCCUAUGUUAGAAGGAGAUUGGAUCUUGCUACAUUGAAGGGUGAUCUGCAUUUAUUUGGAUCUUGCUACAUUGAAGGGUGAUCUUUGACAUUAUUUGUAUAUUGUCUUAGCUAUUUUAGCUAUUGUUUUAUUGGGGGACUGAUUGUAAUUGAUCUAGUAUUUUAGCAAGAGCUUAUAUAUUGGAGAGACUUGUAUAGGUGAUUAUGUCAAGAGUUUUGAUAACCUAUCUAUUCAUUGAGGAACUUGUAUUUGAGAGUUCAUUGAGAGUGUAAAUAAGUUUAUUUCUUGGUUUACAAUCUAUUCCCACGAGGGGAACUUAGAGGUAAGUGAUCUAGAUAUUUAGGUACAAAAGUGAGGUUGCUAUAUCAGGGGUGAGAUAAGACUUAAAUCACUUGUUGUAUUAAGAUUAAAGAUAGUUAAUUUUCUAACUAAGCUAGCAUCCAAAGACGUAGGAAAACCACAGUACGUAAAUAACUUGUUGUGCUCUUAUUUUAGUUGUUUUGUCAUAGUGCCACCUUUAGUGGCCACUAUAGCUAGCACUUUGGUUAUUACUAAUUGUUUACAUUGAAAUUAUCAAUUGUAGGUUACAAAAAUUGGUAUCGAAGCCACCUACUUAACAUAGCUAGUGGUGAUUCCUUGUUUAAUAAUUUUCAAAGAUGCAAGGGCUAUCUAUAUCUCACCCCUUUUUGUUAGAUGGAUCUAAUUAUUCUUUUUGGAGGGCUAGUAUGCAUGCCUUCAUCAAAUGCAUGAGAAUGUUAAAUCUGGUGUGAUAAGUGUAUUCGUUUUUAAACUUGUAAUUUUUCGAACAAAUUUGUUAAUAAAAUAUUUCAUGGAUUACAUUAGUAUACUUUGUAUAAUGCCCUCAUGUGGUUUUUGCAUGCAAAGAAAAAUAGAAGCAAAUAUUGGCUCAUUAGGUGUCUGAUAUUUAAACUAAUACUAAGUGAUAUUACGUUGUUGAAUCGUAAUAUAAAAAGAUAGCUUAUAUCAGUAAACGAACCUAAAUGUUUCCUUAGUUUAAUCGAAAAUGAGCAAACCGAUUGAAAGACUAAUAUGUCAUCUAUCAAGUCCAAUUGGGGAGAUGUCUUGUCAAGGGGAUUGGAGCGGAUGACUCCAAGAAGAUAGUGACAUAGAUGUGACUGGCUGGAUUGGCAAUACAUCAGACUAAACCUAAGGAGAAUAAAUAUUGAAUCCGUUUAUGGAUUCAUUCACUUAUGAUGUUCAUAGUGUGGCAUACCUUAAUCCUGAGUGAAUGACGAACUAUGUAUGCCUGAGUCGUAUGCUUUGAUCGAAGAAAAAGCCUGAGUUCAAAUAGAUAAGGAACCGAAAGCUGAUGCAUUGGGUCUACAAUAUGUAGCGUCAUUCACAAUAGUGUAAUUCAUAUCCUUUCAUUGGCAUUACAUGAUAGAUAAAAAGUAAGCGUGGCCACAUGUUGUUCAUUUUCGUGAUGGAUGACUUGAUUACUAUUUGAUAGUAAUUGACUUUUCAUAAAGGAAUAUGUUGGUUACCAUGAUAUAAAAUAUGAUCAUAUUAAGAGAGCGAAUUUAUCCUAAAGUGAUUAAGGAUAUCCUAUGAGGGUAACACACUUAUGACAGGGUCAUUGGACGAGCACUAAUCAAAUUGCUUUCGUAAUGGUAAGUUAUUGGAGAGAGAUCAGUCGUGAUACUAUAGUGGAAUAACUUCAUGACUAAAUGAGUUUAUAAUUAAUAGGUGAAAAGUUGAAACUUAAUUAUAUAACAUUUGAGCCCUAAUCACAUAUGUCCAAUCGGUCCCUUCGCUAGCUCGUUGAAAUAAAAAAUGAAUUACAUGUUGAAUCAAAUUAACAGAAAUUGAUAGAAAAUAUAAAGUUGGAGAAAUGAGAAACAUUCAAAAAUGAAUGUGGUUUUCUCACUAAAUGGAAAUGACCAGAAAAUUUAAUUUAUGGAUUUUCAAAUUAUUUAUUGAUUAAUUAAUUAAUUGAAGUUUGAAAAUGAAAUUAAAUCAAUUGGUCAUAUUGAACCUGUUGAAUAUAAAAAUAUUAAAUAUAUUUUUUCUUAGAUUCUUUUACAAUAAAGUUGCAAUGAUUUUAACAAAAUUAAAAUCAGAUUGAGAAUUUAUUUAAUUUGGAAAUUAAUUUAUGAUGUUUAUUUCGGAAAAUAGAAAGACAUAUAUUGGGUUGGAUUGAAUUAUAAAGUACUGGGUUAAAAGUCCAGGAAAUACUUAUAAUUGGACCCGAUAUGGGAGAGACCUAAAAACCCCUCAUGCUAAUACAUGGGGCAACAAACCCUAGUAUAUUUAACUAGGGUUUUCGCCCCUCUCUCUCCUAGUUAGACUAGAAUUUUGUUUUUCUAUUGAAAUAGACUUCUACUAAUUAAACAAGGGUUUCAUUUCUUUUCUCUAUAAAUAGAUGACACCGGUAGGGCUAAAUAUAAUUUUGAGAUUUCUACCCGAAAAUAGUGAGAAUUUAUUUUCUAAGUAUAAAAUUUAUUUCCAGAAAUAACAAUUCUAUCGGUUUCUAUUAAAGAGGGAAUUUAACUUUUCCACUGAAAAUAAAGUAAAUAAUUUUUUUAUUUUGUGUUUGAUUCAAAUUCGUUCGAGCUCACGCUCAAAGCAGUCAUAGUACGAGAAUAGUGGAAAAGGUUGUUCGAUUGAAAGCUGAGAAAGACAAUGAUUCGUCUAGCCGAAAACACAAAUACAAUUUCGAGAAAAAGUUUAUUCCUAUAAAUAUCACAAAUUUGUUCGGUCUUCAAAAUUUUAAUUUUUCAAUGUGCAAGAAAAAAAUUUUCAAAUUGGAUUUCAACAAUUGGUACCAGAGACAGGUUGCACUAUUUUUUUUACUACAAACUAAUAUCGAAAAUUUCUUCUUCAUUUGUGAUUAAUUUUGAUAAAAUGUGACAUUCUUGUAAUUAUAUGCAUGUUUAGGAGAAUGUAUCCGAAUGAAUGUAUGAUAUUUUUAUUAUAUAUGGUAAAGUAAUUUUUCCAAAAUUAUAAUUCCUAAAAAAUUAAAUGUAAUUAUUAUUAAUUUUCAAGUAUAUAUAAUUAGAUCAUGGACCAUCAUCUCUACAUAAAAUUUUAAUUUUAAUUUUUUAUUAAUAACUACAUGUAUACUAACAUGCAUACUAAUAAAAAUAAAACACAUGUCAUAAAUAAUAUAUAAAAUUUAUUCUACACAAACAUCAAACUCACUAAGUGAUUACUGACUAAAUGAUGGAGCCACACCAAAACUAGAUUUCAACUUUGACAACUCAAGAAAAAAUUAUUAUUUGUUAUGAAUAUCUUAUUAAGUGGAUGUCCGUCAAAAUCAAGAUAAGUUUUGAUGUACUUUAAAUUCUAAUAGUCAUUAGAAUUAGAUCUCUACUUCAUUUAUACUUUUUAUGCCUAUAAAUAGAGAUUUAGAAGAAGCAUUGUAAUCAUCCCAUUGAUCAAUAAAAUACAUUAUCUAUUGCUUCUCAUAUUUUCUUUGUUCUUUACUCUCUAUCUCUCUUUAUUUUAUAACACGUUAUCAGCAUGAUCUUGCUCAAAGUGAUAGUUCCUUUUAUUGACUAUCAAAUUUAUCUUGCUCAAAGUGAUAAAACUUUUUAUUGACGAUCAAAUAAAUUCUCCAUGAUUUCCAAGAUCUUAGAUGGCAAGAUGCAAAGUUUUUGUGGGAAGUUUCUUUUAUUUAAUGAUUCAAAUUUGAUUAUUUUUAGCUAAUUCAUGAUCACUUAUAGUUAUUUUGAUUAACUUACUUUAUUUUUAUGUUAUUAAGGAUGGUGAAGGAUUUGAUAUCACUAUCUAUAUGAAAUUGUGAAAUAAUAUUCAUUCUCAAAGUUUGCUAUUGAUGAAUUUUGAUUGGAUUCAAAGUCUACUAUUGUAGUUUAAAUUUGCUUACUUGUUGAUAAAAUCAUCAAGACAUCAUUGAACAAGAAAGGUACAUCAACUUAAUUAGAUCUCUAUCUUUACACUUUGUCUCAAUAAUAACAUCUUUAGAUAUUAAAUUAAUUUGAUAUAUGGUUUAAAUAUUAGAGAUGAUUUUAUUUUAAGUUUUGGUUCCAUAGGUUACUUAUGGUUUCAAAUAUCUUAUUUGUUUAUGAAAAUGAAUAUUGAUUGACUUCUUUAUGUUGUUAUAGUAGGUUUUAUAAUUAAAUAAUAUAUUUGGCUAAAAACAUAUCAGUUUAAAAAUUUGUGUUGAGAACCUAUGAAAUUUAUAAUUAUUAAGACUUGAUUUAGUUUGAAUAUAAAUUACAUUCCUUUAAUGUCUCUUAUUAUUUUGGUUAUACAAUUUGAAAAUUUUCAAUACUCAUACAUGCGCAGUUCUAAAGAAAUUUUUUGAGAAAUGUCUAAAUUGAUUUUUGGGUUGGUUCUAAUAUUGAAUUUCAAGUUUAAUUUUUGCCAUUUUUAAUUCUUGAAUUAUUUUGGUUGAAAACAUUUUCAUAAACUUAAAAAUGAGAAUUACUAUAUUAAGUUGAUCGUUUGAAUUUCUAUGAAUCUCGUUUAUAUUAACCAAUUGUUGUUUCAGAAGAAGCAUUAAAACAACUUGUGUGGUUUGAUUUUAUAAAUGCCUUAUAUUUUCCUAGUAUACAACCGUAGGAAACUUGUUACUUUUGUAAAGUUGUUAAAGGUAGUUCAUACACUUUAUAUUUGUUAAUUAUUUAGAGAAAUCAAUUAUAAAUGGAAAAGUUUUAGUGAACAUGAGAUGUAUGAUUUUGAAGUAAAUUUCAUACAUGUCUACAAUGGUUUAUGAUUUUUUUUGUUGACACAAGCAUUAUAUCAAGUUUGAUAUUUUAAAUGUCAGUUUUAUCCAUACAUUUGAUUUGCAAUAAACUCUAUGCAUGACUUGGUUAUUUCUUUCUCGUUAAUUGAUGAUGAAAAACUCUUGUAAAAAGAGUUUUAAAAGUAUUUUGGAUUGAUCUAAUGCCUUCUUAAGGCCGAACAAAUAAUGAAUUAUUUGUUCCAUUGAUCCUGUUUCAUUCCUCGAAGUGAAUGCAGCAAUACAUAACAAUUAUAAAAUGGAACCUCUUAUCAUUAUUGACAAAUAGAUGAAAAAAAUAUGGCUGAUUCGAAAUGUUGCUAAUUGUUCAUUCUUAGAACAAAAUGAUCAAUGAUUCAUACUAAUUAAUCAUUCCUUGAAGCGAAUGAUAUCUAUAUAAUCUUAUUGGUAAGAAAUAUGAUAUAUGCUUACAUUACUAUUUGAUUUGUUUUGCACAUUCCUUAAAGUGAAUGUUUGAAAUAAAUAUAACAAAUUGUAUAAUCAAUUUUGAUUAUUAAUGUCAAUUUGAACAUUUGAAGAUUUUGAAAUAUUUGAAUAAUUGCAAAUAAUUGUUUGCAUAUUAUUUUUUUAUUAAGUUAAUAACAUUAUGAACUUCCAUUCAUGUAGACAUUUCCAAAAGUAAAUGUUACAAUAUUGCUUAUAUGUGGAUACAAAAUAAAAAAAAUGACGAUAAAAUUGUCAAUUGUCAAAAUUUAUAUUGACAUUAUUAGUACAAUUGAAAAACAUGUUAAAGUAAACCAGAAGUUUACUGAUACAAAUACAUUUACUAUUUGGCGUGACCAGUUAGACUAUCUUGGAUUAUAUCUGAUGCGAAAAUUAAUUAAAAAUUCAUAUAGAUAUUUAUUAAAGAACUAGAAGAUUCUUUAAUUUAAAAAAUUUUCAUGUGUUGUUUGUUCUCAAUGAAAAUUAAUUAUUAUAAACUCACUGGCUAAAGUUGAGAUUUAAUGUCUUGCAUUUCUGAAAUGAAUAUGGGCACAUUCAUCCACCAUGUGGAUGAUUUUGAUAUUAUUUGAUUUUGGUAGAUGCAUCUACAAAAUAAUCACAUACGUUAUCAACUCGUAACCUGUCAUUUGCAAGAUUGCUUAUUUAAAUGAUUAAUUUCAUAUUAUGCAAUUAAAACAAUUCAUCUUGCUAAUAUUGGUGAGUUUAUAUCCCAAGCUUUCAAUAAUUAUUGUAUGUUAAUCGGGAUAAAAGUUGAACAUCUUGUAGCUCAUGUUCACACAUAAAAUGAUUUAGCUGAAUCAUUUAUCAAAUGCCUCAAACUAAUAGUUAAACCAUUAUUUAUGAGAAAAAAACUUCCUAUUUCAACAUGAUAUUGUAUUGAUUUACAUGUUGUACACAUCAAAACAAUAAAUUAUAAAUAAUCCCCAUUAUAAUUGAUUUUUGGUCAAGAGUCAAAUAUUUCCCAUCUUACAAUUUUUGGAUGUGCGGUAUAUGUUCCAACUGCUCCACCACAAUGCACAAAGAUGGGUCAUCAUAAGAGAUUGAGAAUGUAUAUUUAUAUGAGUCUCCUUAUAUUAUUAAAUAUUUUUGAGCUAUUAAUUCGAGAUUUAGUUAUGACAUGAGUUGUCAGUUUUCCUAACAUUAGGGGGAAAGAAUAAAAAGUUGGAUUAAUAAAUUACUUAAAAUGAACUAAUAAUGUCUAAAAUCCUUGUACAAAGCAAUGUGAACCAGAAGUUCAACAGAUAAUUCAUUUUACAAAUCAACUGCCAGAUUCAUUAAAUCUCACAUACCAACUGAAAAUGCUCCAAUACAAAUUGAUGCCCCAAUAGGGCAAACUAUUAGUGCGAAAGAAAGUAAUUCACACCUGAAGCAUGGAAGACCAAUCGGUUCCAAAGAUAAAAUUCCUCGUAAAAGAAAAGGAGCAAACAUUCAAGAUGGUCAUAUAGUGGAGGCAAGGGGUUCCUAAAGAGACUCAUGACAUAACUAAUUAUAAAACUCAAGAAGAGAUUCAGGUACCUAAAAGUGAAAAUAAAAAUGAUGAAAAUAAAGAGAUCUCAAUAAGUUAUGUCAAUACGAGAAAAAGAUGGAACCGAAAAAAAAUGUAGUUGUUGACAACAAUUUUACUUAUAAUGUUGCCAUUGAAAUAACAAAAGAAAAUGAGGAUCCUGAGCAUAAAUCUAUUAAGGAAUAUAAAAAUAGAAAAGAAUAGCCAAAAUGGAAAGACGCAAUUCGAGUAAAAUUGAAUUCACUUUCUAAACAUGAGGUUUUUUGGACAUGUAGCCCAAACACCUAAAGAUGUAAAGUCGGUAGGAUAUAAAUGGGUAUUUGUGUGAAAAUGAAAUUAAAUUGAUGAAGUCGUAAGAUAUAAAGCUCGACCUGUAGCACAAGGACUUUUGCAAAGGCUCGACAUUAAUUACAAAGAGACAUAUUCUUCUGUGGUGGAUGCAAUCACGUUUAGAUGUCUUAUUAGUUUGGGAGUACGUGAAAAACUUGACAUAGGUCUAAUGGAUGUUGUUACAUACUAUUUGUAUGGUACACUUGAUAGUGAAAUUUAUAUGAAAAUCUCUGAAGGGUUUAAAAUCUCAGAAAGAUAUAGAGUUUAUCGGGAAAAUUUCUUGAUCAAACUAAAGAAAAAUUUAUAUGGAUUAAAACAAUCUGGACAUAUGUGGUACAAUCGUCUUAGUGAAUAUUUGUUGAAAGAAUGUUAUAAAAAUGAUCCAAUUUGUCCAUGUGUUUGUAUAAAAAGGUCCGGAUCGGAUUUUGUGAUAAUUAUUUUUUAUGUUGAUGAUUUAAAUAUUAUUGGAACUCCUGAAGAGCUUCAAACUGUAGUAAAUCAUUUAAAAAAGAAUUUGAGAUGAAAUAUCUUGGAAAAAUAAUGUUUUGUCUUGGCCUGCAAAUCGAGCAUCUGAAAGAUGGAAUUCAUGUCCAUCAGUCAAUUUAUACGGAAAAGAUCUUAAAGAAAUUUUACAUGGAUAAAGCGGAUCCAUUGAGUACGUCGAUGGUUGUAUGAUCGUUAGAUUGAAUUUUGUCCUGAGAAUGAUAAAGAUUUUAUUGGUCUUGAAGUACCAUAUCUAAAUGGCAUUGAUGUAUCUUGCAAACAACACAAGACCUGAUAUAGUUUUCAUUGUAAACUUGUUAACAAGAUUUAGUUCUUCUCCAACAUGUAGAAAUUGGAAUGAAAUUAAACAUGUAUUCGGAUAUCUCAGAAGAACCAUUGAUAUGAGAUUAGUUUAUUCAAAUGAUUCAAAAUCUCUAUUAGUUGGCUAUGCUGAUGUUGGUUAUUUAUUGGAUCCACAUAAAGAUUGAUAUCAAAUAGGAUAUUUAUUUACAUGUGAGGGUACUGCCAUAUCAUGGCAUUCAACAAAGCAAACAUUAGCUGCCUUUUCUUCAAAUCAUGCAGAAAUAAUUGCAAUUCAUGAGGGAAGUCGAGAGUGUGUUUGGCUAAGGUUAUUGACCCAACAUAUCCAAAAGAUAUGUAAUUUGUCUUUACAGGAAAAGAUGUCAACUAUCUUAUACGAAAAUAAUUGUAACUAUAACACCCCUAACCCGUAUCCAUCGCCGAAUUAGGGUUACGAGUCAUUACUAGACAAAACACAACUUAAUACAUACGUUCAGUAGAAUUCAAGAAUUUAACAUUUAUAUACAAUUCGUUUGAAUACAGGUUUAAAUCUACUAUUUCCAAAUCAAGAUAUAAGCAUUGUAUAUAUAUAUAUGAAUUGAAAUAUAUUAAGCUUAGUCAAAUUUUAAGUAAGUAUAAUUGUAAAUUCUACUUUAACCUUUUAAAACAACACAUAACAUUUCGAUCCUGUUAAACCAUAAGAAAAUAAGCCAUUUUCGUAUGGCUAUUAAUUAUAUAUACAAUACAUCAAAGUACGACUUCCAAAACAUUAUCUAGCCUAUACAUGCCAUAAGUUAAAAUUUAAACAUUUCAAUACCGAAACAAUAGAUAGAGUGAUGAUCUUUGCUGACGAUCCCCGGGCCUCCAGCUUUGUUUUUAUCUAUAAAACAAAUGGACGUAAACUAACAAAGUAAGCUUUUAUCGCUUAGUAAGUCUUUAGCAUAUCUAUAAUACAUAUAAAAGAAUCAUAUAAUUCCUUAAGUAAAUUUAUUGAGAUAACAAUUACCAAAUAUAAUUACUAUUCAAACAUUGCUAUGUUCAGUCAUUUUGUUGAUAUCUAAAAGAAUGUAUAUUUAAUUAAUACAUAUAAACGAACAUAUGUAUAUUCAUUAUAUGCAUAUAACCAAGUUAUAAACAUACUCACUAACUGCAUAUACUGAUUGCUAGUGUACUUAUCGCUUGCACUUCAUCAAAUGCAUUUAUAUAUAUAAUUAUUCAAAUACAUAUGCCAAAAGCAUAUAUUUAUACUUAUCAAUUACAUGUGUCGAAUGCACAUAUAUACUUAUAAUCCACAUAUGCCAAAUGCAUACAUAUAUAUCCAACAAUUUCAUAACAACCAAUAUACGUACUUACUCACUAAACACAAAGAUCCAAACAUUUAUAUGCUCAUCAAAUAAAUAGAAACAAAUGUUCAUAUAUUUAUCCAUUACAUAUAACCAAAAUCAUAUAUAUACCCAAUGCAUAUAAUCACUUAAUUUAAACAGAUUCAUUGGCACUUAACCUGUUAGGCUUAAAGCAUGAUUCAGAUCACCGGCAUCAAUCCUGCUAGACAUAAAGUCUAAAUUAUCUCACUGGCGAUAAGCCUUCUAGACAUUGAGCCUGAAAUCUCAUUUCAUAUAAGUUGUAACUCAUAUUCAAACUAUAUAUGUAUAUAAAAUCCAUACAUAAAAAAUUCAACCCAAAAUUUAUAACUUAUAUUCUUAAACCACAUGGAUAUAUAUAAAGUUCAAUCACCAAAUCCAACAUUAAUAUCUCAAUGAUUCAACUGAACAUAUUUAUAUAUAACUUCAUACUUUAGAUACUACUACUAAUAUCAUACUAUUUAACUUAUAACAUACUAUGUACAUUUAACAUUCGAAUCUCACAUAUACCUAUAUAAUUUCAUACCCCAUUUCAAUAAAAAAACUUAUACAUGUACAUAUAUACAUAUUCGAAUCUAACAUAUAUACAUAUAUAAUUUUGUACUUAGAUUCGAAACAAGUACUUAUACUUGUAUACACAUACAUUUUCGAAUUUAACAUAUACAUAUAUAAUUUCAUACUUAUACUCAAUAUAAGCAAUUAUACAUAUAUAUACAUGCUUAUUGGAUCCAAACAUAUACAAAUAUAUUAUACAUAUAUAUAUGUAACAUCCAUACUUUUAAUAAAAUCUAAGAAUUUAUACUCAUAUAUACAUACCUAUUCAACAUUAACUAAAUUCAAAACUUAUUCAUGUAUAUACACAUAUAUCCGAACUUUAUAUAUAUAAAUAUAACAUACAUACUUUUAACUAAAUUCAAGAAUUUAUUCAUGUAUAUACAUAUAUAUCCGAACUUUAUAUAUAUAAAUAUAACAUACAUACUUUUAGCUAAAUUCAAGAAUUUGUUCAUGUAUAUACAUAUAUAUUCGAACUUUAUAUAUAUAAAUAUAACAUACAUACUUUUAACUAAAUUCAAGAAUUUAUUCAUGUAUAUACAUAUAUAUUCGAAUUUUAUAUAUAUAAAUAUAACAUACAUACUUUUAACUAAAUUCAAGAAUUUAUUCAUGUAUAUACAUAUAUAUCCGAACUUUAUAUAUAUAAAUAUAACAUACAUACUUUUAACUAAAUUCAAGAACUUAUACAUGUAUAUACAUAUAUUAUCCACUAUUAGUUCUAUAUUAUUGAACUUUAAACAAACUUUAGCUAACAUACAUGUAAUUUGCAUCAUUAAUAUAAACUUACCAAAGUAAAUUCUUGUAUUCGGCUAUCAAUAAUAAAAUUUAAAGUUUCAUUCAAUUUGAAUAUUUUAAGUUUCAGCUUAUCAUAUGUAAAAUAAAUAUAAUAAGCAUAUAUUUAAUUUAGAUAACAUUUAAUUGCUAAUUGACUUACCUCGGAUAUCGAUAGACACGUUUAACUAUUCGACUACUUUCGUUUUUCCCCAAUCCAAUUCUGUUUUCUUCGUUUCUUUAUCUAAACAUAUUCAAAUUUAGUCUUUUUAUUCAUCAAAUCAUUCAAUUAAAUCCAAAAAUACAUAAAUGGGAAAAUUAUCAUUUUACCCCUAACAUUUUACACUUUUUGCAAUUUAGUCCUUUUUGCACAAAACACAAAAUACAAAAUACACAAAAUUUAAUCACGGCAUACUAGGGCCGAAUGUUCCUAGUGUUCAUACAAGUCCACACAUUUCAUUUAUUUCACAUUUAGUCCCUAAAAAAUUUAUUUUCACAAUUUAUCCCUAAUUACUCAAUUUCACAAAAAAAUCAAAGACAAAACAUGUUAAUCUUUCACAUAUCUUUCAUUUUUUGUAACACCCCUAACCCGUAUCCUUCUCCAGAAUAGGGUUAUAGAGCAUUACCGGAUUUUACAAAUUAAUUUUCAGACAUUUCAUUUUAUCAAGCAUUCAUAUUUAUAACCAAUCAAAAUCAAAACAUUUAUGAACUAACAUUAGCCAAUUUAACUUAUACAAGUCAUUAUAACCAGAAUCAAAUCAUCCAAAAUCACCAAUAGAAUCAAUGGAUAAUGUGAUAUAUCUCCAACAAGCUUCCAACCCAAUCGAGCUUCCGAUAAUCAUUUCAAAACAUCUAAUAAUUAUACCUAUUACCAAUGAUAAUUUAAUUCCAAUAAUAAAACACACACAUAUAAUAUUUAUUACCAAAUAGCAUUGACUUCUAUUAAAAUGAUACAAAAUAUAGUUCAUACGAACUUACCAGGCUAAAUUGCAGAAAUAGCAAAAUUCAGGGACAUUUUGGAAAAUUUCUAUUUUUCUCGAAUUUCCACUCAAUCUUGAUCUAAAUUAAUAUUUCAUUCAAUUUACUAAUUUAAAUAAUAAAAAAUUCAUUUCAUGCAAUUUGGUCACUUUUUGACAUUUUUACAAAUUUACCCUUAAAGUUUCACAUUUGUUCAAUUUAGUCCCUGAACCUAAAACAUGUAAAUUGGUUAUUUUCAAUGAAAAAUCAUGCUAGUUGAAUAAUCAUAUAUUUUCCUCCUCCUCCUCUCCAUUCCACAUCCUUAAUGUAUAUAACAUUCUUAUAUGUAACAUUAUCUAUAAUUUCACCAUUUAUUUAUAUAUUCAUUCAAAACUGUCCACUUGAGUCAUAGUCACUAAAUUAUUUAUAUCUUCAGCUACAGAACUCCAAAUUGAGAUCCAUUAAUUUUCUCUGAAACUAUACUCACAUAUAUUCUUACCAUAAAAGUUUUAGAAUAUUUUGUUUAGCCAAUAAGUAUAGUUUAUUCUUUAAAGUCACCUCUGUUCUGCUGUCUAACAGUUCCGACCCUUCUUCACUAAAACUUAAUUAUCUCCUUGUACAAAAUUCGAAUGAUAUCCCUAUUUAUUUCUAUUGAAAAUAGAAUCUUUAAGGGUUUUAAAAAUAUAAAUUAUAACCCAUAAUUAUUUUUUUACAAUUUUUUUAUGAUUUUCCAAAGUUAGAACAGGAGAACCCAAAAUCAUUCUGACCUUGUCUCACAAAAUCUAUUAUAUCUCAUGAUUUACAUUUCCAUUACUUACACCGUUUCUUCUAUCAGAAACUAGACUUAGUAAGAUUUAAUUUCAUAUUUUUUUCAUCCUUAAUUUAAUUUCCACAAUUUAUGGUGAUUUUUCAAAUUUAACCUACUGCUGCUGUCCAAAACUGUUUUCGUGCAAAAUGUUAAUUACUAAGUUUAUAACUUCCUUAUUCCCUUUCUCUAUAAUAUUUCCCAUCACUUUCACUUAUUUCUCUUCACUAAUAUAUCAAGAAUAGAAGACUUUAUAUAAUAAAACUCUACUAUAACAUCUUUUUCAUGCUAUUUCAAUAAUAUCAAAAUUAAAAAUAUAUUGGAAUCUUAAUGUUCUUAUCUUGUCCUAUUGAUUUCAAUCUUUAACUUAAUUUUCUCUCUCCUAUAGCUUCAAUUUCUUGAAUCCAACUUGAUAUUCUAGCUCCCCAUAGUCUCCUUGUUAUCUUUCUCUCUUGAUGGAUAUGAAAAUUCUUUUGAUCUCUAGGUGAAAAUGGUAAUUUUUUGGAGGAAGGACCAAAUUGUAAAGAAAGCAAAACUUUCCUUCUUUCUCUCUUCUCCUCACGUUGGAUGCAUGGAAGAUGAUGGGUUGGUUUCUUUUCAUCUUUCUUUCUACAUAUAUUUAUACUAAAUAAUUUAAGAAUAAAAUAAUAAAAUAUCAUUUAAAAAUCAAAUUAAAAUAUUAAUAAACUAAUAUUUAUUAAAUUAAUUAAUCUAAAAUAUUACCAACAUCAUCAUUUCCUUCAAGAUUUCUCUCUAUUCUAAUUGACCAUUUUUCCAUUUAUGUUCUUUUAAAAUUUCAUCCUUGAGUCAUCACUUAAUUUGGUAAAAUUACGAUUUAGUCCCUCAAAAUUCUUCACCUUUUCAAUUUGGUUCUAAUUCAUCCAUUUUUCUUGGUUUCUAGAUUAUUCUACCCUUAAAAUAUUUGCACUAUUAGUCUUUCAAUUUUUCAUAUUUACACUUUAACCCCUUAAAUUUUAAGUAUUGACUCUUGGGCCACAAAACUUUUCUCAGUUUUACGAUUUAAUCCUUUCUUUAAUUAAUAUGUCAUAAUAUACUUCUCAAUGUUGACAUAACUCAAAAUUACCCUUUUUAUCACUUUAUUUCCUUAUUUUACUAUAUCAGGAAUAUUAUUUUGCUUUCUUACUAUAGUAAUUUUUUUUGGGAAUUACAUUUUUCAUCAUCAACUAUCACAAAGCUUAAGCAUUGAUCAAUGACACAUUUCAAAAUCAUCAAUAAUUCAUAAAAUUAAGACAUGGGUUUUGAAGUAUUCAAAGCAAUGAUCUCAAAAACGUAAAUUAUCAAAAAUCGAACAAAAACUAACCUUGAAUUAAGCUUCAAAAGAUGGUCGAACCUAGCUUAGGUUUCUUUCAUUUUCUUUUCUCUAGUUUCGGUCAAAAUAAGUUGAAAAUGUGGCUUUUAAUUUGUUUGUCUUUUAAUAUAUUAACUUUAUAAUAUAAUAUAUUAUUAUAACCUUUAUACAUAAUAUAAAAACUAUAGAUUAUAAGCAUAAUGUCGUCCACUAUCUUGAUUAAUGGCCUAAUUUCCUAUUAAAUACUUCACAUUAUAAAGACAUUAGCAAGUUAGCACUUUACAUAUUAAUUAGUCAAUUUCACAUUUUACGCGAUUAAGUCCUUUUAUUAAAUUAAGCACACAAACAAUAAAAUUAAUUCACGAAACUUUCACACAUGUAAAUUAACACAUAAUAAACACAUCAAAUAAUAUUAAAAUAUUUUUAGACUCGGAUUCGUGGUCACAAAACCACUAUGUCUGAUUAGGGUCUAAAUCGGGCUGUGACAGUAACGCCCCAAAAUUUCUAAUUUCGUUAUUGUGAAAAUAUGACACAAAUAUCUGUCAGCUUUAGUGGUUAUGUGUUCUGGGAGUGUUUGAAAAGUCCCAAGUUCAAGCCUUCGCUUGGGCAAAUUUUGGUAUUUUGAAUGAAUUAGGCCUUACUCUUGUUUAGUAGGCUUUUUUUGAUUGUUAGGUAAAUUACAUUAGAAUGGGCCUGCUGGUCUAGUGGUUAAAUGGUUUGUUAUUAUGGUGGAGGUAUUGUGUUUGAAUCCUUAUGUAGGCAAAGGUAUUAUUUUUUGCUCAGAUUUCAGGAUAGAGUUGAGUAAUAGGGGGAUUCUGAGUGUGGAUGUGUAGUGGGAAUUAGGAGAGAAGAUUAAGGGAUUUUGGGGGUUAUCGGGAUUUUAUUUUAUUUUAUUUCCCAUAAUCGAAUUUUGACUCUCUUUCCCCCCAAAAAAUCUACCGUUUAUUCUUCUCCCUCUCCUCUUGCAGAAAUUCACCGAGUUUUUCCAUCUUUCUCUUCUUUUUCUUCUUCUUGAUUUUCCAUAAUCCAUUUAAUUUCCUUCGUUUUCGCACGCGGUUAGUGCUCGCUUAGUUUUGGUAAGUGUUUCUCUUUAUUUCUAUCAUGAAUCUCUUAACGACUGAAGUGGUAAUGUUUUUUCUCUGCGAUUUGGGAGUAGGGGGAGGCUCGGACUGGUGAAUUCAGUGUUCUCGUCUUAACAAUAGUUAAACGGAGGGUUAUCGUUGGUGGAAACUUGAGUUUCUAUUCGUUCUUGGUUUUCAAUUCGCUUGUAAAUCCGUUAAAUUGAUGUUGAGUAUCUUGAUUAUAAGCUUUGGAGUGCUCGGGGACUAUUUUAGCAUCAAACAAAACUAGGUGUGUACCCAAAACGCAAAGAAAAAGGAUUCGGUGAAAAGCCAAAAUUGCUUGCUAUUUGGACAACAACAGUAGGCUAACUUUGAAAUAUCACCAUAAGUUGUGGAAAUCAAAUUAGAGGAUGAAAAAAUAUAGAAUUAAAGCUUAUUAAGUUUAGUUUCUCAUAGAGGAAAUGGUGUAAGUAAUGAAAUUGUAAAUUGUGAGAUAUAAUAAGUUUUGCGAGACAAGGUCAGAAUGAAUUUGGGUUCUCCUGUUCUGACUUUGGAAAAUCAUCAAAAAUUGGAGAAAAAUAAUUAGGGGUUAAAAUUUACAUGUUUAAAUUAUUAAUGAGUCUAAAUUCAAUAGAAAUAAAUGGUAACAUCAUCUAAAUUUUGUACUAAGAGAUAAUUAAUUUUUAGCAAAGAAAGGUCGAAGCUGUCAGACAGCAAAAUAGGGGUAAGUUUGAAUAUUUUACUGUACUUAUUGGUUGAAGCAAAAAUUCUGAAAAUUUUAUGGUAGAAAUAUAUUUGAGUCUAGUUUGAAAGACAUCAAGAGGAUCUUAAUUCAGAAUUCUGUAGCUCAAGAUGUAAAUAAUUUAGUAACAGUGACUCAAGUAGACAGCUUUGAAGGAACAUAUAAGUAAAUAGUGAAAACAUAUAUGAAUAAUUAACUAGCACGGGUUACAUUAAAAAAAAGGAUCACAUGGCGAAGGCCAAUUUGGGCUGAGUGGGCCACAUGGGCAUGUAAGCCCAUUUUUUUAAAAAGUUCUGUAAGGUUGCACGGGUCUCCCAAGUCUACUAUGGACCUUUUGUAGGGUUGGUAAGCUUUACUUAGAUCCCUAUAUGUGUGAUCUGUGUGUCUGAUUUCUAUAUCGAGCGUGACUUAUGAAUGUAUGUACUAUUCAUUGCAUAAUGGCAUGACAUAUUUUGUAUGUUGCAUUGCAUCGGGGUAGGUUGAUGAUAUUUGGAGGAAGUGUCUAAAAGGCUAUUAAGCCUGUUAUCUGGCAGCCCAGCUGCAACCUUCUGAUUAUGUGUCGCAUUUUAGUACAGCAUGGUGUGUAGGGAUGGGUGGGUUGAUUUAAUUCCCACAUGGUGUGUAGGGUUGGACAGAGAUGGUGUGUAGAGGCUGGUAGGUAGGAUUCUGAUUUACUAUAUCUGCAUUCUGUAUCUGAUAUGAGCCAAGGCCCUAAUGUAUUUUUGAGACUGUAUCUGAAUGGGCUAAUGCCCAAACUGAUUCUGUGAUGGGCACGGGCCCCAGACUGUAUCUAACUAAAUUCUGUUGAUUAUCUGUAUGCAUGUUUUCUGUGGGGAUUACACAUUGAGGUUUUGAAAACUCACCCUUUUUUCUGUUUAAUCUGUACAGGUAAUCCCCAGACUUGACGGGUUGGUGCAGCGGAGGACUCGACGGUGGCCACACGUAAAUUUUAGAUUGUUUUCUGUUAAUGCCUAUAAUUUAUUAGUUAUUACUUAUUUGGGGUUUUUGAUGUAUCUUCUGGACUAUGGACUGGUUGGCUUUAAAUUUGGGACUUUAUACUAUUUUUUUAUGAUUUUUUAAAAAAAAACUGCAAUUCCACAAAACACUGUUUUUUCCUAAAAACUAAGGUUUUUCGUAAAUAGAAACGACUUUCCCUAAAUUAAUUGGUUACAAAAGCUUCCGCUAAGAGACAAUUUUUAAACCAAAUCAACUAGUUUUUUUUUCGAAUUAAAUAAAAGCUAAUUUACUAUAACGGUUUUUAAACUCAACAAUCUUGUCUUCAAAUCCCUUUCCAUGUGACACCGCCAGAUUCGACCAUAACGUCUAGGCCAAGUUUGGGGUGUUACAAUAAUGCAACAUGUAUAGCUCAAUUGAAUGGUGGUUACAUCAAAUGUGACAGAACGAAACAUAUUUCACCAAAAUUAUUCUUCACCCGUGAUCUUGAGAAAAGAGGUGAUUAUAAAUGUUCAACAAAUUUGUUCUAGUGAUAAUUUAGCUAAUUUUUUUACUAAGGCAUUACCAACCGCAAUAUUUGAAAGACUACUACACAAUAUUGGAAUAUGUUCACUCAAAGAUGUAAUGCAAUGUUGCUGUUAGGGGGAGUCUAAAAAUAAGUUGUACUCUUUUCCUUUAACCAAGGUUUUGUCCCAUUGAGUUUUCUAGGUAAAAGUUUUUAACAAGGCAGGUUGUAAUAGAAGAUUGUGUACUCUUUUUCCUUCAUUAGGUUUUUAUCCUACAAGAUUUUUCCUAAUAAAGUUUUAAUGAGGCACAUUAUCUACAAAUAGACAUCUAAGAAGGAGUGUUAUGAAUAUCUUAUUGAGGGGAAAUAAAAGAAAAAAGAUAGACUAAGAAUAUAACAAAAUUUUUAUUUACCCAAACUAAGCUAUACAAACAACUUGUGGGUUCAACUAAACAUCAAUCCUAUUCUGCCUAAAUGCUACUGUUGUCCAAACCGAGUCACCAAAUAACUUGUCAACAAAGGGCUUUUGUUUCUAUUUUACCAUAAACACAACAAUAUUGCUAACCCUAAACCGAUACUACACAGAUUAAAAAAGGGAUUUUAAACAUUUUUUUUACCGUAAAGUGUUUCCAGAAAAUGACAAAUCCAGCAAAACUUUACCCCAAAAAGUGACAAAUAAGAAAAUGGGUUUAUAUGCAAGAUCGUCACUUCAAAAUGAAACCAUUCAAAAAAAAAAAAAAAAGG
rnacentral:lncRNA from 1 species